AGCUGGACUUGAGUUUGGCAAAUUUUCCAAUGCUGAAGGCUAUACCAACAAGGAAUGGAUUUGAGAGUCUCAUGCAUACAAAAAUGACUUCACUUACUGUUGAUAGAGGUGGAGUCCCAAAGACUUGUUGAUGAAGUGGCUGUUUUGGAAUGUGAGGGGUAUAAAUAAGAGGUAUAAGCAGAAAGAGAUUAAGCUGCUGUUACUUCACAAUAAAAUUAAUAUCGCAGGUUUAAUAGAAACAAGAGUUAAGGAGAAAAAUAGGAAAACAGUUCUUAAUGGGAUUGUGCCUGGGUGGAAGAUGAUUAAUAACUACAAUGUUAGUCCUAAUGGUAGAAUCUGGCUGAUAUGGGAUGACAAUUGGUAUGAGGUUAAGGAGAUUACUAGCUCAGCUCAAAUAUUGCAUUGUCAAGUUAAUGAGAAAAGUAAGGGCUAUCAAUUUAUAGUAAGUGUAGUAUAUGGUUUUAACACUGUGGAGCAGAGAAAAAGUUUGUGGCAAGAAAUGAAGACAAUAUCACAAGGUGUCACUCAGCCUUGGCUCAUUGCAGGGGAUUUUAAUGCUGUUCUCACUACUAAGGAUAGAUUAAAUGGAGGGCAUGUUACUAUGAAUGAAAUGCAAGACUUUGGGGACUGUGUGAGGCAAAUGGAGAUUACUGAAUUACAAUGGAAAGGGAACUAUUAUACUUGGAAUAAUAAACAAUGUGGAGAAGAUAGAAUUGCAAGUAGAAUAGAUAGAACAUUUGGGAAUGAUGAAUGGAUGGAUAAAUGGGGACAUGUCUUUACUGAAUAUGGGAAUCCAAAUAUAUCUGAUCAUAGCCCUAUGAUGAUAACAUUGGAAAAAACUCACCAGUAUGGGAAAGUCAGCUUCAAAUUCUUUAACAUAUGGACUGAACAUGAGAGCUUUAUGGAUAAGGUAGAUGAAGUUUGGAGGAAAGAUUAUGGGAAUGGAAAAAUGAAGCAAGUGUGGUGGAAAUUGAAGAACCUUCAACCUGUUUUAACUCAGCUGAAUAACAAAGAGUUCAAAUAUAUUGGGAAACAGAUUGAGAUGGCUAGAGUGGAAAUUGUAAAGGUGCAAGAUCAACUAAAUGAGAAGGUUACUGAUGAGCUAGUUAGGAUGGAAAAAGAAUUACUAGUUAAGCUGGAAAAAUGGUCAUUGAUAGAAGAGAGUGCUCUGAAGCAGAAAGCAAGGAUAAAAUGGAUACAAUUAGGGGAUGGCAACAAUAAAUUCUUCAGCUCAAUUAUUAAGGAGAGAACUCAAAAGAAACAAAUAAGGAAUAUUAUGUCACUGAAGGGUAAGAUGCUAUAUGAUUAGGCUGAUAUUCAAGAAGAAUAUGUGAGCUUUUACAAGAGUCUUAUGGGAACUACAGCAGAUAACCUUCCAAGCAUUAAUACACAAGUGAUGAAGAGAGGGCCUACAUUAACAAAGCAGCAGAGGAUUUACCUUUGUGCUGAGGUUACAGAACAGGAGAUAUAUGAAAGUUUGAAGACAAUUGGGAAUGAUAAAGCUCCAGUUAUAGAUGGAUACAAUGCCUACUUCUUCAAGUAUACUUGGCAGAUCAUUAGAAAGGACAUUACUGAAGCUGUGCAGAGUUUCUUCACAAAAGGAAAGUUAUACAAGGCCUUUAAUUGUACUUUAGUAUCUCUUAUCCCAAAAGUUCAGAGUCCUAAAUCAGUGAAAGAAUACAGACCAAUAGCAUGUUGUACUAUGGUCUAUAAGAUCAUCUCCAAAGUACUAACAAAUAGGCUGCAUGGAAUAAUCAAAAGUGUCAUCUUUGAUAGUCAAGCAGGAUUCAUCCCUGGAAGGAAGAUCUCUGAUAACAUAGUACUUGACAUAUAGACCCAAUCGCCAACUGAAUAGAUUAGCUCCGUGUAGUUGGCAGCACUGAAUUUCUUCAUGCGAACUUGAGCCUUGCUAAGAUUCUAUUUAGCAAAGUCAAAACUACAUCAUGGGGGACUAAAUCAGCUUCGACUAAGUCACUGGAAGUACUUCUCAAGAUGUAACAUUCUACUUAGGAGGUUCAUGGCCACACAAAGCCCAAAAAGGGGUCAUGCCCACGAACAUUGAUAGUGUGUGUUGUACCAAUACUUGGCCUAUGGCAACCCAGUCAGUGGGAAAAUUAACAACAAAACACCUCAAACAUUUCUUAACACAAUUAUUAAUAGCCUCAAGAUAAUCAGGUUGCCCGUCUAUUUGAGAAUGAUAGACGGUGCUCAUAGCAAGAGAGGUCUGCUGCAAUCUAUUGAUCUCUUGAUAGAAGUACUGUAGAAACUAAGGGCCUCUCUCAAUGACAAUACUGCAAGUAGGUCCAUGAAGACAAAUAAUUUGAGUCAUAAAACCUUCUGCGACAGUAUUAGUGGUAUAAGUCGCUACUAAUGGAAUGAAGUGAACAUACUUAAAUAAACUAUCCAGAACUGUGAUAAUGGUGAAUCUUCCUUAGAAGAACUAGGCAAGCAUGUGAUCAAAUCCAUGGAGAUGUUCUCAAAGAUCAAUUUAGAAAUGAGGAGGGUCUAUCAGAGACCAGCAGGAAGCUGGUGAGAGCUUUUCAUUUUGUGGCAAACUUGGCAAGAAACUAAGUAAGUCUGUCCCGUCUCUUGUGUAUCCAAAAGAAAUUUGAUGUCAAUCGAUGAUAGGUAUGAGCUAUCCCAGCAUGUCUAUCUACAGAAGUGGAGUGAAACUCAUAUAGCAGUCAUUGGCAUAAAGGAGAGUCGUCCGGGAUAACCAGCCGAGUCAGACUACACUGUAGUGAGAAUUUGUUGAAUGGCUAAGAGGUCUGAAUGAUAUUGAUCCAAAACCUUUAGCUCAGUCCCAAGUAAAAAAUUUAGACAAAAAAGAGCAAAAAGAGUGGCAUUUGGUUGGCGAGUGAGCCUUUAAAAACCCCGAAUGUCAUUCACCGACUUAGGUACUGUCAAUUGUGGAUAACUAUGAUUUUACCUGGAUCGACAAAAAGAUCAUUGUUAGAAUAAACAAUUGUCGUUUGGUGAAUUAAACAUUUACUCUUUUUAGUCGCCAAUUGGUGAGAGCAAAGAAGCUCUAGGACAGUUGUGAGAUGCUCCAAACGGAACUUACAGUUUGUACUAUAGACAAGGAUGUCGUGCUAAACAGACAACACAAAAUGGCAAAGACAAGGCCCAAAUACCUCAUUCAUAGUAGCCUAGAAAGUGGAGGGUGCAUUGGAUAAUCCAAAGGGCAGAGCUCAUAGUGCCCCUCAUGAGUUCGAAAAGUUGUUUUCGUAAUGUCAUCAGGCAGGACACUAAUCUGGUGGUAUCCAUACAAUAAGUCAAACUUUUUAAAACAAUUUGUGCCAUGAAGUAAUGAAAUUCAAAGUAACCCACACAAAAAUGCCAUGUACCAUCCUACUUUGGUACAAGAAGCACAAGAGAUAAGAAAGGGUUGGUAUUUGGUCAAGUAAACUCCUUUAUUGAGCAUAUCUAUCACAAGUUGCUCCAUAAUUUGCUUCUAAAAAUAGGGGUAGAGAUAUGUAUUGACAUUUAUAGGCCCCGCUCAAGUCGCUAGAUCUCUAGCAAGAUCUUGGAAUCUAAUAGGUGGUAAGCUGAGGAUCUUUUAAAAACAUCAACAAAGAUUCCAAUAGAGACGUUAAUAGAAGAGGCUUAUCAAUGAGGGUUGUGUUCCUAGUAUUAGUUAACUUUAAGCAAUAAAAAGAAGCAAUGGCAUCUGUGGUGGCCAAACGUCACAAACUAUGGAAUUGUACUCGUUGUAGCUCAGUUAGAGUGUCCCCCACCCAACGAACUAGAGAACCAUUCAAGGAGAACUCACAGAUGCGGGCUGCAUAGUCAGUGACAACUGGUACCAAUGUUGCUAACCACAAUACACCCAGAACCACGUCUACUCCAUGAAGAGAUAAAACAUAUAGAUCCAUAUGCAAAUCAUACCCCUGAAAAACAACCACAGAAAAACUAGGAAUAGAUUCAACCACCAUGCGCAAGUAAUUGGCGACCCUUGCUUGUAUAAGAUUAUGUGUACUACCCCAUCCAUAAGGAUUUGAAUGUGAUAACAAUUAACAAUGCCAAUAAAAUGGAAAGUAGUUGGUAAAUCUCCGCCAAACGAAGCUUGAUAAGAAAAAGAAUAAUGAUCUUGUACCUCCAAAAGUUUCAAGUCUUCGGCCAAAAAUUUAUAGAUUCCAAUGGUUCUGACCAGUCUAGCGAUGAAUCCCAAUUAAGCAACAGUAAUUUGGGUAGCGCCUUAAAUUUGUGAGAAGGAGAGUUUCUCAUCAGAACUGUAGCAUAAGCCUCUUUUAGGACGACUGCGUAAUUCAACAGGGUCAGACAUUUGAAAGGAAUUCCAUUUGGGAGUGCAUGUGGUUGUGCAGUAGGGACUAAUGACGAUAAGGAAGGUUUAAAGGAGUGGUGCAUCAAAGUAGGACUACGUAAAAUCAGAUUUGCUCAAGCAAAGGUGGUUCGGAUUGAGCCUUGCUGAGAGAUCAUUUGUUGUUCACGCAUAAGGGCCACAGAUAUAGCUCCAUCCAAUUUAGAAGGCUCUUGAUCCACCACUAUUAAUUUAAUUCGGCUCGAAGACAAGAAAUCCAAAAAUGUACCAACAAGUUCUCACCGAUGGGAGUAGUCUUAUUGGUGAGAGCUUCAAGUCUACUCCAAUAUUUUUCCAUUGUAGUAAUUUGUUGUAUCUUAGCUAAACAUCCCUCUAUUGAGUCUAACUCAUGUUUUCAAUAUCGAUGAACAAAUUUAUCAGUAGAUUGGUUCCAAUUAAUCAAUUGAUUAUUGUGAUAUAAUCAAUGAUACCAUUCGAGAGCUUCGUCGUCGACAUAGUGAAAGGUGCAAGAGGGGGGGGGGAGGUAAAUUGCUAUUUUUUUAUUUUUCUUCUUUAAAUAGCCGAUUUGUGAGAUCCACUAGCUGAGUAUUAAAUACAAAAGUAAACACUGAAAAUGAUAGUGUGGAAAAUAAGAUUGAAACAAGAUGUUUACUAGUUAGGAUCCAAUGUGGAUAUUACGUCUAGUCCCCUUGGGUUGCGAGGCUAUUGUCUUCAAGCCUUUGGAAUCUUUGUCAUGAGUACAAGUUUAGAUUAUAGUUCCUAUGUCUGCACUCAAUAUUUUCUUUCUUUUUUUCUUUUGAUACACAUCCUACCAAAAAUGUUUUUUUCUACUAUCUUUUUUGUUUACCCAGUAAAACUAAGUAGUACAAUGCUUGUUAAAAAAGUAGAUUAGAGAACGUAUGAAGAAUCAGACUCGAUGUAUGUCUGAUUCCUCAGCUUUCUUCGAGCUUUUUAUAGAGAGUCAAGACAUGCUUCUUCUUUUCGUUAAGUGGUAGAAACCCAAGAGAAAUAAUUUUUGGAAAGAGGUAAUUGAGAAUCCUUCUAUCCAAGAGUAACAAAGGCUAAUGUCCUUUUUCGUAAUCUUCAACUUUCCUUUGAGUGAUAUUGAUAUCUAAAUUUACUCCAUAAUCUUCAGCUUUCUUUUGAGUGAUAUUGAUCUCUGAAUUUUCUCCUUGAUUAAUGUCUAUCCUUUCUUGAUAUUAGAUUGAGGCCAGUUGCUUUAGAGUUGUUUUACAGAUCCUUUGACUGAACAUAUUGUAGCCGUUUCAAUUCCCUUGAAUAAAAAUCAUGAUCUCAUGUUUACGAGAUUUGAUUCCCAUUCAUUAUGACACAUGUUUGGUCUUGCUUGAUUCUUUCCUUUUAUCCUAAAAGGAUCAUAAUUUUUCACCGUUAAUACAAUUCCUGCACUAACAAUCUCCCUCUUUUUUUUAUGAUGACAAUAUGUAGUAGUGAUACUUCCUUGUUUCAAUAGUGUACUGGUAGAGCUGACUGAGACUUAAUAAUCUUUGUUAUUUGCACAUAACAUACAUCAUGACACUUCUUGGAUAUGUAGUGUUAAUUCAUCCAUCACUAAGACAAAUAAGAACGGGCUAAUGUAUGCUUACCCGGGUCUUGAUAGUAUCAUAUAUUAUUAUAAAUCGGAAGCAUCGAAAUACUUAAAAUAUAUAUUUUUAAAUAAAAAAUAUACAUUAAAAAGAUAAUUAUUCAUUAAUAAUCUUCUAAAUAAACUAUUAUUUCUUUAUAUUCUCUACUAUGAACCUUGUCUUUUCAUUUCACAUAUGUAUAUCUUCUUGUUUUUUACAUUCUAUUUUAUUAUGAAUUUGAUGGAGAGCAUAGAAAAAUUAUCCUUUCUGAUGCUGCAUUGUGUAUGUUAUUUUAAGUUAUUUUUUAUUUUGUUUCUUAUCUUCUUACUUAUAAUAUAGUAUAUGAUGUUUGAUUGAUGUUUAAGAUUUUUAUAUCUAAUGUAAAAUAAAAUUUGUAAUUUUGUGUCAACAACUUAUUUAGAUGAUUUUUUUUGUUAGAUGAAAAAACAAUUGAUGAGAUGCUUCUGUGUCGAUCGCAUAAAACUCUACUUUGAGUUGUGCCAAUACAAAUGGGGUAAGUGACAUUUCCUUCUAACAUAAUUUUUCUGUUAGCACAAUUCUUUGUCUGUUUUUUUUUAAUUAUUAUUAUUAUUAUUAUUUUAUUUUGUCAAUAGCAUGUCAAAUUUAUUGAAUUUUACAUAUACAUAUUCAUGUGAGUUGUUUGUGUGAAAAGCUAAUAUAGUAUUGGAUUUUGAAAAUAACUAUCAUAACCCAAUUAAAGUCAAAAAUGUAUUUAUAAGUUUUUACAUGUUGAGUGAUUUGUUAUUCAUUGCCUAUUAAGCUUCACUUUAUUUGUUUGAAUUUAAUUUUUUUAAUGGAGCUUUCAUCCAAAAGAAAGAAAGGAUAACAACCCAUGUUUAGAAAGAAAGGAAUGAAUACAAUAUCAUAUUUUGGUUAUUUUACCCAUGAAAUUAAUAGUAUUUUUUAUUAAAUCUUUUUGUUUCUCAAGUACAAUUUUAACAAUAUAGUUCCACCAAAUAUAAAAGAGAUAUUGAAUUUCUUUUCUAACUAAACUAUAUUAUAAUUGCGAUGAGUCACAUCAAAUGAAGUUCGUUUAGAAAGUAAUAUUGAUUCUGGUGGUAGGACAAGGGUUAAUUGAUGAUAUGAGUGUAUUUUAUGUCUGUAAUCUAUGGAUUUAAUUAACUUAAUUGUUUUUAUAACAAAACAUAAUAUCUAUAUAAAAAUUUGACAAAUUCAUAUAAAAUUUUAACUCAUAAAUUCAAAUUAAAAUAAAUUUAUUACUAAUUAAGAAUCUUCAAGAUCCACACUUUAGAUAUUUGAUGUCAUUGAUUUUUGCAUAUAUUUAUUAUAUUUUGAUUCAAUUUUUUUGAAAUACUUAUGCUCACUGGAAAGGGAUACACGUGCAACGUGCGUGUCCAAUUACUAGUUCUAUUAUAAAUGUCAGUGAUAUAUCUAAUGUAUGCUACAAGUACACCUCUAGCCUCAAAAAAUCUCCACAGAACCCCUUACAAACUAUCGUAAGCGUUUUGUAGGUCGACAAACAUCAUACGUAAGACCCUCUUUCUCUCCUUAUACAACUCCACCAAUCUCCCUUCGGGAAUGAAUUAAUUUUUUAGUCGAAUGGAUUCUAAUAAAUCUUAAUUGGUUAUCAGUAAUAAACACACACCUCCUCACCCUCAACUCCACCACCCUCUCCCAAACUUCCAUAGUGUGACUUAGCAGCUUUGAUAUCCCUAUAGGUAUUGCAAUUUUGAAUAUCACUUUUGUUGUUGUAGAUUAGUAUCUUGUACUCCAUCUUCAUUCUUCUGGAAUUUGUCGUCCUAUAAAAAUGUUAAACAACCCUCUCGCUUUGGCAACCCUACACAACUUUGUCAAAGUUCCAACUUUUCUUUUUUGAGAAGGUAGCAUCAUCAUAGUUCCUACUUUUGGUCGGCUCCCUAGCAAGUUUCAGUCAUCAUUUGCAUAUAGCAUACGAACUCUUUCAUAUCCCCAAGGUAGCCCUAGAAUAUUACAAAAUUGAGAGCUGAUGCAGAAAGCUCAAAACUGUAAAUUCUCAUUUUUGCAUCUUUGGUUCUUUUACUUUGAUCUUGAGAAACAGUACUCUUAUAGUGGUAAUAUAUUGUUGUGCGGUUAAUUCCUUCUCAUUUCUUGCAUCUCCAUGCAUUGUCUAUGUUGAAGAAUUUUGUAUGAUUUUGAAGUAGAGGUGGUGGUAGACAUCAUAAAAGGAGUAAAUUUCACGUAUCUUUGGUAAAAAUUGUGAUAUAGAUAUCAUUUUUAUGUUGGUUUCUUUGUAGAAAAUAUGAAAGGAGAAAUAAUAUCUUUAGAAAAUGCUCAAGUUUAUUAUAGGAUACUUAAGGCCAAUUGAGAUAUUACAAUCAUCAACUACAUCAUUAUUUAUACUAAUCAAAAUAAAAACAAAAAGUCUUGCACAAAUAACGAAAUACAUGUAUCACAAUUUACUAGAUACAUGUACUACAAAAUUCUAAAGAGACUUCUUGAAAAACUAAGAGACAAUUUCGGAAACUAAUCAUUGAUGCAUUAAUUCCAAUACUCCCUCAUAAUGCAUUUGUUUUAUAACUCCAAUGCAUCAAAUUUUUUCUCUAGAAAGUGCUUUGGUGAAAAUGUCAGCAAGUUGUUCUCCUGUCUGACAAUAAUGCAACAAAAUUUUGCCUUUCUCUUGUGCUUCUCGGAUAAAAUGAUACUUGAUGAAAAUAUGUUUUGAUCUUUCAUGGCUGACCAGAUUCUUGGCAAUUGUAAUUGCUGAUUUGUUAUCACAAUACAGAAUGGUCACUUUUUUUUUUGUUUUUCACCAAUGUCUUCAAAUAUUCUCCUAAGCCAAAUAGCUUGAGAAGUAGUCUUGGAUGCUGAAAUAUAUUCUGCUUCACCAGAGGAUUGAGAAACAACACUUUGCUUUUUUGAUAACCAAGAACAAAUGCUUCAUCCAAAUGAGAAAGCAUAACCAUAAGUACUCUUCAUUUCAUCAAUACUUCCAGCACAAUCACUAUCAGAAUAAUCAAUUAAGUUUGAAUCUCCGCCAAAUUUGUACAUUAUCCCAUAAUCCAUUGUUCCUUGCAAGUAGCGUAGAACACUUUGCAGCUCCAAAAUGCACUUGGCUUGGUUCUUGCAUGAAUCUAGAUAAUAAACUAGAAGCAAACAUAAUAUCUGGCCUUGUUGAAGUAAAAUAUAGCAAAUUUCCAAUCAAACUCCUAAAAAAGUGAGCAAUUAACUUUUUUUUCUCCAUCAUCUUUUCUAAACUUCUAAUUUGCUGCUCAUGGUAUAUCCACAGACCUGCAAUCCAUCAUUUUGAAUUUUUGAAGAAUACUUUUAGUAUACUUCUUUUGAGAAAUGAAAAUUCAUUCUUUCACUUGUGAAACUUCGAUGCCCAAGAAAUAAUUUAGCAACCCAAGAUCACUCAUUUCAUAAGCUUGCAUCAUAUCUUGUUUGAAAUUUUGCAUCAUCUUUACAUCAUUUCCUGUAAAGAGCAAAUCAUCCACAUAGAGACAAACAAUGAUAAUGCUGCCAUGUUCUUUCUUCGCAUACAAAGUGGCUUUACUUUUACUUCUCAAAAAAUUAUUUUUCAGAAAGUGUGAAUCAAUUUAAUUAUGCCAGGCUCUUAGAGCUUGCUUCAGCCCGUAAAGAUUUUUUUUUUAGCCUAUACACCUUUUCUUAUCCCCUUUGAACAAAAAAUCCUUGAGGUUGCUCAACAUAAAUCUCUUCAUCAUGUUUUCCAUUCAGAAAUGCUGAUUUAACAUCAAGUUGAAAUAUCUUCCAUUUCUUUUUUGCAGUAACAUCAAUUACAGUUCUAGUUGUCUCAAGACGAGCAAUUGGAGAGAAAGUUUCAUAAAAAUCAAUACCUGGUUUUUGGUAAAGCCUCUAGCAACCAACCUUUCUUUGUGAUUUUGAAUAUCUCCUUCCUGAUUGAGUUUGAUUUUGUAAAUCCAUUUUAGACUUACAAAUUCUCUUUCUCUAGGAAUAUCCACAAGCUCCCAAGUAUUAUUUUUUUCAAUCAUUCGAAUUUCUUCUUCCAUGGCUUUCUUCCAAACAUCAUGAUUUAUUACUUCUUCAUAAUUUUCUGGAUCAACACCGACAAAAUUACAUCUUUGAUAAAUGUCACUCAACAUUUUUGUUCCUCUUGGAGGCGGUUCUUCAUUAUCUGAAUCUGGGAUUUCUCCCCCUUGAGAGACAUCUUCAUCUUUCUCAUCCUCUUCUUGAUUUGAAGAUAUGAUAGUAGUAUUCUCUAUCUUUUUAUCCUCUCAAUUCCAUGUUGUUUUUUCAUAAAAAAUGACAUCUCUACUAAGAACAAGUUUGUUAGUUCUGACAUCGAGAAACCUCUAUCCUUUAGUCACAUCACUAUAACCAAGAAAGACACAUUUUUGACUUUUUCCAUCUAAUGUUGUUCUUUUCUCAGCAGGUACAUGAGCAUAACAAUUACACCCAAAAAUUUUAAAAUGACUUACAGAAGGUUUAAUUAUACUCCAAGCUUCAACUGGUGUCUUGUCCUUUAGUGCCUUUGUUGGACACUUGUUAAGGAUGUGAACUGUUGUAUGCACUGCUUUUGCCAAAAAAUAUUUUGGCAGCCCUUUCUCAUUCAGUAUAGUUCUGGCCAUUUCAACAAUUAUUUUAUUUUUUCUUUCAGAUACACCAUUUUUUUAGGAGUAUAUCCUGCUGUAAGUUGCUUCUGAACCUCUUUAUUUUUGCAAUAUUCUACAAAUUCUCGACUUGUGUACUCACCACCUCGAUCACUGCGAAUGGUUUUGAUGCAACAACCUUUUUGCUUCUCAAUAAGGGCUUUAGAUUUCUUGAAUGUAGCAAAUGCUUCUGACUUUUCUUUCAAGAAAUAAACCGAAGUCAUUCUUUAGAAAUCAUCAAUAAAGAUUAGAAAAUACCUUUGAUUUCCAAGAGAUGGAGUCUUCAUUGAUCCACAAAUGUCGGUAUGAAUUAGUUCCAAAAAUACACUUGCUCUCCAAGACACCCUUUUGGAGAAGACUUCCUGUAAUGCUUUCCCAUUAUACAAUUUUCACAUGUAUCCACCUCAUUAUGUAUCUCAGGAAGGCCUUGCACCAUGUCCUUUUGCUUGAGAAGUUUUAAACAAUGAAAAUUCAAGUGAAAAAAUCUUUUGUGCCAAAGCCAUGAAUCAUCUAAAAUUUUAUUUUUUUUAAUGCAUUUCAAUGAAAUUGCAAAGGAAAGUUUCUUUUUAUCUUUUUUACUUCAACAAUGACUUGAUUUGGCUCAAUUUUAUCAUAAUUCUUGCAAUAUUAUCUCUUAACACAAGAGAAUAACCAUUUUACAUGAGUUGACCAACACUAGGCAAAUUUUUUCCAAGUCGGGAACAUAAAGAACAUCAUCAAUUUGCUUACCGCAUCCUUUCAUGUUGAUCGAAAUGGUACCUUUACCUUUCGCAUCAACUAAGGCUCCAUUACCCAUCUUCACUUUAGUAGUGAUGCUAUUAUUAAUUGAGAGGAAAGCCUUUUAAUCUCAAGUCAUGUGAUUACUACAACCACUAUCAACAUACAAUUCAUUGCUUUUUGUUGAAGCAUCAGAUUUAGAAGCAAAAAAGGUUUUCUUCCCUUUCUUCCUCUUGUUUUUCACAAAAAAUUUCUUGCUCCCGUUUCUUGUGCUAACAAUCCUUUCAACGUGGCCAAACUUUUUACAAAAGUUUCAUUGGGGCUUGCCUUUGUGCCAACAUUUUUUAUUUUGCAUUGUGAUUAGUCUUUUUACAAACUUUACAAAAAAGACUAGAGUUUUUCUCACCUUUUUCUUCAACCUUCUUGGAAGAACCAUCAUGAUCCUACUUAUUUUUUGUCUUGUGUUUUUUUAGCUGAUGAUUUUUUGAGAAAUUUUGAGAAUUCUCAUUUGUUUUAGACUUGAAAGCCGUCUCUUUGGGUUGAUCUUCACGAAAAAAUCUUCGCUUCUCGUGUCCACAAAAUGAUCCAACUAGCUAUUUGAUGGAAGCUUAGAAAGAUCUUUCAUCUCCUCAGUGAUAGCAACGAUGUACUCAUACUAGUCUGUAACACUAAUAAGAAUCUUUUCCACAACUUGUUGGUCAGAAAUUGUAUCAUUAUGAUUUCUCAUUUCACUAACAAUAUUCCUUACUCUUGUACAAUAUCCAUCAAUAUUUUUUAGAUUCUAUCAUCUUUAAAUUUUUAAACUCUCUUCUAAGAGUUUGAAGAUUUAUAGUGUGUACCUUUUCGUCACCAUACACCUCAGUUUCCAGAAAAUCACAAGCUUUCUUUGCAGUCGCACAAGUAGCAUUUUUUGCAAAAUAUGCACUUGAGACUCCCAUUGGGAUUUUUCUCAAGGCUUUUGCAUCUUGACGAUACUUAGCCUCAAGUUUUUUCAUCUCUGCUGCAGUAAGAUCACCAUCGUUGUCUGGCUCUUCAAAGCCAUUUGCAACAAUAGUCCACAAACCUUCAACUUUCAAAUGUGUUCUCAUUCUUAUCUUCAAGUAUUCAAAAUCAGUUUCAUCAAUAAAUGGAGUAAGAAUAACUGAAGAAUCUACACCUUCAUUUGUUUUGGAUGCCAUAUUUUUUCUUCAGCUAACCCCAUAUUAAGAGCAAAAAUCUGCUCUUGAUACCAAUUUGUAGGAAAUAUGGAAGGAAAAAUAAUAUCUUUAGAAAAUGCUCAAGUUUAUUAUAGGCUACUUAAGGCCACUUGAGAUGAUUACAAUCAUCAACUACAUCAUUAUUUAUACUACUCAAAAUAGAAAACAAAAAGUGUUGCACAAAUAACUAAAUACAUGUAUCACAAUUUACUAGAUACAUGUACUACAAAAUUCUAAAGAGACUUCUUGAAAAACUAAGAGACAAUUUCUGAAGAUUAAACAUUGAUGCAUUAAUUCCAACAUUCUUUUCCUUUCGCUGAAGAAUCAAGAUCUUCUUAAUUUUUCGGGAGAGGACUUGAUUUUUCCGAACUUAAAAGUGCUUAAAUCUCAAUCACGCUGAAUUGUGGGGUCUUUGCUAGUUAUGUUUUUGUCUCUUGAUGACAUUGCUUAAGUUUUCCUCCCUUUUUCUUUUCCAUGGGAGGUAAUUAAAGCAUGACCUUUAAAGUUUGACAAGAGCAAGAAAUAGGACUGUGACUUCACUAUUUUUUUUGAUUUUAAGCAUGAUUCUCUAUCUACAAGUGAGAACACUGAAAAGCUAAAGAGGUUCAAGACGACGUUUGAAGAGACUAUGGUUUUCUUGGGGUUUAACAAGAAGGAUAUUCAGGUUACACAAGGAGAAGGUGCUUUGGAUUGAGAAACUCAUAAUUUUCUUUCUUAGUUCCAUAAGAAAAUUAUGAGUUUCUCAAUCCAAAGCACCUCCUCCUCGUGAGUAACCUGAAUAUCAUGCUUGUUAACCCCCAAGAAAACCAUAAUCUCUUCGAACGUCGUCUUGAACCUCUUCAGCUUUUCCAUGUUCUCAUUUGUAGAUAGAGAAUCAUGCUUAAAAUCAGGAAAAAAUGGUUGUCAUAAUCUUGCUUCUUGCUCUUGGCAAACAUUAAAAGUCGUGCUUUAAGUACAUCCCAUGGCAAAGAAAAAGGGAGGAAAACUUAAGUAUGGCAUCACGAGACAAAUAAUAUAACUAACAAGACCCCAAAAUUCAGUGUGAUUUAGAUUCAAGUGCUCUUUAAGUUUGGAAAAAUCAAGUCCUCUCCAGAAGAAUUACGGAUAUCACCGAAAGAAAAACAAACCAACAUAAAAAAUGAUAUAUAUAUAUAUAUAUAUAUAUCACAGUUUUCACCAAAGCUUCGUGAAAUUAACUCCUUUUAUGGAGUCUACCACCACCUCUACUUCACAAUCGUACAAAUGCUUCAACAUAGAUAAUAAACGGAGAUGCAAGAAAUGAGAAGGAAUUAACCGCACUGCAAUAUAUUACCACUAUAAGAGUACUGUUUCUCAAGAUCAAAAGAAAUGAGCAAAAGAUGCAAAAAUGAGAAUUUACAGUUUUGAGCUUUCUGCAUAAGUUCUCAGUUAGAUAAUAUUCUAGGGCUACCUUGUGUUAUUCUUACAAUAACUUGUAUUUAUAAAGUUAAUAAACAAAAACAGAAACAGAAAUAAGAUGAAACAGAAAAUAAUAUAGAAUACAAAAUUUAAUCCGAGUCCAAUGAAACUACUGUGUGUCCUUAAGAAAUUUAAUCCCCUCACUGUACCCAAGGUUAUGGAUUAAUUUCUCCCAAGAUAAAACGGAUUAAACCUGUUAAAGAAAUAGCGGUACCUCAAACUUCUUUAACUUCAACGAACUUAAAAACAACAACAAGUCACAUAGACUCAGUCGAUCGACGCUUUGAUUUUAUUUGAGAGAAAAAUAAAUGCAGAGAAAGAAAAAAUUUCAGUGAUUAAGAAAUCAAAAAUUGACUUCCUUUUAUAGCCAUUUUCGGCAAGGAACAUGUCUGUUCAGUGAAAUCUAUUCAGACCCAUUUUAUCCAGAAAGUUGUGUCUUUUAAAAAAAAAUAACAACUUUUUUUUGAAAAAUUGUGUCUGUUAGGAAAAUAACUACUUUUUAAAAAGUAACAACUUUUCGAAAAAGUAACGACUUUUCGGAAUGUUACUGUUACCCGCAAAUUUAUAAGAGAUAAUAUCAACAGGAUUUAUUUGAUUUAACAAAAAUUGAUUAAAUAAAUUUUGUCCAAAAAAUUUAUCAAUCAAUCACAUCAUUUGCCAAAUCCAAAUCCAAAUCCAAAGAAAUGACGUUUCAUUUGCACUUUGCAAAUGACUUUUCAUUUUCUCUCCAAAGUAGUUCCCUCACUUUUGAUAUUCUCUCUUGUCUUUUCCCAUUCACACUUGCUAAAACCCAACAAUCCCCCACAUGAAUGGAGAAGGCUAUUGUUAAAACAUAUGCAUGAAAAAACUUGUGUGUCUUGUAGGUAAAGGUUAAUCGCAUCUGGAUAAGUAGGUUUCCCUUUAAACUUUCCGUAGUGAACAUAUAUCGGAUAUACUCGGUCAAUCGGUAGAUUUGAUAUCUUUGAACCAUCGAGCUUUGGUGUAUACCUAGACAACAUAUGUCACACAAUAAACCCUUGAACUGUUCUUAGUUCUCAUUGUUUUGUUCGUUUCAGCCAUGAACACAUCUUGGAUAGUAAGUGCUUAAAGAACUGGCCUUACCGGAUUCUCCUUGAAGCGGCUUACACUUUACACUUACAUAUGUGAUUUCUAAAUGUGUUAUCCCAUAGAUACACCAUUUGAUAUUCCCUGUAUCAAACUUAGAAACCAUUAAAAAGUCCUUAUGUCUUUAUCCUGGUUACUAAACAUUGUCUCAUCAUGAGAAUGGACCAUAAAAUAAUAAUAAUAUUUUUUUUAUUUUUUUUGACAAUGUUAAACCGUCAUCAAUGACUUUGUUUUAUCUCCUUGAACCUAGAUCUUGGGAUCUCCAGUCUUCUAGGUAGAGUUACCGCCACGAUGACUUGUUCUCGGCCAUAGUCCCAUUCCCGUCAAUGAUUUCUCAACUCCCUCUCUAUUUAGGACUUUUGUAAGUGGAUCCGACACAUUAUCUUUUGACUUCACAUAGUCAAUUGUGAUAAUUCCACUAGAGAGUAGUUGUCUCACAAAGUUCUGUCUUCGUCUUAUGUGACGAGACUUGCCAUUAUACAUAAUGCUUCAAGCCCUUCCUAUUUCAGCUUGACUAUCACAAUGUAUGCAUAUAGGGGCCAUUGGUUUGGGCCAAAAUGGAAUAUCUUCUAAGAAAUUCCGGAGCCAUUCAACUUCUUCACCUGCCUUGUCUAAAGCAAUGAAUUCAGACUCCAUUGUAGAGAGAGUUAUACAUGUUUGUUUGGAUGAUUUCCAAGAUAUUGCUCCUCCACCAAUAGUUAAAACGUAUCCACUUGUGGAUUUUGUUUCAGUUGACCCAAUAAUCCAAUUUGCAUCACUAUAUCCUUCAAGAACGACUGGAUAUCUGUUGUAAUGUAAAGCAUAGUUUUGAGUGUCAUCUAAGUGUCCCAAAACUCUCUUCAUUGCCAACCAAUGAUUAUGAUUAGGAUAACUUGUGUAUCGACUCAGUUUACUGAUAGCGCAAGCUAUGUCUGGUCGUGUACAAUUCAUGACAUACAUUAAGCUUCCCAAUACGCUAGCAUAGUUAAAUUGAGAAUGACUUUCGCCUUUAAUCUUUGCAAGAUGAAGAUUUACAUCAAUUGGAGUCUUUGCCCUUUUAAAAUUCAAAAAUUUGAAUUUUUCAAGUAUCUUUUGAAUAUAAUGAGUUUGAGACAAUGCUAGACCGUUAGGAGUUUUAAGAAUUUUAAUUCCUAAUAUCACAUCAGCAACUUCUAAAUCUUUCAUAUCAAACUUACUAGCAAGCAUACGCUUUGUAGCUUUUAUAUUAGCUAUGUCUUUGCUCAUUAUAAGCAUAUCAUCUACAUAUUGACAUAAAAUAACUUCCUGAUUCGGAGUAUCUUUAAUGUAAACACAUUUAUCACAUUCAUUGAUCUUAAAUCCAUUUGACAACAUGGUUUGAUCAAACUUUGUAUGCCAUUGUUUUGGUGCUUGUUUUAGCCCAUAAAGUGACUAAAUAAGUUUGCACACUUCCUUUUCUUUACCAGGAACUACAAAACCCUCAGGCUGUUCUAUGUAAAUUUCCUCUUCAAGCUCUCCAUUUAAGAAGACUGUUUUUACAUCCAUUUGAUGAAUUUCAAGACCGUAUACUGCAGCUAGUGCAAUUAACAUCCGAAUUGAUGUAAUCCUAGUCACUGGUGAGUAUGUGUCAAAAUAAUCAAGACUUUCUUUUUGUCUAAAACCUUUGACAAUAAGUCUUGCUUUAUAUUUGUCAAUAGUUCCAUCGUCUUUCAUCUUCCUUUUAAAAAUCCAUUUUGAACCCAAGGGUUUGUUCCCUGGAGGAAGAUCAACCAACUCCCAAGUAUGAUUGCUUAAGAUCGAUUCAAUUUCACUAUUAACAGCCUCCUUCCAAGAGGUUGAGUCGCUAGACAACAUUGCUUCCUUGAAUGUUUGAGGCUCACUUUCAAGAAGAAAUGUUACAAAAUCUGAUCCAAAUGAAGUAGAUGUCUUUUGACGUUUACUUCGUCUUGGACUUUCUUCAUUUUGUUCAUUCUCUUUUGGUUCUUCUCUGGGUUGUUUAGAUCCCCCACUAGAUGACUCAAGUCUAGUUUUAUACGGAUAAAUAUGUUCAAAAAAUUCAGCACUAUGUGAUUCUAUUACCGUAUUAUCAUGAAUAUCCGGAUGUUCGGACUUAUUAACCAAAAAUUGACAUGCCUUACUGUUUGUGGCAUAUCCAAUGAAUACACAAUCCACAGUCUUAGGUCCUAUUUUUACCCUCUUAGGUAUAGGAACUUGGACUUUGGCUAGACACCCCCACACUUUGAAAUAUAUCAAAUUGGGUUUUCUACCUUUCCAUUUCUCAUAUGGAAUUACAUUUGUCUUUGAGUGAGGCACUCUGUUAAGUAUCUGAUUUGCUGUAAGGAUAGCUUCCCCCCACAAGUUCUAUGGUAAACCUGAACUUAUAAGUAAUGUAUUCAUCAUUUCUUUUAAAGUUCAAUUUUUUCUUUCUGUAAUUCCAUUAGACCGAGGAGUGUAGGGAGCAGUAGUGUGAUGAAUUAUUCCAUUUUCUAAACAUAUUUCUGCAAAUGGAGAUUCAUAUUCUCCACCUCUAUCACUUCUGAUCAUUUUGAUCUUUUUAUCUAACUGAUUUUCAACUUCAGUUUUAUAUUGCCUAAAUGCAUCUAUUGCUUCAUCCUUACUAUUUAGCAAAUAGACAUAACAAUAUCUAGUGCAAUUGUCAAUAAAUGUUAUGAAAUAUUUUUUCCCACCACGUGAUGGUGUUGACUUCAUGUCACAAAUAUCAGUGUGAAUCAAUUCUAAAGGAUUUGUAUUAACGUGUCCCAAACAUUCAUGCCAUAAACAUUUAGACUCCAGCAAGUAAGAAGAAGCAAACUCUUUAUUCAUAUCAACUGCAAUUACAUUGAGUUUGAAAAGGCCAUCACUAAGGUAGCCUUUUCCUACAUACAUAUCAUUUUUUCUUACUACUACUUUAUCAGAAACAAAUACACAUUUAAAUCCAUUCUUGGUCAGAACUGGAAUUGAAACUAAAUUCUUUCUCAAUUCUAGAACAUAUGAGACCCUAUUCAAAGUCACCACCUUGCCUGAUGUCAUCUUUAAUAGGACUUUGCCAGUUCCUUCCACCUUUGUAACAGCGGAGUUUUCCAUAAAAAAAUUUUCAUCUGUAAGUGCUGGAGUAUAUGAUGAAAAUAAUUCUUUGUUGGCACAAACAUGGCAUGAGGCACCAGAAUCUAUCCACCAUUCUCUUGGAUUUCCAACCAAGUUACAUUCUAAAAGCAUUGCACAGAGAUCAUCCAUUUCUCCUUUGGAUUCAGCUAAGUUUGCUUGAUCCUUCUUUUUCUUGUCCUUCUUAGGACCCCGGCAUUCAUUAGCCCUAUGACCAUGUUUACCACAAUUAAAGCAGUUUCCAUUGAAUUUCUUCUUAGGAGGAUUGGUUUUUGGACCAGAUGCUUUCUUUCUUUUCUUUAAUUUUGUGGAAUCUUCUUCAAUAAAAUUUACUCCAGAUAUUGCUGAAUUACCACGUGACCUCUUUUCUGUAGCCUUAUUAUCUUCUUCGAUUCUCAACCUUACUAUGAGAUCUUCAACAGUCAUCUCCUUGUGUUUGUGUUUCAAGUAGUUUUUAAAGUCCUUCCACAAUGGAGGUAACUUUUCAAUAAUUGCAGCCACUUGAAAAGCAUCAUUCACAAUCAAUCCUACAUUAAAGGUUAUGUGAGUAUUAAGGGAAAACUUAAUAUUUCUAACAUUGGCAUUAAAUAAAUUUAUACCUUCAGCAAGGAGAUCAUGGAUUAUGACCUGCAAUUCUUGAACUUGGGUGACGACAAUCUUACUGUCUAUCAUCUUAAAGUCCAGAAAUUUUGCCACAAUGAAUUUCUUCAUUCUGGCAUCUUCUGUUUUGUACUUCUUUUCUAAAGCAUCCCAGAGUUCUUUUGAGGUUUUUGCAUUGCUUUAACACAUUGUACAGAUCAUCUCGCAGACCACUCAAAAUAUAAUUUUUACACAAAAAAUCUGAGUGUGUCCAUGCUUCUGUUACCAAGAAUCAUUCAUCAGCCGGAGUUUCAUCUGACAUAACAGGAACAUUUUCAUUGAUGAACUUCUGCAGACUCAACCUAGUGAGAUAGAAGAACAUCUUUUGCUGCCAUCUCUUAAAGUCGACUCCAGAAAACUUUGCAGGUUUCAGCCGGUGCUAAGGCAGCAUUUGAACGAUUAUGUGCAACCGUUGUUGUUGCAGCACUUACUGUUCCAGCAUUUGUUUGACUUGAAUUAGUCUUUUUUUUUCUGUCACAAAUGGCAGAUAAAUUAAGUAUGUAAAAUACUAACAGUAAAAAACAAAUCUUUACAAAAACUGUUUCUGAUUUAACGAUAAAGUUUUUAUGUUCUUUUAAUCGUUAAUCGAAUGAAUUUUAAAAAUUCAAGCAGAGUAGAAAACCAUAAAAGUUUUAAUCUCCAGAAACCUCAACUACAGAAACUGUUUAAAUUUCUUAAGAUUGUUAUUCUUACAAUAACUUGUAUUUAUAAAGUUAAUAAACAGAAAUAAGAUGAAGCAGAAAAUAAUAUAGAAUACAAGAAUUAAUUCGAGUCCACCGAAACUAUUGUGUGUCCUUAAGAAAUUUAAUCCCCUCACUGUACCCAAGGUUAUGGAUUAAUUUCUCCCAAGAUAAAACGGAUUAAACCUGUUAAAGAAAUAGCGGUACCUCAAACUUCUUUAACUUCAACGAACUUAAAAACAGCAACAAGUCACACAGACUCAGUCGAUCGAUAUUUUGAUUUUAUUUGAGAGAAAAAUAAAUGCAGAGAAAGAAAAAUUUUCAGUGAUUAAAAAAUAAAAUAUUGACUUCCUUUUAUAGUCAUUUUCAGCAAGGAACAUGUCUGUUCAGUGAAAUCUGUUCAGACCCAUUUUAUCCAGAAAGUUGUGUCAUUUUGAAAAAAAUAACAACUUUUUUUUGAAAAAUUGUGUCUGUUAGGAAAAUAACUACUUUUUGGAAAGUAACGACUUUUCGUAAAAGUAACGACUUUUCAGAAUGUUACUGUUACCCGCAAAUUUAUAAGAGAUAAUAUUAACAGGAUUUAUUUGAUUUAACAAAAAUUGAUUAAAUAAAUUUUGUCCAAAAAAUUUAUCAAUCAAUGACAUCAUUUGCCAAAUCCAAAUCCAAAUGCAAAGAAAUGACUUUUCAUUUGUACUUUGCAAAUGACUUUUCAUUUUCUCUCCAAAGUAGUUCCCUCACUUUUGAUAUUCUCUCAUUUCUUUUCCCAUUCACACUUGCUAAAACCCAACACCUUGGGAAUAUCAAGGAGUUAGUAUGCUAUAUGCAAAUGAUGACUGAAACUUGCUAGGGAGCCGACCAAAAGUAGGAACUAUGAUGAUGCUACCUUCUCAAAAUAGAAAAGUUAGAACUAUGACAAAGUUGUGUAGGGUUGCCAAAGCGUAAAAUGACAAAAAAGCCUGAAGAAUGAAGGUGGAGUACAAGAUACCGGUCUAUAACAACAAAAUUGAUAUUCAGAAUUGCAAUACCUAUAGGGAUAUGGAAGCUGCUAAGUCACACUAUGGAUAUUUCGGAGUGGGUGCUGGAGUUAAGGGUGAGGAGGAAUGUGUUUAUUACUGAAAACCAGUUAAGAUUUAUGCGAAGCCAAUCAACUAUAAAAGUCAUUCAUUCCCGAAUGGAGAUCGGUGGUGUUGUAUAAGGUGAUAAACAGGGUCUUACAUAUGGUGUUCGUCGACCUAAAAAACUCUUACGACAGUUUCUAAGGGGGUUCUAUUGAGAUUUUUUGAUGCUAGAGGUGUACUCGUAGCAUACAUUAGAGUGAUUAUAGAAAUUUAUAAUAGAAUCAAGACCCGGGUAAGCAUACAUUAGCCCGUUCUUAUUUGUUUUAGUGAUGGAUAAAUUAACACUACAUAUCCAAGAGGUGUCAUGGUGUAUGUUAUGCGCAGAUGACAUAGCUUAUGAAGUCUCAGUCACCUCUAUAGUACAUUAUUGGAGCAGGGAAGUAUCACUACUACAUCAUGAAAAAAAGGGAGAUUGUUAGUGCAAGAAUUAUUUUAACAAUGAAAAAUUAUGAUCUUUUUAGGAUAAAAGGAAAGUCAAGUAACACCAAACAUGUGGCAUAAUCAAUGGGAGUCAAAUCGCAUAAACACGAGAUUAAGAUUUUAUUCAAGGGAAUUGAAACGGCUACAAAAUCUUCAACCAAAGGAUCCAUAAAACAACUCUAAAGCAAUUGGCCUCAAUCUAAGAAAGAAUAGACAAUAAUUAAGGGGAAAAUUCAGAGAUUAAUAUCACUCAAAGUGAAGUUGAAGAUUACGACGUAAAUUUAGAUAUCAAUAUCACUCAAAGGAAAGUUGAAGAUUAGCCUUUGCUUUAUUCUUGGAUAGAAGGAUUCUCAAUUACCUCUUUCCAAGGAUUACUUCUCUUGGGUUUCUAUAACUUCACCAAAAGAAGAUGCAAGUCUUGACUAUCUAUAAAAAGCUCGAAGAAAGCCAAGGAAUCAGACAUACAUCGAGUGUGAUUCUUCACAUAUUCUCUAUGUUACUUUUAACAAGCAUUACACUACUUAGUUUUACUAGAUAAACAAAAAAGAGAGGAGAGAAAAAUAUUGUUGGUAGGAUGUGUAACACAAGAAAAAAAAAAGAAAAAGAUUGAGUGUAGCCAUUAGAACUAUACUCUAAACUUGUACUCAUAACAAAUAUUCAAAAGGCUCGAAAAAAAUAGCCUUGAAGCCUAAGGGGACUGACGUAAUAUCAACAUUGGAUCCUAACCAGUAAACAUCUUGUGUCAAUCUUAUUUUCCGCACUUUUAUUUUCAGUGUUUACUUUUGGAUUUAAUUUUCAACUAGUAAACCUCAAAAUUGGCUAUUUGAAGAAGAAAAAUGAAAAAAGAGAAAUUUAGCUCCCCCCCCCCCCCCUCUUGCACCUUUGACUAUGUUGAUGGCAAAGCCCUUCCAAUGGUACCAUUGGUUAUAUCACAAUAAUCAGUUGAUUAAUUGGAACCAAUCUACUGAGAAAUCAGUUCAUCAAUAUUGAAAACGUGAGUUAGACUCACUAAAGGGAUGUUUGGCUAAUAUAGAACAAAUUACGACAAUGGUAAAAUAUUGGGGCAGACUUAAAGCUCUCACCAAUGAGACUACUCCCAUCGGUGAUCACUUGUUGGUACAUUUCUAGAUUUCUGGUCUCCGAGCCAAAUUAAAUCAGCAGUGGUGGAUCAUGAGCCUUCUAAACUGGAUCGAACUAUAUGUCACGGACUUAGAGUAUACGCUAAUAUUCCGUGCGGCCCUCAACAACUUACUCACUAAUAUUUCAAGGUCUUGUAAUCUCAAGGAAACCUUUUUGACUUGGUACGCUAAGAGAAUGCUUGGAAUGGACUUUGAGAGAACAAAAGAGAGAUUUUGAAGAAGGCUUUGUAUUAUGCUUGGAAAAUGCUUUACAACUUGCUUGGUGCCUUUGCAAGUGAGGGGCACUUCUAUUUAUACUACUUCCUAAGGACUAAAAUGCGAUUAACAUUUACUUGACAAGUCCCUAAGAUAUUUACACUUUGGUCCCCUUUCUAGAAGAUUCUACAAUGCUUUGGGACCUUCCCUAGCCUUCUUGAGACUUUCAAAAGGUUCUAGAGUCCUCCGCACAACUCUAGAACGUUUUGCACCUAUCCGGAUGCGUAAUUAGGAUGGAAUUGUGGAGGGACGUCACAGGCUCCCCCACAUUAUGAUGCAAUGACCGCGGCACAUUGCUGCAAAAACUCCUAGACUUCAUCCUUGAAUUGCCACAAGUCUUCACAUUUUUCCCAUGUGGCCUCCUUUGGAGUUUGUCCCUUCCAAUUCACCACGAACAUGACGCUGACUUAUUGACCUCACUUCCGUUUGGCUUGAUAAUCUAUGAUAGCCUCAAUCUCCCGGUUGUGCAAGGCAUUGAUAGUAAUGGGUGCCCGUUGUGAUCGAUUCCUUUUAGGAUCCUCCUUGUUCUCAUGGUACAUCUUGAGGACUUUCGCAUGAAACACCUUAUGUAUCUUGAUGUGUGGAGGUAACUCCAACAUGUACGAUAUAUUUCCCACCUUGGCAACGAUCUUGAAAAAACCCUCAUAUUUGCGCACUAAGUUUUGAUGACGCCUCUUAGUGACUUGAACUGUCUUGGGUUGAAUUUCACCAAGAUCAUGUCACCUUCUUUAUAGUCCGUAGGACGACACUUGCGGUCUGCAAACUUCUUCAUCCUUUUGGAUGCUUUGUCCCAGUAGGGUUUGGCAGGGUCAAGUUUCUCAUCCCAUCCCUUGUCAAAAUGGUAGGCACCCAAACUCUUUCCCUCAAAAGCAGUAACCAAUGAAUACGGAGUUUGGAGUUGUUGGCCUAUCGCCAACUCAAAUGGUGUGCACCCAGGGAAUCACUCCUAUGCAAAUUUUAGGAAAACUACAUCAUGUCUAGGAGUUUGAUAGCACCCAAGCAGGGCGUUGACACGUUCCGUUUGGCCAUCGGUCCGCGGGUGGAAUCUUUUGGAGAAGUGAAGUUCUGUGCUAAGUAUAUCAAACAACUCUAUCCAAAAGUUUCCAGUAAAGUGGGGGUCUCGAUCACUGAUGAUAUGACUUUGAAACCCCUAGUGUUUCACCACUUUCUUAAAUAACAAUCGAGCGGUUUCAUUUGCGUUGCAACCGGGUGUGGCAGGCAUAAAUGUAGCAUACUUCGAAAACCUUUCCAUCAUGACCAUGAUUGUACCAAGAACGUCAGACUUUGGCAAGGAAGUAAUGAAGUUCAUGGUCACGCUCUCCCAUGGUAAUUAUAUUUCAGGUAGUGGCUCUAGUAACCCUCCCGGUUGCCUUUGGUCCACCUUGUCUUGUGGACAUACAAAAUAAGUCUGCAUAUAGCACAACACUCGAUGUCGUCCCGCAUGCAUGGCAAAAAAUAAAAAGCCUCGAUUAGCGCCUUUAUUCUUCACUUCCCCGGAUGCCCAGCCCACGGUGUGUCGUGGAUUUUCUUAAUGAUGUGUCAUCUAAUAGCCCCAAACUUGGGCACAUAGACGCUCUGACCGGUAGUGAGAAAGAAGUCCUCUUCUACCAAAAAGCGCCUAGUUUGCCUUGGACAGCCAACUCCAUCAACUUCAUUGCAUCUCGAUGGUAUUGCAUGCCAUCCCUGAUUGCGUCUUAAAUGUCACAGUGGGCUGUAGUGAUGGCACCGAGAUCGGAUUUCCUACUUAGUGCAUCGGCCACGACGUUACCUCUUCCUUGCUUGUACUCCAAGUUUUAAUCAAACUCUGCCAGAAAAUCUUGCUAUCUAUCUUGCUUUGGGGUGAUAUUCUUCUGUGAAUUGAACUAGCUAGUGGCAACAUUGUUGGUCUUGACCACAAACUUGGAGCCUAUUAAGUAGUGUCUCCACAUGCGUAGGCAAUGCACAAUGGUCGUUAUUUCCUUUUUUUGCAUUGUGUACCACCUUUUGGCCUCGUUUAGUUUGCGACUCUCGAAUGUUAUUGGGUGUCUAUCAUGCAUUAAGAAUCCCUUAAUGGGAAACUCUAAGGCAUUCGUAUGUAUUUCAAAGGUCUUGAAGAAGUAGGGCAGCGUCAAGACCAGUUUCUCUAUCACUGCGGAAUUGAGACCUUCGAAUGCUCUUUGGUACACCUAGCUCCAAACCCACGUCUUAUUCUUCUUUAAAAACUCAGUCAGCGGGGUGUCUUUAGCAGAGUAGCCACUGAUGAACCUGUUAUAUUAGUUGGCAAGUCCAAGGAAGGAUCACAACUCGGUCACCUUUAUGGGUGCCUCCCACUCCUAGAUCGCCCGGAUCUUCGUCUCAUCCAUACGUAGUUCGCCUUGGCUGAUGAUAUGUCCUAAGAAAUGAACAUUGUGCUGGCCAAACUCGCACUUCUCCCACUUUACAUAGAGUUGGUUCUCCCGUAAGACAUGGAAGACUCUUUUAAAGUGAUCCACGUGCUCUUCCAAGGUGUUGCUAUAGAUGACUAUGUCAUCAAAAUACACCACCACGCACUGGUCCAAGUAGGGAUGAAAGAUCUUUUUCAUCAGCGUGCAAAAGGUGGCAGGUAUGUUGGUUAACCCAAAAGGCAUCACCAACCACUCGUAUGCCCCAUAUCUUUUCAUGCACGUUGUCUUUGAUUUUUCCCACUCCACGAUGCGCACUUGGUAGUAGCCUUUCCGGAGAUCCAUCUUGGUGAAGUACAUGGUCAGCCCAAGUCUAUCAAAAAAAUUUGCAAUUAGCGGGAUAUGAUACUUUUCUUGAUUGUUACCUUAUUGAUCACUCGAUAAUCAAUGCGUAUGCGCAUUGAACUUCUUCUGGAACAACAUUGGCACUCCAUACGGUGCCUUGGAUAAACGGAUUUGAUCGGCCUUGAGGAGCUCCUUCAACUGCUUCCUUAGCUCCUCCAAUUCAGGCGUAGCCAUGCGGUAAGGUGCCUGUGCGGGUGGCUUGGCUCCAACCUCCAAUUCUAUCUUGUGGUCUACCUCUUGUCUCAGAGGUAGAGUAUUUGGCAGCUCGGCUGGCAUCACGUCCUUGAUCUCUUUAAGGACUUUAUCUAUGAUCGGUGGCAAGGAUUCCAUAGUACCAUUGUCUUCUCCCGUACUUGCAAUAGUAUCCAGUAACGUCGGUUCUCUUUUAUUUAGCCCUUUCACAAUCUGCAUGGCUGAUAAGUGGGUGUGUCCUUCCUUCUUCUGCACUUUCACUAGAGGUACCAUGCAUAACCCUUCCAGCUCCAUGACCGUGAUUUGUUGAAGGUAGAGGUCGAUCAUCGUGUGGAAGCACCAAAAGAACUCUUCUCGAGAAUGAUAUCAAAUAUAUCUAGAGGAGCGACUACAAAGUUCGUCUUUCUUUGCCACUUCCCCAACGUGAUGCUUACUGCUUGGGUGACCCCGCACACGAGAGUCGAUGGGGUGUUAACCGUCUUGAGGCGGGUGUUUCUUGUCAUGUAGUUCAGUCAUAACCUCCUUGCCGCCGUCUUGGUCAUGAUGUUUUCUUCAUCCCCGGAGUCUACAGUGGCACGAGCUGGUCGUCCAUUAAGGGAGAUGUCUACAUAUUGCAUGUUGAAGUCUCCUGGCUUCUCAGUCUGCUUGCAAUCACACCACAUAAUCCUACCAUGCCCAACUGCGUCAUGCGCGGAUCCUGCCCUUGCUCUUGUGCGUCCUUAUCCUUUCGUUCACACAGGAUGGCACCAAGGUUCUUCAUCUCGUGCCACCUGGCAUAGUCGUUAAUUUCACUGCAUAUGUAGCAACCAUCUCAUUUGUUGGUUUGUGCCCGUUUCUCCGUGUAAUUCUGGUGCACAAACCGCUUGUUGUCCAACUUGUGAAGGUCGUGUUGCUUGGGGUAUGCCUGGUGCUCCUUACCUCAGCCACGAUCUCCCCCACCUUUGUCAUGACUACUCUUUGCAUCCCUGCUCUUUGCCUUGUCAUGUUGUUCAUACUUGAAGUCCGUAAAAGACUCGACUUGUGUGAUGGCUUCAUCUAUGGUCUUGACCUGUCACUGCUCCAACUCCGUCUUGGCCCGAUUCUGCAGUCCGUCCAUGAAGUGAAACAACAUGUCCUCCUCUAUGAGGUUGGGAAGUUGAAGCGUUAGAGUUGUGAACUCCUUCACAUACGCCCAAAUGCUUCCCAUUUGCUUCAAUUCCCUGAACUUACGCUUAACCUCGUACACGAUGUUAUUAGGGAAAAAGGUUUUCUUGAAUUCUUCACAGAAUUGCUCCACGUGUUGAUGGUGCACGUCCCCUUCCUAAUCUCGGCCUUUUUGCGCCUCUACCAUAUCAUAGCCAUCUUGAACAGAUAUAACACGACAAUUUUGAUCUUAUUUUCAUCACUCCACACCCGACUACACUUGAAGUAAUUCUCCAAGUGCCAUAGAAAGUUUUCAAAGUCUUGAGCAUCACGGAUGCCCUUUAAUAUGGGUCUCUUAGAUUAUCAACCAUGUCCUCACGAUAAUGGUUGAGUGAUGUAGAUCCUCCAACCUCCACUCCUUCCUUGAGUGUUUUCACUUUGUCCUUCAGCGUAUCGAUCGUUCUAAGCGUGUUCAUAAGACGAAAUGCCAAGGAAGUGAUAGCUUCCUUCAUCUUGAACUCGCCAUGCUAGAGACCAUCAAACUCCUUACGAAUGUUCUCGAUCUCCUCAAGGAUGAAGUUCUCAAGGGUCUUGAACUUGUCGUCGGCUACAUUCAUGCGCUGAACUAAUAUCUUCACGACCUACAUUGCCACUUCCACCCUAGUGACCCAUUCUUCUACAGUGGUGAUGUCUAUGGUGUCUUCGCCCAAUUCAUCAUCACUUUCUUUGAUAGUAGAGGGUGGAAUGAGAUGUUAGCGCAUCGCUGGGUGUGGGACUGGGCAACACCUCACUAUUACCUUUUUUGUUUCUUCCCCUUUCGGUUCUUCUUUCCAGCAUCAAUACGGACGUUGCUGGUGCUAGCAUCAUUUACAUCUUCUUUGGUAGCCAUUCCCUUAGUAUUGAACCUCACUUUGAUCCCACUAGUCACGGACUUAGACUAUUUUCGAAAGUUCUAUGCGGGCAUCGAGAACUUACUCACUAAUAUUUCAUGGUCUUGUAAGCACAAGAAAGCCUUUAAGACUUGGAACGCUGAGAGAAUGCUUGAAAAGGACUUAGAAAAAACAACAGAGAGCUUUAGAAGAAUGCUUUGUAUUAUGCUUGGAAAAUGCUUUACAACUUCCUUGGUGCCUUUGCAAAUGAGGGGCUAUACUACUCCUGAGGACUAAAGUGAAAUUAAUAAUUACUUGACAAGUCCCUAAGAUAUUUACACUUUGCUCCCCUUUCUAUGGAUUUCUACAGUGUUUUGGGACCUUCCCGAGCCUUCUUGAUACUUUCAAAAGGUUCCAGAGUCCUCAGCACAACUCUAGAACGUUCUGCCCCUAUCCGGAUGCGAAAUAAGGCUUUAAUUGUGGCGGGACAUCACAAAUGUAUGUGACCCUUGUGCAUGAACAACAGAUAAGAUCUCAGCAAGGGUCAACCUGGACCGCCUUUUCUGAAAUAAAUCUGAUAUUACCUAGUCUUACUCUAAUGCACCACUCCAUUGAACCUUCCUCAUCAACAUUAGUCCCUACUGCACAACCACAUGCACUCCUAAAUGGCAUACCCUUCAAAUGUCUAAUCCCUGUUGAAUUACAUAAUCGUCGUGAAAGAGGCUUAUGCUAUAAUUGUGAAGAGAAACUUUCUCCUUCUCACAAAUUUAAGGCGCUACCCUAAUUACUGUUGCUUAAUUCAGAGUCAUCACUAGUGUGGUCAAAACCAUUCGAAUCUAUAAAGUUUUGGCCAAAGAAUUGAAACUUUUGUAGGCACAAGAUCAUUAUUCUUUUUCUUAUGAAGCUUCAUUUGGUGGAGAUUUACAAACUACUUUGCAUUUUAUUGGCAUUGUUAAUGGUUCUCCAAUUCAAAUCCUUAUGGAUGGGGUAGUGCACAUAAUUUUAUACAAGCAAUGGCAGCCAACUACUUGCACAUGGUGGUUGAAUCCAUUCCUAUUUUUUUUGUGGUAGUUUUUCAGGGGUAUGAUUUGCCUUAUGGAUAUGUAUGUUUUAUCUCUUAAUGGAUAAGACGUGGUUUUGGGUGUCUUGUGGUUAGUAAUAUUGGGACCAGUUGUCGCUGAUUAUGCAGCCCGUAUGCGCGAGUUCUCCAUGAGUAUUUCUCCUUUUCAUUGGGUGGGGGACUCUCGAACUGAGCUGCAACGAGUACAAUUCCAUAGUUUGUGACAUUUGGCCACCACGAAUGCCAAUUCUUCCUUUUAUUGCUUAAAGUUAACUAAUACUAGGAACACAACCUCAUUGAUAAGCCUCUUCUAUUAAUGCCUCUAUUGGAAUCAUUGCUGAUGUUUUUAAAAGCUCCCCAUCUUACUACCUAUUGUAUUUUAGGAUCUUGCUAUAGAUCUAACACCUGGAGCGAGGCCUAUAAAUGUCAAUCCAUAUCGCUACCCCUGUUUUUAGAAGCAAAUUAUAGAGCAACUUGUGAAAGAUAUGCUAAAUAACGGAGUUUAUUUGACCAAAUACCAACCCUUUCUUAUAUCUUGUGUAUUUUUGUUCAAAAGAAGGAUGGUACAUGAUGUUUUUGUGUGGGUACUUUGAAUGUCAUUAAUUCAUUGGACAAAUUGCUUUUCAAAGCUUGACUUAUUGUCUAGAUACCAUCAAAUUUGUGUCCAGCCUGAUGACAUUAUGAAAACAACUUUUCGAACUCAUGAGGGGCACUAUGAGCUCUUGAUAAUGCCCUUUGGGUUAUCCAAUGCACCCUCUACUUUCUAGGCUACUAUGAAUGCGGUAUUUCGGCCUUGUCUUUGCCAUUUUGUGUUGCCUAUUUAUGACGACAUUCUUGUUUAUAGUACAAACUGGAAGUCUCAUUUGGAUAAUCUCACCAUUGUCUGAGAGACGCUUUUCUCUCACCAAUUGGUGUCUAAAAGUAGUAAAUGUUUAAUUGGCCGAACGAGCAGUGAUUAUUCUAACAAAGGUCUCUUUGUCGAUUCAGAUAAAACCAUAGCUAUCCAACAAUGGCCAGUACCUAAGUCGGUGAAAGACGUUUGGGGUUUUUUAGGGCUCUCUCCCCGACCAAAUGACACUCUCUUUGAUCUUUUUGUCCAAACUUUUUUCUUUGGGACAUGAGCUAAAGGUUUUGAAUCAAUCUCAUUCAUACCUCUCAGUUAUUCAAUAAACACUCACUACACAGUCCUCUGACUCAACUGCUUAUCCCGGAUGACUCUCCUUUAUUCCAAUGAUUGCUAUAUGAGUUUCACUCAACUGUUGUAGAUGGGCAUGAUGGUAUAAAUCAUAUCUAGCAUCGAUUGGCAUCAAAUUUCUUUUAGAAACACAAGAGACGGGAUAUUUGGACUUACUUAUCUUCUUGCCAAGUUUCCAACAAAAUGAAAAGCUCUCACUAGCUUCCUUCUGGUCUCUUAUAGACCCUCCUCAUUCCUCAAUUGUUCUUUGAGAACAUCGCCAUGAAUUUUAUCACUUGCUUUCCUAGUUUUAAAGUAAUAUUCACCAUUAUGACAAUUUUGGAUAGUUUAUUUAAGUAUGUUCAGUUUAUCCAUUGGCACCGACUUUUACCACUAUUACUGUCGCAUAAGGUUUUUGGUGACUUAAAUUAUUUGUCUCCAUGGAUCUCCUUGCAGUAUUUUCAUUGAGAGGGACCCUCAAUUUUGAAAUUACUUCAGUCAAGAGAUCAAUAGAUUACAUCGGACCUCUCUUACUAUGAGCACCGCCUAUCAUUCUUAAACAUACGGGCAACCCGACUAUCUGAGGCUAUUAAUAAGUGUAUUCAGAAAAUUUUUAGGUGUUUUGUUGUUAAUGUCUCCAGUGACUGGGUUGGCAUGGGCCAACUAUUGCUACAACACCUGCUAUCAACGUUUGCAGACCUGACCCCUUUUCAGUCUUUGUGUGGCCGUGAACCUCCUUACAAUAGCACAUUACUUCUUGAUAAGUACUUCUAGUUGAAAGUCAAGAGGGAGGGGGUGAAUUAAAAUCUCCUUCAAUUGACCUACCUUGCGCAACUAAUCGAGCCUUGUUUCUUAUCACUCCACCACAAUCAUUGAGUUUUUCUGUACACCCAUUUGAUUUCAUUAAUAGAAUUCUUUUCAGGUUUAGGAACCAAAGUACAUACCUAGUUUUUUCAAAUUGAUUCAGUUCUUCUUUCAUAUCCUUAAUGUAAUGUUCAUUUGUGACAACUUUAUUUAUCUUCUUAGGUUCUAACUUAGAGAUGAGAGCAACAUUUGCUUAAUUUCUUCUCGAUGCUCUAGUCUUCAUUCCUUCGCUGAUCUCUGAUGAUGACUUUUCGUUUGGAACUGUUUCAUUAAUAUGUUUUAUAAAGAGUUUCUUCAACAAUCGAUUCUUCUAAGCAGCUUAUUUCCUUUUGGGUUGAUACUAUCAUUCGAUUUUCUUCUUCAUUUAUAUUGGGUCUAAUCUCAAUAUUUUUAUUGGAUUCAUAAAACAAAAAUGGAUUCUUCAAUGUUUAAGAUUCAUUUAUUAAAGAUCUAGAAGAUAUGAUAAAAUUUGAAUAUUACUUCGUGUAUCAAACUUACCAAUGUUUUGAACAAAAUACUAGCAUCAAAAUGGAUGAAAGUAUCCCAUGUUAGGUAAUCUACAAUUCCAUAAUUCGUAUGGAUUUUUCUUCAAAAUCGGUUUUAUAAGACAACGAUUCGAUACAUGACAAGUUGUACUUAUAACCGCUUCUUCCCAAAACUUAGGUCGGAAAGAAUGUUCAAUAAUCAUAGUUCUUGCCGUACUUGUAGAUUCUAUUCUUCCGUUCUACAACCACAUUCGACUAGGGAGAUUAGAAUUUGUGAGAGUACCAUUUUUCAUUGCAGAAAAAUUUUCAAACAACUUAUUUUGAAAUUCUCCUCUGUGAUCACUUCUUAUAGGUGUAAUGUAGUACACUUUGUCUCGUUGAACUUUGUCACAAAGAACUCAAAGUUUUUUAGAGUUUCAUCUUUAUGAGCUAAAAAUAUUACCAUAGUAAAAUGAGAAUAAUCAUCUAAAUUACAAAUGCGUACCUUUUUCCUCAAAUGUUUGUUGUUCUAGUAGGUCCAAAUAAAUCUACAUGUAGUAGUUGUAGAUGUUUAUUAGUGGAAACCAUACCUUUACCACAAAAUGAGUAUCUAGUUUCUUACCCUUUUUACAUGCAUCACAAAUAUGUUCGUUUGCAUAGUCCAACUUAGGUAGUCACGUGAAUAAGUCAUUCAUUGCAAGUUUUUCUAUCUGUCGCACACUUGCAUGUUCUUAUGCCAAAUCAAGGGAUUAUCAGUCAUUUAAGCUAGGUAUAUAUGUUCUCCGGUACUUUUUACUGAGUCAAAGAUGUAAACAUUCUUCUCUCCGCUUCCUUAUAAUAGUUUGUUUUUAGAGAUAUCUUCUAUUAUGCAUUGAUUUUUUUGAAAACAAACUUCCAUGUCCGAGUCUCACAGUUGACGGAUGCUUAGAAGAUUAUAGUUUAGUCGAACCACUAGAUAUACAAUUAUGAGAUUACAAGAUUCAUUGAAAGAGAUUGUACUAAUACCAAUUAAUGAUCUUCUUGAUUUGUUACCAAAUCGAAUGUUUCCUAUUUUAUAUUCAACAACAUAUUUAAAUAGGUUCUUAUCUCAUGUUAUUAGAUUUGAACAUCCACUAUCCAAAUACCAUUUUCCUUUUUUUUUCUGCGGAUUUUUUGUAAAAUAAAGAAAUAAUCUUCUCUUAGGCAGGUUCUUUGAGGUUAGAAUGAUCAUGAUUUCUCUUUGGUUUCAAACCUAAUUACAAGUAUCAUGAUUAUGAAAUAUGCUAUGGAAUGUGUUCUUCUGAGAUGGAGUUGCUACUAUUAGUUUUAGACCCAGUUCACUUAUAGGAUAAGUAUGAUUGAUCAUUGCAACUAAAUUAGCUUCCAUUUGAGGAGUUUUUACAUCCAAAACCUUCUUGUGUUUAAAUGAGUUAUUAGCUGAAUCAGAUUGGUUUUGAAAAUUUUCAAGCAUGGUUUUUGUUUCAUGAAUCUCUUCAUGCAACAGAUCAUUUUCACCUUCAAUGAGUUCUAAUUUUAUUUCAAAAUUUCUUUUCUUAGUUUGAAGGUUUUUAAAAUUACUAAAGACUUGAUUUAUAUCAGAGACAGAACAAUCUAACAAUUUUUUUACUCAAUGUAAUCGUUACAUACCUUAGUGCUCGAUUCUCCAAUUACCAUGAAGCAAAUAUUUCCAAUUUAUUUAUUCUCAUUUUACCUCCUACCCUCCCCAGUUCCCACUUGUUUAAUUAUAUGGUUGUGAUGUUGAUGAUCUUCUUAGUUUUUUUCUAAGAUUUGUGUGUAAAUUUAAUGAUCUCUCUUAAUUUAGUCUUAUGCUACUAAUCAUAUCUUGCACGUUUUAUCCUAUGCAGGCAUAAGAUAUACAUAUGCACACCAUCCGCCUAUGUUGGAUUCCCGUGGGCAAGGUAUUGCUUCUGAGUUUGAUAGGAUUCCAGAUUUGAUUUAUUAGAUGGUAGCUAUGAUGGAUUAUGUCAAGUAUGGAAUGGUAUUGAAAUGUUUGGUAUUGAUAGAUUAAGUUCGGUACAAAACUUAAUGAGCAUUGAGAACAUGUAAAGUGUUCGUGAACCCAUGCACCCUCCAAAGAUUAUGUAAGUACUUGUGAACCAACUUAUGCACCCUUCCCUAAAUUAUGUAGAAAGUAUUGCAAAUAUUCUGAUAAAUUACAUAAAUUUUAUGUGGAAAUCGGACUAAAAUUUGAAAUAUUCAUCCCCAAAUUUUGUUUUGAAUGAAAUUGAUAAAUAUACUGGUACAAAAAGUCAAUUGUAGUCUACUGAUGCACAUCAAUAAAUAUUCUUUUGUAGAAUUAUAUUAUUUAUAUACAUAUUUUUAAAAUUAAUCUGACAUAUCCAUUAUCACUUGACUUUAUGUUCAAAUAAGGUUGAAUGAUACAUUUGAUUGAAUGUUAUAUAAGUCAUUAUCCAAAACAACAUGGAUCAACUACCACUUGAAAUUCUAAUUUUUCUCCUUUAUUUUUGAGAUCACAAGUAUUUUAAAUAUGUUCAUUGAUCUUGAAAUUGAUAGAAAUCUUAGUUAUAGUAAAUAAUUUAUAGGUAUUCCUAAUUUUCACAUGUAGGUAUUAAGGUUCUGAUUAACUUUGCAUAUAUAUGACAUAGAAGUAUUGUUUUUUUUUUAAAAAUUUGGAUUUGUCAUCAUUUUUCUAUAUUAAAAGGUCUCAUUUCAAUAAUUUGCACCUCUUCAGUCUCAUAACCUGUUUUUUUUAAUAAUCUCCAUAGUUUUAAUUCAUUUUUAUUUACAACCCCCAAAAUUAAAUGUGUAAAUUUCUGAUAAUUGUGUUCUUUCAUGUACCCCUAUAUAAAUGUAAAUAUGUAAUGCAAGUUUUUGAACUAAAUUGUGAGGUAUAAUCGUUGACAUUUGUCACCCGAAAAGAUCAUUUGUUGUCCAUAUUGACUUUUCUUGCUUUUUAUUAUGCCUAAAUAGAGUAGAAAAUUUCCAUAUCAUUAUAGUGACGUGGCUUUAUAAUCACAUUUAAGACAAAUAAUUUUGAUACUAUUUUCAUUAUUGUGUGAUAAUAGUUUUUUUUACGCUAUGAGUAAUUAGUGUAAUAUAUUUUACGAGCAUUAAUUUUCAAAUAGUUCAUCAAGUUGAUACCAUAUGAAAGGCUUUGUGCACUAUUAUUAUUACGUUUUCAACUUUUCUAUGUGAUAUAAAAUUUAUUCUAAUUUUAGGGGUUACAUAUUUUAAAAAACAAUAGUUUGAUUAUUCAUAUAUUUCAAACUGUAUAUUUUUUUGUUUAAUAUUUCGGGAUACUUUGUAACGCCCCGUAUCCAAAUCUAACUACAAAAAUUAACUUCUUAGAAAAAAACUGCAAGUGCAAUCGACGGACCAUAGGCUGAACCACGGUCCGUCCUGCACAUCCGUCGAUUGAGUCAGAAACCCCCAAAAACUCAGCCCAAAAAAAUUUGACUAAGUGUCGAACGACGGACAGACCUACGGUGCGUAGGUCAGACUAUGAUCCAUAGUUUGUGCCCGUCGAUCAACACCCCAUUUAUCCACUCUCUGAAAUGAAUCACGAUUUACCAGCAAAAACCAUCGUUCAAUCUACGGUCCGUAGGUCUAACCGUAGGUUGAAGUUAACAUACAGUUAGGUGGAAAUAAGUUGGGUCAACUUCAACUGAUCAUAACUCUUAGGAAAAAAUGAAUUAGGUGUCCCAUUAUAUACCAACAGAUAGAUAGUUGAAUUAGCUUUCUAUAGCCACUGACUUUACUAAAAUCAGAGCUCCGAGCAAAGAGUUAUGCCAGUUUUAAUAAAGACUUGUCGAACAGACCCAACCUACGGACUCAAACGACGGACCGUUGAUUGAAUGAGGGACCAUCAUUCCAGGUCGUUGUUUGACCGUCAGUCCAGGUCGUUUUUUUAUCUUUUUAUUAUUUUAAUAAAUUUCCACUUUAUUAUUCAAUUAAUGUUAUAAAAAAAGAUGUUACUUCACUUAUUUGCCAGAUAGUACCCACGUGGUACGAAGUGUUCAUAUUUUGUCCCAAAUGUUGUUUUAACUUUUUUUAAAAAACUAAAGUCGAGGACUAUCAAACACAAUAUCUUAAUCGCAGAUAAAUAUAAGAUUUACAUUUAAUUAUUUCAAAAGCUCAUUUGGUUAAUUUUAUAGAAUAUGUUAUUAUUAUUGAGAUAAAUACUCUUUUUUAUUUUUAUGAUCAUAUGAUAUUUUGAAUAUUGACCAACUAUAUGACAUUAUAUUCAAUGGGUUGGACCAUUUAAGAGGAAAACAUUAUGUGCAUGUAUUUUUUCGAUUUAGCGUUCGUAUGAGUAAUUAUUGAUUAAGAACGGAGGAUUUUGAUCUAUUUACUAGACCUUUGGUAAUCAAAUUUUUACUAAUGUUGAAGUUAUAUCGAUUUUGUUGCAAAGAAAUAUGGUGGAAACUGUAUAUAAUGUCAUUAAUGAAAUAAUAGAGGCCCGAGAUAAAUUUAUUAGAAAUAUAAAUCUCAAUUACAUAUUAUGCAUACUAUAACAAAAAGAUCCUAAAAUAUGUACCAAAUAAAUGACUUAUUUUUUUAUAAAGCACCUAAAAUCGAAGUUUAACAACAAUACGAUAAGAUUGUUUUGAGAAUGUAAUUAUUUGUGAAUAAGUCCAUAGGUCUACAUAUGAGUAUAUUUUAUUGUAUUUAUAUAAAAUAUAGCACUAUUUGUGUUAACUUUUGAUGAUAUGAUAUUUAAAAAUUAUUGAUUAAGAACGGAGGAUUUUGAUCUAUUUACUAGACCUUUGGUAAUCAAAUUUUUACUAAUGUUGAAGUUAUAUCGAUUUUGUUGCAAAGAAAUAUGGUGGAAACUGUAUAUAAUGUCAUUAAUGAAAUAAUAGAGGCCCGAGAUAAAUUUAUUAGAAAUAUAAAUCUCAAUUACAUAUUAUGCAUACUAUAACAAAAAGAUCCUAUAAUAUGUACCAAAUAAAUGACUUAUUCUUUUAUAAAGCACCUAAAAUCGAAGUUUAACAACAAUACGAUAAGAUUGUUUUGAGAAUGUAAUUAUUUGUGAAUAAGUCCAUAGGUCUACAUAUGAGUAUAUUUUAUUGUAUUUAUAUAAAAUAUAGCACUAUUUGUGUUAACUUUUGAUGAUAUGAUAUAUAAAAAUUCAUUACUCUAUUUGAAUAGUAAAUACAAUUAAUAUCUUUUAGUUUUCAAAUAUUAUUUAUGAUAAACAUUAUAAUAAAUUAAAAAAAUAAGAAAAAAAAACACAAUACAAUAAUAACAUUAAAUAUGUUUGUGGCGAGUCAUGUAUAAUUUGAAGGAACAAAAUUACAAAUUCUAACUCAAGAGAAAAUUAUAAAGAUUUGGAAUAAAAUAUCUAAAGACAUAAAAAUAUUAAAAUAUGUUCUCUAACUGAAUUUUUCAUCUUCAAUAAUUAACUGAAAAAUAAACAAUCCGUCAAAAAUAAAAUAGGAGAAGGAAAGACUCUUACAAUUAAAAAUGAUGAGUUUUAUAAUCUAAAAGCUUAUAUGUGAAAAAUGAGAAAAAAAAUAUUACGUCAAAAAUUAAAUAGGAGAAGGAAAGACUCUUAGAAUUGAUAUUGAUGAGUUAUAUAAUCUAAAAGCCUAUAUGUGAAAAAUGAGAACAAAAAUAUUUUUUUUGUGUGUGUGUGUGCGUGCGCGUGCGUGUGCGCGUGUGCGUGUGCGUGUGCGAGUGCGUGCCUGACAUUUUGCUUGUUGAAUCUUAUAAACUUUCUUAUAUUCUUUGCUUACUAAGAAGCUUCCCAUAUUUCAAAUAUCUUUGAGAUGCAGGUUUGUAGUGCUUUGACACUUUUUAAUUUUAUUUAGUGAUUAUUUGUUGUACUUCUUUUAUCUUCAAUAAUCUGAUAGUUGUUGUCUUUCUUAGGUUAUUGAUGAAGAUGAUAGUGAGACUGAUGAAGAUAAGGAAUCUUUUCAACGCGAAACUUUGACAGACCUUACAUUUAAUCACCUUGUGAAAUUUCAGCUUGAAAGCUUUAUAGGAGGUACAUCCGAAAUGCUGUUUAUCAAGCAUUUGUUAGACAACUCUCCAGUGUUAGAGAUAUUGGUAAUCAAUCGACAGUUUCUAGAUGAGGAGACUCUCGACACAAGAGAAGAAAUAUUCACCGAGAUCUCAAAUUUUUCGCGUGCAUCACCUUAAGCAGAAAUCGUCUACAAAGAUUUUAGCUGAUCUUGAUCUUUGGCUUAGAAGAAUCAAAUUGACAUGCGAGAAAGAGACAUUUAUGUGGUAUUAUAACUCUGUUUUACCUUGCUAUAACGUCUAUUUCGAAAAGUGAACAUUGCUUGGAUGGAUGUUUUGAUUAUGUUAUCAUUACAUUUAAGGAUUUCUACAUUUACUGUCUGUUCAUGAAUGAAUUAUAUAUCCAGGAGUGAUUUGUUUUUUUCAGUUUUUUGGAGGGACUGAGAAACUGAAUCAAUCUCAAAAUUUACUUAAUCAAACAAAAAAUGAUUUGUUGAUACACCCUUUUAUAGGAAAAACAUUAUCUGCACCGUGUAUUUUAUAUCAAAUCAAUAAAUAUAGUAGAAUUAGGGAAGAUUUUACACACAAGCGUUUGUUCAUAGGUGUAAAUUUCGAGUAGCAAACUAUUAAGCAAAUAGUCUGACAUUGUUGGGGGAUUUUAGAGCAUUGGAAUAGUACUCACGAGUUAAUUUCUUGGAUGAUCGCUAAAUUUUUAGUAUAUUUUGUUAUUUGUUAAAGUUAUUUUGUUUCUCUUUUGAGGCAAAGUUUAAAUAUCAAAUCGUAUUCUAUUCCUCAUUUUCUAAUAAAUGUAUACGGAUUAUCUAUUUGAGAUAUGGUAAUAAAUUGUAGGACAACACAAAAUAAUUUUAAAAGUAUUUGGUCUUUCAAAAGGAUUUUUCAAAAACUAAUUCAUUCUGCUAAUUAUCAUGCACUUUCUGUUUACAUAAUAAUAAUAAUUAGACAUAUAGUUUUAAAUUCAUUCCAUUAUCUUUUCCUCUUUAGCCAUCAUCUUUUCUUUGUUACACAUAUUCUUAAUAUGGUUAUUAAUAAACAAUACCAGCCUUAAUAAACAAAACCUACUGACCUAUUUAUCCAUCAAGAAAACUACUAGUAUACAUAUAUAUGGGCACGUACAUUGCACGUUUACUUUAUAACGAUAAAUAUGAACUAUUAAAAAAUAACAUAAUUUUUCAACAAAUAAUAUUUGAGUUACAAUAAAAAUAUGAAAAGUAAAAUAAUAAAUAUUUUUAGUGUAUAAACUUAUUAAUAAAAGGGCAAUGCGCGAUUUAACUUUUUUAAAAAAUGUUUAUAGUGUAUAGUUAAUUUAUAGAAGAUUUAUUUUUUUCAUUUAGUCCUCCCCUUAUUAUAAUUUCGAUAUAGAAAUUUUAUAUUUUUUUAAAUGAAAAAAUAAAGUAGCAAAAACAAACAUGGAGACGCACUAUGUUAUGAUUAACUUUCUUAAAAUGUCUUUUUUGUCUCAUAGAAAUAGUAAAAAUAUUGAAGUUCUUCCUUAAAAUGUCUCUCUUGUCUCAUAGAAUAGAAUGAAAGUGUUGACAUUAAAUUAAUAAUUUCACAUGAUAUACAUUUCAAUAAGAUAAAAUGUUUGACAUUAAUUAGUAAAAGAUGAAAUCUCCUUCUCAUUAAGUAAAAUGCAAUUAAUUAAUUUAAACUUAUAAAUAAGAAAACUUAUUAGAAAGAAAUAACUAAAGAUUUAAAGUUUAAUGAUUAAUAUUUAAAUUAUGCAAUUAUAUAAAUAACAGUUAAUAUUUAAUUAAAUAAGUCAGUUUUUAAUUUAGUGGAGAGCCAAAAUGACAAUUUUAAUAUUUUUACAAUUAAAAGUUCUUUAUAAUAUAUUUUACAUUUUUUUGUUAAAAAUUUAAUAGGACCAAUAUUUGGUCGAAUGACAAAAAAUCUUCUAACUUCUUAAGCAUUUUGAUGUAUCAUUUUUUUGACUUUGAGAUUUUAAUCUCACGAUAAUUUUAAUAAAAAUUGUCUAAAAUAUAUAGAUUUUAUCCACAAGUACAUGUAAGAAUAAUUCUUUACGGAUAUUUAAAUUUAAGAUGCAAAAACGUAAUUAUUAAUAAUUUAAAAUUCGAAUAAUAUUGGCAUUAAUUGUUUUACUUGUCUUGUCAUAGAUAACUUUUUUUAAAAUAAUAUAUUAAUGGUUUUAAAUAUCACAAAUAUUUAUAAAAUUAUAUUUAAAAACGUGCAUGAAUUAAUUGGGGAUGUACUACUUUACUUUUAAUCAUAAAUUUAUAAUUAAAACUUGAAAGAGAAUCCUAUUGAAAGUGUCCUCUUAAAUAAGCGGCUCAACCUAAAUUUAAUUGGGGUUUUGAUUCUGACUCGAAUAAUUUUGGAUGUCGUAUUUAGGAAUCUAUAAUUUCGUCGUGUUUUAGUAGCGUUUAUGACAAUGUUGAUAUUAUAAUUGGUGUAAAUUGGGUCGUGUUUAGGUAGUAAUGAUUGGAUAGUGGGUUGGUUUAUAAAUUAUAUAAAUAAAUUAAAUUAAUCAAUAGUUGAGAGCGAAAUAUUUUAAAAAAUAUUUAAACAGUUUAAGUUUAAAACAAUUAAAUAAGUGGUCAAUUUUGAACCCAAAGGUGAAUGACAAGAGUAUUUUUGAGCUAAUAGGUGGAUGAGAAGGGCAUUUUGGAGCCAAUAGGUGGAUGGAGGGUAAUUUUGUACUAUUUUCAAUACUUCAAGGGUAUUUUAGACCCUUUUCCGUUCAAUCAAAUAUAUUCUUAAACGAAAUUAAAAAUAUAAAUAAAAAGUAUCAUAUAUAGGAGCAAGUUUAGCAUAAGGCUACCAACGAAAAAUAGAAUAAUUCUAGGAAAAUCAUUUUUUUUAUAAUGCAAUUGAAACAAAGUUACAGUAAUAAACAUUCAACCUUGACAAAAAAAAUUAAAAUCUUUGAAGACAAGUUAAUGGAAAUGAUAUUCAACUACACAAAUGGAGUGGCCUUAUCAUAGUUAUGAUCUCGACAAAUAAGUAAACAAAAAAACAAAUACAUCAAGCUUUAAUAUUUUAGUAAUUGGAGUGUUAUCCAUCCCGUCAUCAUAUUAUGCAUUGUAAUCUUGACACACAUCAUCUUGUCUUGAUAUUUUCUUAACUUUAUUAAAGUUUCUCUAGUCUUCCAUAUACAAAAAUUAUAUCUCAUAUAAAUCUUUCUAUGAAAAUACUAUUGAAAGAUUUGUACUUAUAUAGCAUAUAUAUGAGGAUUCACUUACAAAGUUGAAAGGUCAAGUGUUACAAAAAUUAAAGACAAAUAUUUAUUAAGAAUAUAAAUUAGUUUGGACAAUGAAACACAUACAUAUAUCUAUUUAAAGGGAUAACUGUUAUUUUUAUUUUUAUUUUUCUAUUUAAUAUACUCACAUGUAUACCGACAAAAAAUAUUACAGAAAAUCUACUAUUUACUAUUUAAUUAAUUAAAUAUUUUAAUAACAUUUGAAUUUAGCAUAAGGGUAAAAUGAUAAUUCAACUUUUCUAUCUUGAAAUUUUCUUCACUUGAUUAAAGCUUCUCUAGUCUUCCACACACAAAAAUUAUAUUACAUAUAAAUCUUUCUAUGAAAAUACUAAUUGAAAAACUUGUAUAUAUAGGAAAAAAUAUAGCUUUGGAAUAUGAAGAUUCGCUUAUGAAUACAACAAAGUAAAGAAAAAUAUUUUUUAAAAACAUAACUUAAUUUGGAAGAUAAUACACAUAUAUCUAUCUAUUUAAAGGAAUAACUUUUUUUUUUCUAUUUAAUUUACUCACAUGUAUACCAACUAAAAAUAUUAUAGAAAUUCUACUAUUUACUGUUCAAUUAAUUACGUGUUUAAUAACAUCUGAAUUUAGCAUAAGAGUAAAAUGAUAAUUCAACUUUUAACUUUGGAGAUCUCCACUUAUAAUAAUAUAUGAUAUAUGAUAUGUUCAAUAAACCAAUCAAUUGUGCCUCAAUCCAAACCUAGUUGAAUGUACCUGAUAUAUGAUCUAUAUAUAAGAUCUAAUGAGUGAUAAAUAUUGAUUUUGUGUUACCUGAUAUAUGAUCUAUAUUGUUCACUCAAUCAAUCAACUAUGCCUCAAUUUGAACCUAGUUAUAUUUACUAAUAAUGUUUUAUGAUUAUUCUGUCUACUUUGCAGAAUUAUGAUGAUUUUUGCUGAUUUUCGAUUAAUUUAGAUCUUUGAGAUUCGAUACAUGUUAGUUCUUAAUAAUAAAUUACUUCUUUUAUAUAAUUAAUUUUGAGUAUGAUGUUCUUUUCCUCUUCUUUCGUAUUGGAUUUGAUAUUUUUGCAUAUCUGGUUGCAGGGUUCUACUAAAGGAGUGUAAUCCUGUGUUUGAGUUGCGUUCUACGACUUGGUUGUGCUUGAUUGAUAUCGUCUCGAGAUGGAAAGAAAAGUUUUAGCUUUAGCUGAUUCUAGAAUCAUGCCAGCUUCCAUGAACGAAGAGGACUCGAUCUGAUUUCUUAUUUACUAUUGAAAUUUGGUCUAACUGUGUAAAAGACUUGCUUUGUUUUUUUAAAACUAGUUUCUCAUAAAGUAUGUUGCAUGUUUGUUCCUUGCUAUUAUUAUAAUUUUUUAUUUAUUUAAAAGUGAGUUAGAAGAUAGAAAAUAUUGAAAUUAAUAAUAUUAUUAUUACUAUUUAUUUUUUGUUCAUAAAAUAAAAUAGUGCAUUUGUUAUCAAACUGGAACUAAUUAAGAGGAUAUAUGAGUAUGUCGAUGAAUUUCUGAUUGCAAAAUAAUAAUAAUAAAUGUAUAACUGGAAAGGUUGGAUCUACUAGAUGUCUUGAUUUUGAGCACCAAUUUAAGCGGAGAACUUUUUGAUAUAAAAUUUUACUCCCUCAACAAGUAUACUCAACACGAAUUUUGAUUAGUGGGAUUAAUAGGAAUCAAAGACCAGAUUAUUAAAUAACAAUCGCACUUCAAUUCUAGAAAAAUUGAAAUCUAUUAUAUUAUAUUAUUGUGGUUGUUAUAGAUGUUGGACUCAAGUAGUAAACUUGACAUUGAAUAAAGCCUAGACCCAAAAAGUCAACCAACAUUGGUCCCACAAGACAGUGUCAUGUAAGUCGAAAAGGGAUAAAAAGCUAUUAAUAAAAUAAGUUCCGGGGUAAUAGGACCUUAUUAUAGUAUAAGUGUUUCUCUGAGAUUUCGGACAUAGAUUGAGGGGUACUUGUGCAUUAUUCCACAAAAAAUCAAACACGAAAUUGUGCAAGAGUCCAAAUUGAAGUGAAUUUGGCUGCAAACCUACCCAACAAUUAAAGAUUAAUGAAGAAGGUGAUAUUACAGGAGAAAUAAAAUCCAAGCUGAAUAAAGUUCAAUAUGAUUACAUGCUCAAACUUGACUUUUGGGGAUGAUAUGAUCACACCGUACAAGACGGAGGUUGGAACAAUGAAAAUGAUUAGUGAGGUGCCUAACUACUAGAAAACAUGUCUGUUGCAGCACAAGAAUAAUUAUUGUCAUAGACUCAAAGAGUGUUGCAAUUGAGUUAUGGCAACGAAAACUAGCGUGUUGCAUAUAAGGCUGUUGUGAUAUAUCAGUAGUAUCGGUUUACUAGCAACAAUUGAAAGUCGUUGCCACAGACCAUCUGUAGCAACAUUUAUUCUUUAGUCUAGGACAAAACUUUUCUGCAGCUAUUGCAACAGUUGCCGAACCGUUGCAACAGAGUUUAUAGCGACGGUGAUAAACCGUUGCCACACACUGUCCAGAACAACAAUUAUUUUUUAGUUUAGGACGACACUUUUAUGCGGUUGUUGCAACAGUUGUGUACCAUUGCAAAAGGUUUUAUAGCAUUAACUGUGAACUUUUGCAACACACUAUCUAUAGCAACAAUUAUUUUUUAUCUAGGACGACACUUUUCUACAGUUUCUGCACAAGUUGCAAGUCGUUGCAAACGACCUAUUACAACGGUUCUUCUUAACUAUUGCAAUGAUGUUAUUAAUGUUUUAUUUUUAAAAUAUACUAUUUGAUUAAAAAUGGUGGGAAGAUGACUAAGUUUCAGAAAAUCAAUUAGUCUUAUUAUUAUAGAAAAAUCGACUUUCCAAAUUACGGACUCGCCACUUUAUUUAUGAUGAAUCAAGAAAAAUUUUCAAAAGAUUUAAAAACAGAUUAAAUCAAUUGAAAAUGGUUCGAAGUUCAAUAUACAUCCCGAGAAGGUGUUAGGCCCUCGGGAUGCCCGCUAACUUGCGGUUGACCAGCGAUUUGACUAAAAUGACCUUUUAAAUUUUAACUGAGUAAAGAAUUCGUUUUGAUGUAUUUUAUUCUAUUUUUUAUUCCUUAGUAUUUCUAAAGGAAAACAUUUAUAAGAAAUUAACUUAAGGAAAACUAAAUGGUGAUAAAAGUAAAUAAAACAAAAUAAGUAAAUAAAAUAGUAAAAUUUAAAAUGAUGAAAAAAAAUGGCUGCCCUUUAGGAGAUUAUUUAAAUUCUACCAAAAUAUUAAUUAAUUCAAACAAAUAAAUAAACAGAGAAAAAUAUUUGAACAUGGGCUUGAUUGCCUAAAUUCAUUCACUUGGGAUUUGGCCCACCUCUGCUAAACUGAUUUCAAAAUGUGGGCUUGGGCCCUUUUUUAACAAUUUAGAAUCCUGCGGAAAACGUUUAUGGCCUUUUGGGCCUAUCAAAAUUGUUGCUGAAAAGGGCCCUGACCCAUUUCAUGAAAAAGAACUUAAAGUAUACAAAUGAUGUAUACUGUAUAUAUCCAAUUCGUAUUGGACUUUUUGAACCCUUCACUUGUUCGAAUAUGCAUUUCUCGCGAUUCACCCUCCAUUUCCCAUAUUAAUUCGGCGUAUUUGUACAUGUACCAUUUCUAAACCUGCUUAACAAUUGUAUAUCGUUGCCCAAAAGAUGUAUACCAAUGUAUACGGGUUGUAUCCUAUGCAUGUAUUCAUUGCCUAUUCCCGUAUUUUAUUUGAAAUUGGCGUCCCUGUACGUUAACCUGCAAUUCGCAAUUUUUUACACAUAUUUAAGGUAUAGCGUCUAUGUAUAUCAGUGUAUACAGGCUGUAUAUCAGCAUGUUUUUUCAACUUUUGAAAGUUGAAAACUCCUUUUCAGCAGUGUCUCUGGACUGCUAAAAACCCAGAUUUUGAAUUUGGAUCCACCUGUAUAUUUUAGACCUGUAUAUCAUGGUAUAAUAUGUGUAUAUAACUGGUAUACAGAUUUCUUCAACACCUCCAAACUGUAAUUUUCCAGCAGCCUCUGCUGAUUUUUCCGACCUGUACAUCCUUUCAGGAGGUUCAUUGACUCGGUAAGGGUGUUUUGAGCCUUCAUAGCUCAACGAGGAAUGCAAAUAGAGGAGUUCAUGAUGAACUCGGGUUGAUUUCACAUGCAACAAACGAGAAGAAGAAUUUUUAGAACAAAAUUAUCGAGGAAAUAACACAAAAAAUAGAAACUAAAAGGGAGAUCAUUACUAUUCUCGUAAACUACAAAUCCAUAAAAUUAAGCUAAAAUAAAUUGCAUGAUAGUUACCAUAGCUCAAUUCAUAAAGACUAAAAAAACAUAACUCAACACACUCUUUGCACAUACACAAGAGCAUCAUAAUCUUAAGGAAUAAGAGUUGAGACAAAACCAAACAACUAAGCUAGAAGGCCACUUGUUGAACAACUUAGAAAGUGUAGGCAAAGAAGUGAUUAUACUUACUCAAAAAAACACAUGAUAUUCAAGCAAACCAACAUUUAAGGAGGCAAUAAAGUAAGGACAUUACACUGCUGCUUGUCAAGGAUACUACCUACUAAUUGGAAGGAAAAUUUAAGCAAAACUAUGCUUAUGGUAGCCACUGUUAAUGGAAGUUCAAGAAUGGAAACAAACGGGUGAACUGCCCCUUUAGGAAUUCUCUCCGAUUUCUAACAAGGAAGGAGACCCCUGGAUCGACAUAAGCAGCCAUGGGAUGCAAUACAUAAAAACAGAAGAUACACCUUUUAACUAUAACGGAGUGGAACCAACCUUUAAGAUCACAAACAUUCGAAGAGAAAAAAACACACAACGAUUAUAUGCAAAAAUUCAAGGAAAAUUGAAGCCUCAUAUGCAUUUCGAACCAUAUUCUUAAAUCCAUCACUAUGAACGGGAGUAAAACAUGCUUGAAAGAUUUCAAAAUCAAUCCAACAAUAACAGACCGUAUUCGAAUCAUAUAAACAAAACCGACACACCUCUCAUUCUCUUCUCAAUCUUCAUGGGUGUUUGAAGACGGGCAGCCCACAUCAACAACAUAUAUAUACCUUAAACACAAGACAAACUAUUCGAAACCAAACAAAAUUCUCAUCAUUAACCAAUAUAAUUCACAGAGAACGGAAAACAAACGAGCAAGAGGAGAGAAAAUGAACAGAGAACUUCAUGCUUGUUGAAACAUGACAAACUAACAUAACGAGUGAGUAGAAAUUUAGGAAGUUCACCUUCUCCGGGGCAGCAAGUUGGAGACGAAACGAGCAGGGGAGACAGCGAACACCCAAGCUUGACGUUAAACUCGGACACUUACGUAUAUUCUAUAUGUGUGUAUUUUAUGCUAUCAAUAUUUCUCGCACAAAAUUUUCUGAGAAAAGGAUGAAAUUUUCCAAAAAAAAAUGCCCCCUGGUAAUGAUCAACAGUAAUCAUUAUAUAGAAAAAAGAAGACGGGGAAGGCGGGAGAAAAUCUGAAAAAGCUUGGGGCAAAAUCGGGAUUCUAUCUCUCCUUUUGAAUUUGAAAUCCCCUAAAGGGAUAAGGAUGCAAGCUGUCGUAGUAUAGAACUCCAACGGAACAAUCGAUCGCAGCCAUGAAUCCUCAAACAAGGACGAGUGAGCUCGCGAGAUUGAGACACCUGGCCUGCGGAAGAUGCUUUUCUUGUUGAAAUCGUACGAGAUUGUAGUGCUCGUUGCGUUGCUUCGUCUGAGUGCCAUUCUUUGGGGAAUUUCUGCCUAUGACUCUUGUUGGAAAUUUCCUUGUGAAGAAGGAAGGAAAAAAAAGGGCUGGGUCGACUUAGUUGUCGUUGGGCUGGAAUUAUUGGGCUAAAAAUAAAAAUUAAAUGGGCUGGGAAUUAAAAUAAAUAGAGUGAGCCUGGGAAUUUAAAGGGAAUUUGGGUUGAAGUGGGCUGGUAAGUUGGAAAAAGGCCCAAGAUUGAUUUCCAAAUGGGUUUAGAGGAAAAGGUUAUGUCUUAGAAUAGUCAAAUUAAAUUAAUUUUAAGGAAUUUGACUAAGAUUUAAAUAACACAAAUUCGUAUCAAUAAAUCAAUGAGCUUCUUAAUUUUAACAAAGUAAAAGAAUUAAUUUUAAUUAUAAGCUGGUGAUCAAUUCAAAAAAAACAAAAAAAAACACCAAAAUUUAAAACUAAAUUAGUUUAAUAGAAUACUUACUAAAAAUUAAAAUAUUUUGAUAAAUAAUCUUAAAAUAUACCAAUUAUAUACAUAAUCAUGUAAAGUAUAUGCGCUAUCUAAAACUUAUAAGAAAAAUGAUAAAAGUAUCCAUAAUAACUCAAAAUUCAUAUGUUAUUUUUUCCCCCGCAAAAUUUAUAAAACUAACUAUUUUAAAUUAUUUGGAAAACUUAAGAAGCUCGAGAACUAAUUCAUACUGAGGAGGGUCGAAAUUGUGUGUCAACAAUUAAGCUAUUGCAGUAGACCUUUUUAAUGGUUAUUGCAGGCUAUUGUAGCCAUUUUUUCAAUAAACUAUUAUACAGUGAUAGAACAUAUUAAACCAAUAUGUACAUCAACUUGUAGCAUUCAUAUAUUAUAGAUAAAAACAUAUGAUCUUGAUUUACAAUUCAAGAGUUAACAUACAUUGAUGUUCACAAAAAUUAAGCCUAAAUAUUAAAAUAGUCCUAGAAUGUUUAAGUGUUUGACAUUCAUUCAACUUCAAAAAUUAGGCCAAAAAGUAAAAAAUAGUGCUAGAAUGUUCAAGAGUUGGCAUUCCAUUAAGUUCACAAAAUUAGGCCAAAAAGUAAAAUAGUGCUAGAAUGUACUUGUGGACCAAGUCCCUGUUUAGACUCUUCAGGUUCCACUUCAGAAGUCUCUCUCUUUAUUUUUCCUUUUCCCUUAGCGCCACCAACUUUCAUGCUUGCCGAAGCUUUAGUUUAUUCUUUGGGUUUUCUUUCCGUCACCUUUCUUCUUUGAACUUUGUUUCAAGUCCUCAAAAAUUUCCAUAUCAGGUCCCUCUUCAGAUUCCGCACCUGAUACCUCCACCACAUCAGACAACGGUAUUUGGAAUCUCGACACUUUAAAAGUCUUAUUCCUUCGAUUGUCAGCAGUAGAUUCUGCACUCACCUUCAUAGCAUCAUCCGUCAUUUUCUUGGAGUCAGAUUUGGUAAAAGGUCUCCUUCUAGACUCAACUUCGAAAACCUUUUCUUUUCCCUUUUUUGAUGACGACAUCUCUCUUCUUUUCGACAGCCACUCAAUGGGAUGAUUGUUGUCAUCAGUGUCUGUAGAGUCGGAAGAAGGGUAUCUAUCUAAAUCUAGUGUUUUGUCAAACACUGGUUGGGUUUCUCUUAACUCGUCAUCCAUAAAACUUCCAUGUUCUUCAAGCAAAGCUUCUUAUAUCAUCUUGGUUAGACUUUCUAUAGCUAAAAUUUCACUGGCAGCUAGAAUAUUGAACUUAGGCGCUCUAUUUUUUGCUAGAUCUCCCUCAGAUAGAUGGUCUGACAACAUAUCCACAAGUGGACCAGGUUGAGGGGAGAGAACAUGAUUGUUUAGAUCGAGAGGUGAGGACGGUUUCCGGACAAGCUCUGAAGCAAUGUUGACUAGAUAAGAAGUCGAAUUUUUAGUCGGUGAUACAGAAGAAGAUGGAGUGUAAAAUGACGCUGGGUCGAUUUUGUUUAAAGAUGCAAGCAUCUUCUUCGAGGAUGAAGAAUGUUCAGACAUUUUUGUAAGGGAAGUAACUCUAGUACAAAACAAGAAGGAAAUGAGAAGAUGAAAGUUAGGGUUGUUCUGAGAAAGGACUUAGGAGAUGUGAGUAGAGAAGGUGAGAGAAGAAGAGUUAUAUAAAAAGUGAUGAAGAGGUGUUAGGUCUCUUAGAUUAGACGUGUAGCUUGGAGUUAAUCAAUGAGACAACGUUCAAAAUAACCGAUUAUUGAGACAUGACGAUUUCAACGGGUCAUUUUCAAUUAGUUUAAAAACAAUGUAAAGAAAGUUAAAUUUUAGGAGGACAAGGUCCUUUUCUGCAAGUAAGAUUCCAUUCCUAAAUGGUUUUGGGCAUAUUUUGCUUUUGUAAUUUUUCAUGAAUGUAUACCUGCAAUAGGUACAAAAUUGAACUUAAUCAUCUAGUUUAUUACUAAUACAGAGGAUACAUGUACUGCAAUCAUAGCCAUCAGAGAAAUGUGAUGCUUUUGAGUAAAGUGGGAUCAGUUUGGAUUCAUCAUUACUAACAUCAAGCUAUUUCUUUCAAACUGAUCUUUGCUGAGAGCUUUGGUGAAGAUGUCUGCAAUUUGAUCCUCUGUUCUGCAAUGCUUCAAGACAAUAUUUUCCUUUUCAACAUUCUCUCAGGAAUUGAUGUCUCACAUCAAUAUAUUUUAUCCUUUUAUGUUGCACUGUAUUCUUCCCAUGCUAACAACACUAGUAUUAUCACACAUAAGAGGAAUAUCCUAUGUACGCACUCCAAAAUCUUCUAAUCAUUGUUUGAUCCACAAAAUUUGAGCACAACAAGAUAUUCAGCUUCAGCUGUUGAAAGGGAUACUGAAUUUUGUUUCUUAGUUCCCCAAGAGACGAGAGAGGAGCCAAGAAAGUAGGUCAUGUCUGACAUGCUCUUUCUGUCUACUUGAUAGCUUGCAAAGUCAGCAUCAGCAAACCUAACUAGAUUAAAGGAAUCACAAGCUGGGUAGAAUAGGACCAGGUCCCCUGUUUUCCUCAAAUAUGUUAGUAUCCUUUUUGCAGAUUUUAGAUGUGAAUCUCUGGGACAUGCUUGAAAUCUAGCACACAUUCCAAAUAUCUUAGUAUCCUUUUUGUAGCUUUUAGAUGUGAAUCUCUGGGACAUGCUUGAAAUCUAGCACACAUUCCAACACUGAACACAAUAUCAGGUCUUCUAGCAGUUAAAUAUAUCAAGGACCCGAUAAUACCUCUAUAAAUGGUUUGAUUCCCAAGAGAAUCAACUUUAUCUACUCCUAUUUUGGAAUUGGUUCCUAUAGGAUUGUCUAUAGGUUUAGAAUACAUCAUGUUGAAUUUCUUCUGCAGCUCCUUUGUAUACUUUUCUUGACUGACUGAGGUUCUAUCCGGUGAUUGUUGAUUUGCAGCCCCAAAAAGAAAGUUAGUUCUCUCAUCAUGCUUAUCUCAAACUCAUUUCCCUUUAGAGUAGAAAAUUUUACACACAAAUGUUCAGAUGUAGCUCCAAAGAUAGUAUAAUCCACAUAUACUUGCACAAUGAGAAGUUCUUGUUCCCUUUUCACUAAAAACAAGGUGUUGUCAUUUUUCGCUCUUUUGAAUCCAUUUGUUAGCAGAAAUUUGGACAACCUCCCAUACCAAGCUCUGGGAGCUUGUUUUAGACUGUACAAAGCUUUAUUUAAUUUACACACAUAAUUUGGUCGCUCGACAUCUUCAAACCCAAGGGAUUGUUUAACAUAUACCUCUUCCUUCAAAUCUCCAUUCAAGAAAGUAAUUUUGACAUCCAUUUGAUAAAUCUUGAAUCUCAUAAAAGCAACAAAGUCUAUGAGAAUUCUAAUAGCCUCCAUUCGAGCAACUGGUGCAAAAGUCUCAUCAUAAUCUGGUCCAUACGAUGGUUCUGUCAGCAAGUCUUGGAACCACUACCAUACAUUGCUUCUUUCAAACCGAUGCUAUUCAUCUUGCAUUGAGUUGAUCCAAUAUGCAUCACUCAGAGCCUCUUUCACAUUCUUAGGAUCGAUAGUUGAGAUGAAACCCGAAAAUGCAACUAGAUUUCUUGUUUUUGAUCUAGUUUGCAUACCAGAGUUUAAUGGUGAAAUAAAAUUUUCAAGUGGAUGGGAUGAGUUGUGCUUCCAAGCCAACUUUGACUUUAAAGGUUGAAUUUGAUUUGUGUGAUCUUCUUCAUUCUCAGAAUCAUCAUUUUCAUGAGAAUGAGUUUCUGCUUGAUUUAUAUUCUGCAUAGGACCAGGUCCUUCUUUAGGCUUGUCAUUUUCCUUAGUUUUCUCUGAUGGAUCAGCAUCAACAUUAAUUUCCAAAUGUUCACACUCUUAAGCCUUACUUCCUUCACUUUUCUGGACUUGGAACAACUCAUUCAAUUCAUCUUCAUCGUUUGAUUCCAGCCUCUUCAGAUUACCGUCUUCAUCAAAUACCACAUGAGUACUUUCUUCAAUACAUUGAGUUCUUUUGUUGAAUACUCUGUAAGCCUUAAUGAUAAGUAUCCCAUAAAAUUCUGAGGUUCAAACUUUCCAAGAUCAUCAUUCCCAUUUUUCAAAACAAAACACUUGCACCCAAACGCCCUUAGAUAACUCAACUUAGGUUUCUAGCUGUUGAGUAGUUCAUUGGGAGUUUUUUUCAGUAGCGACCUUAUCAAGCACAUGUUAGAAACGUGGCAUGCAGUAUUGACUGCUUCAGCCUAGAAAUUUUGAGGAAGAUUGACUCAAUAAGCAUGGUUCUGGCAAUAUUCACCAAAGUUCUGUUCUUUCUCUCCACCACUCCAUUUUGCUGAGGAGUUCUUGGAGCUAAAAGUUGUGACUUAUACCAAUUUCUAAACAGAAUUCCUUAAUCUUUACGUUUUCAAACUCAGUUCCAUGAUCAGACGUAAUCACAGCUAUAAGAUAAUUUAGUUUUGUUUGAAUCAUUUUGAAAAACACAAUCAGCACAUCAGGUGUCUCCACUUUUGAUUUUAGAAACCUCGUCCAUGUGAACCUUGAGUAAUCAUCAACAAUCACCAAAAUGUAUUUUUUUCCGCUUCUGCUUUGACUUUUCAGAGCUCCACAUAGGUCCAUGUGCAACAGUUCCAAUGUUCUUGAAGAGCUCACUUGCUUCUUUCACUUGAAGGAUGAUCUAGUUUGCUUGCCUUUCAGACAUGCUUCACACACUUUGCUUUCACUGAACUUCAAUUUUGGCAACCCUAGGACUAGGUCACUAGAAGCCAGUUUAUUAAACAAAGAUGAACUCACAUGACCUAACCUUCGAUGCCAUAAAUCAGCAUUGUCACCCAGAGCACUUAGGCAUGCCAAGUCGUCACCAUGAGAUAUUUCUAGGUUUGCCACAUAUAUGUUUUUACAUCUUUGAGCAGUAAGAACCACUUUCUUGGUAGUCAGAUUGACUACAGUACAAUAUUCAAACGUGAACUUGACCUCAUUUCCCUUGUCACAGAUCUGACAUAUGCUGAGAAGACUAUACUAAUCCACUCACAUGAUACCCAUAAUCAAUGGAUUCUUCAACUGAUUUUCCAACCCUACCAACACCUAAUAUAUACCCCUUCUUUCCUUCACCAAAAGAGACACAUGCUUUGAGCGAGAGGAAAUUUUUGGUGUUCCCAGUCAUAUGCUUUGAGCACCUACUGUCCAUGUACCAACAUUGACUGCUAAUCCUCUCCCUCACCUACAGCAAGCAUCACUUGUUAGACUUGGGAACCCAUUUUAGCUUGAGUUUCUAAAAGGCAGAUAAAUGAGUAAUCAAAGUGUUUCUUGCCCAGUGAGGUAAUUUUAAGUCUUUCUUUAUCAAUGAAUUUCGAACAUGACCAGGUCCCCUUCUUGGUACCCUUUUCUAUUUUGUAUAAAUUCAAAAUCUUUCUCUUGAUUCUUUCCAAGCCUCACACUCCCCUCUCAAAUGACCAUUUCUACCACAGUGAAGACAUAACAAGUUAGCAGACAUAUAAACAUACUUACUGUGAGGAUUCCAGAGAGGAGUAAUAUUUAAACUUCCUAGAACCUUUUUGUUGUAGUUGCUUUGACUGUCAUCUAAUGUACAAUGAUGAAUGUCAUAUAGGGUGCCAUGUAAGACGAAUGUUUCCAUUUUUUUUUAAUUUUAUACAAGUUUAAGUGCAUUCUUGUACACACCCAAAAUUAAAUGUCUGAGUUGUCAGAUGAUGCCAAGAUCCAUAUUUAUGUAUUGUGUCAUAUAUUGUGUCCAUCUUCUUAUAGCCAUAUCUCAAAUAUAUACUUCUUUCACCAAUACGUUUAUCCCCCAAACAAUAAAGUAAAGAUUUUAGUUUCCGCGAAAUAAGGCAAAUUGGUGACAUGCCAUGGAUACUGUGACACAUUCUUAUAUAUUACCUCAUCAAUUUUUAGAUGAGAUGAUCAAAACAUUCAACAACUAAUUUUCUAUAAUUAGUUAAUUAACAGAUAAUACUUCAUUUCUCAAUUAUGCCGUGCUUCUGAAACUAUUUUGUUUUGUUGUUGACAAUAUUGAAUCAAUAAAAGUUUAAACACAAUGUCAUCUACAAUUAGAAUUCAUAUAUGCAACCUCAACUUACUUGGUAUUAAAAUGUAAAUACUAGUUUCUAACACCUUGUUGGGAGGCGUACGACCAUAAAUUUAACUACACACUGGGUAUGGUGUAACUCAGAUUACUCUAUAAUCAUAUUAAAUAUUUCAAAAUGUUCACCUAUUUCUUAAAAUGUUAUAACCACGCUACGGUUUGUAUCAAACUCCACAUGUCAAAUUUCCACAGUUCUCAAAAUCUUGUGUAGAAAAAAAUACCAUUCCAAACAAUAGACUUUCAUAAACCUCUUCCUGCGAGUUACUUCCAUUUGCAUUUGCAGUCUGAAAUGCGGAAUCUGAAAUUUCUACAAACAAAACAAAAAUUAAGUAUAGCUCAAAUAUUAAGGAACUUCAUGAUUUACAUCAUUAAUAUUUCAGGCAAAUUUUGGGAAAUUGUUAAAUAUUUCAGAUGUUAUAUUUUAACUUCCCUCUAAAUGUACUUGACUGAAACAUUUUAACUUCCAUCCAAACAUAAAUUUUUUUAUUACCAUUCCUGUGUUCACUCUCUGUUGGAUAAUAUUGUAAUUACAAUUAAUUUUACAAAUCUAUGCCAGUUAUUUCACUGUGGAUCUAUCUACCCCACAAAGGUAGGUUAAGGAAUGUAUACAUCCUACCCUCACUAUCAAAAUCAAUAUUUUCACAUGAAAAAUAAUUUUUAACUGAUGUAUUUCAUAUAAAAUUUUACAUAUGCAAUAUAAUUCUUCCCUGUAGGGUAAAUGGUUGUCGAUCAUUGUAAGUGACUACGCCCCUCCCCAAACACCACAGACACCACUAGUAGGAUAUAAGGAGUUGUUUGAUUUGAGAUAUAAAUUACUAUAAUAAUCUCAGGAUAAAAUGUGGGAUUCUUUUAUCCUGUAUUUUGAUGGAGGUAUUAGGUAGUCAUGAGAAUAUUGAUCCCACAAUAUAUACCUUAGUGAUGCGAUAAGUUUUUAUAUACAUGAAGUGAACAGAUAACUUAUCCCUCCCAAGCAAAUUACCCCCAAGUAUGUUGUACUCUUUCUAUGAAUACAAAAUUGAUAGUGAUCCAAUAAAAUUAAAGCAUCUAUAUCUUUGUUGUUUUCUAUUUUUUACCAUUUUUUAUAGCCAAGAAAUCCUUGCGGUCAAUGGCGUAGUCGCGCAGAGUUAGAAACUCAUAAGAUAAUGGGUUCACCCUCUAUCCUUCAUCAUUUCCUUUUGUUUUUAUUUAUGAGAAGAGAACAACAGUCACUACUCUUCUUAGGGUUCACAAAGUAAAGCUAGUUUUACUCUGUGAACCCUAAGAAGAGUAGUGAUCGUGGUUCUCUUGUCAUAAAUAAAAAAUAAAAUGAAAUGAUGAAGGGUAGAGGCUGGACCCAUUAUCUUAUGAGUUUCUAACUCUAUGGGACUACGCCAUUGACCACGGGGAUUUCUUGUCUAUAAAAAGGUAAGAAUAUAGUAAGAAACAACAUAGAUGCUUUUAUUUUAUUGGACCACUAUCAAUUCUUUAUUCAUUGAAAGAGGUCAACAACAUACUCAGGGGUCAUGUGGUUGGGAGGGAUACAUUAUCUCGCUACUUUAUGUACAUGGAUAAUUUAUUCCAUUACCAUGGCAUAAAUUGUGGGAUCAAUAAUCUCAUGACUACCUAAUACUCUAGCCAAAUAAAGGAUAAAAUUAUUCUACAUUUUCUCCUAGGAUUAUCAUACUAUAUACCUCAAACCAAAUAACUCCUUAGUAUUAUACAUUUAGUGUUUUCUUGGGAGGAGUGUAGCCACAUACAAUAAAUGGUAGCUAGUUACCCUAUGGUGAAGAAUUAUAUUGCAUAUGUAAAAGUUUAUACUAAAUAUAUAAGUUACAAAUUUUUUUUCAUGUGAAAAUAUUAAUUUUUAACAAUGAGGGUAGGAUGUUUACCGUUCUUAUCCUACCUUUGUGGAGAAGAUAGACCCUCGGCUAAAUAACUAAUAUAGAUAUGUAAAAUUACCUGUAAUUACAAUAUUAUCCAACACAUAGUGCACGUAUAAUGGUAAUGAAUAUUUUAUUUUUUAGGGAAGUUAAAAUGUUUUAGACAAGUACAUUUAGAGGGAAGUUAAAAUGUAUUAACAUCUAAAAUAUUUACAAAUGUCCCAAAUAUUUGCUUGAAAUUUUAUUGAUUUAAGCAAUCUAAAUUCUUUAAUAUUUGUGCUAUACUACAUUUUUGUUUAGUUUGUAGAACUUUUAGAUUCUACAGUUUAUACGGAAAAUGCAAAUGGAGGUGAUUGGCAGGACGAGGUUUAUGAAAGAGUAUUGUUUGCAAUGGUAUUUUUAUGCACAAGAUUUUUAAAACUAUGGAGAUUUGACAUGUUGAAUUGGCUUCAAUCGAGAUUUCCUCGGCUUCUUAGGCACAUGAGGAACCGGCCUAACAUCUUUUCAAUCGAAAUGUGAAAAUUUGAUUCAUUGGCUAGUUUUAAUAUUAUAAGAAAUAGGUGACUAUUUUAAAAUAUUUCCUAUGAUCAUAGAGUAAUGUGAGGUUUACCAUACCAAGUGUGUAGUUAGAUUCAUGAUUGUACCCCUCCCUGCAAGUUGUUAGAAACUGGUAUGUCAAUUGAGGAGUACCAUUGCAACUACAUUUCAAUACCAAGUAAGUUGAUGUUUCCUAUAUGAAUCCUUUUUAUAGAUGAAGUUGUGUGUAGCUUUUCUUGAUUGAAUAUUGUCAACAACAAAAAAAAAAUAGUUUCAGAAGCACGACAUAAUUGAGAAAUGAAGUAUUAUUUGUUAAGUAAAUGAUUAUAGAAAAUUAGCUAUUGAAUGUUUUGAUCAUAUUAUGUAAACAUUCAUGAGGUAAUAUGUACAUAAUAAUGUGUCUCGGUAUCCAUGCCAUGCGACCAAUUUGCCUUGUUUCCCGGAAACUAAAGUCUUUACUUUUUUUUUGGGGGGAUAAACAUAUUAGUUCAAGAAGUAUAUACUUGAUAUAUGGCUAUAAGAAGAUGGACAUAUUAAUCUAUAACAUAAUAAAUAAAUAUGAAUCUUAAUUUGGCGUCAUCUGACAACUCUGUUAACUUUGGGUGUGUACAAGAAUGCACUUAAACUUGUAUAAAAUUGAACAAAUGGACACGUUCAUCUUACAUGACACCCUAUAUGGCGCCCUACUUUGUAGAUUUAGAUGACAAACUAUAUUUAUUUAUGCUAUAUUAUAAACACGAAUUCAACUCAAAAGUUAAAUUACUAAAAAUACCCUAUUAAAUUUUCUAACCUCAAGCCAAUACCCCUUCCUUAACUGUCAAUAAUGUUUCAUAUUCAAUAAGUAUGUAAGGCUAAAAUUUGUUACCAUAUCGAUGCUCAAUACUAUUCCCAAUAAUAUAACUCAACUCAUAUGUUUAAAAAUAUUUCAUCAUCCUUAAAUUUUGAGAUUAUUACUCAAAAUAUUAUCUUAAAAGAGAUGAAAUUAAAAACUCAUCAUGAACUCAUUUGAAAAUCAAUGUUUCCUCUCAUUUUAAAUGUAAAAAUAUUUACUCUUGGGAAUAUUUAGUUCCCAUAUAUUCAUUUAAAAAAAAUGAAAUAUCAACUCUCCUAAUCCUUAUACUUAAAUACUCAAGUCUUAAGUUUUAAAAGAUUGUAAGAAAAUUCUCAAAAUGACUUGAAAGAACUUUGAAAGUCUUAACUCUACCUUGGGCAAUGAUUCUUGUUAUGAAGAAUCUCUCUAUGUUUUGAUGUAGUAUAGAGUAGUUAGAAUCAGAAAGGAGUUAAGGUACACUUUAAAAGAAUUUAGACGAAGCAAGUAAUGGAAAAUGAGAGGGGGCAGGCUGCCCAUGCUCUCUGAUGCCGCGGGGCGCCAACCCUUGAACUUAAGAGUGAUAAUUUUUCUCACUACAAGGGCGGCACGCCAUCCCUCCUAGCACAUUAAUUGCGGGCCGCACUACCCCUCCCCAAAACGACCCGACAAAAAUUUUCUUUUCGUUUUCCGAUCCUAAUUCACCUAAAUCUAUUAAUUUCUUUAAAUUUGUCUUAAAUUCAAUUACCUAAUUCAAGUACACGAGAAUCUACUCACUUUUCCUCAAGAGCAACCCUCAAAGAUCAAAAUCCUCUCCUCAUGAAUUCAUCGAACUCCAUCAACAAAUCAUGAAAACAAAACCGCAAAACAUUCAUCAAGACUUAAAAUCAUUCAACCUCAAUAACUAAAUUAUUGAUGAAAUUUACAUGAUUGACAUGUGGGUGAGCGAACCCAACACUAUGAAAACCUGCAUACCUUAAUUUGGCGAAAUUCCUCGACAAAUCUGAAGAAUCCUGAUGAAUGCCUUAAACCUUUGCUCUUGAACUCCUCUCAAAAUCCUAAGAGUAAUUUACAGUUGUAAAGAUGAUUAAAAUUUGCUUAUACCUUUAAAUAUUACUAAAAAAUGUUUUGAUUGGGUAAGGAAAAGACCAAAAUACCCCUCAUUAGUUGGGUAAAAUUUCUUUACUUGACUGGUUGACUUCAAAUGGACAUAUCUCCCUCAUCCAAACUCAAAAUUUAGAAAACUAGGUGGCUUCGGAAAGAGGAUUGAAAAAAAUUUCAUAUGAUAUCUUAUGAGCCACCUAACUCAUCAUCUUUUGAAAGUUAUAAUCGUUUGAAGUUGACCCAAAACUCACAACUUAAGUAUAUCUUCAAAAAUUCUUAAUUUGGCUCAAUCCAAUUUAGUUCUUUCUAAAUUUAGAUCUUUCCUAAGGCUGAAUGGAACAAUAAUGAACAAAGGUUACUUCCUAAAGUACAUUCUAUGUGUUUUAUAAGAUGUUUAUUUUGCAUUGACCACAUUUAUGACUUUUUCUUUCUAAUAUGUUAUUUUAUUAUUUAGUUUGGUCAUUGCAUGUCAUGUAAAAUAUUUUUACCAUGAUUUCAUGUCUCUUAUGCAUUCUUAUCAUAUUUGGUACGUGUAAGAGUUAGUGUUUCAAUUAAUUUUGAAAUAAAUUCAUCCGUUUUGAAAUAACAAAUACAUGAAUGUGAGUUGUAACAUUCAUUUGUUUUAAUUUUAUGUUAUAAACAUUUGCAAGAAUUUAUUUUUAAUUCUACGUUAUGGAUUUUUGAAAGAUACGUUUUUUGUUUUAAAUUCAUGAACCUAAUAAAUUCUAUUAAUUAAAAAUCUUUUUCUUGCAAAACUUUUUAUCCUAUAAAUUGAGUUUCCUUUGGUUGAAAAAGAUAAGAAUUUCAAACAAAAGUACUUUCCAUUGAAAACACUUGUGAGACAUUGAUCAAAAGGUGAAAUCACCAAUUCAAGAAUAGAAGAUCAACAUUCUUGAAUGCUACUUGUUUUGUGGCUUAGUUGAAUCCCGAAGAUAGAGUUGUUAUUUAUUCUUCCGAUUGCUCGUGGGAGAGACUCCAACUAUCUUCAAGAAACGUAUUAACGUGCCUCUAUGCCAAGCAAGUUUUAUUUUGUAUUCCUUGUAAUUUUAUCAUUCUUGUUCAUUUGUUCUAACAGUACGUUCCAUGUUCUAAUGCAUAUUUGUGUCUGCAAUGCUUCACUAAUUUCGGGUACGAUAAUUCUUACCCCAUACUCGUGGCUAGUUGAUCCUUUUGAGAUUUUGAAGAUUGUUGAGUCCUCAUGAUCAGAGGGCUGAGAAUAUUUUGUUGAUUAUAUUUUUUUUCUAUUUUCAAACUUCUUAUGUGAUGUGUGAGUUACCUUCAAAGAUCUUUGUCUAUGAUGUACUAGACUGCCUUGAGACUUGUGUUAUCUUUCCACUUUUGUCAAAAUCUUUUGUAUGAAAUGCUAUCUUUUGGACUCUUUACUUCUAUUAUUGUAACGACCUGUUUAUUCGUUUUGAGCAGCAGAUUUUAUUUCUGGAAAAACAGGCUGAGGCGACGAACCCCACGACGGACCGUCAUGGGCACGACGGACCGUCGCAGGGUCUCGUUUCAAAACACUUAGAAAAUCUGAAAUUGGGUAAUGAAAAUCGACUCUCUGAACUUUGUGACAGAAUGGCAGGACGGACCGUCACAGGUGUGACGGACCGUCACAGGUGUGACGGACCGUCACAGACUCUUCAGAGAAAUUGAGUCUCUGAACUAUGCGACGGACAGCAGGACGGACCGUCGCAGGCGCGACGGCCCGUCACAGUUUGCGUAAUCCCAGUUGGAGUCGGAUUUCUGGUUAAGUUUUAAGGGACGUUUUUGACUAUUCUUGCCUUAAUUAUAAAGUUCGUGGGUUUAUAUUAAUAACUCAAAUUCUUAGAGUUAAAAGAGGUAACCCUAAGUUAAUUAGUGGGGUAUUAUUGCCAUCUUUUAUUCUUAAUUAUAUACUAAUUAGGGUAAAAGAAAGAGGGAUUGAAUAAUAAAAAUAGAAAGAACGAAGAGAGACAGAAAUAGAAAGAGAACGAGUAGAGAGAGAGAGAGAAACGAAGAGGAUAGCAAGGAUUUUGAGAAGAUAGCUUGUUGAUCGCAAUUCUUCGGUGGAGGUAGGUUAUGGUUUUCAUGCUUUCAUAGUAAACUCUUAAUAGAGAAUGAUAUGUAUUGGUAGUAUCGUAAACCCUACUAUAUGCUUAAUUGUAUGUUUGCAUGAAUAUGAUUAUGUGAUUGUGAUAAGAUAACAUGAUGAAAAUAUUGAAUCCCAAAUCUUGAAAAGAAACUUUAAUAUACAUUAUUAAUGAUGAUGCCUUGGUAUAGAAGAAGGCUUGAUGAAUUAAAGUAAUGGGAUUGAUGAUGCCUUGCUAUAGAAGAAGGCUUGAUGAAUUAAAGUAAUGGAAUUGAUGGUGCCUUGGAAUAGAGAAGGCUUGAUGAUUUACAGAAUGAUAUUAGUGGAUCGGAGUGUCACGUUCCAACACAUAGUAUUAGUAGAUCGGAGUGUCACGUUCCGACACAUAGUAUUAGUGGAUCGGAGUGUCACGUUCCGACACAUAGUAUUAGUGGAUCGGAGUGUCACGUUCUGACACAUAGUAUUAGUGGAUCGGAGUGUCACGUACCGACACAUGUAGGGGAUAAGAGUGUCACGUUCCGACACAUGUAGGGGAUCGGAGUGUCACGUACCGACACAUGUAGGGGAUCGGAGUGUCCCGUUCCGACACAUGUAGGGGAUCGGAGUGUCAUGUACCGACACAUGUAGGGGAUCGGAGUGUCACAUUCCGACACAUGUAGGGGAUCGGAGUGUCAUGUUCCGACACAUGUAGGGGAUCGGAGUGUCAUGUUCCGACACAUAGAAUUAGGGGAUCGGAGUGUCACGUACCGACACAUGUAGGGGAUCGGAGUGUCACGUUCCGACACAUGUAGGGGAUCGGAGUGUCACGUUUCGACACAUAGAAUUAGGGAUCGGAGUGUCACGUACCGACACAUAGUAGUAGGGGAUCGGAGUGUCACGUACCGACACAAGAGGAAGAAAGAUAAUGAAUCUUGAAAGAUGUUAAUAUACUCAAUCUAAUGAAUAUAAUUCCCAAAUGAGUAUGGUAUUGAGGCUUGAGCCCUCAUGGAUGAACUUGAUGGUAUUUAUGGACGAUUAUAAUACUUGUUGUUGCUACAUGUUGAGUUUUAUAGUUGAUUUAUGAUAUUGCUCGAUAUAUACUGUUCGCUAUUUUGAGUUGACCGAUGAUAUCUACUCAGUACCCGUGGUUUGUACUGACCCCUACUUUUAUGUUUUCUUUUUGUUAUUUGUGGAGUGCAGCAAACGUGCCGUCAUCUUCGACUCAACAGUAUCUCAAGCCAGUCUUCGUCACACCUGAUCUUCAGGGUGAGCUAACGCUUCUAGCUUGGACUGGAUCUUCUCCUUCAUGUCUUGAUGCCUUGAACUUCCGACAUGGACUAGCUUCUUAUGUAUUUUUAGCUUCUUAGAAACUCUUAGAAUUAGUAGUUUAAAGUAGAUGUUCUUGUGAUGAUGACUUCCAGGUUUUGGGAAUAAUAGAUGUUGAAUAUUGAUAGUUAUUGAAUUGGUUUUUAUUAAUGAGUUUAAGUCUUCCGCAUUACUUUCUGUUGUUAUUACAUUGAAAUGUUAAGGUUUAGAUUGGUUGGUUCGCUCACAUAGGAGGGUAAGUGUGGGUGCCAGUCGCAACCCGAUUUGGGUCAUGACAAACUUGGUAUCAGAGCAUUAGGUUCGUUGGUCUCAUCACACAAGAACAGGUCUAGUAGAGACUUAAGGAACGGUAGGGGGACACCUUUACUUUUCCUUGAGAGGCUAUAAGACUUUAGGAAAAAUUUCACUCUUUCAUUCUUUCUUUCGUGCUACUACUUGAGUCCAAUUGGUAUCUAGGCGAUACGAAUUGGUAUCUGACCAUCUUCACUCUCUUUCGCAAAUGGUUAGAACUAGAGCAACGACUACGUCAACACCAACACCGGCCAGACAAGAAACAACUGAGCCAGCCACUGGGGCUGUGGCUCGAGGAAGAACAGCAGCAAGAGGCCGUGGUAGAGGUCGUGGGAGGACGUUCUCUAGAGGAAGAGGACGAGCACCUAGCCCGUCUGAUACUAGGGCGGUGACUCCUCCACCGACUGAGGAAGUGGUAAGAGAGGGUGAGGAAGGGGAGAAUGAACAAGUGCAAAAUGAGGAAUUUCCACCCCAACCUACCCCAGAGAUGAUCAAUCAGGUUCUCGCUUAUCUUAGUGGGUUGUCUGAUCAGGGUCAGGCCCCUCCAGUGUUUUCUACGCCAACACCUCCGGUUUCAGAGGUACAACAUGCGGCUGCUAUGGCUCCCCGCAUGGAUGUUCCAUUAGGAAUAAGUACAUUUCCACGUCUGACUACUGGGCCUAUAAUGACAAAUGAUCAGCAUGAACUUUUCAGUAAGUUAUUGAAAUUGAAACCUCCAGUCUUCAAGGGUGCUGAAUCUAAGGAUGCUUACGAUUUUCUGGUUGACUGUCAUGAGCUACUACACAAGAUGGGUAUAGUAGAACGGUUUGGUGGUGAGUUCGUGAGUUAUCAGUUUCAAGGGAAUGCCAAAAUGUGGUGGCGGUCACAUAUCUAGUGUCAACCAAUAGAGACACCACCUAUGACUUGGGCCUCAUUCUCUAGUUUGUUUAUGGAGAAGUAUAUCCCCCGGACUUUGAGGGAUAGGAAAAGGGAUGAGUUCUUGAGCCUAGAGCAAGGUAGGAUGUCGGGUAAUGCUUAUAAGGCUAAGUUUCGUGCACUAUCCAGAUAUGCCACUCAACUCUGUUUCAGUCCUCAAGAGUGGAUUCGCCGGUUUGUGAAGGGGUUGAGGUCAGAAUUGCGGAUUUCGGCCUUACAGAUAGCGGCAACGGCAAAAUCCUUCCAAGAAGUGGUAGACUUUGUGAUAGAAGUGGAAGGAGUGAAGCCAGACGACUUCACCACAACAUCGACAUCAAAGAGAUUUCGAAAGGGAGGUGAGUUUAAUGAUUCUUACACUAAAGGACAGGGUUCGGGAAGUUACGCAAUUCGACCCAUUUAGUCUUCACUACAGACUGUAGUUGGGGGUCCACCUCCGACCGGUCAACACUUCUCUGAGAGACCUAUGCAUGAACCCAGAGAGUGCUAUGGAUGUGGGGAGAUUGGACAUAUUAAGAGAUAUUGUCCAAAACAGAGUUACAGACCUCCAAAUGUUAGAGGUAGAGGUGGUCAUGGCAGAGGCCGUUAUUCUGGAGGACGUGGUGGUCGAGGAAAUGGUGGUCACCAAAACGGCCGAGGUGAUGGGCAAACUGGAGCCACUACAUCACAACAUGGUAGGGGCAACGGACAGAUGAACGAUAGGGCCCAUUGUUACGCUUUCCCUGGGCGGUCUGAAGCGGAGGCAUCUGAUGUUGUCAUCACAGGUAAUCUUCUGGUUUGUGAUUGCAUUGCUUCUGUAUUGUUUGAUCCUGGAUCCACGUUUUCUUAUGUAUCUUCCUCAUUUGCUAAUGGUCUAAAUUUACAUUGUGAAUUUCUUGAUAUGCCUAUUCCUGUUUCUACUCCGGUGGGUAAGUCUGUGGUAGUUGAAAAGGUAUAUAGGUCUUGUUUGGUAAACUUUGUGGGGAGCAACACUUAUGUAGAUUUGGUUAUCUUAGAAAUGGAUGAUUUGUAUGUGAUUCUGGGUAUGACUUGGCUUUCUCCGCAAUUUUCAAUCUUGGAUUGUAAUGCUAAAAUGGUGACGUUAGCCAAGCCUGGGACAGACCCGUUAGUGUGGGAAGGUGACUACACUUCCAAUCCGGUCCGCAUCGUCUCCUUUCUUCGUGCUAAGAAAAUGAUUAGUAAAGGGUGUUUAGCUUUCUUGGCACAUCUCAAGGAUGACACUACCCAAGUACCUUCGAUUGAGUCGGUUUCAGUAGUUUGUGAGUUUCUGGAUGUGUUCCCUGUAGAUCUUCCUGGUAUGCCAUCGGAUAGGGAUAUUGACUUCUGUAUUAAUCUCGAACCGGGCACACGCCCCAUUUCUAUACCCCCUUAUAGAAUGGCUCCCGCGGAGUUAAGAGAGUUAAAGGCACAAUUUCAAGAGUUAUUGAACAAAGGCUUUAUUAGACCAAGUGCAUCUCCUUGGGGUGCUCCGGUUUUGUUUGUAAAGAAGAAGGAUGGGAGUUUUCGAAUGUGUAUAGACUACAGACAACUAAACAAGGUAACCAUAAAGAACAAGUAUCCUCUUCCCCGCAUUGAUGACUUGUUCGAUCAGUUACAAGGUGCUUGUGUCUUCUCUAAGAUUGACUUGAGAUCCGGUUAUCAUCAAUUGAAAAUACGGGCAACGAAUGUGCCAAAGACUGCUUUUCGAACGAGGUAUGGGCAUUACGAAUUUGUAGUGAUGUCUUUUGGUCUAACGAAUGCCCCUGCUGCGUUCAUGAGCUUGAUGAACGGGAUUUUUAAGCCAUAUUUGGACCUCUUCGUGAUCGUAUUUAUUGAUGAUAUAUUGGUAUACUCAAAGAGUAAGAAGGAACAUGAAGAACAUUUGAGAAUGGUAUUGGAAACGUUGAAGGAGAAAAAGCUUUAUGCCAAGUUCUCUAAGUGUGAGUUUUGGCUAGAUGCAGUGUCCUUCUUGGGGCACGUGGUUUAUAAGGAAGGAGUGGUGGUGGAUCCUUCUAAGAUUGAGACAGUGAAGAAUUGGGUAAGACCUACUAAUGUGUCAGAAAUAAGGAGUUUUGUUGGGUUAGCUGGCUACUACCGCCGAUUUGUCAAGGGAUUCUCUUCUAUUGCUUCCCAAUUGACGAACUUGACUAAGCAGAAUGUCCCAUUUGUAUGGUCGGACGAAUGUGAGGAAAACUUUCAGAAGCUUAAGACUUUGUUGACUACUGCACCUAUCCUUACCUUGCCAGUAGAGGGUAGGAACUUCAUUGUUUAUUGUGAUGCAUCCUAUUCUGGUUUGGGUGCAGUGCUAAUGCAAGAGAAGAAUGUGAUUGCGUAUGCUUCGAUGCAAUUAAAAGUGCAUGAAUGUAACUAUCCAACCCACGAUUUGGAAUUGGCUGCGGUAGUGUUUGCAUUAAAGCAAUGGAGACACUAUUUAUAUGGGGUUAAGUGUGAGGUCUGUACGGAUCAUCGUAGCCUUCAGUAUGUCUUUACUCAGAAAGAUUUGAACUUGAGGCAACGGAGAUGGAUGGAGCUGCUAAAGGACUACGACAUCACUAUUUUGUAUCAUCCGGGGAAGGCGAAUGUUGUAGCGGAUGCUUUAAGUAGAAAAGCGGUAAGCAUGGGAAGCCUAGCUCACUUGCAAACUUCUAGACGCCCUUUGGCUAGAGAGGUUUAGACUCUAGCUAAUGACUUGAUGAGAUUAGAAGUAAAUGAGAAGGGAGGAUUGUUGGCUUCUGUAGAGUCAAUAUCUUUUUUUCUUGACAAAAUUAUGGGAAAACAGUUUGAUGAUGAGAAACUAAGAAGAAUCCAAGAUAAGGUAUUGCGAGGAGAGGCUAAGGAAGCACAAAUCAAUGAGGAAGGUGUUUUGAGAAUCAAGGGAAGGGUAUGUGUGCCCCGUGUUGAUGAUUUGAUCAACACUAUUCUGACAGAAGCUCAUAGUUCAAGGUAUUCUAUACAUCCGGGUGCAACCAAGAUGUAUCGUGACCUAAAACAACACUUUUGGUGGAGUAGAAUGAAGCGUGACAUUGUGGAUUUUAUUGCCAAAUGUCCAAACUGUCAACAAGUAAAGUAUGAACACCAAAGGCUCGGAGGAACACUUCAGAGAAUGCCCAUUCCGGAAUGGAAGUGGGAAAGGAUUGCAAUGGAUUUUGUGGUUGGUCUUCCGAAGACAAUGGGUAAGUAUGACUCCAUUUGGGUGAUUGUUGAUAGGUUAACUAAAUCUGCUCAUUUUAUUCCGGUCAAGGUAACUUACAAUGCAGAAAAGUUAGCCAAACUUUACAUCUCGGAAGUGGUGCGAUUGCAUGGGAUUCCACUAUCCAUCAUAUCAGAUAGAGGUACGCAGUUUACUUCUAUGUUUUGGAAAACAUUGCAUGCUGAAUUGGGUACUAGGUUGGACCUUAGUAUUGCGUUCCAUCCCCAGCCCGAUGGUCAGUCUGAGCGAACGAUUCAAGUGUUGGAGGAUAUGCUCCGUGCGUGUGUGAUGGAAUUUGGUGGCCAUUGGAAUAGCUUCUUACCCUUAGCGGAAUUUUCAUCCAAUAAUAGCUAUCACUCUAGCAUUGAUAUGGCCCCAUUUGAAGCAUUAUAUGGGAGGAGAUGUAGGUCUCCCAUUGGUUGGUUUGAUGCGUUCGAGGUUAGACCUUGGGGUACUGAUCUCUUGAGGGAUUCGAUGGAAAAAGUGAAGUCUAUUUAAGAAAAGCUUCUAGCGGCGCAAAGUAGACAAAAAGAAUAUGCAGAUCGAAAGGUUAGAGACUUAGAGUUCAUGGAGGGUGAACAAGUCUUGUUGAAAGUUUCACCAAUGAAAGGGGUGAUGCAGUUUGGUAAAAGGGGUAAACUAAGUCCAAGGUACAUUGGACCAUUUGAAGUACUUAAGAGAGUAGGAGAGGUGGCUUAUGAGUUAGCCUUGCCUCCAGGGCUGUCCGGAGUACACCCGGUAUUCCAUGUGUCGAUGUUGAAAAGAUACCAUGGGGAUGGGAACUACAUUAUCCGUUGGGAUUCAGUUUUGCUUGAUGAGAACUUGUCUUAUGAGGAGGAGCCUGUGGCUAUUUUAGAUAGAGAAGUUCGCAAGUUGAGGUCAAGAAAGAUUGCCUCCAUCAAGGUGCAAUGGAAGAAUCAACCCGUUGAAGAAGCCACUUGGGAGAAGGAGGCGGAUAUGCGAGAAAAAUACCCACAUCUGUUUACAGAUUCAGGUACUCCUUUUCGCCCUUGUUUUCCUUCUUGUGAUCGUUCGGGGAAGAACGAUGGGUAAAUUGGUAUCUAAUGUAACGACCUGUUAAGUCGUUUUGAGCAGGGUCUUGUUUCAAAACACUUAGAAAAUCUGAAAUUGGGUACUGAAAAUCGACUCUCUGAACUUUGUGACGGAAUGGCAGGACGGACCAUCACAGGUGUGACGGACCGUCACAGACUCUUCAGAGAAAUUGAGUCUCUGAACUAUGCGACGGACAGCAGGACGGACCGUCGCAGGCGCGACGGCCCGUCACAGUUUGCGUAAUCCCAGUUAGAGUCGGAUUUGUGGUUAAGUUUUAAGGGACAUUUUUGACUAUUCUUGCCUUAAUUAUAAAGUUCGUGGGUUUAUAUUAAUAACUCAAAUUCUUGAGGGUUAAAAGAGGUAACCCUUAGUUAAUUAGUGGGGUAUUAUUGCCAUCUUUUAUUCUUAAUUAUAUACUAAUUAGGGUAAAGAAAGAGGGUUUGAAUAAGAAAAAUAGAAGGAAUGAAGAGAGAUAGAAAAAGAAAGAGAACGAGUAGAGAGAGAGAGAAACGAAGAGGAUAGCAAGGAUUUUGAGAAGAUAGCUUGUUGAUCGCAAUUCUUCGGUGGAGGUAGGUUAUGGUUUUCAUGCUUUCAUAGUAAACUCUUAAUAGAGAAUGAUAUGUAUUGUUAGUAUUGUAAACCCUACUAUAUGUUUAAUUGUAUGUUUGCAUGAAUAUGAUUAUGUGAUUGUGAUAAGAUAACAUGAUGAAAAUAUUGAAUCCCAAAUCUUGAAAAGAAACUUUAAUAUACAUUAUUAAUGAUGAUGCCUUGGUAUAGAAGAAGGCUUGAUGAAUUAAAGUAAUGGGAUUGAUGAUGCCUUGGUAUAGAAGAAGGCUUGAUGAAUUAAAGUAAUGGAAUUGAUGAUGCCUUGGAAUAGAGAAGGCUUGAUGAUUUACAUAAUGAUAUUAGUGGAUCGGAGUGUCACGUUCCGACACAUAGUAUUAGUGGAUCGGAGUGUCACGUUCCGACACAUAGUAUUAGUGGAUCGGAGUGUCACGUUCCGACACAUAGUAUUAGUGGAUCGGAGUUUCACGUUCCGACACAUAGUAUUAGUGGAUCGGAGUGUCACGUACCGACACAUAGUAUUAGUGAAUCGGAGUGUCACGUACCGACACAUGUAGGGGAUCAGAGUGUCACGUUCCGACACAUGUAGGGAUCGGAGUGUCACGUACCGACACAUGUAGGGGAUCGGAGUGUCACGUUUCGACACAUGUAGGGGAUCGGAGUGUCACGUACCGACACAUGUAGGGGAUCGGAGUGUCACGUUCCGAUACAUGUAGGGGAACGGAGUGUCACGUUCCGACACAUAGAAUUAGGGGAUCGGAGUGUCACGUACCGACACAUGUAGGGGAUCGGAGUGUCACGUUCCGACACAUGUAGGGGAUCGGAGUGUCACGUUCCGACACAUAGAAUUAGGGGAUCGGAGUGUCACGUACCGACACAUAGUAGUAGGGGAUCGGAAUGUCACGUACCGACACAAGAGGAAGAAAGAUAAUGAAUCUUGAAAGAUGUUAAUAUACUCAAUCUAAUGAAUAUAGUUCCCAAAUGAGUAUGGUAUUGAGGCUUGAGCCCUCAUGGAUGAACUUGAUGGUAUUUAUUGACGAUUAUAAUACUUGUUGUUGCUACAUGUUGAGUUUUAUAGUUGAUUUAUGAUAUUGCUCGAUAUAUAUUGUUCGCUAUUUUGAGUUGACUGAUGAUAUCUACUCAGUACCCGUGAUUUGUACUGACCCCUACUUUUAUGUUUUCUUUUUGUUAUUUGUGGAGUGCAGCAAACGUGCCGUCAUCUUCGACUCAACAGUAACUCAAGCCAUUCUUCGUCACACCGGAUCUUCAAGGUGAGCUAACGCUUCUAGCUUGGACUGGAUCUUCUCCUUCAUGUCUUGAUGCCUUGAACUUCCGGCAUGGACUAGCUUCUUAUGUAUUUUUAGCUUCUUAGAAACUCUUAGAAUUAGUAGUUUAAAGUAGAUGUUCUUGUGAUGAUGACUUCCAGGUUUUGGGAAUAAUAGAUGUUGAAUAUUGAUAGUUAUUGAAUUGGUUUUUAUUAAUGAGUUUAAGUCUUCUGCAUUACUUUCUGUUGUUAUUACAUUGAAAUGUUAAGGUUUAGAUUGGUUGGUUCGCUCACAUAGGAGGGUAAGUGUGGGUGCCAGUCGCAACCCGGUUUGGGUCGUGACAAUUAUAUUUUUUGAUGUGUGAUAAGUGACUUGAGAAGGGUUUCGCGAGGUUCUAUCCGUCAUGUUACGCCCAGGGUCUACUUUGGAUCGUGACAUAUAAUCUCUUUCAAUUCUUACAUUCUUCUUUAGAAUUCUUCUGAUAUUUUGCCAGGCUUCACAGAUUAAUCAAUCAUGUGUCUUUAGUGUGAUAUUUAUAACAUUAAAAUUUUUUUAGAAAGUCCAUAAAUCUAUCCUGAUCUUUCUCAUUAUAAUCAUUUUUAAAAAUAUGACAAAUAAAGAAUCUCUUCUAAUAAGAGAAAUAUGAAUCCUAUAUUGUGGGAUAAAAGUUUUACCAAACAUUAUUACCAACAAUCACGGUAAAAAAAGAAAGAAAAAAUGGUGAACCACUUAAAAAAUGACAAAUAUAACUAUAACCAAGAAAUAUUGAAAUCAUGCAAAAAUGUUGGUAUCAUUCCCACUAAUUAAUCCUUCUGAAACAAAAUUAAAUUAAUAAUAACAAUAAUAAUGAUGAUUAAAUAUUUAAAAUUAAUCUUUCUUAUUUAACUAUUGUUUGCAUUUUUUUCUCUCUUAUGUCAGACUAAAGCUAAAUAUUUGUUACAAAUUCAAACUUAGUCAUCACGAAAAAUUCACAACAACACAAAUUUAGAGAAAGGUAGUGAGAUAUAUCCACAAAAAUAGUACAAUUUUUGACAUAAACAUUUCCUACGAUAAAAUCAUUUUAUCCUUCUCACAUUUUCAAAUCUUUAUUUCGUGCAUAUUUUUUGAAAAUCUCUUCCCCAUCAAUGGAGAUUCUUCAACAGAACUACCAUAUAGAAGACGAAUCAUGAGAUACAAAAAUACAUACAAUAAUAGAUGUCACUGAGGUGUAUUUUAAAUAAAACUUGACAAUGUAGAAACCUUUUGAAAACAAUUAUUUGUCUCUCCUUUCAAAAUUUGUGCUUUUAAAAUGAAGUUGUAAAUUCAACAUUAUAUGUUAAUUUCAUUUAUGGUCAUGCACCCGGCCUUCCUAGUGGAGGUAUCUCAUGAUUACGAACGUUAACCAUCGAUCAUUUAUAUUGAAGUAAGAUUGCUUGCGGACAAUAUUCAUACAUCCACCUAAUAGUCAUUGUGCAAAUUAAAUUCAUUGAUAAAAUGAUGUAAAAAUCUUGUGAACCCAUGCACCCCUCCCUGGAUUAUGUAAAGUACUUGUGAACCAACUUAUGCAUCCAUUCCUACAUUAUAUAAAAAGCACUGCAAUUACUCUUGAUAAAUUCAUUAAAUUUUAUGUGGGAACCAGGCUAAAAAAUUUGAAAUAUCCAUCUACAAAAUUUUCUUGUUUGAAUCUUUAGAAAAUUACAAACAAAAGUCACAUUUUUUUCUCAAAAAAAUUAUGGUAUCUCUUUUUAGUAUUUUCUUCAAUUUAUUUCUCUAAUUUGUAAGUGUGUUUUUGAAUAAUGAAGAUAUUUUAACCUUACCCUUAGAAAAGAUAAACUUCAGCAUAAAGCUUUUAAAUGUGUCUUUCUUGGGUAUUCUCGUCUACAAAAAGGUUACAAAUGCUUUGAUCCCUCUACCAAUAAGUACUUGAUCUCUGCACAUGCUACUUUUUUCGAGACUUCUCUGUAUUUUUCUCCUAAUACGAUAAAUUAGAUGGUCAUAGUAGUCCUUCCCAUCCAACUAUUCCAACCCCAACUCCACCUCCACCUAAAUACACAUGAUGUUAGUAGAGGAUGAAGAGGUAAUAUAAAUAUCUCUCUAGUGUCAUGGGUUACUCCAGCAUGCCGGCACAAUUUCGUGACCCGAAUUGGAAACGACAGAGAGCUCUGCUUUUGUUUGUCCCUCAUGUCCAUCUCUUGUGAAGUAAGCAGCCGCGAUUUGAUGUGAUAUGGACAUGAUACAACCAAGGAAAGUUGAAUUAGGAUAGUGCAAAAUUUACUCGUUCUGGGAUGACAUUAUGGUGCUGCUGAUGAAGCCGAACCAGAAUGUAGCUGCAAUGUUCAAAUCCCUCUUCUCAAUAGGGACUCCUACUCUGAUCCACCUCGGGGUGGUGUCAGAAAUCAAAGGAUUCAACCACAUCUUCAGGUCAUAUAUGGACUGAACAAUAGGCAAUCCCUCGACUAACUUUAUCGUUCUAAACUCGUUCGCCUUGUUCUUAUUCUUUGGAACCAACUCCCCAUAAGCUGUGUAAAAUUCCCUAAUCCAAGAAAGACGGGCCUCGGGGCUUUUUGAACUGUUCGAACUCAUGGUAGGGGGGGGUAUCUAGAACAUUGGGAUAUUUGCCUUCUAGGCCCUCCAUAGACAAUGAUUUGUACCCCCACCACCUUUUAAUAUGUUCAGCAAUGUGGGUUGAAGAAUGAUAGGGAGUGCGGGGGCCACUGGAGGUGCCUGAGCUAGCACUGAAUUUGAUUCAGGAGGGUGGCAACUGAGGGAAUUCUGGUGGAUGUAGAGAUCUAGCCUGGAAUUGAUUCUUUUGGUUGAUCAGAGGCUUCUCAUCUUAUGGUUUAGAGAAAUCUGCAUCUAUAGCUAUUCCUUUCCUAGACAUGUGCUUUUUCCUUUUGCCUUUGUCUCCCAGUGAGAGUUCUUGCCGUCUAUUUUCUGGGAGAUUUGAUCCCCCUUCGUUUAUCUUUAUGCCUUGUACUUUUGUUUUGGGUGACAUCAUUAGAUUUGUAUGCACUUACCUGUAAUAUAUUUAAAGAAAUUAUGAGAAAACCAAACAUAGAUGCAGAAAUUUUACUGCAGGCAGACUCAUUGAACCACUCAGCGAGUCGUUGAACCUCUUGGCAAGAUAAGUCGGGCUCGCCAAAGUGGUUGGCUUAGGGAUUAUGGCAAGUCGGUGAUAGGAAGGCUAUUUUAGCGAAUCGCCAAAUUUUUUCGGGGAGCGAGGGUUUUUCCACCAAAAGUCAUAGUGCACUAAGUGUUCAGGAGAGCAUGCGAAGGGUGAUCAAGAGUAUUUACGGUGAGUCGUCGAGUUCUUUCAGCGAACCAAAAGCUUCUCACCAAAAGUUACAGACUUACACAUCAUUUUACACGAGAUUAAGGGUGAGAUGGAGACAGUUGGCCAAUAGACGAGCAUUUAGGUAAGCUCGACCCAACUCACCACAAAUUGCCCAACGUGUCUAUUUUUGAGCCAUCUUCUUUAAUUUGACCUUGCAUUCCCGAAACACGAACUAACAGAACUAAAACAAGACUCAUACUAUCCAUUACCUCGGAUACUCAAGAUUUUCCCAGUUUUGCUAAAUUUGGCCAUUUGACGAUAAUUUCUCUUAAGAAGGGUGUCACCCACUCUAUCAUUGAAUCAUUGAGUCAUUUAGCAAACACAUGGGCUACUUAGGCUUCACCUAAUUGCACAACCCAAAACAUUUCGAUUCAUUUAGAUACACCAAAAUUACGGGCAUUUAAUGAUCAAAACAUUAUAGGCAAUGUUUUCAAAUUUAAAUAGGCAUUUAAAUAUUCUAAUUCGAUCAGAAAGGCCUAGCACAUAACAAUACAAUAAGAUCAUUGUAAAUGAGUAUGAAUUUUUCAAAAGUAAACUCAGGGUUUCAGAUAACUAACCAUUUUUGCGAUCAAAAUGUGAUUUAAAAGUUAGGAGGCCAUGCAAUCCAACUACGAGCACUAAUCAACAAACAAAAAUACUUUUAAAACGUAAGAAUAUUGAAAUUACUACCUUAAUGUGAGUUUGUGAAGUUUAAAGGCGAGGGAAAGUGAAUAAGUUCAAAUUUUAAAACUUUUGGCCAUUAUAUAACAUCUAUUUUGUGUCCAUUCGGCAAAAUUAUUCGCACUCGCCAAUCAACUCGGAGAUUUUCUUAGUGGUCACUAGCCUCGUCGAGUUUUACACGACCUUCAAUCAAAGUGAGGAUCCAAACGACGGUCUUAGUGGGGUACGCUGCACGGGUCGGUAAUUUAUCGACUGCCCAUUUUACUCGCCAAUCUGUACUUUCCAUACUCUAUCUGCUUUUAAAGAUGAACCACUAACACACCAUUAUUUAUAAAAUUAAACUAAAGCAUUUAAAACCUUGGGUUGUCUCCCAAGAAGAAUUUUAGCUAAUUUUGUAGUAUGACGCGAGUCGUUACUCACUCUUCGUUGGUGGGGUUGUUCCUAGUGAUACUAGGUUACCCCAACUGGCCGAGCGGGUUGAGAUGAGUGUUUCUAUCUUCUUGAUGGAUCUACAGUGAGACCAAUCAUUUGACUCAACGGUCUUACACUCUAUUUCAUCUAUUCCAUCACUCUAUCAUGUUUAGAGAUCUGUUGGAGAGUGAUCAGUAGUGUGUCCUCAACAUGACUGUCCUCCUCGUCUCUAGACCUUCUCUGCUCAUGAGGGGUACAUACCUCCCUUGACACUUGCACUGAUUUUGCACUUCUGAGAAUUUGGUGGCCAAGUCAUUCAGCUGAGUUACCAGUACAAAUAACAAGAAGUCACCCUCGACUUCUUGGUUCACCUCAGCAGACUUACCACCACUUUCCUCAGCCACGCUUAAAGUUCCUGCCUUACAACAACUACGCAAAAGGAAAAACAAAACAAAAAAUUUAAAGUUAGUAAAACUACAACUAACAAGAACAUAAAAUCUACUUAACUACGUAUUCUCGCAUAACACCAAUCCUCGGUGGUGGUGACAUUUUGAUCGGUGAUAUCAUCAAAGAAAUAACAUUCAAAGUGUCUACGAUCGUACCGUAGUAUAGUAACCCAACCAAGGGUUGGGUUCAUUUCCACUAGGAGAGGUUGUGAUAAUUAAUAUAAAUGUAAAAUCUAGUUCUAAUUAGUCGUAGUUAAAGACAUUACCGAUUAAAAACAUAUUAAAUCAAAGGGGGUGAAGCAAGAGUCAAUUGUCAAAUGGGGUUUUUGUCACAAGUAAAUAAAAAUAGUGAAAUUAACAAAGAGUUCUAAAUAAAGGUGAGGGGGAUUCUGGGAUGUGAUAGGAAUAUGGGAUAAACGAGAUUAUCGGGUAGAAUUCAUAGAGUGAUUGUGGCAUAAGUUCUCUCUCGAUGAACUUACCCUCAAAUGGAUUCCUGUCAGACACCCACUUGCCGCAUGAAGCAUAACCUCCACCUUAAACCACUCACUCUCUCGGGAAGAGUGUGUGGGAAGAAACUAGGGUGAACUCUCUUGAGUUGAAACUCAUGUCGACCCACUCCCACCAAUCACUAAUUUAGUAGUCUUACAUUCACGAUCUCUCUCUCUAGCAAGUCAAAACACAUAUAUGAGAUUAUAUUAGCAACUAUAACCUCAUUAAAUUCAUCCAGAACUGCUAAACAAAAUCACAUUUAAACUACGAAUAAGCAAUCAUCAAGCAAGACCCAACAACUAAUUUAACCAUAUCCACAAAAUCACACCCAAAAAUUAGAGCUUUAGCUAGACAUGUACAAGAUAUAGAAACUUAUACCAAAAAUGAGCUUGCAUUCAAAUGGGUAUGAAGAUUUAAGUCUUUUUACAGGCCAAAAGUGAAGAAUACAAGAGACCCAAGUCCAAAUCCUUGAAGAUGAAACCCUUUGGAUCUUCAAGUUCUUGCAAAACUAUAAAUACUUGGAGAGGGUUUUUUAAGAACUUGAAGUAAAAAUCUGAUAGUACUUUGUAAAGUACGAUAGUUUUCAAGAAAUUUUGAUGCAGUUGAUGACUCGGAGACAUUAGUCGGAAUGGCCGAUUAACUCGGCCUUCGCCCAUUGGUAUAGAUCACCACUGUCUUGCACUAGCCUUCAACAUCAUAGUGCUUUGGAUCAUUGGGCGAUAUAGUACUGCUUUGUGGAACUACUCGGUGAUGUGCUGACUACUCCUUUUCACCGUCGAUUUGAUCCUUUCUUUCAGGCUCAACAGACUAGAAAAAAAGGCGAUCUUCAGUCCUAUUGUCGAUUCACCUAGUGGACCCGGCAAUCCUCGUGUCUUCAUUUCUUCGUUCUUUUCAUCCUUUUUGCUGUUUUUUGACAAGUAGUGUCCAUGUUUUGCCUCAAACUCAAUAUACCUGAAACUCAAGGUUAUUAUUUAGUAAUUAAGACAAAAAAAGUAUUUGAGAACACUAUUGUAUCAAAAUAUAGCCCUAAAUGAGUCCAAUAUGUGGAGUCAUCAGCCACCCCUUUCUAGAACAAGCCGACAUAUUUUUCUUCUAGUUUUCUGAUCCUAAUUCGCGUAGAGUUGAUUGAUUUCCUCAAAAUUUCCUUAGAUUCAAUUUCCCAAUAGAACAACACAAGAAUAUAGUCACUUUUAAUCAAGAACAAUCCUCAAAUAUCGAAAUCCUCACAACAAGAAUUAAUCAAACUCCAUAAAUAAAGCAUGAAGAAUGAAGCCUCAAAAACACCCCUCAAGAAUUCAAAACAUUCAACCUCAAGAAAGAAAUAACGGUUGGAAUUUACUUAAUUGGCGUGUGGGUGAACAAACCCCACACUAUGAAAAUUACAUACAUUAAUUUAGCGAAAUUCCUACACAAAUCUCAAGAAUCUUGAUGAUCACCUUCAAUCUCUCCUCUUGAACUCCUCUCAAAACCCUAAGAGUAAUUUAGAGUUCUAAAACUGAUCCAAAUUAUUUUAUACCUAUAAAAUAUAAUAAAAAUUCUUUAAAGUUGAUAAAGUAAGAAAUAAAAAAAUCAUUAAUUCAAGUAAAUUUUCUUAACUGGAAAGAAUGACUUGAAACAAACAUAUCUUCAUUAUCCAAACUCGAAAUUUAGAAAACUCGGUGGUGUUGAAAAAAGGAUUGAAAGAAAUUUCAUUUGAUAUCUUAUGGGAAAUCUAACUUAUCGUGUUCUGAAAGUUAUGAUUGUUUUAAAUUGACCCAAAACUCAUAAACUAAGCAUAACUUGUAAAAUUCGCAAUUCGGCUCUUUCUAAUUUAGUUUUUUAUUUCUUAAUUUAGCUCUUUGCUAAGGCAAAAUGUUACAAUAUUGAAAAAAGGUUACUUUCUUAAGUAUCUCAUAUGUGUUUUAUUAGAUGUUUAACUUGCAUUGACCACAUUUAUGACUUUUGAUUUCUAACAUGUUAUUUUAUUAUUUAGCUUGGUCAUUGAAUGUCAUGUAAAGUACUUUUAGCAUGAUUUCAUAACUUCUAUGCAUUGUUAUCAUACUUGAUAUAUUCCAUGUUCUAAUGCAUAUUUGUGUCUACAAUGUUUCACUAAUGUCGGGUCCGACAAUCCUUUUCCCCAUACUUGUGGUUGGUUGAUCUUUUUGAGCUUUUGAAGAUUAGUGAGUCCUCAUGAUCAGAGGGCCGUUAAUAUUUUAUUGAUUUUAGUUUUUUAAGUCCCAAUAUAUUUAUCUAUGAUGUAAUACACAUCCUUGAGGUUUAAGUUAGAUUUCCAUUUUUGUCGAACUUUUUUUAUGAAAUGCUAUCAUCUAAACUCUUUACUUCUAUUAUAUUGUUUGAUGUACGCCAUCAUGUUAUGCCCAGAAUUUACUUUGGAUCGUGGCAUGUAAUCUCUUUCAAUUCGUACAUUCUACUUUAGAAUUUUUCUGAUAUUUUGUCAGGCUUAAAAAAUUAAUCCAUCAUGUGUACUUGGUGUGAUAUUUGUAGAAUGAAAAAAGUAGAAUGUCCAUUAAUCUUAUCGUUUUCUUUCUCAUAAUAAUCAUUUUUAAAACAUACGACAUACAGUGAAAGAAUUUGUUCUAAUAAGAGAAAUAUGAAUCCUAUAUUGUGGGAUAAAAUAUCUACCGAACGUUAGUACCAACAAACAUGGUCAAAAACAAAGAGAAAAUAGUGAACUAUCUAAAAAAUGAUAAAUAUAAGUAUAACCAAGAAAUAUUGUGUAACGACCUGUUAGUCGUUUUGAGUAGUAGAGUUUAAUUCUGGUAAUAACUGUUUGGGUCGACGGAUCCCAAGACGGACCGUCAUGGGCACGACGGACCGUCGAGGAGGUCUCGUUUCAAAACACUUAGAUUCUGGAAAUUUGGGUACUGAGAACAACUCUGUGAACUUCGUGACGACAUGGCAGGACGGACCAUCGUAGGCACGAUGAACCGUCACAGAGUCUUAUAUAAAAUCAACUCUCUGAACUUUGUGACGGAAGCAGCAGGACGGACCGUCGCAGGCACGAAGGGCCGUCACAGGCAGCGUAACCCUGACUGGGUCGGAUUUCUGUUAAAUGUUUUAAGGGGCGUUUUGGACUAUUCCUGCUUAUAAUUAUAAAAUUAGUGGUUGAAUGUUGAUAUUUCAAUUACUUGGGGGUUAAAGGAGAUAACCUUGAAUUAAUUAGUGGGUUACUUUGGUCAUCUUUUAUACUUAAUUAUAUGGUAAUUAGGGUAAAAGAAAAAGAGCUUGAAUAAGGAAAAAUCAGAAAAAAAGAGAAAGAGAGGGAGAAUGAUCGAGGGAAGAGAGAAAAGAAGAAGAAAGCAAAGGUUUUGGGGGAUAGCUUGCUUGAUCGUGAAUUCUUCAGUGGAGGUAGGUUAUGGUUUAUGCUAUUUCGUAGUAAAACUCUUAAUAGCGAAUGAUAUGUAUUGGGUAAUUUUGUAAAGUCUUCUAUAUGCUUAAUUAUGUGCUUGCGUGAUAUGAUUAUGUAAUUGUGAUGAAUUAGCAUGAUGAGGCUGUUGAAUCUUAAACCUUAAAACCUCUCUAUUAGUUAUGAUGCCUUGGUAUAAAAGAAGGCUUGAUGAACUAAAAGAAUGAGGUUAAUGGAUUGGGUGUCCUGAACUGACAAAUAGUAUUAGUGGAUCGGGUGUCACGAACUGACACAUAGUAUUAGGGGAUCGGGUGUCACGAACCGACACAUAGUAUUAGGGGAUCGGGUGUCACGAAUUGACACAUAGUAUUAGUGGAUCGAGUUUCACAAACCGACACAUAGUAUUAGUGGAUCGGGUGUCACGAACCGAUAUAUAGUAUUAGGGGAUCGGGUGUCACGAACAGACACAUAGUAUUAGGGGAUCGGAGUGUCAUGUUCCGACAUAAGAGGAAUAAAGAGAAUGAAUCUUGAAUUAUCUUAAUAUACUCAAAAUUUAAUGAACCUAUUUCCCAAAUAAGUAUGGUGUGGAGGCUUGACUCCUCAUAGGGGUGCUUGGUGUUGUUGCCAAUGGUUCUUUGUACUUGUUGUUGCCACCUGUUGAGUAUUGUAGUUGAUUUUAUGAUAUUAUUUGAUGUAUAUUGCUUUCUAUUUUGAGUUGGCCGAUGAUAUCUACUCAGUACUUGUGUUUUUUACUGACCCCUACUUGUAUGUUUUCCCUUUGUUAUUUGUGGAGUGCAGCAAACGUACCGUCGUCUUCAACUCAACCGCAACUCUUGCCAGUCUUCAUCACGUCAGAUUUCAGGGUGAGCUAUUGUUCCUAGCUCAAACUGGAUUCUCUCUCAUUCAUGUCUUGAUGUCCUUGAAGCUCGGACAUGGACUAUCUCUUGUAUUUUGUUUUAGCUUCCUAGACAUUGUUAGAUUUUGUAAUUUGAGGAUAGUUAUUCUUGUGAUGAUGACCUGCAGAUUUUGGGGAAUGAUAAGUAUUGAAUUUUAGAAGUUAUUAAUUGAUUUCGUUAAUGAGUUUUAAGUCUUUCGUAUUAUAUUCUGUUUAUUAUGGUUGAAAUGUUGGGGUUUAGAUUUGUUGGUUUGCUUACAUAGGAGGGUAAGUGUGGGUGCCACUCGCGGCUCGUUUUGGGUCGUGACAAAAUUGGUAUCAGAGCAAUAGGUUCGUUGGUCUCAUCACACAAUAACGAGUCUAGUAGAGUCUUUAGGAACGGUAGGGGGACGCCAUUACUUUUCUUUGAGAGGCUAUAAGACUUUAGGAAAAUUCCAUUCUUUCUUUCUUUCGUGCAAUUACUUGGAUCCAAUUGGUAUCUAGGUGAUACAAAUUGGUAUCUAACCAUCUUCACUCUAUUUCGCAGAUGGUUAGAACUAGAGCAACAACCGCGCCAGCACCAACACUGGAAAGACAAGAUACGUCUGAGCCAACCACUGAGACUGUAGCUCGAAGAGGAGCCGUGGCAAGAGGCUGCGGACGUCCUCUAGAGGAAGAGGACAAGCACCUGGCCCCGCUAGUACUAGGGCGGUGACUCCUCCACCGACUGAGGAAGUAGUAAGAGAAGGGGAGGAAGGGGAGAAUGAGCAUGUGCAGAAUGAGGAAUUACCACCCAACCUACCCCAGAGAUGAUUAAUCAGGUUCUUGCUUAUCUUAGCGGGUUAUCUGAUCAAGGCAAGACACCUCCAGUGUUUUCUGCACCAGCACCUUAGGUUCCGGGAGUACAACAUGCAACCACUGUGGCUCCCCGCAUGGAUGCCUCAUUGGAAAUAGACACGUAUCGUCGGUUGACUACAGGACCUAUAAUGACAAGUGAUUAGCAUGAACUUUUCAGUAAGUUCUUGAAAUUGAAACCUCCAGUCUUCAAGGGUGCUGAAUCUGAGGAUGCUUAUGAUUUUCUGGUUGAUUGUCAUGAGUUUCUACAUAAGAUGGGCAUAGUGGAAUGAUUUGGCGUUGAGUUUGUGACCUAUCAAUUUUACGGGAACGCCAAAAUGUGGUGGCGGUCACAUGUUGAGUGUCAACCAGCACAGUCACCACCUAUGACUUGGGCAUGAUUCUCUAGCUUGUUUAUGGAGAAGUAUAUACCCCGAACUUUGAGGGAUAGGAGGAGAGAUGAGUUCCUGAGCUUAGAGCAAGGCAGGAUAUCGGUUACUGCAUACGAGGCUAAGUUUCGUGCAUUAUCUAGGUAUGACACCCAGCUUUGAUUUAGUCCACAAGAGCGGAUUCACCGUUUCGUGAAAGGGUUGAGGUCAGAUUUAUGGAUUUUAGCCUUACAGGUAGCUGCUGCAGCAAAAUCUUUUCAGGAGGUGGUAGAUUUCGUGAUAGAAGUGGAGGGAGUGAAGCCAGACGACUUCACCCAUGGCAUCGACCUCCAAGAGGUUUCGUAAAGGAGGUGAGUUUAAUGGUUCUUACUCUAGAGGGCAGAGUUCAGGAGGUUAUCCAGCCCGCGCUAUUCAGUCUUCACUACAGACUAUAGUUGGAGGUCCACCACAGACCGGUCAACAUUUCUCUAAGUUUGGAGGUUAUCCCCAGACUCUAUCGUCCUCACAAAGACCUAUGCUUGAAUCUAGAGAUUGUUAUGGAUGUGGAGAGACUGGACAUAUUAGGAGAAAUUGUCCAAAAUUGAGUUACAGACCCCCAAUAAUCAGAGGUAGAGGUGGUCAUGGAAGAGGCUGUUAUUCAGGAGGACGUGGUGGCCGAGGUAAUGGUGGUCAUCAAAACGGUCUGGGUGACGGGAAAACUGGAACUACUGCAGCACAACAUGGUAAGGGCAAUGGACAGACCGGUGAUAGGGCACAUUGUUAUGCUUUCCCUGGGAGAUCUGAAGUGGAGACAUCUGAUGCUGUCAUCACAGGUAAUCUUUUGGUUUGUGAUUGCAUGGCUUUUGUAUUAUUUGAUCCUGGAUCCACAUUUUCAUAUGUAUCUUCCUCAUUUGCUACUGGUCUUAAAUUACAUUGUGAAUUGCUUGACAUGCCUAUUCGUGUCUCUACUCCGUUGGGGGAUUCUGUGAUAGUUGAAAAGGUGUAUAGGUCUUGUCUUGUGACUUUUAUGGGGAGCAGUACUCAUGUAGACUUGGUUAUCUUAGAAAUGGUGGACUUCGAUGUAAUUCUGGGUAUGACUUGGCUUUCUCCAAAUUUCACAAUCUUAGAUUGUAAUGCUAAAACUGUAACACUGUCCAAGCCUUGUACAGAUCCGUUAGUGUGGAAGGGUGACUACACUUCCACUCCAGUUCGUAUCAUCCCCUUUCUUCGUGUUAAGAGAAUGGUUAGAAAGAGUUGUUUAGCUUUCUUGGCACACCUCAGGGAUGAUACAACUCAAGUACCUUCAAUUGAGUCAGUUUCAAUAGUCCGUGAGUUUCUAGAUGUAUUUCCUGCAGACCUUCCUGGUAUGCCAGCGGAUAGGGAUAUCGACUUUUGCAUUGAUCUGGAGCCGGGUACUCGUCCCAUUUCCAUACCCCCUUAUAGGAUGGCUCCCGGUGAGUUAAGAGAGUUAAAGGCCCAACUUCAGGAGUUGUUAAGCAAAGGCUUUAUUAGACCAAGUGCAUCCCCUUGGGGUGCUCGUGUUCUGUUUGUGAAGAAGAAGGAUGGAAGUUUUCAGAUGUGCAUUGACUACAGACAACUUAAUAAGGUAACUGUUAAGAACAAGUAUCCUCUUCCUCGCAUCGAUGAUUUGUUCGAUCAGUUACAAGUUGUUGUACCUUCUCAAAAAUCGAUUUGAGAUCUGGUUAUCAUCAAUUAAAAAUACGGGCAACGGAUGUGCCCAAGACUACUUUUCGAACUAGGUAUGGACAUUAUGAGUUCUUAGUAAUGUCUUUUGGGCAUACGAAUGCCCCUGCUGCUUUCAUGAGCUUGAUGAAUGGGAUUUUUAAGCCAUACCUGGAUCUCUUUGUCAUUGUAUUCAUUGAUGAUAUACUAGUAUAUUCAAAGAGCAAGAAAGAACAUGAGGAGCACUUGAGAAUGGUAUUGGAAAUGUUGAGGGAGAAAAAGCUUUAUGCCAAAUUCUCUAAGUGUGAGUUGUGGCUAGAUUCAGUGUCCUUUUUGGGGCAUGUGGUUUCUAAGGAUGGAGUGAUGGUGGAUCCUUCUAAGAUCGAAGCAGUGAAGAAUUGGGUAAGACCUACUAAUGUUACAGAGGUAAGGAUCUUCGUUGGUUUAGCUAGCUACUACCAUCGAUUUGUCAAGGGAUUUUCUUCCGUUGCUUCCCAAUUGACAAACUUGAAUAAGCAGAGUGUUCCAUUUGUAUGGUCGGAUGAGUGUGAAGAAAGCUUUCAGAAGCUCAAGACUUUGUUGACUACUGCACCAAUUCUUACCCUGCCAGUGGAAGGUAAGAAUUUCAUUGUUUACUGUGAUGCAUCCUAUUCUGGUUUGGAUGCAGUGCUAAUGCAAGAGAAGAAUGUAAUUGCUUAUGCCUCGAGGCAAUUAAAGGUGCAUGAACGUAAUUAUUCUACCCAUGAUUUGGAGUUGGUUGCGGUAGUGUUUGCAUUAAAGCAAUGGAGAUAUUAUCUAUAUGGGGUUAAGUGUGAAGUCUAUACAGAUCAUCGCAGUUUACAGUAUAUCUUUACUAAGAAAGAUUUGAAUUUAAGACAGAGGAGGUGGAUGGAACUACUGAAGGACUAUGAUAUCACCAUCUUGUAUCAUCCGGGAAAAGCUAAUGUUGUGGCAGAUGCUUUAAGUAGAAAGGCAGGGAGCAUGGGAAGUCUAGCUCACUUCCAGGUUUCUAGACGCCCAUUGGCUAGAGAGGUUCAGACUCUGGCUAAUGACCUUAUGAGGCUAGAAAUAAAUGAGAAGGGAGGAUUCUUGGCCUGUGUGGAGGCAAGAUCUUUCUUUCUUGAUAAGAUUAAAGGAAAACAGUUUACCGAUAAGAAACUGAUCCGGAUCUGAGAUAAUGUGUUGCGAGGAGAGGCUAAAGAAUCAAAAAUCGAUGAGGAAGGUGUCUUGAGAAUUAAGGGAAGGGUAUGUGUACCCCACGCCGAUGAUUUGAUUCACACUAUUCUUGCAGAGGCUCAUAGGUCAAGGUAUUCUAUACAUCCUGGUGCAACCAAGAUGUAUCGUGAUCUAAAGCAACAUUUUUGGUGGAGUAGGAUGAAGCGUGACAUUGUUGAUUUUGUUGCUCAAUGCCCAAAUUGUCAGCAAGUAAAGUAUGAACACCAGAGGCUUGGAGGGACACUUCAGAGAAUGCCCAUUCCUGAAUGGAAGUGGGAGAGAAUUGCAAUGGACUUCGUGGUUGGUCUUCCAAAGACGAUCGGUAAGUAUGACUCUAUUUGGGUGAUUGUUGAUAGAUUAACUAAGUCUGCUCAUUUCAUUCCAGUCAAGGUGACUUAUAAUGCAGAGAAGUUGGCCAAAAUUAACAUCUCAGAAAUUGUUCGAUUGCAUGGAGUUCCACUCUCCAUCAUAUCAGAUAGAGGUACGCAGUUUACUUCUAAGUUUUGGAAAACAUUGCAUGCCGAGUUAGGUACUAGGUUGGAUCUUAGUACUGCAUUUCACGCUCAGACCGAUGGUCAGUCUGAGCGAACGAUUCAGGUUUUGGAGGAUAUGCUUCGUGCAUGUGUGAUAGAGUUUUUUGGUCAUUGGGAUAACUUCUUAACCUUAGCAGAGUUCUCAUACAACAAUAGCUAUCACUCCAGUAUUGAUAUGGCCCCAUUUGAGGCAUUGUGUGGGAGAAGAUGUAGGUCUCCCAUUGGGUGGUUUGAUGCAUUUGAGGUUAGACCUUGGGGUACUGAUCUUCUGAGGGAAUCGUUAGAUAAAGUGAAAUGCAUUGAAGAAUGGCUUUUAGCAGCUCAAAGUAGACAGAAAGAAUAUGCAGAUCGAAAGGUUAGAGACUUGGAGUUUAUGGAGGGUCAACAAGUCUUACUGAAGGUUUCACCCAUGAAAGGGGUGAUGCGGUUUGGUAAGCGAGGUAAGAUUAGUCCGAGGUUUAUUGGCCCAUUUGAAGUUCUGAAGUGCGUGGAGGAGGUAGCUUAUGAAUUAGCCUUGCCCCCAGGACUGUUAGGAGUGCACCCGGUAUUUCAUGUGUCUAUGCUGAAAAGAUACCAUGGUGAUGGAAACUACAUCAUUCGUUGGGAUUCAGUCCUUCUUGAUGAGAAUCUGUCUUAUGAGGAGGAGCCUAUUGCCGUUUUGGAUAGAGAAGUCCGAAAGUUGAGAUCAAGGGAGAUUGCAUCUGUCAAUGUUCAAUAGAAGAAUCGGCCAGUUGAAGAGUCCACUUGGGAGAAGGAGGCCGAUAUGCAAGAAAGAUAUCCACACCAGUUUACAGAUUCAGGUACUCCUUUUCGCCCUUGUUUUUCUUCUUAUGAUCGUUCGGGGAAGAAUGAUGGGUAAAUUGGUAUCUAUUGUAACAACCUGUUAUUCGUUUUGAGCAGUAGAGUUUAUUUCUAGUAAUAACUGUCUGGGUCGACGGAUCCCACGACGGACCGUCAUGGGCACGACGGACCGUCGAGGGGUCUCGUUUCAAAACACUUAGAUUCUAGAAAUUUGGGUACUGAGAAAAACUCUCUGAACUUUGUGACGACAUGGAAGGACGAACCAUCGUAGGCACGACGGACCGUCACAGAGUCUUAAAUAAAAUCAACUCUCUGAACUUUGUGAUGGAAGCAGCAGGACGGACCGUCGCAGGCAGGACGGACCGUCGCAGGCACGACGGGCCAUCACAGGCAGCGUAACCCUGACUGGGUCGGACUUCUGUUAAAUGUUUUAAGGGGCGUUUUGGACUAUUCAUGCUUAUAAUUAUAAAAUUAGAGGUUGAAUGUUAAUAAUUCAAUUAGUUGGGGGUUAAAGGAGAUAACCUUGAAUUAAUUAGUGGGUUACUUUGGUCAUCUUUUAUACUUAAUUAUAUGGUAAUUAGGGUAAAAUAAAAAGAGUUUGAAUAAGGAAAAAUCAUAAAAAAAAGAGAACGAGAGGGAGAACGAUCGAGGGAAGAGAGAAACGAAGAAGAAAGCAAAAGUUUUGGGGGAUAGCUUGCUUGAUCGCGAAUUCUUCAGUGGAGGUAGGUUAUGGUUUAUGCUAUUUCGUAGUAAAACUCUUAAUAGCGAAUGAUAUGUAUUGGGUAAUUUUGUAAAGUCUUCUAUAUGCUUAAUUGUGUGCUUGCGUGAUAUGAUUAUGUAAUUGUGAUGAAUUAGCAUGAUGAGGCUAUUGAAUCUUAAACCUUAAAACCUCUCUAUUAAUGAUGAUGCAUUGGUAUAAAAGAAGGCUUGAUGAACUAAAAGAAUGAGGUUAAUGGAUCGGGUGUCACGAACUGACACAUAGUAUUAGUGGAUCGGGUGUAACGAACCGACACAUAGCAUUAGGGGAUUGGGUGUCACGAACCGACACAUAGUAUUAGGGGAUCGGGUAUCACGAGUCGACACAUAGUAUUAGUGGAUCGGGUGUCACGAACCGACACAUAGUAUUAGUGGAUCGGGUGUCACGAACCGACAUAUAGUAUUAAGGUAUCGGGUGUUACUAACCGACACAUAGUAUUAGGGGAUCGGAGUGUCACGUUCCGACACAAGAGGAAUAAAGAGAAUGAAUCUUGAAUUAUCUUAAUAUACCCAAAAUUUAAUGAACCUAUUUCCCAAAGGAGUAUGGUGUGGAGGCUUGAGUCCUCAUAGGUGUGCUUGGUGUUGUUGCCAAUGGUUCUUGUACUUGUUGUUGCAACCUGUUGAGUAUUGAAGUUGAUUUUAUGAUAUUAUUUGAUGUAUAUUGCUUUCUGUUUUAAGUUGGCCGAUGAUAUCUACUCAGUACUUGUGUUUUGUACUGACCCCUACUUGUAUGUUUUCCCUUUGAUAUUUGUGGAGUGCAGCAAACAUACCGUCGUCUUCAACUCAACCGCAACUCUAGCCAGUCUUCAUCACAUCAGAUUUCAGGGUGAGCUAUUGUUCCUAGCUCAGACUGGGUUCUCUCUCAUUCAUGUCUUGAUGUCCUUGAAGCUCGGACAUGGACUAUCUCUUGUAUUUUGUUUUAGCUUCCUAGACAUUCCUAGAUUUAGUAAUUUGAGGAUAGAUGUUCUUGUGAAGAUGACUUCCAGAUUUUGGGGAAUGAUAAGUAUUGAAUUAUAGAAGUUAUUAAUUGAUUUCGUUAAUAAGUUUUAAGUUUUCCGCAUUAUAUUCUGUUUAUUAUGGUUGAAAUGUUGGGGUUUAGAUUGGUUGGUUCGCUCAAAUAGGAGGGUAAGUGUGGGUGCCAUUCGCGGCUCGUUUUGGGUCAUGACAUAUUGAAAUCAUGCAAAAACGUGAGUAGCAUUUACACCAACUAAUGCUUCCAUAUCUUAACAAAAUUAAAUAAAUAAUAAUGAUAAAGACGAUUAAAUCAUUAAAAUUAAUUUUUGGGAUUUAAUUAUUGUAUGAAUCUUUUUCUCUUAAUAUCAGACUAAAGCUAAAUAUUUGUUACAAAUUCAAACAUAGACCUCACGAAAAAUUCACGUCAACACAAAUAAAGAGAAAGGUAGUGAGACAGACCCACAAAAAUAGUACAAUUUUUGACAAAAACAUUUCCUACAAUAAAAUAGUUUUUCUCCUUCUCACAUUUUCAAAUCUCUAUGCCGUGCAUUUUUCAGAGCAUUUCUUCCCUGUCCAUGGAGAUUCUUCAACAGAACUACCAAAUAGAAGACGAAUCACGAAAUACAACAAAUAUAUAAUAAUAGAUGUCAUUGAGGUGUAUUUUAAAUAAAUUGAACAAUGGAGAAACUUUUGAAAACAAAUAUUUGUCUUUUCUUUCAAAAAUUUGUUCUUUUAAAAUGAAGUUAUAAAUUCAGUAUUAUAUGUUAAUUUCAUAUAUGGUUAUGCCUCCAGUCUUUCUAGUGGAUGUAUCUCAUGGUUAAGAACGUUACCCAUCAAUCAUAUAUAUUGAAGUAAGAUUGACUGCGGAAGAUAGUCAUACAUCCACCAAUAGUAAUUGUACAAAUUAAAUUCAUUAAUAACUUAUCGCCUGUGGGUAAAAGCAUGGUAAUAAAGGGAAAAACACCAGGGUCUUCUAAUAAAAGAUAUAGGAAUGGUAAUUGAAUCAAUAAUGCUAGUUCUAGACUAGAACUUAAACUAGUUAUGAUAGUAUCAGUUGAUGUGUCUCAUAUAACUUUGAUUUUAACGAGCUUGAAGAGAGGAUGUUAAUAUUGCUUGGAGGAAGUAAUUCCUUAUGUGAUAAAUCAAUAACAUUAGAUUUAGUUUUUUCCUUAUUUCUUACUUUCAUGGGUUAAUAUGCCCGUUUUUAGCUAAAACAUAAAUAAGUGAUUUUUUGACUAUAAAAUAGAGUUGAACAACUUGUUGAAAUAAUUAAUUAUUAGUUGAGUGACAUUAAUGUUACAAAAUAAAAAUUGACUUACUUUUUAAUAUAAAAUAAAAUAUUUUCUUGAAGAAUAUUAUCAUUACUUGAGUGAGCAUAAUUUGAAAAAAUUCAAAGUUGAUAAACAAUGUUACUACUCUCUUUGUCCUUUUUCAUAUGAGUUGGUUUGACUAGUUACAGAGUCUAAAAUAAAUUUGAAACUUAUGAUCUAGAAUAAACAAUAGGUAUUUGUGUCACUAUAACUCAUUUCAUUAAGUAUAAAUGAAUAUUUUAUAAUUAAAUUAUUAUUUAAUAUAAAAUGUUUAGUCUUUCUUGGACAGACGAAUAAGGGAAGUAACUGAUAAAUUGGACAGAGAUAGUAUUUGAGAAACUAUAAAAGAAAAUUUAAGUCCAUAUAUACACUAGGGUUCAAGUUAGAGGGUCAAAAGAUUGCUCAGAAGGGAGAUGAGCAUUAAUAAUAACACUCCAGGUAGUGAGAUUUCUUCUUUUUAUUCCAUUCGUUACCUUUACUUAUCUUUUUUUCUUCUCUUUUGUUAAUAUGAUUUUACACUAUUAGUAUUACUAGAUAUUUCUAGAAUUGCUAAAGAUCUUCCACUGGGAAUGUAGGAUUUGAAAUUUUCCUGUUUGGUUUUGUGGGAUAUCAUACUGGAGCUAGGUUUACUUUAUACGAAACCGGAUGUAGAAAGUGUGGGUUUUGGUAUGAACAAGUUAUUCUUUCAGGAUCUCAUUAGGAUCUGACUGUAAAUUGCAAGUUCAAAAGUAAAAUCAAUUAGUUUUUUUUUGUACCAUUUCCUCUGAUCUAUAUAAACUGAAAACAUGGAUGUCUAACACAACGAACUCGAGUACUAAUUAAAUUUAAGAUAAUUGGAAUGAGUGGGUGUCCAUGUCGAAUCUGCAAAGAAGAAGAUCAGAAUUAGAAAAGAAGAGAAUAGAAGGGAAGAUGGAAGAGAAAUAAGGGAGGAAUUGAUUUACCAGAAGUUUUUUGUUGCAUUUUCCUCCUUUUGCAGUUAUAACAACCUUCAGAUAACGUGGCAAGAUCCUAAGUCUUAUGCCUAAUUAAUUGAUAUUUAAUCUUGGCCGUUUAUUUGUCAAAUAGUUACCCUCCUUCCGUGAUUCAGCUUCUCAUUAAGCUAUACUAAGUAAGAUCAUUUCAUAUCCCGAAUUAAUUAUCCUCUCAGUACUGUCUUUCAAUAAAAAUAACACUAAAAUCUCGAGUAGUCUCAAAUUCCUCGUACGUCUUUAAUGUAGUGAGGUCUCUUUCGAGUUCUUAGUGUAAGAGAGGCGCAUCUUACUUGUACGUAGACUCUUGGAUCAAAAGAAGUGUAAAACUUAAUUGUGAUAACAUUAUUAUCCAACAGAGGUGCACUUAUGAAUGGUAAUCAAGUUUUGUACCGGAGGUUCGUACUUUUAUAAUAGUACUAGUUCUUUGAAACGUGUAUUACACGUUUCCCCCCUAAUAUCAUAUUAAUUUAUACAUGCCUAAUAUCAUACUGAUAAUUAUUUAUCAUAUAGUAUUGAUUUUAUAUAGAGCUUAAAUUUCCAUCCUAGAAUGUAAAAGUAAAAAUAGUAAAUGAAAAUUUUUCUUGGUUGAAUAUUAUUUUUGUCAGUACAAUUACAAUAAUUGUUUUAGUGAAGUUACAAUCUCUACUUAAUAACUAAAUAUAUAAGUUUUGUUUAGUGAAAGUAUACUUUUUUCAUAAGUUUUAUAGAGAUUCAAUGAAUAUGACCUUAUGGUGGAUAGUAUAUAAAUCAUUGUGGAUUGUCGGUUUGUAUUGAGAAUUUAUUAUUUAAUAUUUAAUUCAUUAGAUGUUUUAUAACAUUAUUACUUAGAUGAUAUAUAAUAUUAUAUAUAUUAUUAAAAGUGGAUAGUAGAAAUAAAAUGAUAAUUCAACUUUGUAUUUUGGAAUGUUCUGAUUUACUGCUUAUUUUUGUUUCCUUUAAAAAUGGUUCAAUGUCUCAUCAUCUAAACAAACAUUUAUAGGAGAUGACAACACAAGCAAACUAUUGAAAAAUAUAUAAUGAUAUGAUUAUAUAUAUAUAUAUAUAUAUAUAUAUAUAUAUAUAUAUAUAACAAUUAAUUUGUUAGAUAUUUUAUCAUAUUUUAAUUUAUAUUAAAGACAAAAAUGUCAUCUAACGCUAAAGGUAGGAAGUUCACACUUUUGGUGCAAUACAAGAAUCAUUAGAAAUUGCAUCUCCCAUGAAUUUAAUGUUGGGUUUUAAUUGCCCUAAAUUUCUUACCAUAAAUAAAUUUUUCUUUUAGAAAAAGGUUUUGGAUUAAGUAAUCAUUUUUCUUGUAGGAAAAGGAUUAGGACUCUAUAAAUAGAGGAAUAUUCCUUCUAACUUAAUCAGCAUUCACAAUGUAGUCUUAAGGGAUUUGAGAGUUUUGGUUAGAGGGAGAAUUUGUGGGUCACAAGCAUGAUACGUUAUCACUUGUGUGAACCUCCCAUGUAUUCCGAGUGAAUUGGUUGAGGUUGUUUCCCUCUGUAUUUUGUACUCUCAUAUUUAUAGUGGAUUUCUCAUCUCCUUUGUGGACGUAGGUCGAUUGACCGAACCACGUUAAAUCUCUGUGUCUUUUGGUAUAUUUCUUGUUAUCUUCUUACUCGUGGUCUUUCGAGAUUUGCUUUGCUAGCUUCCGCGUUACACCUGCUUAUUUACGGUCCUAACAUUUAAUAGUCUUUAAUCACAAUGAUCCUACAAUUUUAUAUCAAGACCAGGAUCAUUGUGAAAUAUUAUAUUAUAUUUUAUCUUAGAAAAUCAAUUAAUAAAUCAAACAGUGCAAAGAUAUGAAUUACGAUGCACUAAAGGAAUUUGAUUUGCAUGUCAAAAUUCUAUGGAAAUUCUUUUUUCCGAUUUGUAGGAUAUAUGUGUAGCUUAUAAUAAGUACUCCUUAAUAAAAUCUCUUUCAACUUAGUUGAGGAAUAUCUUUUGUAUGAUUGACCUUUGUAUGAGGAUGGAGCUAAAGAAAAAAAAAGAAGAAGACAAGAGAAUUUACAUCCAUAAAAAAUUAUAGAAUGGCUUGAGUCAACAGAGAAGUACUCAACGAGAGGGAGUUGCUCGGAUGGUAAGCACCCCGUACUUCCAAUCCGAAGAUUGUGAGUUCGAGUCACCAAAGGAGCAAAAGGGAUGGAAGCUCCUAAGGACAUUUAAAAAAAGAGAAGUACUUCGUGUACAACCCUCAAAUCUUCAAGAUAUCAAGUUCUCAACAAACAUAGCCAAGAAAGUUCAAAAAAUGAAUGUUAAAGACAUCAAAAUUCUAUUCUCCGCCUUCUUGACAAACUUAAAUCCAACACCACAAUAUCAACAGAAACCUAACUUGAGGAAAGGGUUCAUACAAUGUGUUAGUAGAAGUAGCAAAAUGACACAAACAAUAAAAAACAUAUAACAUAAUGUUAACUUACAUUGAAAGUAUAACUUAAGAGGAAGUUUUAAAAAAGUACAAUUUUCAUCAAAAUCUGACAUUGCAUGCAUAAUUAAUGGGUAGUGGAAAAGACUCAACAAAAUUAUUUUUAUUAAUUCACAAUAUUAUUGAAAUUUUAGAUUAGAUAGAUAUGAUUUAAUUAGAUUAUCACUUAAUGUAGGGGUAAAAUGCUAAUCCAAUUUUAAAUGUUGGAGCUUCCCACUUAUAAUAAUACUAGAUUCUGAGAACAUGUCUUACACGUUUGUCCCUUAUUAUUAUUAUUAAAUUUUUAUAUACUAAAAAGUUAAGUAAUUAAAAAGAUGCUUAAAUUAACAAUAGUAAUUUAACCAUUUAUCUUUUAUUCGGUAAAUAAUACAAAUAUAAUAUGAAGAACAUUAAAUAGAUGAUAUAUCUAGUUAUUUUUUUGUUAUCCUUCUCUCAUUCUCUUUUCUUCUCAUUUUGAAUAGUGUAAUUUCCUUCCUAUGAUAAUAUCAAUCUUAGUAAUUGGUUCUUAAAAAGCAUAUUAAAAAUUUAAUUCUCAAAGUGUUUUUACAUAAAUAGUGAAGAAUGACUCUUCACAUUGAGCUUUUAAUUUUUUUAAAAAAUGUGUAUGAGAAAUUAUUAACAUUCAAUAAUUAGGCAGAUGAAAUCACAUUAUCAAAUAUAAAAUAAUAUCUCUAUGUCAAAAGUAGACAUUCUAGUUUGGAAAAUAAUUACUACUAACUAUUUAUGGGUCCAGCUCCAAUCAAUAAUCUAUAUAUGGGAGUUCGACAAUUUUCCAGCUAUAGUUAAAAUUUUACAUUAACAAUAAAUAGCUUAUUAUCACAGUAGAUAAACGUUUGAUCCAUAAAAUUUAUAAAUGCUAAAAGAUUUUGUCAAUGUAGUACAUAUGCAAACUUAUGAUAAAAACACUUGUUAUAUUACGAAACACACUUGAAGUCAUUACCAUGAUUAAUAUGUAAAUUAUUUUUAUCAGUAUAUCACAUAUACGUCUUCGUUUUAACCUUAAAAAGUAUUGUACACAUGAUUUAUGAAGAGAAAAGAAUAAUACUCCUCUUUUCAUAACAUUACUCUUUCAAUAAUUAAUAUAAAUUGAGCAAUAUAAACUUUUCGAAAUGACUUAUUCUAGAUAUGUGAUCAAUUUGAGGAAUGAAUGUUCGAACAAACAUAUAAUAGACUAAUAAGAUCAAUAAAUUAUACAUAUAAACGAAAAGUUUAACUAAAAAUACAACCUCAAAAUUACAUAUAUACUAUGUAGAGUAUGAUCCAUUCUUUAUCUCCAAUUAGGUGGACCAUUUAUUUUAGUUCAUAUAUAUAUAUGAUUACUCAUUUAGUCAUUAUUCUGACUACUCAUAAAUAAUAAUUUCAAAAAUAUAUUUAUACUAAAGUAGAACACUCUAUCGAGAGUUAAAUAAGCAUGUCAAAUGAACUGAUUAAACUUUCAUAAAUAUGAAUUUCAUCAGUAAUUAAGAUACAUAGUAGAACAUGAAUUGUAUAUUACUAUUUUCUUCAUGUAGGAUACAAAAUAUUCUAAUAAAAAAACAAAAUCAUAAGAAAGUUCAUCAACAUAUAUAAAAAGAAAAUAUGUAAUACUUAGGACGGAUAAAAAGGAGCGGAUAAAAAUAAUAAUUAAUUACUGCACAUACAAAAUGAUUUGCAAAGUUCAUUUUUGCAUGAUAAUUUCUCAUCCUCUUCUUGUCAUUUACAUGAAAAUUGUGCUAGGUAAUUUAUAAAAGUAGCUAUGAUGACUUAUGAGUAGAUAAUUAAUUUGCAUUAAAUUAGUUCAAUGGUUUUAGUCCAUAUCAAAUUUGUUUAAUGGAAAAACUUUUCAAAUACUCCUGAUUUUCACAAUAGAGUAAUUAAUUAUUGAUGUGUUCGUGAUUUUCACAGUAGAGUAAUUAAUUAUUAAUGUGUACCUGAUUUUCAAAAUAGAGUAAUUAAUGUGUAUUUGUUUAAUUAUUUUAAUAUAAGGAUAAAAUAGUAAUUCAACUUUGAGCUUUGAAUCUUUCCACUUAUAAUAUAAUAUGAUAUGAUAUACUAGAUUUACCGCACGUGCUGCACGUGGUUUGUUUUUCUUAACAUUGAUUCAUGUAUGAUAAUUUGCAUUUUUUUUGUUUUUGCGUUUGGUGUCAUUUGUGUUGUGGUUUAUUUUUUUCCCUGUUAAACGCCUACCCCCCCCCCCUCCCCAACCCAAUAACUAAUUUGACUCUGCCUUAAUAUGUGUUGUCUAUGUAGUGAACAUUAAGCCCACUAAAUUCCCAUUUAAGCGGUCCUUAUGUGUUUAGUAUUUCCUUACAUUCCUUGACCCCUAUUUUUUUUUACCACAGGUGGAUUAUGUGUGGCAUCAUUUAAUAGAUGGUCCUAUAAUAUUUCUUACCAUUUUAAACUGGUUAACAUACAAUUUUGUUUUUGAUGGCUACUACCUGUGUUGAUUUAUAUUUAUGUCUGUGAAGUGCAUUCUUCAUGCUGUAGUGUACUUUAUGUUUUGAAUUUUUAUUUUGAAACGCCAGGUUACUGUUUUGUCAUUUACGCCAUGUCUUCUUUACAAUAGUGUAUGAUCAUUUUACUGUAUAUUUACAUAAUUGAAUACUGUCUAAAGUAAUGUCUUAUUUGGUAGUCUUCUGAUGUAGUUCAUAGAGUCUUUUCUUCCACCAAACUGAUUAUUUCAUCCACCAAUCGUUCAUUAGCUUCAUUUUGUGCGUAUGAUUAUCCAUGUUUAAUUAGUUUCCAUGUUUGUAUUAAUCAAAUAUCUCCUAAAACUUCCUUAUAGAAUAUUUCUUGUGUAUGUCCCUUAGUGCUGCUCUUGUUGUUCAGUCAUGAUCAAUAUUUUUGUUGUUGACAUCGAUAUUCCUCUGGAUAGUGUCACGUACAUUUGACCAUGUGAGAAAACAUGUUGGGAUAGGUACAAUCCAACAUUUGGUAUUGUUUGACCUUGUGCCUUAUUUAUUAUCAUUGCAAAACACGGGCGUAUUGGAAAUUAUUUCCUUUUGGGGGUGGAAGCGGAUUUGUAAAGAAAGAGAAAAUAUUAUAGAGAGGAUAAGAUGAUGGAAGAUUGGUUAUUUUAUUUAUGAGGGAAACCCUCUAUUUAUAUACAACAAUCUUACCUCUUUGGCCGAAAAUGGCCGACACCUACUUUACACUUGGCCUUUUUACAUUUGGCCGACGCUAAAAACAAAAAACUUAGUGGCCUAUCUUUAUUAUUGGCCGACACACUUACUAUUUACUUUACGACUUUUAUAAUUGGUUUUUUUACACCCGACACAACACGACAAAAAUAAAAGACUAUUACUUUGUACAUAUGGCUGAUAUUCAGCCGACACAAAAAAUAAAAUACUUUACGAAGUACCUUUUUUUUUUAAUUCUAAAAGUACCUCAGGGAUUAUGUCAUCCCCAUGGUUACAUUUUGAACAAAUAUGGUCUGGGUAUUUGUGCCCAACUAGCUUGCAAUAUCUUGUCAUCAGUUCUUCGGAUAUGAAUCCUUGCUUUAUUGCUCUAGUUGUUGGCGUAGCUUCUGGUUUUAACAGGGACAAAAUCCAUUUUUGGACUUCUUCCAUAUGUGCUUGUCUUAUUUCUCGUGAAUUGGCAUAUAUCAUUAAGUGAUCUCUCGAAUAGUAGCUCCAUAUGGCGUUGCCUUGUAGAUAGUUAUUUGCUAGCUCUUGUAUAAUAGUUGAUAAUCCAAUUAUCCUUUUAUUGGCAUAGAAACUGGGUAUCUCAACUCUUGUUAUCUCAGGCUGUUGGCCUAUAUCUUCUGGGAUUAUCAUUUCCCGCGUUAUCCCAAUUUUGACUAUCUGGAUCAUUGGCUUUAUUUCAUCAUAGAAUAUCCGCUGGUGCUGUGUAGAAUCUUAUAAAAAAUAAGUUUCCUUUUGUUAUCUUUUUAUAUAUUAAAAAUGCUUUGUGGACCUUUGGGAUUCCACUUAUUUCUUCACCUGUAUAUGUAUAGACUAUAUUUAAUAAUCCAUAGUUAUAACAAGUUUUGACUAGGUUUUGAUUAGUUUUUGGUUGUGCAAUUAACUUGUUAUAACCUUGUACUUUUUGGGUUAGGUAGUCUUGGAUUUUUUCUAAUGUCGUGGUAGAUUUGGGUUUUUGAUUCAAAAAGUUUUGUAUCUUGUAUAGGUUUUCAAUAUAUGUUCGGGAUAUAUGGUUAUAAGUUUUCUUCUCUUUUUGCAGGCUAGCUGCAUACGUAGAUGUUUGUGGUGUUGAAGUAUCUAUUAUUUGUACCUUUGGAGUAAAUGGUUUGGUAAAUACGCUAUUUAGGUUUGUGUUUUUUGGUGUAGGUUUCUCCAUAGCUCCUUUGCUUGUACCUGCAACAUCAGUAAUUUCAUGGGUUUUAAGGAGUUUCCCAACGUCUCCUAUAAGUUCUGGCUGUUUUUCGUCUGCCGAACGAUGUAGCUCCGCAUUUUUAGAGUCAUGCUGCUGACUAUUAGUUUUCAGAUUUUGUACAUCUGUCUCUAUUUUUUCUUUUUUCUGGCAUAGGUUUGUCAUUAUUGCCAAUAGAUCUUUCAUUGUAUCUCUUUCUUGACAGGUAGUCUGCAAUAAAAUUUUCAUCAGUUUUAAUAAUCUCAAUUGUAAAUGUAAAAUUCAAUAUAUUUAAUAUUAAUCUUCUUAUUUCUUUUGUUGUAACUGAAUCAUCUAUCUUAUUGGUUAUCCACCACUUUACCUGUGUGUUAUCUGUUCUCACAAUAAAUUUAUUGAAAACUAUAUAUGGUUCAAAUGCUAACAAACAUUUAUAUAAUGCAAAUAAUUCUUUUCUAUUUAUUUCCCAUUUUGCUUGUGCUUCAGUAUAUGAUCCUGAGCAAUACCUGCAAUAGUGUUCUAUCUUUUCUUUGUUAUAUUUAUAUUUUAGUACUCCUCCAUAACUGUGGUCACUUGAAUCUGUUUCAAUUAUAUAUGUAAAUGUUUUACUUUCAUCAGGAAAAUAUAGUUUUGGUAAUUUUUUUGCAUAAUUUUUUGAUAUUUUUUAUGUGUUCUUUGUCUUUGUUGUCAAAAUGAUAUUCAACAUCUUUUUUUGAGUUUUUUGUAUAGUGGUUUUAAAUGUUCUGCUAGUUUUGGUAUGUAUUCUCUUACUUGGUUUACUAAUCCUAAGAAUGAUUGUAAUUUCUUUUUGUAUCUAUAUUUUCAUCAAUAGUAAUUAUUUUUUGUACUAUAUGAGUUUGCAUUUUUAUUCCAUUUUUAUCAAUUUGUAUUCCUAGAAAUUUUAUCUGUGGUUUCAUAAUUUCUGCUUUACUUUUACUUAAACUUAUACCUGCAUGUUUAAUUAUAUGUAUAAAUUUUUCUAAUAAUCUUAUAUGUUCAUCUUGUGUUUUAGAAUAUAGUAAUAUAUCAUCUAUAUAUACAACACAAUUUUCUAACUGGUUAAAACAGUUAUCCAUAAAAUGUUUGUAUCUACCUGGUGCAUUUUUAUAUCCAAAUGGUAAUACAUUCCAUUCAUAGAAUCCUUGCGGUACUGUGAAUGCUGUUAAUUGUUUAGAUUCUUCUUCUAGUUUUAGAUGGUAAAAUCCUGAUUUACAGUCAAAUUUAUUAAAAUAAUUAUAUCCUUGUAUUUGUCUUAUUUUUAGUAUUUUGUUUGGUAUUGGAUAUUUAUAUGUUUUAGUUUUGGCAUUUAAAUUUUUGUAGUCUAUAACCAUUCUACUUUUGCCUCUUUUUUGUUCACUGUGUUUUAUAACUAUAAAUGCUGGGCUUGUAUGUUUACUAUUACUUUCUUGUAUAUAAUUUUUUCUAGUAAUUCAUUUAUAUGUAUUUUAAAUUCUUGCAAAUCAUCAAAGUUGUAUUUUAAUGGUUUUUGUGUUAUUAUACUAUUUUCAUCUAUUAAUGCAAUUUUUAUUUUUGUUUUAUGCUUUUCCCAUCCUUGUAGUGGAUCUUCAUUAUAUAAUUGUUCUAGCUGUUCAUUAAUUAUUUUAACUUUGUCUAUUGUAAAUAUAAUGAUUUCUAAUUGUGAUAUUUAUUUUUCAUUUAUAUUUUCCAUUUCCUAGUUUAUUUUUUCACUACCUUUAAUCCAUUCUAUAGAUUUUCGUUGUUUAUUUUUUACUCUUUUUGCUCCUAUUUUAUAGCCACAUGGCGUAGUAAGCCACCAGUGUGUUUUUGUUAUUACAUGUGGGUAAAAUUUGUCUAGAAAUGGCAUUCCUAGCAACAUAUCUUUUGUUGUGAAUUCAAAAUUAUAGAUUUCUUCUAUUGUUAAUAUUUUAUCCCAUAUUUGUAUUUUUAUAUUUUUUGCUUUAUAUUUAAUCAUACUUCCUUCAUUAUUAAAUCCUGUUACUACCAUUGGUGUUUUUAAUUUUUCCAAUUUAUCUUCUGGUAAACAAUUAUAUUUACAUAUAUUUAUUUCUGCUCCUGUAUCUAUCAUAGGGUAUAAUAUCUGUUAUGAUAUCCUUCUACAAUAUUUUUUGCAAGCAUAAAUAUUUUCAUUAAUCAUUUUGUUCUUUUUAUAAUUAUUUUCUUAUUUUGGAAAGUUAUUGUUAAUUGUUCAUAUUUAAUGUUGUAUGGUUUAACUUUUUCUAACCAUUUUAUUCCUAAUGUAAUAUUAUGGUUUCCUUGGUAUAUUUUAAAUGGUAUUACUAAGGGUAUUCCUCCUAUAUUUAUUUACUUUUCCAUUGUUUCUUCAUUUGUGUUUACUAUCUCACUAGGUAAUCUAGGGCAUAUGUGUCCUGUUUUCAUAAUUUCUUCUUCUAAUACUAAUUCUCUUGUUAUAUGAUUUUCUUCUUGUCCUCUGUUUAUCAAGAUUUUAUAUUUUCUUUGGUCUAUUAUUCCUGUUAUGUAAUAAUGAUAUGGUGUUAUUUCUUCCUUAUCUAAUAAGUUUUGUGGAAUUUCAUAAUUCCUUUUAGAUGUACUCAUUCUUGAUGAGGUAGCUCUUGUUAACGUAUUUGGUACCCUUGAAGUGCUUAAUCUUUCUUUUACAAUUUUUAAAUCUUCUUCUAUGUCAAUUUCUUUAUAGCUAUAGUCAUUAUUGUCUAUUACAGGAAUUAUUUUUUCAAAAGGAUUUUCUAUUUUUAUUUUUAUCAAUUUUAUUUCUUGCUGUUAUUUUAUGCUUUGUUGUUAAUAUGUAUAGGUUUUUACAUCUUGCUGUAAAUUCUUUGCUACCUGGUGCUAGUUCUAUUCCAGACAUUUUCCAAUAUAGGACUAAUGAUUUAUCUUUAUUUCUAUCUGUUAAUGGUACUGUAUAAUUAGCACUUAUUAUAAAUUUAAAUUUUUGAUAUAUUAAGUUUCCUUUUACUGCACUAAUUACGUCUUUUUUCUAUAGGGUGUAUAAUUCUAUCAUCUGCUAAAUAUAUUUCAAUAGGUGUAUCUAUUCCUUCUCUAAAACAAGCUUUUAUUAAUAUUUCUGUUCCUCCUAAAUGUACAUAUUUUAUUGGUGUUUUAGCUUUUAUACCUUGUAUUUCUUUGUUUAUUGUUCGUUUAUUUAGUAUAGGUAUAUAUGCUUUUCCUCUUGUAUAUUUGCAAUCUAUGAUAUGCUCUUUCUGACUACCUACAUAGUAUUCUUCUUUUUGUCUCUUAAACCAAUUUCUUAAGGUAGGUAUUUCAAGUACUUUUUCAACACUUAAAUCUAAUUCUUUUCCUUUAAUUUGUUCAAAUAUUGUAUUAUCAAAUAUAAUUUUUUGUUCUGAUAAUUCUUCAUUUUGAUAAUCUUCCUUGGAUAUUAUUUUUAUUUCAUCUUCAGACAUUAUAUUUCUUCAUCUGUUUCGUUAUUAUCUAUAUUAAUAUUUUCUUCUUCAUUGUCAGUUUCUAUAUCUGAUACUUCAUAUAUACUAUAGUUUUCACUUAAUUCAUUGUCUAUGUAUUUUAUCUGCAUAUAUUCGUCAUCAUCUAUAACUAUUUCUGCAAUUUAUUUUCUUUUGGAUUUUUAGGUAAUUUACAGUCUCUAGCUAUGUGUCCUAUCUUUCCGCAAUUAUAACAUGUACAUUGGGAUAUUUUUCUUUUAGGUCUAUAUGGUCUUUUUAUUUUGUAGUUUUUUACAUAAUACCUUCGUCUUGGUUGUUUAUAUUUAUACUUAGUUUUAUUUUUUCUAUAACUUUUAUAUCUUUGGGAUUUUUGUUUUUUAUUUGUACACCCAAACUGUGGUGCCAUUUUAUUUUUACAACAUGAUAAAUUUUUAUUUAGUACUUUUUCCAUUUUUAAUUUUUCUUUUUGGUUCUCACAUAAUUGUGUAAAGCAUUGAGAUAGAAAUUUUAUUCUAGCUCCUAAAGUAUCUACCAUUCCUUCAUUAUUCCAAUCCUUUAUUAUUUUUGUACUAAAUGGUUCUAGUAAUUUUGUAAAAUAUUGUUUUCUUAUUUCUUUUGCUUCGUCUAAAUUGUAUUUAGCUUUGUAGUAAUAUUCUUUGAAUGCACAAGUAUAUUCUUUUAUAUAACACAUUUUACAUAUAGCUAAUUUUGUCAUAAGUUGUCUAUUUAUUAUUUUUCUCUAUUUUGUUCUCUUAUAUCCGUGGUCAUACCUCCAAAUUCACUUCUUAUUGCUGAUUCAUAUUUGUCUAGUACAUCUAUAUUUGUUGCUGAUGGGGAUCCAUCCAUUUUCUUAUCAUUCCUAAGUACUUCUAAACUUUCUGAGGGUAGAUUUUCUAUCCAUAAUUUUGUUGUUCCUACGAAUGUUCUUUCUAUGUAUCUCGGUGUUUUUGUUGUUUCUAUUUUGUUAUCUAUUAACUGUUUAGAUAUAUUUCCUGUCCAUAGUAAUAUUGCUUUAUUUAUGUCUGUGACACAAUCUAAAUCUAAGAAAUUAUAUUGUUCACUUAUUGAUUUUGGUAUCCAAUUUUUAUUUAAUUUACUGUUCCAUAUUGCAUUAUUUCUAUCUGAUUGUUGAUAACUUUAUGUAUAAUAAGUUGGUGGUGUCCACCUAGGACUUCUUCUAGGACUAUUUCUGGGACUGUUAUUUGGGGUUUUAACUCUUGACGUACUAGGUCUAUUCAUAUCUCCUGUGUUUAUUUCUAAUUUUUUUUGUUUAUUUACCUGUUCUAGAUUUUCUGUGUAUGUUUCGCUUAUAUCACUUAUUUCUGAUUUCUGAUCAUUUAUUGUAUCUGAUUCAUUUUCGUUUAUUUCAUUUACUUCAAGAUCUUCAUUUAGUUUUUGUUCCAUCUCUUUUAUCUCAUUAGUUAAUUCAAGCUCUUUAUCUCUUUCCUUUUGUUUUUGUUUAGUUUCAUAUAAUAAUUUUAACCUAGCUAAUUCUUUUUCUAAUUCAUCUAUUCUUGUAUGUUUUAUCUCUUCUAAAUGUUGUACUUCUUGUUUUGCUUGUAUCUUUAUUUUUUCAAUUUCUUUUGAUUUGUCUAUCUCUUCAUUUUCUUUUGUUAUUCUUACCAUAGUUGUUAAGCUAUUUUCUAAUUUUGCUGUUUCUUUUUCUAACAUUAAAUAUAGGUUAUUUCCUAUUUUCUUAUAUCUUCUUCCUAAAUUUGAAAAAUAUUAUUUUUAUUAUCAUUCCGUCUUGAUUUUCAUAUGUCUUUUCAUCUACUGCAAAUUCUUCUUUAUUCAUUAUGAUUUACGUAUUAUAUUAUGUUGUAAUUCAUAUUCAAGACAAUCUAAUUCUAAUUCUAACAUAAAUAUAACUUUUCUUUGUGCUAGUAUUGAUUUAUUACAUGCUCCAGCUAUUAUAUUUUCUUCUAACCUUCUUUUUCUAUGUUGUAAUUCUUGUUCUUUUUCAGUUAUUUUUUCCAUUAUUUUUUCUAUUAAUUGUUGUUUAUAUUUUUCUUUGUUCAUACUGUUUUUUCAAAUAAUAAACAUAUUUAUAUUCUAUUUUCGAAAUUAUAUUUAUCAAAUGAUAUUUUUUAUCGUUACCUGUUUUGACUAGUUGUGAUAGUUCAUAUUCUAUAUACAAGGGUUUCAAUUUUUUCCAUGUCUUUCUUACUUUUUUAUCUAUCUUGGUUCUUUUUAUUUUAAUCUUUUUACUUUUGUUCAUUAUAUUUUUCUGUAUAAAAUUUUAAAAAGUUUACUUAACUUGGUUGGGUUUUUAACUAAUUUUUUCCUAUAUCUUAUACUUCAUCUUUGCCAUAUUUCAAAUUUUUCUAAUUCAAUCAUUAAUCUAUAAAUAUAUCUAGAUCGUCAUAUAAAUCAUACAUAUCAUAGUAAAGUUAAUCUUGUAUACUUUGUAUGGUUAACUCAGUCCAUCCUUGGGUUGUUAUUUAUAUUAUUUCAUAUGUUACCAAUUUGUCAUAAAUUUCUGUCUUUAUAUCAAUACUCAGAUUUUUUAGUAUAUAGAGUAGUAAUAUCUUAUAAUUAUCAUCAUCAUCUAUUAAAUAGGUACUCAUUUUAUUCAUUUUUGCUAAAAGUUUUUAUUCCUUCCAACCUCUUAAUGGAUUAUACUUAUUUAUUAUGAAAUAAUAACGAUUUAAUAAUCGUCUCGUCUAGCCACUACUACAGCUUUCUUCUUUAAUUAGUUACCCUAACAGCGCCUCAACUUUGUUUACUCCCCUAAACGACGUUCUUGCCUACCGGUUUCAACUUUUAGGAUGGCAUAGUCUGGGCAUACUUAUUCCAAGAAUAUUUCUGUAGUAAACCUUCUAAAGAUAUUUAUUAUAACAUUAUUAUGUCAUGCUAAACAAUUAUAAUGAACAAGAGAUUUUCAGGAAUAAAUCUAUUUAGCUACACAUAAAUUUAAGAGUGUAUACCUGUUUUUGUAGAUUUGUAGCUCCAGAUUUUUUCAUAGUUAAUAGCUUAAUUAGUUAGCUAGCUCUGAUACCAAUUUUGGGGGUGGAAGCGGAUUUGUAAAGAAAGAGAAAAUAUCAUAGUGAGGAGAAGAUGAUGGAAGAUUGGUUAUUUUAUUUAUGAGGGAAACCCUCUAUUUAUAUACAACAAUCUUACCUCUUUGGCCAAAAAUGGUCGACACCUACUUUACACUUGGCCUUUUUACAUUUGGCCGACGCUAAAAACAAAAAAACCUAGUGGCCUAUCUUUAUUAUUGGCCGACACACUUAGUAUUUACUUUACGACUUUUAUAAUUUGCUUUUUACAGCCGACACAACACGACAAAAAUAAAUGACUAUUACUUUGUACAUAUGGGUGAUAUUCAGCCGACACAAAAAACAAAAUACUUUACUAAAUACCUUUUUUUUAUUCUAAAAGUACCUCAGGGAUUAUGUCAUCCCCUUGGUUACAUUUUGAACUAUCCCUCGUUCUUCGGUGGUGAUAGUUUUAUUCUUGGAACAAACGUUUUGUAGCAUAUUCUCCUGUUGUUAUUUUUGCAUGUAUGACAUUCCUAUCGAAAACUCUACAAAGCAAUCAUGUCCCAUUGCACAACCCAUUUCAUGGGUCUAGAUUCCUCAGCAUCAUAAUGGGUGAAUUUUCUUUUAGGACCAACCAAUCAUACAUAAUUUAACGAUCCAUCAAUUUUUUUUUUGUAAUUUAGUUAUAAUUUUUUGUAUAUGUGUUAUGAGUUUAUAUUAUAAUAAAAGAUAUGUAUAUGUUAAGUUGUAUUGAUAACUUACCUAUGCGGCGAUAGGCUAUUCGGUGUUAAGGUGUUGAUCUUCUUGAUAGUAGUUGUUUGUAUCAUCUUCCGUCAAAGCUGAUGUAUGUUUUUGUCUGUCCUGAGAAUUUUUCAAUCAUCAAUUCAUUUAGCUUAUCUACAAAUUCAUUUCUAGUUGCUAAGAUGGCCUGUUCUGUUAUAUACUCCGCGGAUCUGUAAUUUUGUUCAAGUGUUGGGUAAAUUUCCCUCACCAAUGAUUCUCCUGGAUUUCCAUCAUUACUUUGUUCGACAAUCAUCUGUUGUGGAAUCGCUAUCAAGUUUUCUUUUAUUGUGUGUUCUUCUCUGUUUUCAAUAUGAAUCAAUAACUUACUUAAAGUUGUAUCUUUUCUUUCUCACAUAUUUGUCGUUAGUUUUAUUUUUUCCAUUAAAGGCCAAAAAUAUGACCUCAGUAUACUUGCAUCUACGGUCUCUGCUCUUGUAGAUUUUGGUAGUACCUGUCGAAAGUCGCCUCCAAAUACCAUGACUUUACCUCCAAAUGGUGCAUCUUUAUCCAUUAUAUUGCGAAAGCUUCGGUCCACUGUUUCAACUGUGUGUCGCCUUGCCAUUAGUGCUUCGUCCCAUCUUAUUAAUUUUGCCUGUCUUAUUAGUUUUGCCCCGCCGCCUUGCUUUGACAUGUGUGUCAUAGUUGUCUCAUUUGCUUGUAGUGGUAUGUCAAAUCUUGAGUGUCCCAUGCGCCCUCCAGGCAAUAGUGUGCUGCCACACCACUGCUUGCACAAGCCAAUGUUAUCAUGCCUUUUGAUCUCACCUUGUCUAGUAGUCCCCGAUAUAGGAAAGUUUUACCGGUUCCCCCAGGCCCAUCUACAAAGAAUAAACCGUCUGUUUCUGAAUUGACCCUUCCUAGAAUUGUAUCAAAAGUUUGUAUUUGUUGUUGAUUCAACUUGAAUUGGGCGUCUGCAUCCUCAACUAACACCUUAACAUUCAUUUCUUCUAUUAUUUCUCUACAGUGACGUGUGUCUAUUUGAUGUAAUUAUUUUUGGGUUUAAUAUACCUUUCAAUUUGUCAUUUGGAGCUGAUAUACCCCUCCUUAUAAAAGUGGAUCAUAUAUGUCCUUACCGUUAUACAAACGGCUCACAUAUACCCCUACUGUUACAAAAUGGUUUACAUAUGCCCUUCAUUUAACGGAAGUUAAAAAAUUAGUUUUAAAUUUAUAUUUGUUACUUCUAUUUUUUUAAAAAAAAAUUAUUUAGGCGUAUAUAUGAUUAUUCUAUCAAAGUUCAAGGUAUAUUUUAUUUUUUUCAUACAUAAAUUAUUUUUUGACUUCUUUUAUUAUAAUUAUUUGAGUUUCUUAUUCUUAUUUUUUUCUUUGAUUCCAUAGUUUAAAGAAAAAAAUUUAAACUAUUUUUUUCUGUGUAUUGUAAUUUAAUUUCGUAUUCAAAGAAAAAAUUUGAUCAUACAAGAAUAUUAGUGAAACAUAAAUAAAUUUGAUUAUCAAAAUAAUAAUUAUAAAUUAGUCAUUGAAAUAAAAAAAAGUCAAAAAAAAUGUUUGACGAGGAUUAGAUUUACUCAUAUGGGAUUAUAUUUUUUAGAAAAUAAUAAUAAUAAUUUAGAUUAAAAUUAUUAUUUCUUCCAUUUCCAUUAGAGGAAAAGGGUAUAUGUGGGUCAUUUGUCUACAAGUAGGGGUAUAUAUGAGCCACUUUUAUAACGAGGGGUAUAUCAGCUCUAAAUGACAAAGUUGAGAGGUAUAUCAGACCCUUUUCCCAUUAUUUUUUUACUUUUGGUAUGUCAUAUUUGUCGACACUGUUCCAUGCUCUCCAAGUAAUAAUUAAUACUUUUCAAGUUUCAUUUGAGUUGUUCUUCAGUUGUGGUUGAAUGUCUCCUUUUAAAGCCUCCAGACAUCCCCGUAAAAUGUGUCCAAUAGACUUCUCACAUCCAUAGGGUUGCAAUGAACUAAUAUUGUAGCAAACAAACAUCAUAGUGCUUUUGGCAUCUUGAAUGUGACAGCCUCGCGUAAACAUUUUGAAAUGUUGUAAUCUGAUUCUAAUAACCCUCUUUCUUUUGCUGUCUCUUUAAAAGUUAGACACUACUUUCCAUUAAGAAUUAGUAACUUUUCAAAUUAAGUGGCUCCUCGUACGUGAUUGAGCAAUAGUCUUUCAUAUUACCUUUCUCCUUCUCUAGAAUUUGCUGUUAUAUUUAGUAUCUUUAUUGUGUGUGAUUAAUUAACAUGGAUAGUAGUUGUAAUUGACUUACCAAUAUUUAUGCGGCCAAUAACCGUGCGUGAUUUUAUUUUAUCCAUAUUUUUGAUAGGGAGUUCCAUGCAUAAUGCUCAGGGAACUCUCUGUAAUGAUAAUUGUGAGCCUCCAUGUCUAUAGAGCACAUCCUGAAAUACUCUGUAAGCAUAGUUUAUUGUACAAUGUCUGAUUGCACGAUAGUUUGUAGAUUUUGCUUCUUCUUACAGCACAUACAUAUGUUUUAGUAAGCAUAACAUAAAGUAAUGUUCUACAUAGUGCACAAAUUGUAAUUGUAAAUGUAAUAAUUGUCCAUAAAUUGUAACAUACUUUUUUGUUUUUGUGGAAGAUGUAAUUGUAAGUUGAUAACUGCCGGUUGCAUUUCUUUUAGGUUAAAUUCAUAUAUUCUCCACAUAACUUCUGGAGGUGAUACCCAACAUGCAUCUUGGAAACUUUUGAUUUCAUCAAUGAAUUUUUCCUAUUGUCGGAUUCUAUAUACAUGGCACAUUUAUAGUGGCCUUUAUAUAUAUAUAUAUAUAUAUAUAUAUAUAUAUAUAUAUAUAUAUAUAUAUAUAUAGAUAGAUAGAUAGAUAGAUAGAUAGAUAGAUAGAUAGAUAUUUUAUUGCUUUAACUCCUAAGCAGACUUCAACAUUAAUGUGACAGUUAUAUCUGAUCAACAAAUAUGGAUUAUAAGUUACAACCCAUUAAUUAUUCAUGUUCAUUCCACGAACCUCACUUGUUCUCCUGUCAUUUCUUCUUCUGUAAAUCGGAAAUACAUCCCUUCCUUGUAUUGUUUUGUUGUUGAAUGUUCUUUGAUAGUGAAAUUUACAUUGUCCAUUUUUCAUACAUGGACUUGUCUUUCCUCGCAAGGUCCUUGUAUCAUAUGCUUUAUUACUAAUGUGCUUAAUCUUGGAUGUGUGUCUUUAUUAGGGAUUCUUCACUAAUGUAUCUAUCAUACUCAUCUGGAGAUCGUAUCUUUUUUCCUUCUUUAAAUAAUAGAAGUAGGUGUAUAUUUGGUAAGCCUCCCUUCUAGAAUUCUACAACAAAAACAUAUGCUGCGACGGUUCCAAAUAUUUCUUUCUUUAAAAUUUGAUCUUUCAAGUCUUGCAAUUUUUCCCGAAACACUCUAGUCACCAAAUCGGGUCUGUCUUGAGGUAGUUGUCCUGGACAUAAUUGUUUUUGAAUUUCAACCCAAUCUGGGUUACAUGUCAUGGUGAUGAAAAGAUCUGGUCAUCCAAACUCCUGAACCAAAGCCAUUGCAUCCAUAUAUCGGCGUCGCAUAUCCUUAGGGCCUCCAAUGAAUGAUCGUGGUAGUAAUACCUUUGUCCUACCUUGUCUACUCUACACUCACUUGCACUAACACUAUCAACAAUACCUUCGAGUAUCUCCCUUCGAUAAUUUGAUUGCUCGAAUCUAUAAAAUUCUAGUCUGGUUCUUUCUAUCUUAAUGUAUAUGUCAACCACAAAUUGCUGCAACAAUAUCCCGCACAUUAAAAGUAUUGAUUUGUCACCAGUUCUUACUUGUAGUUUGUAACAGUACUACACCCUACAAGAAACAAAACCUUUGGAUUCACGUCGCAAAGCUACACCAGUUUUAUAUAAUUACAGUUAGAUAAAUUUUCCAUAUAAGGUAAUUAGUAGCCAUAUAUUUUUUAUUAAAACUUGUAAUAUGAUAGUACAAUGUAUUUAUAUAUUUUUUUGGGUAUAUUGAAAUGUUCUUACCUUGUGCUUCAUUGGCCAACAACCCAGCAGCAGUUGUGGAUGAUAAUCUACCCGAUUCGGUAAUUGUAUUUGUAUGUGUUUGGCUGUUGUUUAUCUGGUUGCGUCAUUUUUGUAUUCCUUGAAACCUCCUUCUCCUUUAGGUAGAAUUAUCGGAUAUUGAAGCGGAUAACAACAACCCUAAUAAUGUUGUACUCGAUGUUUAUUUCCUGAAUGUUCAUGUACAAUAAUAUAUCUUACAAAUGGUGUGUUUGGAUUGUUUCCGUCUACCCAAAUUGCCGCUACCUGAUCCACAGAUGGUUUGUUAUAGACUCGUUUCCAUUAUGCGUAUUUCAAGAUUUUAUAAGUUUGUAUGUUCUUUUAGUAGGGUGAAGAAUUCUGCAUAUGGAUUCCCCUCCAUUAUAUUUCGUAAUUUAGUCAUGACUUCUUCUUACAAAUUGGCAUCUUGUAGUACCGACAUUAUUUUGGCUAUUUCAUGGUCAGUAUUAUAGAAGUAUAGUUGAAAGUACCUUGGUCCGUUCUUGUUUGGAAUUCAGGGACAAAGUUAAUAAUUUUUGUCAAGUUUAGAGAUAUCUUCAAUAUAUUUCAAGAAAGGAAAAAAGAGUAAAAAAUUAAACACACGUGAACUAUCAUUCUUUUGUAAAGUUUUGCAUUUUGAUUAUUAGUUGUUUUAUUUUUCCUACCUAAAUUAUCAUGUAUAUAUGUAUUAAAACACAUCUAUUUGAAUAAAUAACGAGAGUUAAAAUAGAAAAGGAAAUAAAUCCUUCCUAGAAUAUGCUAAUUCUUUGUCCAACUUAACUCCAACUGACGUGAAAGCAAAUAUGUUAUUAUAUGCACGUAUAUUUUUUCAAAAUAAUUUUGCGUUUUCUUAAUCCGCCACAAAUAAUUCAUAAUAGUCAUCUGCGACUUGAUUGGGUGCUAAAUUGACAUAUCCACAUGCGCAACACAAUGUUGGUGACUCAUAUUCAAACCUCAUAGCAUGACAGUGGCGGCAGUCUUGAUUUUUUUUCUUCAAUUUAUGAGUUGAGGCUGGACUGAAGUUUGCAUUUGUAAGCCCUAUAUUAAAAACGAUAAUAAUACAUAGUUGGAGAAUGUUAUUUUAUGUCUAAAAAUCUUUUUUUGUAUACCUUUAUGCAUAGAAAAUAUGAUCAAAUAUGCCUCCGUCAACAUUUGGGUCAGAUAUAGCAAGGCGCUUAAUUGUUUUGCCGCUUCUUCAUUUGUGGUUCAUGAACAUGGCCAUCUUCAAUUUGAUCAGUCGCUGACAUAUUUUUUUUCCAACUUUUGGAACACAUUCUCUACAUCCGGCUGUAUUUUGCGCUUUGACACCUGGUGCAGAAGAUGUUACAAUUUGUACCUUUUGUCUGGCAGAUAGUUGAAAGUUGGCAUUAAAAUGACAUUUUGCUCAACAUACCUUUUUUUUGCGGCAAGUUGUAGUGAACUUCCAAUUUUUAUUGGUAGCACUUAUUAAGGAAAUUAGAUAAUUUUGGUCAUGUGUGCAUGGACUUAAUAUUUAUCUUAUUAGUUGUUAUAUAUUUCAUUCAUAAAUUAGUCUUAUAUAUUAUAUUAAUCUAGCUUAUUGCUAUUAUAUUUUUACCAUUUUUGUUAUUUGAAAUUGUAUCAUAUUAUUGUAAUAAUAUUCAAUCGUGUUAUUGAAGCCUGUUAUUGAAAAUUGAUUAAAAAAAAUAUUGAAUGAUGUGCAUCUAAAUAAUGUCAUAGCAACACCAUUGUUUCAUUUUUCACAAAAUGAGAAAGAUGUUUCACAAAGAGUAAAAAAUAACAUCAAUUUGUAUUCAUAGCUUAAUAUAACUGUAUUAGUUUUUAAACUAAUAUAUUUCAAUUUGAAAUAAAAGAACUACAUAUUUCAAAUACUUAAAAAAGUAAAAAAAAAACAAAACAAACAAACUACAUCUUUCAAAUAUAACAAUGAAAUAUAACUGAACGGAAUUAUCAUUAAUGGUGUUUAUUAAGUAUAGUAUAGCUUAGUGUGCCAGAAUUGUUUUACGUCUUAUAGGUUUUCAAGUUCUCCUAAUAUAUACGUAAUUGUAUUACAUCUUGCUCAGGAUUUUUGUUGUCUUCAAUGUUAUCUUUUUAUUUACUGAUGGAAAUAUAUAUUUAAUCUCCAUCAUACGCUAGACCUAAGAAUGUAUGACGAAGCUAUACAUGGAUGAAGGGAAUGCCAUGUGUGUAUUUUUGUGUUUUUCAAAAGUUGAAUAUUGCCUAGGCCAUUCUUGUGUGUAGUUUACAUUGCAGGCUAAUUUGUCCCUUGGCUAAUAUGUUCAGUUAAUUGAAGUGAACUUACACUAUUUAUUAUGCAAUGCGUGACGUUGCUGUGUGACUUUGACCUCUUUCAGGUGGUCUAUAAUGUUUAAAAAAACAGUAGAUUGUGCAAAUUGAAUUUGCCGACGCUGCGACUAUAUGAAUGUGUGACUUUUUCACAAUGUGUUGGUAUUGUGUAUCGAUGGAACAAUGGUAUGUGUUGGGUUCAAUAUUCUGAAAUAAACUUAAAAAAUUGAUGAAGGUGUAAACUUUUGGUAUUUAUUUUACUUUGAUGCUGUCAUGCUGGAGUAUAAUUGUGUUUCUAAGAUAGGUGUGUUUAAGCAGUUACAAUGAUUGAAGCGGCAUCUUUUGUAACAUGUUGCAAUUAUAGACCAGAAAGCUGUGAUGUUCCAGAAAGUUGUGAUUUUUUAGUGAAGGUGUGACUUUUCACUGAUGGAUCGCUGCUCGUGAAGCGUCAUAUUAGUUGGUGCCGUUUAAAUUUUUUUUAUAAUUGGUUUUGAAAGUGUAACAAUUAUGUUUUGCAGGAUUAUAUAUUUUCCUGUAAUGAAUAGUUUUUUUGCUAUUUCCGGCGUUUGUAUAAAAUGUUUAUAAUUAUGGCAUUUUCCCCAUGUUACAGGCACAAUAUGCACAAUGGGGAAUUAUACAUCUUUUAGUCAACGGGGGAUAUUAACUAACAGAUUCAUUAAAUGAUGUUUGUUUAUUGAUCAAUAUCAUAAAUCGAGGUGAUUGUAUUAGAGUAGAAUAAAUUUUAGUACCGUCGCUAUAAUAUUUAGUAAUCGGGCAUAAACUAAAUACAUAUUAUCAUCCAUUCAAAGUCAAAUUUGUUACAAUUAGUAUCGGCUAUUUCUGAUAUUUUAUGCAUACAGACGAUAAUUUAAUCAUAACCAAAGUUGAAAUUCGUUUAAUGAAGUAUUUUAAUCGUACUUAAUAUUGUUAGAAUAUUUCUUUAGUCCUAACAUUUGACACAAACAUCUUUCAUGGGAACUCUUCCUAAUGCACAAGGAAGACGCUAUUUCUAUACCAAUUGAAAUAGCCCAAUUAGGUAGUCAAUAAAUUAUCAUCUGAUGGAUAAAUACGGCAGAGACAGUGACAGUAAACAAUAUAUUAAGAAGAGUAAUACUUGUAUAUGACACUAACAAAUUGAUUUUUCAUUUUAAUUAGAUAGAAAAUUAUCAAUUAGUAAUUAGUUUCGAAGAUGCACAAACAUUGUAUAUGGAGUUAAAGCUCCACAUUAUUUAAAUACAUAUUCCAGAGAAUACAUCUACUUUCUAUUUCCUUUUUGUUUCUUUUGUUUGAUUUCAGCCGCUCCUUCUGUGUUUUUCUUGGCCCUCUUCGUGUACAUCCUUACUGAUUUGGCUUUGUCAUCUACAAUUAGUGGCGCUUCGUCUUCCACCUCAUGUAUUUCUUCAGCAAUAAAGCUAUAUUGUGGGCUUGAGUCAUUCAUAUCAAUUUUAACAAGGAAGUUGAAUUGCUUGUGAAGAAACCUUACCCCAGAACACAAAUCAGAUUCGUGUAAGUUGCUUUUAAGCAAAGACAGAGUAAAGACACAAACACUUGUUGAAUUAAGAACCUUCCUCACUCAAGGAAGGAAAAACUUCGUUUUAUUAAUUCAACUAUAAGAUUUUGUGAUUACAACUUAAUAAUCAAAAGUCUUAUCUCUACUACUCACUCGAUUGACUCCAAUCGAUCUCUCCAAAAAGCCAAACCCACCUUUUGUUACAACUCUUACUAACACUCAACCCUACAAAGAUCCAAAUUCACCCUUUGUACAAUAAACUGUAAACUACAAUUGUAACGACCCGCUAGGUCGUUUUGAGAACUAGGACUAGUCUGACUCCUUUUGAAAAUUUAAAGGGGUAUUUUUUUUACUAUUCGAAGACUAAGAGUAUUUAGUUGAUAAAAAUUUUUAGUGAAGAAUUAAUAUAGUUAAUAGUUAGUGGGUCAUACUCAUAACUUAUUUAAUAUCUUUAUACUUGACCCAUAUAUUGAUUUAAGUUAGUGAAAUUAGUUUAUUUGCUAUACUUAAUUACCAUUAGAAAGGCAGAAUAUAAAAAGGGUUACAAAAUACUGCAAACGUGAGGAACAAAGCGAAGCGGCAGGUAUGAAGCAACUGAAACUUUCUUGUUUUGAUAUGGAUUAUAACCAGAUUUUUCUUGAAUUAGUAAGGUAUAUAUAUAUAAAUUUUGAAAUAGUAGUGCGCAGGUGUAGUAUUGAUUUUUUCCUUUUAGAAUUUUGCGGGAUGAAUCAAUUAUUUUGAUUGGUUGUUACCCCCAUGAUUAUCAUAAGGAGAGGAUUAACUAGGUUAAUUAAUUGGAAUAUAGCAGCAGGGAAUAAUGUUACUUUUUCUUCAUAGGUGUUCUCGUUUAAAGAUUUGUUUUUAAUUAAUUAUUAUGAAAAAAUGAAAUUAGGAUAGAUCUGCAAGGUUUUCUGUUCUUUCCUUUUCUUGUUGAGAAAAUAUAGUGAAUGGUGGGGGCCAAUAGUUAGGCAAUCAUUGCCAAUGAUUGUUAAUUGGUAAUGACAUUUUAGAAUUUGUCACUUUGUUUACGUAAUGGAUUUUAGACGACUUGCAGUGCUUUGCGCUGUUAACUAAUAGAAUUGUUCUUAUUUUAUUUAUUUACCAAAUCAAGAUACUAGCUUUUGAUAUAUUGAGAUAGGUAGUUAAUUAUUAGAUGUAUAUUAUAUGAUCUAACAUUUAAUUCUAGAGUAGUUAGAGAGGUUAAAGUUAAAUUCUUGACAUGAAAUUUAGCAAAUAUGAUAAAUUUGGCAUACAAAUUUUAUCAAGGCUUGGAGCUAGAUUAGAAAUAUGAGUGAGUUUUAGGGUCUACGAUAGACAUAUAAUGAUUUGAUACAAACUCGCUUACUUACGAAUAAUUGCAUCAUUGGUAGAUCGUGAAUGUUCCGAAACCUUGCGAAAAGGAAAGGAAAAAUCUUAAAAGAUUCGUGGCACAAGUUCGGCAUCUAAGGUAUGUUAAGACUUUUUAGACUUGUUGAAGGACGUUUUCCUAAUUAAAGAUUAAAAAUGGAAAUAGACAAAGGGGUAAGGGAAAAAAAUGGUGGUCUCGUAUCAAUGGUGUGACGGGCAUUGGUACGAGUACCGAUGUUAUAAAAAAGAAAAUUACUAUUAUAGAAUGUGGAUUGAAAUUUGAGAAUGCCAAAGCAUAUGGGCAUUAGCUGAUAUAUUAUUGACUUGAAUUCCUUGUGUGAUUGUGUUUUAUUUAUUUCAUCCGUAUAGUUGUGAUAUUUGAGGUGGGUAUGUAUUAUGUUCAUAUUGAUUGAUUGAGAUGCAUCAUCAUCCCCUCUAUUGAAAUAAUAUUGUGCACAUGCAUAGACGUGAGACUGAGUAUAAGUUGGGCACGUGGAGAUCGUCCGUGCUGGGGAUGGUGAGAUGUUAAGAUUGUAAUUUGGGCACGUGGAGACCGUCCGUGCGAAAAUUAUUUGAUAUUAUAUUAGUGCGUUGAGAUCGUCCGCACAGACACGUGGAGAUCGUCCGUGUCGGUAUAUGGACCUCGCGAGUCCGCCAUGGGUCAUGAGCUCUAGAUGUAUUUCUGAGGAGUAUCAUGUAUAUACGGUUGAGUGAGUACUGGGUAUUCUGAGCCAUAUCAUUACAUGGCAUCAUAUUGCAUUGCAUUUCAUCCCAUCAUUCAUUCUUGAUGACUAUAUGUUUCGUUUGGUGUUUGGAAAAUAUUAAAUGUUGAUUUCCUUUAUUGAUGAAACUUGAAUAGUAAGUGUAUAUAUAUAUAUAUAUAUAUAUAUAUAUAUAUAUAUAUAUACUUGUACAAUCUAAGAAUUUAUUUUCUUAUAUAACUUCCGUCACUACUUCUUCGCUGUCGGUCAAUGAGACAUACUGGGUACACGUGGUUUCGUACUCAUACUACGCUUGUUGCACUCUUUGUGGUGCAGAUUCGAUUCUGAGUAGGAGCACAUCUCGUGGAGCAGUCCGGCUUGAAGUUCUUGGAGUUGUGGUGAGCUACUUGGCUGUUCCGUGGCCCACACCUCCUUCUAUCUUUUAUUUAUUCUGUUAUUAGUAUUCAAAUAGGAUAUCCCUUAUGUUAGAUUUGUCAUUUAGUUUCAGACUUGCUUCGAAUUUUAGAAGCUCUUGUACUUAAGACACCAAUUCUUGGGGUGGUAUAUUUUAUCUUCCGCAUUUCGUACUUAUAAGGAACUCAUGUUGGAGAUUCUUGCUAAGCGUUGGUCUUUUUACUCAUUUGAUUGGUUUAGUUGGGUUAGUAUGUUGGGUUGGCUUACCUAUUGGUUGGGAACAUAGGUGCCAUCACGACUCGAAGAAAAAUUGGGUCGUGACAAAUUUGGUAUCAGAGCUCUACGUUCAUCGGCCUCAAGAGUACAAGAGCAAUGUCUAGUAGAGUCUUGCGGAUCGGUAUGAAGACGUCCAUACCUAUCUUCGAGAGGCUAUAGGACAUUUAGGAAAUAUUCUGUUCUUUUAUUCCUUAUCGUGCACACUUGACCUUGUAGAAAUUCUAAUCUUGAUAUCUCAUUCUCUCUCAGAUGGCGAGGAAUCGUACGUCGACAAGUGGUGGUCAGGAUCCUAAUCCUGCGCCUGCUUCUGGGAACCCUAUCCGAGGUAGAGGUAGGGGACGAGCUCGAGGUCGGGGUAGGGGCCGUGUUGCAGCACCUGUGGAUGUUCAAGUACCAGUAACUACCCAGGGUCGUGAUAGGGCCGUACCUCCUGAUGCAGAGGUUAUUCAUGGGGAUGUGCAAGAUCGUGUCGAGGGGGAUGGGCCAGCUCAGGCUCCAACCAGUACUAUUGUCCCCCCAGUUCUUCAAGACACCCUGGCUCGCAUGUUAGGAAUCCUAGAGGGGAUGGCCCAGGCAGGAGCUUUGCCUGUCACAUCUGAUGGCUCACAGACCCGUGUUGGAGGUCAAACUCCAGAUCCGAUAGUUGCUCCAGAUUCUCAGACUCCCAGGACUCAGCCAGCUGCCGCUGUAGCUCCUCGUUUGGAUAGUAUGGAGUUUCCAGAUAUGACAUCACAUUUGGUGAACAAGCCUUCUAUGACUAUUGAUGAGCAAAAGAUGUUUGGGAGGUUCAGACUAAUGAAUCCUCCUACUUAUACUGGUGACUUAGCUGAGGAUGCAUAUGAGUUUAUAGUUAGUUGUCAUGAGAGGUUGCAUAAUCUUGGAUUAGUGGAGUCUCAUGGAGUUGACUACACAGCGUUUCAGAUGACUGGCUCUGCUAAGCAUUGGUGGAGGGAUUAUAUUAGUAGUAGGCCAGCUGGAUCUCAUCCACUAUCCUGGACUGAGUUUACUCAGGUAAUUCUAUCCAAAUUUGUUCCACGUAGUGAGAGGGAGCGCAAGAGGGCCGAGUUUGAGGGUUUGCAGCAAAAUGGUAUGUCAGUUGCAGAGUAUGAGGGUAAAUUUCAUGCCUUGGCUAGGCAUGCUUCGAUGAUACUUCCCACAGAGGCUGAGAGAGUGAGGAGGUUUGUUAAGGGGCUGAUUAUUCCAAUUCGUCUAGGAGUUUCUCAGGUUGCUGCUUCUGGUGUUCCAUUCCAGAAGGUGGUAGAUGCUACUAAGGAGUUGGAGAUGAUUCGACGUGAGAGAUUUGAGCAGCGAGAGGGCAAGAGGACUCGUUAUUCAGGUGAUUAUGGUGGUGCUCCGUCUAGGAGUCGGGGUUACUUGGGCAGAGGUUAUCACCCUCAGAACAGCAGACCCAUUCAUGCUGCCAUACCAGCGUCUGAGGCUGGUUACGCUGGGCAUAACUCUUCGAGCUCGGUACAUACUUCGCAGGGUUCAUCUUAUAGACCUGUAGUUCGUGAAGGGCAUUCUGGUCAUUCCGGUUCCUCUCAUCAGCCGGCAUCUCGUUGGGGUUGCUUUGAGUGUGGUGAUAUGGGACACUUUGUGAGAGACUGCCCUAGGACUAGACGUGGUGGCUUACAUCAGGGUUCUCAGGUUUCGACUUCCAAGGCUGCACAACCUCCAGCUAGGGGUGGUGCACAGAAUGGUAGAGGUGGUUCUCAUUCAGGUAGAGGUGGUUCUCCUUCUGGUCGAGGUGGUGGUCGUGGAGGUUCACAAUCUGAUGGAGGUCAUUCUCACUGUUAUGCUUUUUCAGGUAGGCCAGAGGCUGAAGCCUCAGAUGCUGUUAUCACAGGUAUUAUUCCAGUUUGUCAUCGACCAGCUACUGUAUUAUUUGAUCCAGGCUCUACUUAUUCUUAUGUGUCCACAUAUUUUGCUCCUAGUCUGGAUAUAUUGUGUGAGUCUCUUGAUUUGCCGAUACGUGUUUCUACUCCUGUCGGGGAUUCUGUAGUUGUAGAUCGGGUAUAUCAUUUAUGUACUGUUACUUUGAUGGGGUGUGACACUCAUGCAGAUUUAAAGGUCUUAGAUAUGAUAGAUUUUGACGUGAUUCUUAGUAUGGAUUGGUUAUCUUCUUACCACGCAAUUUUAAAUUGUCAUGCCAAGACCAUCACUUUAGCUAUGCCUGGAAUUCCUAUAGUAGAAUGGAGAGGUACUCUUAGUCAUCCUUCUAAGGGUGUGAUAUCAUUCCUUAAGGCUCGUCAGUUGGUACAGAGAGGAUGUUUGGCGUACUUGGCCCACAUUCGAGAUACUAGUAUUGAGACUCCUAUGCUUGAGUCUAUUCCAGUAGUGAGUGAAUUUUCAGAAGUAUUUCCGACCGAUUUGCCAGGUCUUCCACCAGAUCGAGAUAUUGAUUUUUGUAUUGAUGUUGAGCCAGGCACUCGGCCUAUUUCCAUUCCUUCUUAUCGUAUGGCACCAGCUGAAUUGAAAGAGUUGAAGGAGCAGCUGCAGGAUUUGUUGAGCAAAGGUUUUAUUAGACCAAGUGUAUCUCCUUGGGGUGCUCCAGUAUUAUUUGUUAAGAAAAAAGAUGGAUCUAUGCGCAUGUGUAUUGACUAUCGGCAGUUGAACAAGGUAACCAUCAGAAAUAAGUAUCCGAUACCUCGUAUUGAUGAUUUAUUUGAUCAGUUUCAGGGUGCUUCUGUUUUCUCCAAAAUUGACUUGAGAUCUGGCUAUCAUCAGCUGAAGGUUAGGGCGGAGGAUAUCCCUAAGACGGCUUUUUGAACACGUUAUGGUCAUUACGAGUUUUUGGUGAUGUCUUUCGGACUGACUAAUGCCCCAGCAACUUUUAUGGACUUGAUGAAUGGAGUGUUCAGACCGUAUUUAGAUUCCUUUGUUAUUGUCUUCAUAGAUGACAUAUUGAUAUACUCACGCACUAAGGAGGAACAUGAGCAUCAUUUGAGGAUUGUUCUUGGGAUUCUAAAGGAGAAGAAGCUUUAUGCAAAGUUUUCAAAGUGUGAGUUUUGGCUUAGUUCGGUAGCAUUCUUGGGACAUGUAGUGUCCAAGGAGGGUAUCAUGGUGGAUCCUAAGAAGAUUGAGGCGGUUAGAGAUUGGAUCAGACCUACUUCAGUUACUGAGAUUCGGAGUUUCUUGGGCCUUGCAGGUUAUUAUCGAUGGUUUGUUGAGGGUUUCUCAUCCAUUGCAUCUCCAUUAACUAGAUUGACACAAAAGGAGGUGACUUUUCGGUGGUCUGACGAAUGUGAGGUUAGUUUCCAAAAGCUCAAAACUUUAUUGACUACUGCUCCAAUUUUGAACCUACCCGUGGAGGGAGAGGGUUUUGUCGUAUAUUGUGAUGCUUCUCGGGUUGGUCUUGGUUGUGUGUUGAUGCAGAAGGGAAGGGUGAUAGCUUAUGCUUCGAGGCAGUUAAAGGUUCAUGAGAAGAACUACCCUAUUCAUGAUUUAGAGUUGACGGCUGUGGUGUUUACAUUAAAGAUUUGGAGGCAUUAUCUAUAUGGUGUGCAUUGUGAGGUGUUCACGGAUCAUCGUAGUCUCCAGUAUAUAUUCAAUCAGAGGGAUCUAAAUUUGAGGCAGAGGAGAUGGUUGGAGUUGCUCAAAGACUAUGAUAUGACUAUUCUUUAUCACCCGGGCAAAGCAAAUGUUGUAGCAGAUGCCUUGAGUCGGAAGGCGGUGAGUAUGGGUAGCCUAGCCAUGUCACAAGUUGGCGAGCGUCCCUUAGCUAGGGAUGUCCAAUCCCUGGCCAAUAGCUUUGUGAGACUUGAUAUUUCAGAAUGUGGUAAGGUGUUGGCUUAUAUGGAGGCUAGGUCAUCCUUGUUGGAGCAGAUUCGGGCUCAACAGUUUGAUGAUGGUGAUUUAUGUAAGAUUAGGGACAAGGUUUUAAAAGGAGAAGCCAAGGCUGCAAUUCUUGAUAGUGAGGGAGUCUUGAGGAUUAAAGGUCGUAUAUGUGCUCCUCGUACAUGUGAUUUGACUAGAUUGAUCAUGGAGGAGGCUCAUAGUUCGAGGUACUCCAUUCAUCUGGGGGCUACUAAAAUGUAUUGUGACUUGAAGCAACACUAUUGGUGGUGCCGUAUGAAGAGGGACAUAGUAGAUUUUGUAUCUCGAUGUUUAAAUUGUCAGCAAGUGAAGUAUGAACACCAAAAGCCUGGAGGUAUGACUCAGAGGAUGCCCAUACCUGAGUGGAAGUGGGAGCGAAUUGCUAUGGACUUUGUGGUAGGGUUGCCACGUAACUUGGGUAAGUUUGAUGCUAUAUGGGUCAUUGUGGAUCGACUGACUAAGUCUGCACACUUUGUACCAGUUCAGACUACCUAUAACUCAGAAAGGUUAGCCAAGAUUUAUAUUCGGGAGAUAGUUCGGUUGCAUGGGGUUCCUAUAUCUAUUAUUUCAAAUCGUGGCACCCAAUUUACAUCUCAUUUCUGGCGGUCUAUGCAGAAAGAUUUGGGCACUCGGGUGGAUCUUAGUACAGCCUUUCACCCUAAGACUGAUGGUCAGUCUGAGCGGACUAUUCAGGUUCUUGAGGACAUGUUGCGGGCGUGUGUGAUUGACUUUGGUGGUCAGUGGGAUCAAUUCUUGCCAUUAGCGGAGUUUGCUUACAAUAAUAGUUAUCAUUCGAGCAUUGAGAUGGCACCAUUUGAGGCUUUGUAUGGUAGGAGAUGUCGAUCUCCAAUUGGUUGGUUUGACGCAUUUGAAGUUAGACCAUGGGGUACAGAUUUGUUAAGAGAAUCCUUGGACAAGGUCAAGUUGAUCCAAGAUAGACUUCUCAUGGCUCAGAGCAGGCAAAAGAGUUACGCAGAUAGGAAGGUUCGUGAUUUGGAGUUUAUGGUUGGAGAAAGGGUUUUACUUAAGGUUUCACCCAUGAAGGGUGUGAUGAGAUUUGGAAAGAAGGGCAAGUUGAGUCCAAGGUACAUUGGUCCUUUCGAGGUUGUGGAGCGUAUUGGUGAGGUGGCAUAUCAGUUGGCUUUGCCACCUGGGUUGUCAGGUGUCCAUCCUGUAUUUCAUAUUUCAAUGCUUAAGAAGUAUCAUCAGGGUGGUGAUCAUGUGAUUCAAUGGGAUUCAGUGUUACUUGAUCAAAAUUUGACUUUUGAGGAAGAGCCGAUCACCAUUUUGGAUAGGCAAGUUCGGAAGCUAAGGUCCAAGGAGAUUGCUUCAGUAAAGGUUCAGUGGAAGCAUCGUCCAGUGGAAGAGGCUACAUGGGAGACAGAGUCAGACAUGAGGAGUAAAUAUCCUCAUCUUUUUGAUCAUUCAGGUUAGCUUUUUUAUUUUACCGUUCGAGGACGAACGUUUGUUUAAGUGGUAGGUGAUGUAACGACCCGCUAGGUCGUUUUGAGAACUAGGACUAGUCUGACUCCUUUUGAAAAUUUAAAGGGGUAUUUUUUUUACUAUUCGAAGACUAAGAGUAUUUAGUUGAUAAAAAUUUUUAGUGAAGAAUUAAUAUAGUUAAUAGUUAGUGGGUCAUACUCAUAACUUAUUUAAUAUCUUUAUACUUCACCCAUAUAUUGAUUUAAGUUAGUGAAAUUAGUUUAUUUGCUAUACUUAAUUACCAUUAGAAAGGCAGAAAAUAAAAAGGGUUACAAAAUACUGCAAACGUGAGGAACAAAGCGAAGCGGCAGGUAUGAAGCAACUGAAACUUUCUUGUUUUGAUAUGGAUUAUAACCAGAUUUUUCUUGAAUUAGUAAGGUAUAUAUAUAUAAAUUUUGAAAUAGUAGUGCGCAGGUGUAGUAUUGAUUUUUUCCUUUUAGAAUUUUGCAGGAUGAAUCAAUUAUUUUGAUUGGUUGUUACCCCCAUGAUAAUCAUAAGGAGAGGAUUAACUAGGUUAAUUAAUUGGAAUAUAGCAGCAGGGAAUAAUGUUACUUUUUCUUCAUAGGUGUUCUCAUUUAAAGAUUUGUUUUUAAUUAAUUAUUAUGAAAAAAUGAAAUUAGGAUAGAUCUGCAAGGUUUUCUGUUCUUUCCUUUUCUUGUUGAGAAAAUAUAGUGAAUGGUGGGGGCCAAUCAUUAGGCAAUCAUUGCCAAUGAUUGUUAAUUGGUAAUGACAUUUUAGAAUUUGUCACUUUGUUCACGUAAUGGAUUUUAGAUGACUUGCAGUGCUUUGCGCUAUUAACUGAUAGAAUUGUUCUUAUUUUAUUUAUUUACCAAAUCAAGAUACUAGCUUUUGAUAUAUUGAGAUAGGUAGUUAAUUAUUAGAUGUAUAUUAUAUGAUCUAACAUUUAAUUCUAGAGUAGUUAGAGAGGUUAAAGUUAAAUUCUUGACUUGAAAUUUAGCAAAUAUGAUAAAUUUGGCAUACAAAUUUUAUCAAGGCUUGGAGCUAGAUUAGAAAUAUGAGUGAGUUUUAGGGUCUACGAUAGACAUAUAAUGAUUUGAUACAAACUCGCUUACUUACGAAUAAUUGCAUCAUUGGUAUAUCGUGAACGUUCCGAAACCUUGCGAAAAGGAAAGGAAAAAUCUUAAAAGAUUCGUGGCACAAGUUCGGCAUCUAAGGUAUGUUAAGACUUUUUAGACUUGUUGAAGGACGUUUUCCUAAUUCAAGAUUAAAAAUGGAAAUAGACAAAGGGGUAAGGGAAAAAAAUGGUGGUCUCGUAUCAAUGGUGUGGCGGGCAUUGGUACGAGUACCGAUGUUAUAAAAAGGAAAAUUACUAUUAUAGAAUGUGGAUUGAAAUUUGAGAAUGCCAAAGCAUAUGGGCAUUAGCUGAUAUAUUAUUGACUUGAAUUCCUUGUGUGAUUGUGUUUUAUUUAUUUCAUCCGUAUAGUUGUGAUAAUUGAGGUGGGUAUGUAUUAUGUUCAUAUUGAUUGAUUGAGAUGCAUCAUCAUCCCCUCUAUUGAAAUAAUAUUGUGCACAUGCAUAGACGUGAGACAGAGUAUAAGUUGGGCACGUGGAGAUCGUCCGUGCUGGGGAUGGUGAGAUGUUAAGAUUGUAAUUUGGGCACGUGGAGACCGUCCGUGCGAAAAUUAUUUGAUAUUAUGAUAGUGCGUUGAGAUCGUCCGCACAGACACGUGGAGAUCGUCCAUGUCGGUAUAUGGACCUCGCGAGUCCCCCAUGGGUCAUGAGCUCUCGAUGUAUUUCUGAGGAGUAUCAUGUAUAUACGGUUGAGUGAGUACUGGGUAUUCUGAGCCAUAUCAUUACAUGGCAUCAUAUUGCAUUGCAUUUCAUCCCAUCAUUCAUUCUUGAUGACUACAUGUUUCGUUUGGUGUUUGGAAAAUAUUAAAUGUUGAUUUCCUUUAUUGAUGAAACUUGAAUAGUAAGUGUAAUAUAUAUAUAUAUAUAUAUAUAUAUAUAUAUACUUGUACAAUCUAAGAAUUUAUUUUCUUAUAUAACUUCCGUCACUACUUCUUCGCUGUCGGUCAAUGAGACAUACUGGGUACACGUGGUUUCGUACUCAUACUACGCUUGUUGCACUCUUUGUGGCGCAGAUUCGAUUCCGAGUAGGAGCACAUCUCGUGGAGCAAAUUGAGUCCGGCUUGAAGUUCUUGGAGUUGUGGUGAGCUACUUGGCUGUUCCGUGGCCCACACCUCCUUCUAUCUUUUAUUUAUUCUGUUAUUAGUAUUCAAACAGGAUAUCCCUUAUGUUAGAUUUAUCAUUUAGUUUCAGACUUGCUUCGAAUUUUAGAAGCUCUUGUACUUAAGACACCAAUUCUUGGGGUGGUAUAUUUUAUCUUCCGCAUUUCGUACUUAUAAGGAACUCAUGUUGGAGAUUCUUGCUAAGCGUUGGUCUUUUUACUCAUUUGAUUGGUUUAGUUGGGUUAGUAUGUUGGGUUGGCUUACCUAUUGGUUGGGAACAUAGGUGCCAUCACGAAUCGAAGAAAAAUUGGGUCGUGACAACAAUUAAGAACAAAAACAAGACAAAUAGUUCUAUACGUAACUUCUGGUUUUUUGACUCAAGAGUGACAUACUUUUCUUCAGCUACUUUAAGUUCCCUGAGUAACUGAGCAACAUGACCAGAUGUAGGUGGAGACGCAGUUGCAACCUGCUCCAGCUCCAUGGGAAUGCCACAAUCAGCAAGAAUAGUUUGAGUAAACAUAUCUGUACGAGUUAAAAUCCUGCCUUCUCCCAAUGGUACUUCAAAUGCAUCAAACACUCUAGUUAAUAGAUUUCCAAAAACUUCAAUUCUUUGUAAUCCAUCAAAACUACAAACUUCAUGUUUUCUCAUUCCCCAAGAAUUUCCCCGUUUUUUAUGAUGACAAACUAUGCAUAUGUAUAUCCACAUUAUAUAAUUUCCCCCUUUUGGCAUCAUUGAAAAUCAAUAACCAAAGAACUCGAAUAACAUUCAAUGAGUGCAAUAUCAUUUUUUAACUCAUAGCCACUUGGGCAACACUUUCAAGUACACUUCUGCUAGCACAAUGGUUAUUUAAUAUGAGGAUAUUAGUCAUCUUAAACUCAUACACAAUUAAGAUCUUCAAUGAGAAACGAAAUAGACAAAUAUGUACCAGUUUAUGCCUUUAAUCAAAAACAUAUAAUGUCAUGAGUAUGAGACAGACAUAAGCACAUCAAAGAGUCAAAAGAGUAUUAAAUUUGAGGAUAAGGAUUGGGACAAAGAUUACUAAAGUGAGGAAGAAAGGGAUGUUUACUGCCAUUGAUAAUUUUUUUCAGUAUGCCCAUUGUGCACCAGCUUCUUUAUUCUGAUCAGUUUUCUUAGAAUGUGAAAUUUCAUCAUGAGAUACAUCAGGACCUUUUUUUAACUCUACUCCGUAACAUUUCAUUCCUCCAUGAUUUUCUUCCUUUUUUUUGAUAGUCUUUUUCUUGAUGACAACUUUGAAGGAGUACCAACUACCAGUAAGAGAUUCAUCACAUUUUGGUGCACAAAGAGAUGUGUUUAUCAAUAAUGAAAGCAAGAAACAAUUUAUUUCUGUGAGAAUUGUUCCCCCUAAGAGAUAGACAAGUUAUACACUUGGAAUGGAUGAAAUAUCAAUUUGGAGUUUGUUAACCUGGUUCAGAUGUGGGUGGUAAAGCAAGGUUCCCCCUAAAUUAAAGCAUGAGUGACUUCAAUACUGAGAUUUUCAUCAUUAGAGCAGUUUGAGAUUGAACGAUGCUUAUUGUCAAAGAGGGUUCUUGGUGGUCUUUAAGAAAGUAGAAUUUUUGAUGAUCGACCAGGUUCAUUAGUGCUUAUAUUUGACCCAAACUCUGGAAAUUAAUGCAUUGAAAAAGGAUGGUACAUACCUGAGUAUUAUAGAGAAACCAGGUUCCCCCUCCUUUUUUUGUGUUUCUUCAUGAUUUACUUAAUGGUGUUAGCAAAGAGAAGAGAUAACAUCCGCAAACUUUCUAAGCAUUGUUUGAGAUGUGACUUGAAUAUGUACCUUUUACAGUACGAGGUUGAGUUAGCAGAUAUUCAUUUUAUAAUUACUCAAGCGUAAGAUUAUUCUUUUACUAGCCAAUUAUUAAAGGAAAUCAUGAUAAUGCAUCAACUUGUUUCGAUAACACCAUGCUUUGACUGAUUUUUCUCAAUUUCUUCAUAUUCAAGGCCUUCACAAGAAUGUCGCAUCAUCAUAUUCUCCCAGAUCAAAUGAAUCUCAAGCUGAUUCACAGAGAACCAACCCUUGUCAAUUUUUAAUACAUUCUAAUGAAUAACAAGGAGCAUGUUCACACAACAAAGUUCCCCCAAAGGUGUGCCAUACUCUUAUUGUCUCGAUUGCUCUAAUAUUCCCCCAAUCUCCAGAACAUAGAUAAGAAGUACUUCAUGUUGCAGGUGCAUCAAUGAUUGUUAGCUGUGAACCAGGUUCAUAUGCAGUGUUCUCUAAAUUUGCAUCAUAAAAGAUGUUUGAUAUCAUGUCACUUUCUUCAUUUUUUUUUCAUUUUGUCUCAUCCUUUUCAAGGAAUAAACUUCCUCCUUGAAAAUCAAAGAGCGAGAGGAAAUUUUCUACCAUUUUAAGCACCAUUUUGGAGCAUGCACUAUUCAUGUACCAAGUUGGCCUUUUCCCUCUCACCUUCACCUAAAACACUAGUCAAAGAUUAGUCUUGGGAACCCAGAUUAGCUUGGGCCCCUUUAUGUGAGUAAAAGGAUGAAUAAGAUUUCUUCUAGCCCAUAAAGGCAAAUAAGAAAACCUUUUAUUUGGAGCAUUUUUAUUUCGAACCAGGUUCUUAGCCGUAUCAGUCUUUUCCUUUUUGAUGAACUUAACAUUUUUCUUAAAAGCCUCAAAUAAAGCUUUACAUUGAUUCUUUAAAUGAACUGAGUUUCCACAAUGAGUGCAUAAACUUUUAGACAUGUGAAUAGUGUGUGACACAAGAUUAUUCUGUUUUUUAAAACCUAUCCCACUUCGACUAGUGGUUUGCUUUUCUUGAAUCUGAGUUAAAAUUUCAGAGGACCUUGUCCAUCUUAGAUUUCUUUCCAGAUCCAGUUUUGUAUGAUCAAGAUUUUCUUGUAACAACCUAUUCCUUUCUGUUAAAGCUUGAUAUUUUAUUGUUAACAAUUUUAGUUUUUCUUCUAGAGCUAAUUGAAGUUCACUAGCAGAGUUUUUGCCCUUGUGACUUAACUCUGAAAUUUUAAUCUAUUCUUUUAAUUUAUUUUGAAGAAAGUGAUUGUGUUUCUCAAGAUUGUCAUUGACUUCUCUUAAAGAUGCAUAGUUUUCCAACACUUGUUCUCUUUCAGAAUUGACAGACUGAUAUGCACCUAUAAGAGUACUCAAUAAGGACUCUAGUUCCUUUUUAGAAUAUGAUUCAAUAUUUACUUUGAUGUGAUGAAAACUUACCUUGCUUUGAUUGUCAUUUUCUUCAUCAUCUUCAGAAUCUGAUCCAGCCAUGAGUGCUAGUAUGGUUUCUUGUGAUCUGCAGGUUUCUUUUUCUUCCUUGGUUUCCACUGCUACAAGGGCAAGAAAGUCAUAAUCAUCUUCUUGUUCUAGUGCAAGAAGAGACUGGUUUUCUGUCUCAUCACCCUUAGACUCUUCAUCAAAUGAAUUCCCCAUUGCUGCAAAGGCCCUCUUCAUUGACAUAUCUGCCUCUUGAGUUGUCAUUCUUCUGUUUGAGGGGACAAACUUAUCCUUUUUGAUGUCUUUGCCCUUCUCAGAGUUUGCCUUUUUCAGCUCUAAGGCCCAAAGUGGAAAGAAUUUGAUAAAGUGAUAUGGGCUCCCACACUUAUGACAAACCUGGUCUUUAGUGUUUUCAGAUGGUUUUUGAGAAGCUUUCUUUUCAAAGGUCUGCCCUCUCUUUAGCAUUCUGGUGAACCUUUUGGUUAUGAGGGCAAUAUUUUCCUCUUCAAAAUCAUCUAAUGUAGUAGCUUUUAGAACCAGGUUCCUUUCCUUUCUUUUUCCUCCAAUUUCCUUUUCUUUGUUUUUCUUGAGUUCGUAUAUGAUGAGAUUACCAAUUAACUCAUCCAUGGCCAGUGAGUCUAGGUCGCGGGCUAUAGUGAUAGCCUCGACUUUGAUUUCCCAAGUUUCAGGAAGGACACUCAAGAGUUUCAUUACUGCCUUUCUAUUAGGAAUUAUCUCUCCUAAAGAGUACAUCUCAUUAAUGAUGGAGGUGAACCUGGUGUGCAUGUCUUGAAUAUCCUCCCCUUCUGCCAUCCUGAACAGCUCAUAUUGCCUGUUCAAGUUAUCAAUUUUAGACUUCUUGACUUGUGUUGUUCCCUCAUGAGUUGUUUGAAGUGUUUCCCAUAUGGCUUUGGCAUCUUGACAUGACGAGAUUCGAUUGUAUUCGCCUGGUCCUAUGCCACAUAUCAGAAUUUUCUUGGCUUUGGCAUUGUUUUGAAUUGCAAGCUUGUCUUCAACAUUCCAUUCUUUUCUUUCGUUUGGGACUUUGGUGAUUCCAUCAGUUGUGGUUUUCAUAGGUAUGGUUGGGCCAUCUAAAAUUACUCCCCAUAGAUCAGGGUUGUCGCCAAUAAGAUUGUCCAUCAUACAAUUCUUCCACCAUCCAUAAUAUUUUUCAUUGAACAGUGGUGGUCGUGUUUGUGAAGCUCCCUCUUGUGGGGUAGGUGGUGCUGCCAUUGAGUCUUUUCAAGGCGUGAAUCUUUUAACGAAAAGACCUGCUCUGAUACCAAUUGAAGAAACCUUACCCCAGAACACAAACCAGGUUCGUGUAAGUUGCUUUUAAGUAAAGACAGAGUAAAGACACAAACACUUAUUGAAUUAAAAACCUUCCUCACUCAAGGAAGGAAAAACCUCGUUUUAUUAAUUCAACUAUAAGAUUUUGUGAUUACAACUUAAUAAUCAAAAGUCAUAUCUCUACUACUCCCUCGAUUGACUCCAAUCGAUCUCUCCAAAAGGCCAAACCCACCUUUUGUUACAACUCUUACUAACACUCAACCCUACAAAGAGCCAAACCCACCCUUUGUACAAUAAACUCUAAACUACAAUUAAGAACAAAAAAUAAGACAAAUAGUUCUACACGAUAAAAACCUUCUCACUCAAGAAUAUUUUGACCGUAGCAAUCCUAUCAAUCUUGAAGACCUCAGUUUGAUGAAUAAUUCUCUCUCGUUCUCUGUGUGAAGCCGUCUUUUUUUUUCUCUGCCUCGUGAUCUUCUUAUAGAGUUUUUGCCUUGUAGAAUCCUUACUGGUAAGGUAAGGGAGUUAUGUUUAAACAAGGAUUCUUUUUUAAAUUACAAUCCUUAUUAUACACAACUUCCUUCCUUAAUAAUAUAUUUAAGGUUUUCCUUAUUUGUAUGAACUUAUACCUUUAAUAUAUUAUUUUUGGCUUUGACAAAUAACUCUAUUUUCUUGAUUACUUGGCUGACCCAUUUUACUCGAGCUUGGCUUCUUUUGCUGCGUACAAUUGCUACAGAUUAUUUGCGCUUCUUAUCUAUCAUCAAAACAUCAAUUAUCGAUUCUAUCUUAUUCUAUCAGCUUGCCUUUACAUAACACCAACUUGUGGUAGUAGUAACAUUCUUCCUUCUUGAUAAGAUGUAAAGAAUUUGAUUUGUUAGUAGGAAAGGUUGUCAUCACGCUAGAGAUUACACUAAUAAAUGUCUCCUUACAGUUAGUCAACUCUAUACAUUAAGUUCAUACCUUUACUAAGUUUGAUUUCAUGUACUCUUGCACGUUGCAGUCUAAUAUAUAUUCAGCCACUGCAAAAAGGAUGACUAGAGCCCAUCGCUCUCCAUUGCACACCUCAAGUCGUAAACAAUACCUUCAAAAUAGGUGGCUUUAACGUUAAUAUAAUGUGUUUAGUAAUUAGUAAUAUUAAAUCCCGUUAAAACAAAGUAUAACCUAAUAUUAUAUUCGAAAUUGUGGCUAUUGCUAUUAUUACAAUCGGUAGUGACUUCUAUAAAUUUCACUUUUUAUGGCACGUUUUGCAAGUUGAGUACCAUGCUCAUCUUUAUUGAGUAUUUCUUCAAUUUUUGCUUUGAACUUGUACAUACAAUCCUGCAAAUCGCCAACACAACAUAGUAGAGAAUAUACAUUGAACAUACAAAUGAGUUUAUUUUACGUAUAGAUGAAGUAUAAGUUAAUAUGUACCUCUGAAUCAACGCACAUACCAAUUAGAAUUUUGGAUAAUGGAACUUAUAUGGCUCUUCUCAUUACCUUAGUAGGCAUUAUUGAAUGAUCUUUGUUAUCGGCCUUUAUGAUUUCACGCCUAUAUUUGCAAUAUGGUUAGCUGAAGGUAGCACCCAUUUAGAGUUAGGUUUGUAAGGUGUAUUGUAUUGUCUUUUUUAUGGUCAUACUAAAAUGCAAAUUUGGAACAAUCAUAAUUGUGAAAAAUAUAUACUGUUAUAGCAAUGUUCAGUAACAGUUGAGAGUCGUGAUAGAUGGGUUGAACUAAGAAUUGAGAAUAUAUUUGUGAAGUAUGUAAUGUACCAUACUCGAAGGUCGUUUGCUUUUUGGAAUAUUGGAUUGAUCAAGACGCGCUGCUCACAGAAAUAGUAGAGAUCCCAAAUCGGCCUAGUGUGAUAAGAGCAUUUAAACCUUUAGUAAUAAUGACUAUAUGAAGUUUGAAAUAGAUAAAUAUCUACAAUACACUGUUAAUACCAUUAAAGAUUGAUACUUUGACGUCACAUAAGGGUAGUAUAGGCUCAUCAUCUUGCAGCUUCCCGAGGAAUGCACCAUCAUUUUCAGCAAAAUCUCCCGUAGUGUGACGGUUGUAUGAUCCAUGCUGGAUUAAUAAGUAGAAGUGGAAAGUAAAUACAUAAUCUUAUCUACAUACACAUGGUAGUAUAUGCAUCAUUGAAACUUACAACUAAUUUGUAACGACUAUUUCCCGUCUUUUGGAAUUGACAUUUUGAAUGAGGGGAUUCACCGAAACUAAGACGCAAAUUAAGUCUGGAAAUAUAUUACUUAAAUUAGAGAAUAGAAUAACGUAAUGUGGCAUGACAACAACAGAUAAGUUGUGUGGAUAGUCACCUAGAAUAGCACUAUUAGGUAAUUUAUCAGCAUGUUCCAAUGAUAAAAACCCAUCAGAGAAUUUGUCGGUUGAAACUGCGUGCUCAGUCUCUUGUAUGAUUAUGUUGUCUGUAAAGGCCAAUUAAACUUCUUUGUGCACAGAAGAGUAGUUCGGGUUGACGCGAUCUAAGCUGCCUUUGGUGGUGUAGUAACUCUUUUCUGGCAUCAAAUUAAGAAUCCUUCCAUGUAUUAAACGGUGGAGGGAUGGAAAAGUUCAUCAAACAUGAACUAUUGUACAAUAAAGUAGGUAAAAGUGUCAAUGUUGUUACCUCUUCAUCUACUAAUAUUAUAGUUCAUAAAGUUCCUUCAUGCCUUGAAUUCUUGUAAUGUAUUAUUGAACCCCUUCGAAUAACUAAGACCCGCAUCACCGAGUCAACAAGGUAUAUUGGUAUAUUGUUGAUCAAUAUGUUUUGCUAGUUUCGUUUCAGUCGCUAUUUCGGUUAAAUAUGGAUGAAUGCAGGUACUUAAGGAAAUAAGUGAAACAAUGUUAACAUUGGACAUAAAUAUGUAUGGGCACUCUUGAUGAGGACAACUUGUUGUAAUAGUAUGCAACAUUUGGGGGAAAUUUCGUGCAGUUAAGACAUUAGUAGUAAGAUGUAUUAUGUGAGAAAUAUACGGUUAGCAGGGAAUUUUGUAUGUGCAGGCGAGGCAGUCGUACUGGUGCAACAAGGGGGAGGAUCAAAGUGAAUGUUUGGAUUGUUCUUGGGGCCAUUUUUCUGUUGGGAAAACGUGGACAAGCACAAAAGUAUACAUGGUAAAAGUAAUGGAAAUAAAAUGGGAAAAUAACGACACAAAGAAUUUUACGUGGAAAUUCUCCUGAAUAAGGGACAAAACCACGGGCCAAUAAGUGCAAUUGAUAUUACUAUAUUAAGGAAUUUUACACAAUGUAGUCACGAGUACAAUACUCAAAGUGACUACUACACACUCAAAAAGAACAACACCCUUUUGAUUUCCGUCUUACUAAAAUAUCGCUCACACUCUAUUUUUCUUCACAGACUAUUUUCUUGUAUAGUUUAUGGAAUACCUCACUUUGCUCUCAAAAUGGUUUUUCUCUCUAACUUGGUGUGUUCUAGAAAUGAGCAAGAAUGCUCUAUUUAUAGAGGGAUAAAAUCAUGCUUAUGUCACUAAAGACAUAUGUAAACAUAGCAAAGUCAAGAAUGGUUGCAAAUCUUACCGAUUUGCCAACUACCAAAUCUCUUAUUUUCAACUCCAAUUACUAUUCCUUUUUAACAAUUGCUUGUACCAAUUGAAUAGCUAAAGUUGGAUAAAAAUGGGAUGAAUUCAACAAAUCUCCCCCUCCAGUCCCAUCUACUAGAAGAAGGUUUCUUCAACUUCAUUAGAGAGAGCUCAUAACCACAAGUUAUUUGCAUAACUCAAACUCGUCUUUCGGUAUCAUCUUGGUCAACAUAUCUGCAGGAUUUUCACUUGUGUGAAAAUUUUUGACGUGAAAUGAUUCAUUCUCCACUUCCUCACGAAUCCAAUGAUAUCUGACGUCGAUGUGUUUUGUUCUUGCAUGGUACAUGGAGUUCUUGCUCAAGUCUAUUUCACUCUGACUUUCAUAAUAGACAACAUACUCCAUCUGAUUCAAACCAAGCUCUUGAAGAAAUCUCUUUAGCCAUAUCAUCUCCUUGCCGGCUUCAGUAGCCGCAAUAUACUCAGCUUCAGUUGUAUAUAGUGCAACAUACUCCUGCAACUUUGACUGCCAUGAUAUAGCUCCCCCUGAAAAAGUUAACAAAUAUCCAGUAGUGGAUUUUCUCUUAUCAAGGUCACCCCGAAAAAUUUUUCUUCUCAUUUUCUAACCCUAAUUUGACUAGAAUCGAUUGCUUUCCUCAAAUUUAACUUAGAUUUAAUUACCCAAUACUAGUGCACAAGAAUCUACCCAUUUUUCCUCAAGGCUUGAUGAGCGUUGAGAACAUGAAUGGUUAUGCAAAGUGCUUUUGAUCCCAUGCACUCCUCCUUGGAUUAUGUAAAGCAUUAUUGCACUUAUGCAUCCUUCCCUAUAUUAUGUAGAACGCACUGCAAUUAUUUUGAUAAAUUACUUAGAUUUUAUGUGGGAACCAGACUAAAAUUUGAAAUAUCCAUCUCCAAAUUUUUCUUUUUCGAUCUUUAGCAACACUACAAACAAAAGUCACAUUUUUUCCUCAAAAAACUUAUGGUCUUUCUUGUUAGUAUUUUAUUCAAUUUAUUUCUUUGAUUCGUAAAGUGUAUUCCCUUAAAUAACGAAAAUAUUUUAACCUUACCCUCAUAAAAGAUAAACUUCAGCACAACACUUUAAAAUGUGUCUUUCUUGGGUAUUCUCGUCUACAAAAAGGUUACAAAUACUUUGAUCCCUCUAACAAUAAGUACAUGAUCUCUGCACAUGUUACUUUUUUCGAGACUUCUCCGUAUUGUCCUCCUAAUACCGAAAAUAAGAAGGCCAUAUCAUUCCUUCCCAUUCUAACUAUUCCAACCCCAACUCCACCUCCAACUCUUAAGGUCUAUUCCCAAUGACCUCAAUAUCUUGCUGGACUUGCUAACCCAGUUGGUAUUUGUAACUCAGAUAUAGAUGCAAAAAACAAUAUAGGUGACUCAUACCUACUCAAACAAUUUCUUCUGAUUCUAUCAAAGGACUAAUGUGAUGAUUUUCCCAUUUCUCUUCAAAAAGGUACUAGAAUGACUGCCAAUCAGACUCCCAAUUAUUCUUAUUUAAGUUAUCAUCGUUUGUCACCUUCAUAUUAUGCCUUCCUUACUAGAUUAUCAUCAGUCAAAGUUCCUACGAUUGUGACAGAAGCACUGGUUCAUCAAGGUUUACAUCAAGAUAUGAUUGAAGAGAUGAUUGCUUUUCAUGAUAAUUGUACUUGGGAGCUUGUUCCUUAACCCAAAGGAAACACCAAAUUUUGUCGUCAUUGGGUAUUCAUAGUUAAGGUAGGUUAAGAUUGAGCUGCUGAUCGUCUCAAAGCAAAGACUGGUUGCUAAGGGAUACACUCUGAUUUAUGGCAUCAAUUAUGGAGAUACAUUCUCACAAGUUUUCAAGAUGGCUUAUGUUCGUCUUAUCAUCCUUAUGGAAGCAAUGAAUCAUUGUCCCCUUUUUCAAUUGAAAUAAAAAAUGCAUUCCUACAUAGAGAGCUUUCUCAAGGGGUAUAUAUGGAGAAACCACCAGGGUUUAUUGCUUAGGGGGGAGUCUAGACUAGUUUUUAAACCUUGUCAAUCCCUCUAUCGUCUUAAGAAGUCUCCCAGAGCAUGGUUUAGUAAUUUUUGAGAUGUUUUCCAAUAUUUUGGAAUGAUCCGAAAAGAAGUAAUCACUCAAUAUUCUAUAGGCAUUCAUGUCAUGGCAAAUAUAUGUUUUUAAUUAUUUAUAUUGAUGAUAUUUUUAUCACAUGAGAUGAUUAGAUGGUUCACUUUAGGUUAUUUGUUCUAAUUAGAGGAAAUCUAAUAUCAUGGAAAAGGAAAAAGCAAGUUGCAUAACUCGAUCAAGCGCAGAGGCAGAAUAUCGAGCUAUGGAACUAGAUACGUGUGAGCUUAUAUGGUUAAGACAACUUAUCCAAGAAUUGAAGAUGCAUGGAGUUGAUACAAAGAGAUUAAUUAAUGAUAACCAAGUUUCACUACAUAUCACUUCUAAUGCAGUGUUCCAUGAAAGACCGAAGCACAUUGAGAUAAAUUGUCAUGUAACUGGAUAGAAGAUUGAGUACAGAUACAUCACAACAAGUUUUGUCAACUCAAAAGAUCAACUGGCGGAUAUUUUCACAAAAUCACUUCGAGGAUCCAAAAUUGAUUAUAUUUGUGGAAACUGGGAGCAUAUGACAUACACUUUCCAGCUUGAGGGGAGUGCUAAUUAUGGUAUUUUUGGAUAGUGAAGAUAUUAGAGUCUUUAAAUAUGGUAUGGUUAAAUAAUUUAGAUAUGAGAAUAUUCCAUAAAUCUUAAUAAGGUAGUUAGGAGAUUGUGUAAUAUUUUAUUAUCUUCUUUCCUUGUUUACACUAUCUGUAACAGUUAUUUAAUCCCAUCAAAAUGAGGGAAUUAUCAAUCAGUUCAAUUCCCAAUAUCUCUUUGAAUUCAAAUUAUUUUUAAUAUGUAAGCAUGUAUCUAUUUGCAUUUAUUCUUCUUCAUCCGCAUUCUUCGCCUGUUACUCUGUUCAAUUGAUUGAACUUCUCUAAAUGGCAUGAACAAGUCCAGUUUCACUUAGGUGUGAUGGAUCUUGAUUUGGCUCUGCUGAAUGACACACCUACUGCUAUUAUUGAUAAGACCAAUGAUGAUGAGAAGUCUUUUCAUAACUAAUGAAAACAUUAUAAUAGACUGAGUCUUAUGUUCAUGCAAAUGAUUGUUGCUAACAACAUUAAUAGUACUAUUUCACAAACAAAAAGUUUCAAGAAAUACCUAAAGUUUGUAAGAGAAUGUUUUUGUUCUGCUGAUCACUGGUACGCUAAUGGCUGAACUCACGACCAUGAAGUUUGAUGGAUCACGUACUAUGCAAAAUCAUAUCACCGAGAUGACUAACACUACAGCAAGACCUUGGACUUCGUGAUAAAAGUGGAUGGCACCUUCUUAGAUUAGUUUGUUAUGAGCUCAUUGCCUCUUGAGUAUGGACCAUUCAAAAUUAAAUAUAGCACUAUUAAGGAUAAGUAGGAUAUUCGUGAAUUGUCCAGUAUGCUUAAUCAAGAGGAGUCAAGACUGAAGAAACAAGGAGGUCAUUCUAUUAACCUAGUGGGUCAAGGAGCUGGUAAAGGACUUAAAGUGAAAGCCAAGAAUUUUAAGAAAAAUAAAGCACAUGCUAAAGUUUCACAAGAUGCUUAUAAGGAACUCAAUGCUGAUGUGUGUCGUUUCUGUAAAAAGGAAGGACACUAUCUCAAAGAUUUCCUGAAACGUAAAGCUUAUUUUGAAAAGAAAGGUACAUUUAGUGCCUUUGUAUGUUUCGAAUCAAAUUUAGUAGAAGUUUCUAUAAUACUUGGUGGCUUUAUUCUUUUGCAACUACUCAUGUAUCUACUACGUUGCAGGGACUCACUAAGAUCCAAAUUACGAAUCCAAAUAAAAAAAGAUUCUUGUUCAUGGGAAAUCGCAUGAAGGCUAAAAUUGAAGGCAUAGGAACUUAUGUUUGAUCUUGGAGACUGGACAUCACCUUGAUUUAACAGACUCUUUAUGUUCCUUCAAUUUUUUAGGAAUUUGAUUUCUUUUUCAAGACUUAAUGUUUCUUGAUUUGAUUUUACGUUUGGAUAUGGAUUUUUUAAUUUAUAUAAGAAUACUAUCUUUAUGGUUCUGGUGGUUUUUUAUGGUUUAUAUAAAUUUAAACUCAAUUAUAAUUAGACGAGGUUCACUAAAUGAAAAUUUUGGUUAUUUAUGACUUUGUGGCAUAAACAUUUAAGUCAUGCAUCCAAAGAAAUAUUAAAAAGGUUAGUAAAGAAUGAAAUUCUUCCUAAUCUGAAUUUUAUUGAUCUUAAUAUAUGUUUGGAUUGCAUUAAAGGAAAACAAACCAAGCAUACCAAGAAAGAUACCACACGGAGCACUCAACUUCUUGAAAAUAUACACACUAUUUGUGGACCCUUUGAUGUUCCAUAUUUUGGUGGAGAAAAAUAUUUUAUUACCUUUAUCGAUUUUUCACAUUAUGGAUUUAUCUAUUUUUUGAGAGAAAAAAAAUCAAACAGUGGAUUCUCUAAAAGUGUACGUUAAGGAGGUUGAAAUACAAUUAGAUAAGAAAGUGAAAAUCAUUAAGUCAUAUAGAGGUAGUGAAUAUUAUGAAAAUUCUAAUGAAUCAAAACAAUAUCUAGGUCUAUUUGAAAAAAUUCUUGAAUAUGGUGAAGUUGGUGGGAGUGUUGAACGACAAAGUUUGAAAUUAAUGAGGUAAGGGUUAAUAUUUCAUUUCCCAUGAAUGUACCUAGAGUCGUCAAUAUGGGCUAGGCCUGUUGGGUCGGCCUUGCCUAACUCGGGAUUUAAUAGGGUUAGGCAAUGAUUUUUAGAGCCUAUUUGCGAAAAGGGAUUUUUAACCCGACCUGAAUAAGUCUGAUGAUUUGUGGGGCUUGAGAAAUAUCGAUAAGGUCGACCCGUGGGCCAAUGAAAAUUAACUAAAAAUAUAGUAUAAUAUUAAAAUUUAAAAUUAAACAGAGUCCAAACUCAAAACAAUUAGAUUAAUAUUUCUAUUUAGAUAUUUAUACAUGUACUUGGAAAAAUAACUUAAUAAGUAUUAUAAAGUAAAUUUUAUUUGUGGAUUUUAUUUAAAAAUAGUAACAUUAACAUCUUGUGAUAUUGUUUUGUCGAUAUUUAGGAUAAUAUAUUUAAAGUAUAAUUUAAUAAUUCUAAAAAGAAUAUAAUAUUUUGAAAAGUGUGUUGGCCCGGCAAGCCUGUAACCAUGUACUUGUGAGUUAGACUGGCCAUUUUCCAGCCCACACCAAAAAUUGGCUAGCCUGGACUGACCCGUAAAAUGUCGAAGCCUGUAUGGGAUAGUGUGGGGUGGGCUAGCCCAUAUUGACAACUCUAAAUGUACCUACUUCCUCACCAAUCACAAAUGUUGUUCCACUUGUUGGAGAACACUUAAACAAUGUUCAACGGCAUUUGGGUGAACACUUCAAGAAAGAAAUAAUUCACAAGCAUCUGAUGCAUAUGAACCUUAAACAAUGUUAUAAAGUAAAUCGUCCAUUUCAGAUCAUUAUGUGAUUUAUUUGUAAGAGUAAGAUUUUGACAAUGAAAUAAAUAAGGAUUUGAUUUCAUUUUCACAUGCCAUAGAAAACAAUAAGUAUGAUAAAUGGAUUGAUACCAUGAAGAAAUAAAAUCCAUGGAAUACAAUAAAGUCUGGGAUCUCAUUCAAUUACAAAAAGCUCUAAAAUAAUCGAGUGGAGAUGGGUCCUCAAGACAAAACCCGAUAAGAAUGGUAAUAUUGAACUAUAUAUAGCCAAAUUUGUUGUGGAGGGUAAAAAAAGAGGCAUUGUUCAUAAAGUUACCUUUCACGGAUUUCAAAGAAAGACUCAUUAAGAAUUAUUUUGCCUUUUAGUCUUGUAUGUUGAUGACAUUUUAAUUUUAGUGGGAGUAAGUUUAAUUUUUUAGUCUUGUAUAUUAAUGACAUUUUACUUGCUGCUAAUGAUUUUGACAUAUUGCAUGAGAGAAAAGACUUUCUCUCUGUGAACUUUGAAAUGAAAAAUAUGGGUGAGACAUCCUAUGUGAUAGGGAUAGAAAUAUUCAGUGAUACAUCACAAGGAUUAUUGGAACUGUCUCAAAAAAAAGGCUUUAUCAAAAGAGUUCCAGGGAGAUUUAAUAUGUUCAGCAGGAAUAGUACCUAUUAAAAGGGAACAAAUUUAAUCUUAUGUUAUGCCCCAAGAAUGAUGUAGAACGAACGGAAAUGAUCUCAAUUCCUUAAUCUUCUACUGUUGGAAGUUAGAUGUAUGUUCAAAUUUUCACAAGACCGUAUAUUAGCUUUGUUGUUGGAAUGCUAGGAAGAUAUCAAAGUAUUCGUGGAAUUGAUCACCAAAAAGAUGCAAAGAAAUUCUAUGGCACGUUAUGAAGCUACAAUUUAUAUAUUAUGACUGCGCUUGAGAUUGUUGACACCAUUACCAAGCUGAAAGUUAUUGUAAUAAUGCAACAAUGUUCUUCGCCACGAAUGAUUAGUACUCCAAUUGUGCCAAACAUAUGAAAUCGUGUACUUUACUAUCAAGGAAGAAAUUCAGAAAAAGAGUAUUACUUAAGAAUAUUAGAAUUGAUCUCAUGAUUGCAGAUCUUUUAACAAAAUGCUUACAACCAAAGAUAUUUAAAGAACAUGCUCAAAGAAUAGGUCUUGUUUGUACUUAUGAUUGAUACAUUUAUGAUAUUUUACACUAGCUCAAAUUAUUUUUUUCUUAUGUACUUUAAUGAACAUCUUGUUUCUCAUAAUGGUGUACACAUUAUUGUUAUCACAAGGUAUGUCUAUAUGAGACAUUAUUGUGGGCCAUAAAAUGUUAUAUGUUUUAUAGCUUAUGGACCUUGUAUGAUAAGUUGCUAAUGUAGCAUUAUGGAAGGAAGUAUGUAUAGCUUAAAAUUUAUGUACAACCGUCAUAACUCGCAUUGGUAUGUAUGAUGGACAUUAUAGAAGAGAUUUAUUGUGUGUGCAACUAAUGUUCAUUAAAUAUUAAUGUCAUUGGGUGAAGUGGGAGAAUGUAAGAAUUAUUAUUUAUUAUUUCUUACUUAUAACCCAAGUUUACUUGUAAUCCAAGUAAUACCACAAAUAAUAUUUAAUAAGGAAUAGUCGCGUCUGUACGUUGACUACUUGAUAGACGUACCAAAUUAAGUCAUAACUUCUAUAAAUUGAUCCUCCCUCAACCCAUUAGGAUUACCGCAUAUUCUCUACAAUAAUUCUAUCGUUGACUGUUGUGGUAGCAUAAAUUUAGGGCAACAAGGUAGAAAUAAAUUUAAGACUAACACUUCCUCUUUUCUAUGUGAUGAUGUCUUCCUCAUCAAGUAUGUGCCCUUAACAAUCUCUAUGUAAAAUUAUCGUGUUCAAGAUCCUGAUAUUACGUUAUAAAGUAUUUAAUCUUACAAUGUGACCAUCAAACUUCUUUUCAAUAAGUAUAUUGAUUCUGUUAAUGUCCUAUGAUGUACUAAUGUGAUCAACUUCUUCGUUAACUAUAUAUGUAAUUCAUUAAUUUUCAAGAUACAAACCAGGGAUAAAGCUCAAACAUAUGGAAAAUGUCUAUUUGUCCAGAUUUGGUUUAAUGGUAUGUAAAUAGUAUGUAUCACUUAUAAAUUUGAAGUUCAUAUUUUUUGCAUUAUAAGUAGAGAAUAUUUUAGAUUGUUUUCUUUUAUUAUUAGGGUCUUUCUAAUGUUUCAUUUCUUUAAUAAGGAAAGCAUGACAAAAAGGUCAUAUGUUAUUAGAAUAACAAUAUUAAUAUACGUAGAUUGUGACAAAGGAUUGCUAGAGUUACGUUGAUACUUUCACUAUAUUGUCAUAUAUUAAUAUCAAGUUUUUCUUCUUGAUUGAAGGGUAAACCUUGCACCUGAUAUUUUAAUAACUAAAAUCUUUACGAAAUUGUCACGACCCAAAUCCGGGCCGCGACUGGCACCCACACUUACCCUCCUAUGUGAGCGAACCAACCAAUCCAAACCUUAACAUUUCAAUAUAAUAUAAACAGAAAGUAAUGCGGAAGACUUAAACUCAUAAAUAAAAUCAAUAACUAUUAUUAUCUCCAAAAUCUGGAAGUCAUCUCCACAAGAAUAUCUACGAUCAAAUGACUAAACAAAGAGUAUUCUAAAAGCUAAAAAUACAUAAGAAGCUAGUCCAUGCCGGAAGUUAAAGGAAUCAAGACUUGAAGAAGAAGAUCCAGUCCAAGCUAGAAGCAUUAGCUCACCCUGAAUUUCCGGUGUAGUAAGACUGGCUUGAAUUACUGUUGAGUCGAAGGCGACGGCACGUUUGCUGCACUCCACAAAUAAACAAGAAGAAAACAUAAAAGUAGGGGUCAGUACAAAACACGGGUACUGAGUAGAUAUCAUCGGCCAACUCAAAAUAGAAAACAGUAUAUAUCAGAUAAUAUCAUAAAAUCAACUAAUAUCCUUAGCAUGCAGCAUUUACAAUUACCAUAGUCCUUGGUUACAACACCAAGCUCAUUAAUGAGGACUCACGCCUCCUCAUCAUACUCAUUUGGGAAUUAGGUUCAUUAGAUUGAAUAUAUUAACAUCUUUCAAGAUUCUUUAUCUUUAUUCCCCUCGUGUCAGUACGUGACACUCCGAUCCUCAUAUACUAUCCUGGUACAGGAACGUAGCACCCGAUCCAUAUUCUAUCCUGGUGUCGGAACGUGACACCCGAUCCAUAUUCUAUCCUGGUACCAGAACGUGGCACCCGAUCCAUAUUCUAUCUUGGUGUCGGAAAGUGACACUCCGAUCCUCAUAUAUUAUCCUGGUAUCGGAACGUGGCACCCGAUCCAUAUUCUAUCCUGGUGUCGGAACGUGACACUCGAUCCAUAUUCUAUCCUUGUGUCGAAACGUGACACUCCGAUCCUCAUAUACUAUCCUGGUACCGGAACGUGGCACCCGAUCCAUAUUCUAUCCUGGUGUCAGAACGUGACACCCGAUCCAUAUUCUAUCCUGGUGUCGGAACCUGAUACUCCGAUCCUCAUAUACUGUCCUGGUACCGGAACGUGGCACCCGAUCCCCUAAUCUCACUACUUUCAUUCAUCAAGCCUUCUUUUAUACCAAGGCAUCAUCAUUAACAAAGUACAUUAGGGUUUCUUUUCAAGAUUUGGGAUUCAGUAGCUUCAUCAUGCUUAUUUAUUCAUAAUUACAUAAUCACAUCAUUCAUGCAAGCAUACAAUUAAGCAUAUAGAAGGUUCACAAUACUACUAACACAUAUCAUUCGCAAUUAAGAGUUUACUACGAAUAGCAUGAAAACCAUAACCUACUUCCAUCGAAGAUUAGUGAUCAAGCAAGCAAAUUUUCUCCAAAGCUUUGUGUUUCCCCUUCUCGAUCGUCUCUCUCUCUAUUGAUUCCCUUCUCUCUCUUUCUGUUCUUUUAUUUUUCUUAUUCCAACCCUCUUUCUUUUACCCUAAUUAGUAUAUAAUUAAGAAUAAAAGAUGGCAGUAAUGCCCCACUAAUUAACUUAAGGUUACCUCUUUUAACCCCCAAGUAAUUAGACUUAUUAACAGUAACCCACUAACUUUAUAAUUAAGGCAAGAAUAGUCAAAAACGUCCCAUAAAACAUAUCAAGAAAUCCGACCCAGACUGGGAUUGCGCAGUUUGUGACGGCCCGUCGCGCCUGCGACGGUCCGUCCUGCUGCCCGUCACAGAGUUCAGAGACUGAAUUUCUCUAAAGGGUCUGUGACGGUCCGUUACACGUGUGACGGUCCGUCCUGCCAUUCCGUCACGAAGUUCAGAGAGUCGGUUUUCAGUACCCAAUUUCAGAUUUUCUAAGUGUUUUGAAACGAGACCCUGCGACGGUUCGUCGUGCCCAUGACGGUCCAUCGUGGGGUCCGUCGUUUCUGCCAGUUUCUCCAAAAUUGAAAUCUGCUGCUCAAAACGACUAAACAGGUCAUUACAAUAGAUACCAGUUUACCCAUCGUUCGCCCCCAAACGAUCACAAGAAGGAAAACAAGGGCGAAGAGGAGUACCUGAAUCUGUAAACAGGUGUGGGUAUCUUUCUCGCAUAUCGACCUCCUUCUCCCAUGUUGCUUCUUCAACCGGUGGAUUCUUCCAUUGCACCUUGAUGGAUGCAAUCUCCCUUGAUUUCAACUUGCGAAUUUCCCUAUCUAGAAUGGCAACAGGUUCCUCCUCAUAAGACAAAUUCUCUUCAAGCAGAACUGAAUCCCAACGGAUAAUGUAGUUUCCAUCCCCAUGGUAUCUUUUCAAUAUCGACACAUGGAAUACCGGAUGUAUUCCGGACAGCCCUGGAGGCAAGGCUAACUCAUAAGCCACCUCUCCUACUCGCUUAAGUACUUCAAAUGGUCCAAUGUACCUUGGACUUAGCUUACCCCUUUUACCAAACCGCAUCACCCCUUUCAUGGGCGAAACCUUCAGCAAGACUCGUUCUCCCUCCAUGAACUCUAAGUCUCUAACCCUUCGAUCUGCAUAUUCUUUUUGUCUACUUUGCGCCGCUAGAAGCUUUUCUUGAAUAGAUUUCACCUUCUCCAUCGAAUCCCUCAAAAGAUCAGUACCCCAAGGUCUAACCUCGAACACAUCAAACCAACCAAUGGGGGACCUACAUCUCCUACCAUACACUGCUUCAAAUGGAGCAAUAUAAAUGCUUGAGUGAUAACUAUUAUUGUAUGAAAAUUCCGCUAAGGGUAAGAAGCAAUCCCAAUGGCCACCAAACUCUAUCACACAUGCGCGAAGCAUAUCCUCCAACACUUGAAUCGUUCGCUCAGACUGACAAUCGGUCUGAGGAUGGAACGCGGUACUAAGGUCCAACCUAGUACCCAAUUCCGCAUGGAGUGUUUUCCAAAACUUAGAAGUAAACUGCGUACCUCUAUCUGAUAUAAUGAAGAGUGGAACCCCAUGCAAUCGCACCACUUCCGAGAUGUAAAGUUUGGCUAACUUCUUUGCAUUGAAAGUCACCUUGACCGGAAUGAAAUGAGCAGACUUAGUUAACCUAUCAACAAUCACCCAGAUGGAAUCGUACUUACCCAUCGUCUUUGGAAGACCAACCACGAAGUCCAUUGCGAUUCUCUCCCAUUUCCAUUCCGGAAUGGGCAUUCUCUGAAGUGUUCCUCCGGGUCUUUGGUGUUCAUACUUUACUUGUUGACAGUUUGGACAUUUGGCAAUAAAGUCCACAAUGUCACGCUUCAUUCUACUCCACCAAAAGUGUUGCUUUAGGUCAUGGUACAUCUUGAUUGCACCGAAUGUAUCAAAUACCUUGAACUAUGAGCCUCUGUCAGAAUUGUGUUGAUCAAAUCAUCGACGCGGGGUACGCAUACCCUUCCCUUGAUCCUCAAAACAGCUUCCUCAUCGAUUUGUGCUUCCUUAGCCUCUCCUCGCAAUACCUUAUCUUGAAUUCUGUGCAGUUUCUCAUCAUCAGACUGUCUUCCCUUAAUCUUGUCAAGAAAGGACGAUCUUGCCUCCACAGAAGCCAACAAUCCUCCCUUCUCAUUUACUUCUAAUCUCAUCAAGUCAUUAGCUAGAGUCUGAACCUCUCUAGCCAAUGGGCGUCUAGAAGCUUGCAAGUGAGCUAGACUUCCCAUGCUUCCCGCCUUUCUACUUAAAGCAUUCGCUACAACAUUUGCCUUUCCCGGAUGAUACAAGACAGUGAUAUCGUAGUCCUUUAGUAGCUCCAUCCAUCUCCUUUGUCUCAAGUUCAAAUCCUUCUGAGUAAAGACAUACUGAAGGCUAUGAUGAUUUGUGUAGACCUCACACUUAACCCCAUAUAAAUAGUGUCUCCAUUGGUUUAAUGCAAACACUACCGUAGCCAAUUCCAAAUCAUGAGUUGGAUAGUUACGUUCAUGCACUUUUAAUUGUCUUGAAGCAUAAACAAUCACAUUCUUCUCUUGCAUUAGCACUGCACCCAAACCCGAAUAGGAUGCAUCACAAUAGACAAUCAAAUUCUUACCCUCCACUGGCAAGGUGAGAAUUGGUGCAGUAGUUAACAGAGUCUUGAGCUUCUGAAAGCUUUCUUCACACUCGUCCAACCAUACAAAUGGAACAUUCUGCUUAAUCAUGUUCGUCAAUUGGGAAGCAAUAGAAGAGAAUCCCUUCACAAAUCGGCGGUAGUAGCUAGCUAACCCAACAAAGCUCCUUAUUUCUGACACAUUAGUAGGUCUUACCCAAUUCUUCACUGUCUCGAUUUUAGAAGGAUCUACCAUCACUCCAUCCUUUGAAACCACGUGCCCCAAGAAGGACACUGCAUCUAACCAAAACUCACACUUAGAGAACUUGACAUAAAGCUUUUUCUCCCUUAACAUUUCCAAUACCAUUCUCAAAUGCUCCUCAUGUUCUUUCUUGCUCUUUGAGUAUAUCAGUAUAUCAUCAAUAAAUACGAUCACGAAGAGGUCCAAAUAUGGCUUAAAAAUCCCGUUCAUCAAGCUCAUGAACGAAGCAGGGGCAUUCGUAAGACCAAAAGACAUCACUACAAAUUUGUAAUGCCCAUACCUCGUUCGAAAAGCAGUCUUUGGCACAUCCGUUGCCCGUAUUUUCAAUUGAUGAUAACCGGAUCUCAAGUCAAUCUUAGAGAAGACACAAGCACCUUGUAACUGAUCGAACAAGUCAUCAAUGCGAGGAAGAGGAUACUUGUUCUUAAUAGUUACCUUGUUCAAUUGCCGCUAGUCUAUGCACAUCCGAAAACUCCCAUCCUUCUUCUUUACAAACAACACCGGAGCACCCCAAGGAGAUGCACCUGGUCUAAUAAAGCCUUUGUUUAACAACUCUUGAAGUUGGGCUUUUAACUCUCUUAACUCCGCGGGAGCCAUUCUAUAAGGGGGUAUAGAAAUGGGGCGAGUACCCGGUUCAAGGUCAAUACAGAAAUCAAUAUCCCUAUCUGGUGGCAUACCAGGAAGAUCUGCAGGGAACACAUCCAGAAACUCACGGACCACCAAAACCGACUCAAUCGAAGGUACUUGGGUAGUGUCAUCCUUGAGAUGUGCCAAGAAAGCUAAACACCCUUUACUAACCAUUUUCUUAGCACGAAGAAAGGAGAUGAUACGCACCGGAUUGGAAGUGUAGUAACCCUCCCAAACUAACGGAUCUUUCCCAGGCUUGGCUAACGUCACCAUUUUAGCAUUACAAUCCAAGAUCGCAAAUUGCGGAGAAAGCCAAGUCAUACCCAGAAUCACAUCAAAAUCAUCCAUUUCUAAGAUAACCAAAUCUACAUAAGUGUUGCUCUAGUUCUAACCAUCUGCGAAAGAGAGUGAAGAUGGUAAGAUACCAAUUUGUAUAACCUAGAUACCAAUUGGAUUCAAGUAGUAGCACGAAAGAAAGAAAGAAAGAAUGGAAUUUUCCUAAAGUCUUAUAGCCUCUCAAAGAAAAGUAAAGGCGUCCCCCUACCGUUUCUUAAGACUCUACUAGACUCGUUCUUGUGUGAUGAGACCAACGAACCUAAUGCUCUGAUACCAAGUUUGUCACGACCCAAAUCCGGGCCGCGACUGGCACCCACACUUACCCUCCUAUGUAAGCGAACCAACCAAUCCAAACCUUAACAUUUCAAUAUAAUAUAAACAGAAAGUAAUGCGGAAGACUUAAACUCAUAAAUAAAAAUCAAUAACUAUUAUUAUCCCCAAAAUCUGGAAGUCAUCACCACAAGAACAUCUACAAUCAAAUGACUAAACUAAGAGUAUUCUAAAAGCUAAAAAUACAUAAGAAGCUAGUCCAUGCCGCAAGUUCAAGGCAUCAAGACUUGAAGAAGAAGAUCCAGUCCAAGCUAGAAGCAUUAGCUCACCCUGAAUUUCCGGUGUAGUAAGACUGACUUGAAUUACUGUUGAGUCGAAGGCGACGGCACGUUUGCUGCACUCCACAAAUAAACAAGAAGAAAACAUAAAAGUAGGGGUCAAUACAAAACACGGGUACUGAGUAGAUAUCAUCGGCCAACUCAAUACCUUCAUCAUGCUUGUUUAUUCAAAAUUACAUAAUCACAUCAUUCAUGCAAGCAUACAAUUAAGCAUAUAGAAGGUUCACAAUACUACUAACACAUAUCAUUCGCUAUUAAGAGUUUACUACGAAUAGCAUGAAAACCAUAACCUACUUCCACCGAAGAUUAGUGAUCAAGCAAGCAAAUUUUCUCCAAGGCUUUGUGUUUCCCCUUCUCGAUCGUCUCUCUCUCUCUAUCGAUUCCCUUCUCUCUCUUUCUGUUCUUUUCUUUUUCUUAUUCCAGCCCUCUUUCUUUUACCCUAAUUAGUAUAUAAUUAAGAAUAAAAGAUGGCAAUAAUGCCCCACUAAUUAACUUAAGGUUACCUCUUUUAACCCCCAAGUAAUUAGACUUAUUAACAUUAACCCACUAACUUUAUAAUUAAGGCAAGAAUAGUCAAAAACGUCCCUUAAAACGUAUCAAGAAAUUCGACCCAGACUGGGAUUGCACAGUCUGUGACGGCCCGUCGCGCCUGCGACGGUCCGUCCUGCUGCUUGUCACAGAGUUCAGAGACUCAAUUUCUCUGAAGGGUCUGUGACGGUCCGUUACACCUGUGACGGUCCGUCCUGCCAUUCCGUCACGAAGUUCAGAGAGUCGAUUUUCAGUACCCAAUUUCAGAUUUUCUAAGUGUUUUGAAAUGAGACCCUGCGACGGUCCGUCGUGCCCAUGACGGUCCGUCGUGGGGUCUGUCGUUUCUGCCAGUUUCUCCAAAAUUGAAGUAUGCUGCUCAAAACGACUAAACAGGUCGUUACAGAAAUAUUGAGUUGUUAGAUUUUGCAAGUUUACACUAUAUCUAAUCACUCGUUCAAAAAAGAAGUAAUUUUAUAAAUCUAUUUCCUCAUCAAUUUCAGUUUGUAUUCUUAUUGCUUAGAACUUUACGUUUGUACUGCAGUAAUUAGUAUGAUUUACAGUGUAUCUGUAUGCACUACAUGGCUUAUACGUGCAAUGCGCGUAAAGUGUGAAGUUUCAAAGUGCAGAAUUUUAAUGACCCUAUAACCAUUAAUUUGGUGAAUUAUAUUCACUGACACAAAAAAAGUGCAGAAUUUUAAAACUAUCACUAGGUGAUAAAAUAUAUAUUAUUUUAUAUUACAUUAGGUGAUAAUAAUUUCCAUUUAAUUGGCCAGAAAUUUUUAAAAAACUGUAAUAUAUUUUUUAUUUUAAAAUAAACUGAUCUUUUUUUCAUUUUUAGUUAAAAUGCAUUAAAUUUUAAAGCGUAAAAAUAUUUAAAAAGGUAAAAUAACAUCGAUAAAAUACCAAUUUUUUUCACCAAAAGGAUUUUUCAUAUGUUUUUUCUGUAAAUCAGAUUUUGUCUUCGUCAAUUUUAGAGACCGAAUCAAUGAUCUUCUUUAAAGUAAAUCUCAUAAAAAAUUUUAUUUUGUUUUCUUAUUUUUCUCUGUAUCUUUCCUUAUUUAGUAGUGAAGUACUUCUUGAACUAAGGUUACAACUUGCCACACCCCGAGCCUACAUAGUGGUUUGUGACCGGUACUCAAUGACCAUGUUGUCUUGAGUUGACCCUUGUCCUGACUUACUUAACUCAGCGGAAGAAAACAAUCAAUAUUAUAAUGCUCAAAAGAACUGAACUAAACUGAAUAAUAAGAUAACUGGAACGUUUUAAAGAUUUAAACAUUCAACUUGGUCAGAGUAGCAACCCAAGUCAUUAACAUAAGAAUGGUAAAGUAAAAAAUAUUGAACUAUUAAUUGUCUAUCUAUGUAGCCUUCUAAAACUGUGAUGAAUACUGGGACAGACCCCACAACAUCCUAUAAAAGAGACUACAAACAAUAAAUGUGUUUUCCAUAAUGCAAGGAGUCUUAUCAUUGACUCCUAGUGCUCAGAUAGAUCAACGAGGCGCGGGAUGAUACUGAUUCUGGUUACCUGCAUCUGCUUCAUGAUACGAUGCAGGACAACAAAUAUCACUACAUUGAAUGUACGAGUAUGCUAGUUGAAAUUCUAAACAACAUAGGCUAGAAAAAGAGUCGAAAGAAACACUUACAUUAGCUUUGUUCAACUCAUGAAUAACAUAACCAAAUAAUAAUGACUCAUUUCAACAUAAACCAAAUUUAAAGCAUAUGUAAUAUAACGAAAAAAAAUUGUUUGGAAACAUGUUGUGAGUUCUAAAUGUAUAUAAGAAUACUAUAAUUCAUAGAUGUAUGUAAAAUACAUGUAAAUUGAUGUAUAUAACUGUGGGAGUUUGUAUAAUCAAUAAACAUCAUUUAAGAGCUACAAUGAUGAUACAACGAUCUAUCUCACACUGCUAGCGCAUACUAUAUCCGGCAAAAGGUACAAGACCUGAACUGCUUAAUGGAUCCACUAGUCUACGUUGAAAAGGGUUCAUCUAAAAAGUAUGACUCUUUUCAACAAUGGUGGCUACAUGGUUUAUGUGGGCCGUGAGUUUUCUCAAUUAUCCCCCAUAUCGGUGCACAAUGCUACUCCUAAAAAAUACUGGCUCUUAUUUUUUAAAAAUAUAUUGAUUCUGUUUUUUGAGACUAGUGCUAAAAAUACUUAGCUCAAAGACUAUCUUGCAAAUAUCAAAUUCUUUAAUUUCUUCAUUUAGAAAACUAUUUCUCUUUUAACUGAAAACUAUCUCGGAAACACUUUGAAAAAUUCAAUUUCCCUUCUUUUUAAAUGUGAAAACAUUUUAAGUUCUUUUGAGAAUACUUAGUUCCCAUAUACUGCUUUGAAGGAAUACUUCACUUUACAUUAAACUGAACCAGAGCUUACAUCGUAAAAUGUCACUUAAAACGUUUUUGAGAGACUUAUGAAAACUUCAAAUGAACUUCUCUUUCUUAUCUUAGUCCUUAAUGAAACUGAUCGUUAAUUCUUCAAAAAAGCUUAGAGUAUUUGAAAAUACUUCAUGAAAGGACAUAAGGAAAUCUGUAGACUUGACUCUAACUUUUCCUUGAAUUUGGAGCUACGGAUUCAACGUUCAAAAUUUGUGUUUUUAGAUGAUUUAUAUAUGAUUAGAAGUCAUUUAGAGUAGUUAGAAUCACUAGGAAGUGAUAAAAUACCUUAUAGAGUCUUAAUCGGACUGAACUACGAAAACUGGGCGAAGAACACCAAUUUGAGCGCGUUCGGGUAUGCCGCGCCAUAUCCAUAGGUCUGAGGCACCAUUCUGGCACACUGUAGGAACAUCUCCCUAGGCCCCGUAGCGCAGAUGAGGUGUGCCACUCCUGAUGCUGCCCAAAAGCAUUUGAACAAUUUUCUUAUCUCGUUUUCUGAUUCUAAAUCGCUUAUAUCUCUAUAGUUACUUUUCCCAAACCCUUAGUAUUAUUAGUAUCUUCAAUACAAAAUAUAGAAAAAUCGAAAAAAACCAUAAUUACGAAUCAACUUAACAAUAGGCAAUCAACAACUCAAACGAUAAAACAUUUAACCAUGUCUUUCAAGAACUUCACUAUUCUCAUUCAGCCAAUUCAAAAACCAAAGGAUUGAAGCAAGAUUGGACUGUAGGUGAACUUACCCAACACUAAAAGAUCUCACAUACCUUGAUAUGGAUCACCCCCGAUGAAUUCCACUCGCAAACCUUGGCGUUCUUGGCGAAUUGUUGGUUUUUUCUCAAUUUCUUCUUUCUCUCUCUCUUCUCCAAGCCCUAAGCGUGAUUUUGAUUUUUUUUUCCUAAUUUUAACUAAAACUUAAUUUUUACCCUAAAUAAAUCGUAAAAUUAAAUUGGAAUGUAAUUUAUGAAAAAAUUAUUUUCCCCUUCCUUAAAUCUGGAUUGGGACUUUCUUUACUUCAAUAACCCAAUUUCUGAUAGGCAUAUUUGCCUCAUACGAUAUCGAAAAUGUGCAAACUCUGCAACAUUGGAAAGAUAUCUCCCUUCAACUAUAUUACCAUUACCUCUAAGAAAAUAAGGAAAAUUGUUUAAUCUUGUUGUCCUAAAUUAGAGUUAUGUUUAAUGCACAAAAUUAUUCUUUAUUAAUCCUUUGGCUUUAAACAUGUCACCUUGAAAGAUGAAAUUAAAAUAUUACCAAAAUAAGAAGAAAAGUCAAUCUUUUUUAAACAGACUAAAAUGGAAAGUGAGUCAUUCUUUUUAAAAGGGUAUUUGAGAGACUCUCUCUCUCUCUCUCUCUCUCUCUCUCUCUCUCUAUAUAUAUAUAUAUAUAUAUAUAUACACACGCGCGCGCGCUAGGGCUCAGCUUAGGGUGUCAAAAGGUUGGUCAGGAUGGAGAUAAAUAUUGAUAAAAAUAAUACUCAAGGUAAUGAUUUUUCUUCUUUUUUUCAAUCUUUAGCUGUACUUUUUUUGUCUUUUAUUUUGUCAAUGAUUUUACAUUACUACUUUAAAAAUUGUUUAUUUUUGAUGUGUGGUUAUUGGGCUAUCACCCUGGAGCAGAGUAUACUAUAUGUGAACCCUAAUUAGAAAGUGUGGGUUCUGAUUGGGACAAGUUAUCUUGUCAGGAUCCCAAUUUGGAUCUCACUGUAAAUUGCAAUUUCAAAAGUAAAUUAACUUAGUUUUUUUUUGGGGACAAUUUUCUAUGAUUUGUAUGAACUAGAAAAUGGAUGUCUAAUACAACAAAUUGAAUAGUAGAGAAUUCUAAGAUAGUGAGAAUGAGUGAGUAUCCAUGGAAGAUCUCGAAUCUAAAUAUAGAAGAAAAGGAGAAUAACACAAUUAGAGAAGAAGAGAAUAGAUAAAUGAGGGAGAAUUUGAUUUACCCGAAACUUGUUGUUGCCUUCAAAUAACAUGGCGAGAUUCUGUCUGGUGAAGUAGUUGCUCUUGUUUUGUAGUUCAACUUUGAUAUAAGCUAUACUAAGUAAGAUCAUUACAUAUCACAAAUUAUUUAUCUUAUCCGUGAUUUUUAUUCAAUGAAAAUAACACUAUAACACCAAUAGUUAUCCUCGUUUGCUACAAGUUCUUAGUAUAAUACUACAAAUGAGAUCUCUUCGUAGAUAGAACUUUAGCUCAAAAGAACACUACAACAAAUAUGAUCAUUAGUGGCAUUUAAUUCUUAAUUGCCGCUAAAUAUGUAUUUUUAGCGGCAAUGGUCACUCUUUGUAUAUGUCCCUAAAUCCUUUAGCGACAUUGUUUCUAAUGACACUUAACUCAUAUUGGUAAAGGCUUUAGCACUCUUUAUUAGUGUUAAUAUUUAAUGGCGCUAAAAGUAGUUUUUGUUAUAGUGGAAGUAUUAUCAUUAAUUGUAAUAAAAAUAUUAUCCAGCACAUGUGCAAUUAUGAAUGGUAAUCAAAUUUUGUAGUGGAGAUUCAUACUUUUAUAAUAGUAUAGAUUAAAAGAUGGAAGUAUUAACAUAUUACCAAAUACCCAAUAAAAGUGGAAAUCACUUAGCUAUGUUAGACAAGUACAUUUGGAGGUAAGGAUGUGGCAUACUUGUCAAUAAUGGUCGAGAAUAUGGCGUUACUCUACCACUGAGUUAAAAGGGCCUUUUUUAUUUAAUUCCGGAAUUAUUCACCUGCUGUGCCCCAUUGACUAAGAAGGGGGCGGACACAGCAGCUACAUGGACCCCUUCCUUUCAGUUGUUGCCAGCGCUUUCCCGGGCCGAGCCGGAAUUUUUUAUUAGAAAGGGCAGGCAAAGCCCGAAUCCUACUUGGGGAGAUUUUUUAGUUAUCGCCUUUCUGACCUAGCGCUUGCCUCCGGUGGUGUCCUUCUCCUUUCUUUCUAAACUAGCAGAAUCGUGGGACAUCAAAAGCGGUAGAAUCAUAAGGUCUUAGGUUUUAAUCUCAUGGGAGACAAAAAAAACACUAGCUGAUUUAUAAACUAGAAAAAACUAGUUGAUUCUUCGGAUCCUUCAUAGUAUUAGUGAAUAGAGUUACCUAGUACUUAUUGUUGGUGAGAGGUGCUUGAACUCCACAGACAUUAAAAAAAUUGUAAUAAUAUGCCUGAAAUAUUUAACAUUUGUUGUAAACUUUUCUUGAAUUUUAAUGAUGUAAGCAAUCAAGUUCUUUAACAUUUGUGUUAUCUUUAAUUUUUUCUUUACUUAUAACACCUAUACAUUUUACAGGUGAGAUGGAAAAUGCAAAUGGAGCUGAUUGGCAGGAAGAGGUUUAUCAAAAGGUAUGAUUUGCAAUAGCACUUUUAAUUUGCACAAGAUUUUCAAAACUGUGGAAAUUUGAUAUGUGGAUCAUGAAAGCAAGUGUUGAGAUCAUAUUAACUUAACUCAUGAGAUAAUUUGUUGGUAAGUUUAUAUAAAAGUCUUCAUGGUGUGUCACCAAUUUGUUUUCUUUCCCAGCGACUAAAAUCUCUAAUUACUAGUUUAAGUGAUAAACAUAUUUUUGCAAGAAGUAGAUAUAUGUGAAAAAGGCAUUUGUUCAUCUGCAUUAGUUGGUAUACUUUUUUUUGUUUUUUAUUUUUUCUUUCUUAUAAUAUAUAAUUUAAUGCUUUCGACAUCGAAAAUCAUCCUUCUCUACUUACGGGUUGUGGCUUACUAGCUAGUAAUGAGCUGGAAUAACUUUGAUUUCUCCAAGAAUAAAACAUAUAACAUGCUCUAUAUCUCCAUUCUAUCAUUUUUCACUUGUGAAACAAACAACGUCAUUAUUUCUUUUUGCUAAUACUGUAAAUUAUCACUAACAAACAAAGAACAUUACCCAUAAGGUUACCUAUCAUCUCAGCCACUUUCUAGGAAGCAUAGGUUUCCAACUAGAGAAGAAAAAUAAUUAGGCACCUAUAUUUGUUGCUAGCUUUCAUAGAUCCUAUACGUAAGUCCAAUCUUUGUAUAACGUAUUUCUUAAUCUGUACUAAUUCUAUAUCAAUAUCCACCGACUAUCCUCAAAAAAUAUUCUAGUUCCUUGCUUUGCAUGUAUGAUAGAUCACUGUUUCCAGUUCUUCCUCCUUGUGCCUUCAAGAACUUUCUGAACCCAUUAUUAGAUGCCAUCUAUCGAUAUUGUUGGGCUAUUGCCCAUGUUGCAGCAAAAAACUCAUGGCUUAAUCCUACUUGAAAAAAGGAUAGAAAUUAUUCUCUUUAUUUGGUUUCCAAUUCUUUUAGGAUAAUGAUUAGAAUUGUAAUCGUAGUUGUAGUUGGUUUUGACUUUGUAAGGAAAAGCACAAUUUUAUAAAUAAAGGAUGGUCUUUAGAGAAUAACUAAUUACUCAUUAAUAUUGUCUUUAAAUGACAUUAGAACAUAACAGUGAUUUUUUUAGAGAGAUUUUAACAAGAGAAAAGAGAGAAGGAAAAGGGUUCUUUUGCUACAGUCUUUUCCUCUGACCAGCAACGUUCAUAUUGUGUUUCCCGAUUAAGUAACCGUUGGAUCGGUAUGAAAUUUGUAUUAAAUAUUCCUAAAAUCUUGGUGGUUGAUUUGAACGGUGGAGAUCGAAUUCAGAGGUCACAAAGAUCCUGUUUAAGGUCCCGAAUAGAAUUUUGGGUUUGGGUGGUGUUUCUUUCUAUUUAUCUUUUGUUGGUAUAGCUAUUAUUUGUUCUCUCUUGAAACUUGUUGUGUAUCAAUUAGAAUAUAUUUGUAACCCUCUUAUUGGUAUAGUGAAGCAAUUUAGAUCUUUUCGAUCCGCUGGUGGUUACAUUCGGUUUGAAGGGUUUUUCCACGUCAAAUUGGUAUUCUUUAUUGUUAGAUUUUUUGUUUCAUCUUUUCGUCACAACAACUGGUAUCAGAGCUAAGGUUAUCGAUAUGGAGGGGAAUAUGAUCAAGAUAGUAUGUCUAAUUGGAAGAAACUACAACAUAUGAAAAAUCAAGAUGAAAGAUCUAUUGUUAGUGAUGAAGAUAUAUCUUUCGGUUUUUCUACUCAUAAACCCGAGAAUGUGACUGAUGAAAAUUGGGAAUUUGAGAACCAUCAAGCAUGUGGAUACACAAUACAAUAGAUUGAAGAUAAUGUUCGCAACCAUAUUGUGAAUGAGACAUAUGCUAAAACAUUGUGGGACAAGUUGGAGACACUUUACGCUUCAAAAACUGACAAUAACAAGUUGUUCUUGUUAAAGCAAUUGAUGUCCUUUAAAUACAAGGAGGACAGUCCUAUUCUUGAUCAUAUAAAUGGUUUUUAGGGUAUUCUUAAUCAGCUAUCAGGAAUGGGUGUGAAUAUUUAUGAUGAAAUACAAGGACUUUGGCAUCUUAAUACUCUACCGGAUUUUAGGGAAACUCUUCAUGUUUUUUUAAAAAAUUCUACCACUGGUGGAAAGGUGACUAUGGAAUAUGAAAAGAGUGGUGUGUUGAAUGAAGAGGUUAGAAGGAAAUCUUAUGACACAUCUUUACAUUCAGAUGUUCUAUAUACAGAUGAUCGAGGGAGACAUAAGACAAGAGAUUCGGGGAGUAGAGGUAAAAGCAGAAGCAAGUGAAAAUUUAAGAAUCUAAAUAUUAUAUGUUAUCAUUGUGGAACGAAAGGACAUAUUAAAAGAUUUUGUAAACAAUUGAAGCAAGAUUUUAAAGAAGGGAAGAAGGAAGAAAACAAUGAAAAUAAUGUUCUUGUUGUUGUCCAAGAUGACCUUCUCUUUGAUUGUGAUAAAGACGUCAUCAAUUUUGUAUCUCAAGAUACAUGUUGGAUACUAGAUUCUAGAGCCACAUCACAUGUCACACCAAGAAAAGACUUCUUUUCAUCUUAUACUCCUGUUAACUCUGAGAUGUAAUAAAUGGGUAAUGCUGGUGAGGUUAAGGUGUUUGGUGUUGGCACUAUUUGUUUGAAAACAAAUACUGGUUCAACGUUGGUCCGUCAGAAUGUCAAGCAUGCUCCAUACAUUCCAAUAAAUUUGAUCUCUGUAGGAAAACUAGAUAAUGAUGGCUAUAAUAAUGACUUGUGUAAUGGCCAAUGGAAGCUCACCGAAGGCUCCCUGAUUUUAGCUCGAGGAAGAAAACAUUCAAAUUUAUACGUGACACAAGGAUCGAUUCUUGGUGACUCUAUAAAUUUGGUGGAGAGAGAGACUUUAUCAUAAUUGUGGCACAAGAGGCUUAGUCAUAUGAACAGGGGGAUCACAUGUUUGGCUAAGAAGAAUUUGCUUGCUGGUAUGAAACAAACAAAAGUGAAAAAAUGUGUUUAUUGCUUAAUAGGGAAACAGAAAAGAGUUUCUUUUCACAGUCAUGCUCCUUUAAGAAAGUGUGAGCUAUUGGAGCUACUACACUCAGAUUUGUGUGGUCCUUUCAAAGUGAAGUCAAAAAAUGGUACACUUUGCUUUGCUACUUUCAUUGAUGAUCAUUCUUGCAAGAUUUGGGUAUAUCCUUUAAAAUCCAAAAAUCAAGUUCUUGAUGUGUUUAAACAGUAUCAAGCCUUAUCUGAGAGACAAAGGGGAAAGAAGUUAAAAUGUAUUCGCACUGAUAAUGGUGGUGAGUAUAUUGGUCCCUUUAAUAACUACUGCAAAUCGCAAGGAAUUCGUCAUCAGAAGACUCCUCCAAAGACUUCUCAAUUAAAUGGUUUGGCAGAGAGGAUGAACAAAACUUUAGUUGGGAGAGGUAGAUGUGUGCUUUCAGAGGCUAAACUUCCAAAUUCUUUUUGGACUGAAGCACUUAACAUUGUUGCUUAUGUUAUCAAUUUGUCUCCUGUUGUUGAUUUUGAUAGUGAUGUUCCAAAUAGAGUUUGGUUUGAUAAAGAUGUUUCGUAUGAUCAAUUGAAAGUUCUUGGGUGAAAAGCUUGUGUGCAUGUUCCAAAAGAUGAGAAGUCGAAAUUGGAUGUUAAAACUAAGCAAUGUAUCUUCAUUGGUUAUGGUAAAGCUGAGUUUGGAUAUCACUUUUAUCAUCCAGUUGAUAAGAAACUCAUUAGAAGUCGUGAUGUUGUGUUCUUUGAAGAUCGAACUAUUAAAGAUAUUGACAAGACUGAGAAACUAGAUUCUCAUAUUGAUGAGAGCUUAGUUGAUGUUUAUCCAAUUCUUCUUAUUGAUAUAUCUUUUGCACAUGAUGGAGCCCAAGGUGAUGAUCCAAAUAAUGAUUAGAGUGUAGAACAUAUAAAUUUUCCUACUUAUGAUGUUGUGGUUGAUAACCAACCAACUCAUGGUAAGAUAACCACUUAGAAUGAUCCAGAAACCUCUUGUAGAAGAUCUACUAGAGAAAAGCAAAGCUCAACACGUUAUUCUCCUAAUGAGUAUAUCCUCUUGACUGACAUGGGAGAACCUGAAGGUUAUGAUGAAAUUAUGUAGAUACUCAUAGAAAUAGGUAGGUAGAAGCCAUAAAAGACGAGAUGAAUUCACUUCACGAGAAUGGCACAUAUGAGCAAGUGGAACCGAAAGGUAAGAAAGCUUUCAAAAAUAAAUGGACAUUUAGAUUAAAUCAAGAUCAACAUACAUUUGCACCUAGAUACAAGUCUAGGUUAGUAAUCAAAGGUUUUGGUCAAAUAAAGGGGAUUGACUUUGAUGAAAGUGUCUCUCCUGUUGUGAAAAUGUCCUCUAUUCGUAUGGUUCUAGCCUUAGCCCCAAGUCUAGAUUUACAGAUUGAGCAGAUGGAUGUCAAGAUUGCCUUUUUUCAUGGUGAUUUAGAAGAGGAGAUCUACAUAGAGGAACCAAGGUUUUGUAGUUAAUAGGAAAGAAAACCAUGUUUGCAAAUUGAGAAAGAUUUUGUAUGGCUUGAAACAAGCUCUAAGGCACUGGUACUUAAAGUUUGAAUCUGUCAUUGAAAAUCAGGGAUACAAGAAAACUUCUUCAAAUCAUUGUGUAUUCUUUCAGAAGUUCUCUAAUGAUGAUUUUAUUAUCUUACUACUUUAUAUGGAUGAUAUGCUGAUUGUUGGAAAAAAAUAAAUCUAGAAUUGCAGUCCUUAAGAAAGAGUUAAGCAAUUCGUUUGUGAUGAAGGGCUUGGGGCCAGCAAAAAAGAUCUUAUGCAUGAAAAUCUAUCGCAAAAACACAAGAAGAAGUUCUCUCUAUCCCAAAAGAAGUAUAUUGAGAAAGUACUCAAGAGGUUCAACAUGACAGAGACAAAAGUGGUUAGUACACCGCUUGCUAAACACUUUAUGUUGAGUACGACUCAAAGUCCAUCGACUAAUGAAGAGAAGAAUGAGAUGUCGAGUAUUCCAUAUGCUUCCGCGGUUGGUAGUUUGAUGUAUGCUAUGAUUUGCACUAGACCAGAUAUUGCACAUGUUGUUGGUACUGUUAGCAGAUUUCUUUUCAAUCCUGGAAAAGAGCAUUGGGGUGCAGUGAAAUGGAUACUUCGAUAUUUGAAGGGUACGUCAGAUAUGGAGUUGUGCUUUGGUAGUGGCAAGUCAGAACUAGUAUGUUGCAUUGACUCUAAUUUGGGAGGAAAUCAUGAAUAUUCAAAAUCCACUUCUGGAUAUUUGACCACUUUUAGAGGGGGAGCUAUUUCUUGUCAAUUAAGACUUCAAAAGUGCAUAGCUCUAUCUACCACAGAAGCCGAAUAUAUUGUCAUUACUGAAGGUGCCAAGGAAUAGCUUUGGAUGAAGGAGUUUAUCAAAUAUCUUGAUUUUGAACAAUCGUGAUUUGUCAUAUUUUGUGAUAAUCAAAGUUCUAUUUAUCUCACCAAGCACUCUACCUUCCAUUCUAAGUCCAAACAUAUUAGUAGAAUAUAUCAUUGGAUUAGGAUGGACCUAGAAGAGAAAUUAUUUGUGGUUGAGAUGAUACACACGGAUGACAAUUCUUCUGAUAUGCUUACAAAAGUGGUGAUCGUAGAUAAGCAUGUGUUUUGUAGAAGUGCGGCAGGCAUGCAGCCUGCCAAGAGAUCAUCCACUUGAAGUCUAUUUGGCCCCUUGGCUGGAGAGGAAGUUUGUUGGGCUAUUGCCCAUGUUCUAGCCAACGUCCCAUGGGCUAAUCCUACUUGAUAAAGGAUUGGAAUUGUUCUCUUUAUUUGGUUUUCAAUUCUAUUAGGAAAAGAAUUGGUAUUGUAAUCCCAUUUGUAGUUGGUUUUGACUUUGUAAGGAAAAGCACAACUCUAUAAAUAGAGGAUGGUCUUCAGAGAAUAAUUAAUUGGUCAUUAAUAUUGUCCUUGAAAGACAUUAGAACAUAAGAGAGGUUUUUUUAGAGAGCUUUCAACAAGAGAAAAUAAAGAAGGAAAAGGGUUCUUUUGCUGUAGUCUUUUUCUCCGACUAGCAACAUUCAGAUCAUGUUUCCCGAUUAACGAACCGUUAGAUCAGGCUGAAAUUUGGACUGAGUGUUCCUGGCAUCUUCUUGGCCAAACAUAUGCUCCCCCUCCGCUCAUAUGACUAAGCCUCUUGUGCAACAAUUCUGAUAAAGUCUCUCUGUCCACCAAAUUUAUAGUCACCAAGAAUCGAUCCUUGUGUCACGUAUAAAUUUGAAUGUUUUCUUCCUCGAGCUAAAUCAGUGAGCCUUUGGUGAGCUUCCAUUGGCCAUUACACAAGUCAUUAUUAUAGCCAUCGUCAUCUAGUUGUCCUACAGAGAUCAAAUUUAUUGGAAUGUCUAGAGAUUGCUUGACAUUAUGACUGACCAACGUUGAACAAGUAUUGGUUUUCAAACAAAUUGUGCCAACACCAAACACCCUAACCUCACCAACAUUACCCAUCUUUUACACCUCAGACUUAACAAAAGUAUAACAUGAAAAGAAGUCUUUUCUUGGUGUGACAUGUGAUGUGGCUCUAGAAUCUACUAUCCAACUUGUAUCUUGAGAUACAAAAUUGAUGACGUCUUUAUCACAAGCGAAGAGAAGGUCAUCUUUGACAACAUCAACAACAUUAUUUUCAUUGUUUUCUUCCUUCUUCCCUUCUUUAAGAUCUUGCUUCAAUUGUUUACAAAAUCUUUUAAUAUGUCCUUUAUUUCCACAAUGAUAACAUAUAAUAUUUGGAUUCUUGAAUUUUGACUUGCUUUUUCUUUUACCUCUACUCCUUGGAUCUCUUGUCUUAUGUCUUCCUCGAUCUUCUGUAUAUAGAACAUCUGAAAGUGAAGAUGUGUCUUGAGAUUUCCUUCUAACCUCUUCAUUCAACACACCACUCUUUGCAUAUUCCAUAGUCACCUUUCCACCAGUGGCAUGAUUUGUUAAAAAAACACGAAGAGUUUCCCUAAAAUUUGGUAGAGUAUUAAGAAGCCAAAGUCCUUGUAUUUCAUCAUCAAAAUUCACACCCAUUCCUGAUAGCUGAUCAAGAAUACCCUAAAACCAUUUAUAUGAUCAAGAAUAGGACUGCCCUCCUUGUAUUUAAAGGUCAUCAAUUGCUUUAACAAGAACAACUUGUUAUUGUCAGUUUUUGAAGCGUAAAACGUCUCCAACUUGUCCCACAAUGUUGUAGCAUGUGUCUCAUUCACAAUAUGGUUGCGAACAUUAUAUUCAAACCAUUGUCUUAUAUAUCCACAUAGUUGUUGGUGCUCAAAUUCUCAAUUUUCAUCAGUCAAAUUCUCGGGUUUAUGAGCAGAAAAAAUCGAAAGAUGCAUCUUCUUCACGAACAAUAGAUCUUUCAUCUUUCUUUUCCAUAUGUUGUAGUUUCUUCCAUUUGGACAUACCAUCUUGCUCAUAUUCCCCUCCAUAUAGAUAACCUUAGCUUUGAUACCACUUGUUGUGACGAAAAGAUGGAACCAAAAAUCUAACAAUAAAGAACACCAAGUUUAACGUGGAAAACCCCUUCAAACCGAAGAUAACCACCACGGGAUCGACAAGAUCUGAAUUGCUUCACUAUACCAAUAAGAGGGUUACAAAUAUUCUUCUAAUGGCUACAAAACAAGUGCCAAAAGACAACAAACAAUAGCUACACCAACAAAAGAUAAAUAGAAAGAAACACCACCCAAAUUCAGCUUCUGUUCGGGACCUAAAAAAGGAUCUUGCUGACCACCGAAUCUGAUCUCCACCAUUCAAAUCAACCACCAAGAUGUCAGGAACACUCAAUCCAAAUUUCAACAAAGUCCAACGGUUAGUUAAUCGGAAAACACGAUAUGAACAUUGCUGGUUGGAGAACAAGACUAUAGCAAAAGAACUCUUUUCUUUCUUUCUUUUCUCAUGUUGAAAGCUCUCUCAAAAACCUCUCUUAUGUUCUAAUGUAUUUCAAAGUCAAUACCAAUGAGCAAUUAAUUAAUCUCUCAAAACCAUCCUCUAUUUAUAGAGUUGUGCUUUUUCUUGCAAAGCCAAAACCAACUACAAAUAGGAUUACAAUUCUAAUCCUUUUCCUGAUAGAAUUGGAAACCAAAAAAAAGAAUAAUUACAAUCCUUUUCCAAGUAGAAUUAGGCCAUGGGCCUUUGGCUGGACCAUGGUCAAUAGCCGAACAAUAACGUGUAGUAAUGUAAGAAAUAAAGUUGUAUUAUUUGUUCAUCCAACCUAUUUCUGUACUAUUUUAGGAUUUAGUAGCAAAAGAAAGACAAAUAAUUCAGCUGAGUAUGAAAUACAUUGAUGUUAGCAGGUUAUAAACGUGUGGUUAUGUAAGAAACCAAGUUGUAUUAUUAGUUCAUCUAACUAUGUAUGUCUUGUUUCAGGAUUUAGUUGUUAACUCCAUCUUUAUUAUUUCAUUGUUUACCCUUGUUUUUUAUGGCAUUGAUGAUAAAGGUGUAAAGUAAAAAAAAUAGUGAUUGCUAUUAAACUGUGUUAUAUCUUCCAACUAACUUUACAAAAGUAUGUUUUAAUUUCUCCUUGUUGGGAUAGUCUACAAUCACAUUACGGAAGUUGUAUUCUUGAUGUAAGUACCAAGAAGCUAAAGGAAGCAAAUAUCAGUUACUUGUUUUACCAGAAUUUUAGUCUUCCUCUUCUUCCUCAAUUUUAACCUUUUCAUCUGAAGGUUCUUUUGUGAAGAUUCUGUAGUUUGUUCUCUAUUGCAUCAUAUAGUUGAUCUGAUUAUCCCUAACCAUAUGGUAAUGCAUUAUUGACAUUUCCGGAAUUGAGUAAUCAAAAUAUAUAAUGCAAAUCAAGUAUAUGAAGGAGAUUUAUUUAUCAGACCUCAAUGAUUUAUACGAGAAAAUUGAUCAUCAAGUGCUUCAUCAUAGUUCCAAAUUUUGGUUCACUCCCUUUCAAGUUUCGUCAAAAGGACGCACCAUCAUUUGCAUAUUGUAUUCUAUUGGUUAUUAGAAACUCCCAACUAGGAACUGAUGCAGAGAGCUCAAGGCACCACAUUAUCAUUUUUGGUACUUUAAUUUGGUUCCUUUCCUGUCGAUUGUCAUCUUUAGAAACAGUUCUUGCAUAGUUAUAAAGAGGCUAAUAUCUUUUCAUUUCUACCAUCUGCAUUAUUUGUUUGUGUUGAAGCAUUGUGAAUGAUUGUAAAGUGGAGGUGGUAAUGCAUGGAUAUCAUAAAAGAGUGUUUUCACAUGUAAUUUCUUUGUGUGUUUUUUUUAUUUUUGCUUUCGGGGAUGGAAUUUAGGCCUCCAUAGUUCUUACGCCAAGGGCUAUAAUCAUCUGAAAAAGCACUUGAAUGAAUAUUCUGUUGAAUUGUGUAAACCUUGUGAGCUAUGUUAUAUGUCUCUUUAUGUCAUUUCUUAAACUUUACUCCCUUUUUCGUUGCCGUUGGAGGUACUUGAAGCAUAAAUUUUUAAAGUUUGCUCCCUUUUCGUUGCCGUUGGAGGUACUUGAAGCAUAAAUUUUAAAAGUUUGCUAAGGACAAGAAACAGGACUGUGACAGAACUGAUUUCUUUUUUCUGAUUUUAAGCAUAACUCUCUUCAAAAGGAGAACAUUGAAAAGCUCAAGAUGUUCAAAGUGACACUGGAACACAUUAUGCAUUUCUUGUGGAUUAAAAAGCAGGACAUUCAACUUAAUCACGGUUGAGAAGAAAAGUUUCUUUCUAAGGUUCAAUUGGGAACUCAGCGUGACUUCUUCUUCUCUACAGCAGGGGGGACUUCAUCAUGAUAACAUAAGCUCAUUUAGUACACAAAGUGGAACGAACCUCGUACAGGCAAACCUCAAAUCCGUACAGCAAAAUUCAAGCGUGCUGCCACAUUUACUUCCUACACAGCCCGUGCAGCAAAUGAUGCCGAACAAACAAUUAAAACCUCUGUGCAACCGGCUGCUGAUACAGCAACAACUUCUUCGAAGUCAGCAGUUAAUGGAACAUCAGCAAGCUAUGAACUCACUGCAGCAGUUAAUGCAACGGAAUAAUUUCACCAACUUGCAACAUAAAUCCUUGUCUAGUGUAUCGACAAAUAUCAACACUCAGCUAUACAUGAUAAAUUCAGUAAAGCCUGGUUUCAAUUUCGAUUUGGGACUGAGUAAUUCUUUGAACUCCCCGCAACAGCUGUCUACUGGAUUUUUGCAACAGCUGUCUACUGGAUUUAACAAUCUUCAACAUGGUAACAUAAGCUCAUUCAGAACACAAAGUGUAACGAAUACCAUACAAGCAAACCUCGGUUCUCUACAGAAAAACCUCAGUUGUCUACAGAAAAAUUUGAGUGUCUGGCAGAGAAUGUCGCAGAGCCAGCAAAUGUUGCAGAACCAGCAAUUAAGACAGCAGUUACACAAUCGGCAUAUGCAGCAGCUACAUUUUCAUAGACUGAAGUUAAUGCAACAGCAGCAAGCAAAGCAAGAGUAGACCACACUAUUGCCAAUCCACCAGAUGUCGCAGCUUCAACAGCCUUCCAUGCUGCUUGAGCAACAACAAUCUCUUGAUGGAAGCAUUCCAACAAAACAAUAUUAUCGAUUUUCAAUAUGAUUGUUUGGAUAAUUAAAUUGUUUAUGAUUCGUGCACUCGUGAACACUCCCUUCUUUAGAUUAUGUGAAGUACUGAAAUUAUUUUGAUAAAUUACUGAAGUUUUAUUGUGGCAACUUAGGUUGAAAUUCGAAAUAUCCAUCUUCAAUUUUUUUUCUGUUUAAAUGUUUUGCAACAAUUUUACAAACGUUCACAAAUUUUUUUGUGGUCUUUAUUUUUUAAAAAAAAUAUAUUUUCUUGAUUCGUAAAGUAUGUUUCCUUAAAUAAUUAUACUAUUUAAAUCGGACUUCAAAUAAAAAAUUUGUUAUACUAUCUUAAUGAUAGUUAUUGUUCUUUUUUUCCUUUAAAACCUUUAAGUUAGUUAUCACUGGCAAGAUUUUGCAACAAGUCAUUAAAAUUACUCAUUUUGUGUUUUGUUCUAAGAUCUCAUGUGUUCAAAUUAAUAAUCCCUUGCCAUAUAUGAAUCUUUUUAGUUAUUACUAAUUGUAUCUCAUACAUUGUAUGAACCUUCUAUCUUAAGGACCAACAUUGUUAUUAUCCCUCAUUAUUUUAUAUACCUAGAUUUUUGACAUGUGCUUUGCACGGGAUUAUCAAUUCAAAAAAUUUAAGCUAAGAUUUGAAUGAUAAGCUUUGCACAAAAUAAUAAUACAGAUUCUUUUGUGAAUGUUCAAUGUACAUAUUUAUUUCAAUUUGAUGAGGUUGAAUCAUGUAAGUAGUAGUAUCUUAACAAUAUUACUCUAUGAACGAUAUUUGUUGCAUGUGUUUCUUGCCAUCUAAUCUGAUGUGUUUUGCAUGUGUAUUCAACAUAAUCUCUUUAGAUGUCAUAUGAACCUGUAGAGAUGUCAUUUUAUUCAUAUAUAUUCACAUAAUUUUAGAUUAUCGUGAGUUUUAUUUUUAAAAAAUCAAAAAAAAUUAAAAUAAUAUAUUUUGAAGUUAGAAAUUUUGUUAACUUGAUAAUACAUUUGUAACAUAUAUAUAUGCUGAAAUAUGAACUUUUUUCUUCGAUGAAAAUAUUGAAAUAUUAAGAAAGAGUAAAUUAGUAAAACUAAAGACUAAUUUUUACAUAAUAAUAAUUAUUUUUAAUCAAACAUCCUUACAAUCCAAGUCACAUAAGUAGUAGUAAUAAAUAAAAUCAUUCUUUAGUCUUGAGUAUCAAGAGAAUCAUAUCAUACAUAUGUGGCGCCACCAAAAUCAAGAAUUUCCUUUUAAAUUUAUUUAUUUCCAAAAUUAGCCUUCCGCUUUGAUGAAAAGAUGUGACUUUUAUGAAAAUUUUGUCAAAAGUGGCAACAUUGAUGAAAAGUUAUGACUUUAAUGAAGAGUUGUGCGUUUUAUGAGAAGUUGUGACUUUUAUCAAAGGUUGCGACUUAAUCAAAAGUUGCGACUUUUAUGAAAGGUUGUGAAAUUUCUGAAGGGUUGUAAAUUUUCCAAAUAAUUGUAAACUUUGUGAUAAGUCACAAUAAAGAUUUGUUUACACUACCAUUUAGCAUCAUAUAUUAUUAUAAGUAGGAACCUCCUAACCCUAAAGUUAAUUUAUCGUUUUUCCCCUACUAUAUGAAUUAAAUAUUAAUUUAUUAAAUACAAAUAUUAGUUAAAUAUUAAAUUUUUAUAAAUUGAAUUAGCUGUCAGACCUAAUUUGAUUCUCCAAAAACGUAUAGUUGUUGUUCAAGCUCCCUCAAUCAUUGUAACGACACCUUUUUCCAACGGUCAGUCUCCAUUGCAGCUAUUCCAAAACCUAGAUACUUCAUUGGUCUAUACAAAUAUCUCUAACAUCAUGUCAUUGUUCCAUUAAUUUGCUUAUUUCUGUGUCUCAAUUAUGAAGACUAAAUGUUCAUUAAUUAAUGAAGGCAACAAGUUAUUAAAUAGAGUUACAACGAAAGUAAUAGGACUCCUAAACGAGCUGAACUAAAGUAAUCUAAUUAAAUAAUAAGUGCUGAACUAGUAAGACAAUCCUAAUACGACUAAACUACUAACUGACGUCCUAAGACCAGAUGUUCUAAUAUGCCCCCUCAAGUUAGACGAUGAGUCACUAAGCCUAACUUGAACAAAUUAUACUCAAAAGUAGAUUUAGAAAGUGCCUUGGUGAGGGUGUCUGCUAUUUGAUCGGCACCAUGGACAUGAACAACACGUACCCUUUUAAUGUCAAAAUAGUGGCGAACAAAGUGAAAGUCCACAACAGCAUGCUUAACACGACUAUGGAGGACAUGAUUCUUGCUCAAGAAUGUGGCUCCAAAAUUGUCACAAUAAAUUGUGGGUAUUUGAUGUACUGGAACGCGCAACUCAUUUAGAAGAUUGGUGACCCAUAAAGUUUCAGAAAGUGCAUUAGCCACUGCCCUGUAUUCGGACUCAGUGGAGGAUCGUGAGACAGUAUUUUGCUUCUUAGAUGACAAACUAAUCGGAUUGUUACCAAGAAAUAGGAUGUAAUCAUAUGUAGAAACUCUGUCAACGAUGUCCCUAUCCCAAUCUGCAUCAGAGUACACAUGUAGUUUGAAUUCAUCAAUGGGAGUAACACAUAGGCCGAUUUGAAUGGUACACCGCAGGUAUCGAAGAACACGUUUUACAGCCUUCUAGUGAAGGUCUGACGGUGCUUCCAUAAAUUGAGAAAUCUUGUUGACUGCAUAGGCUAUGUCAAGUCUAGUGAAGGAUAGAUAUUGAAGCCUAUCCAAGACUCGGCGAUAACGUGUAGCAUCAGCCAAGUGAGUUCCAUCAGAUAAGGUCAGUAACUCAGAUGCACUGAUGGGCGUGUUGACACUCUUGCAGUCGGUCAUUAGUUCAUCAUUCAAAAUUUCAUUCACAUAAUUUGCUUGGGUGAGGAUUAAACCGUUGGAGCUGCGUAUCACUUCAAUACCACGAAAGUAGUGAAGAUUACCUAAAUCUUUAAUAGAGAACUUAGAAGCAAGGGAAGUGAUGACUUGAUUGACACUUAAAGUAUUGCUCCCAGUGAUAAUAAUAUCAUUGACAUAGAUGAGGACGAACAAUGUAUCACCUGCACCAUGUCUGACAAGUAGUGAGGCAUAAGAUUUUGUCUUAACAAAGCCUAUGGAUGAAAGAUAACCCGUGAGGGCAUUGUACCACACCCGAGGAGCCUGUUUCAAGCCAUAGAUUGCCUUACGUAGCCGACAUAUAUGCAUUGGUUUGUCAUCACUAGUAACCCCCGGAGGUUGUGCCAUGUACACUUCAUCUUCAAGGUUGCCUUGGAGGAAGGCGUUAUUGACAUCUAGCUAGCGAAGGUGCCAGUUGUGACGAACUGCCACAGAGAGGACGAUGUGAACUGUGGUGGGCUUGACGACUGGGCUGAAUGUGGCAUGAAAGUCAACGCCUGGCCUCUGAGUAAAGCCUUUUGCAACUAGGCGCGCUUUGUAUCUGUCGAUGGACCUAUCAACAUUUCUCUUGAUCCUAAAAAGCCACUUGCAAGAUACAAUGUUUUUGGUCGGGUCAGGAGGAACAAGUUCCCAAGUCUGAUUUUUAAUUAAAGCAUCAAAUUCCUGUUUUAUUGCAUAACGCCACUCUGGAUAUUUUUGUGCUUGUUUGACAGUAGUGGGUAUGACAGUGUGGUUCAAUUUGGCUAGGUAAUCAAAAAUCUUUUUUGGUUUUGUGAUAUUAUUUUGGGGUCGAGUGACAGCACAGGUAGGAGGAGACGGACAUUGAGGCGGGGAAUGAGGGAGUUCUAUCUUGUUGGUAGGACAGGCUGGUUGAGGAGCCAUAUGUGCUGGUGGGUUGGUGUUUCUACGGUGAUAGACAAGGAGAGGAGACAAGCUUCUUUGUGUGUGAUUUGGUAUCGGCGUUUGAGAGGUUUUAGGGAGGCGUGGUAGUGCUAAACGUUAGGCAGUAGAUAUAGAAGAGGUGUUCUGGGAAGCAGGAAUUAUUGAAGAUGAGGAAGACAAAAAUUUACCUUGAGAGGUGAAUCUGUUGCGUCUCCCGCUGAUGCAUCAUCGGAUAAGGACUGCGAGUUUGAGUUGUCUCCGGACUGGGAUGGAGAGGAAGCAGAUGGUAAUGGAAAAUCUGUAAUAGUGUGUGCUGCAAUUUCUAAUGGAGUUGGCAUAUCUGUAACUAUGGGAAGUUUGGGUGUGGGGUUCGAAGAACUUGGCAUUGUUGGUAUUGCCCAUUCCAGGUGAGUUCAUUUACUGGCAACAUUGGAGAACAAUGUCUUAAAUGGAAAAACAUCCUCAACAAAUCGCACAUCUCGAGAUAAGUAAACCUUUACAGAAAUUGGAUCAAAACACUAGUGACAGUGAUGGGAUUGUGAGAAUCCAAGAUAGAAACAUGGGUUAGAUUUUGAUUCAAGUUUAUUUUUGGAGUAUGGUUUUAGCCAUGGAUAACAUAAACAACCAAAAAUUCGUAGGGAGUUAUAAAUAGGUGAUUUUCUAAUUAAUCUUUGGAAUGGGGAUUGAUUAUCAAGGUGAGAGGUUGGAAGACGAUUGAUGAGGUAGACAGUGUGAUGGCAUGCAAAAGACCUGAAUUGGGGUGGGAGAGACGCCUCAUGAAGAGUGUUCUUGAAGUUUCGCUAAUAUGGCGAAGUCGUCGUUCUGCAAGUGCAACUCGUUGGGGCGUAUAGGGAGGUAUAGAGAGGUGUUGAAUGCCGUGAAGUGAAAGAUAGGAGUCAAGACUUUCAUACUCACCUCCACCAUCAGUAUAUAAUGAUAAAAUUUUAGUGUCAAAAUGUUUUUCCAUCAUAGGAUGAAAUUUCUGAAAUAUAUCUUUAACUUCACUUUUCUUUGUUAGUGUGUAAAGCCAAGUGUACUUCAUAUAUUGGUCAACAAAAAUACAAUAAUACAAAUUUUUAUCAAGAGAUAAAACUGGUGAUGUCCCCCAUAAGUCACUGAAAAUAAUUUGAAGUGGUUUAGAGAUACACAAUGAUAAUUGAGUAAAAGGAUGUCGAUGAGAUUUAUUAGAUAAACAUGAAUUACAAUGAAACAUUUUGUGUCUCUCAUGAAACGGUAGCGAGACAUUAUUCAAAAUAAACCUAAGAAAUCUAGAGUGAGGAUGACCAAGACGUUAGUGCCUAGUAGUGAGAGGGCUGGAUGUGAAGAUAAUGUGAGCUUGGGGAUGUGAGACAGGCCACUCAUAUAGUCCAUUGUUAGUCCGACCGUGCACCAGUGGCUACCAUGUUUGCAGAUACUUAAGAUUGUUUUGACAAGAUUUAGAAUUAGAGAUAAGCUUGUGUUUGAUGGAAGCGGCACACAAAGUGUAAGUUAGCUUAGGAACAUUAUUUGAUGCAUUUAAUAUAGAAGAACCAGUGUGAGAGAUAGGAAAUUUGUUAUCAUCACCCAUGGAGACAUCUUCGUUACCGCGGUAUGGUUGUAGGUUGUGCGGCUCUGUUAUGAUGUUAUGGGUGGAUCCUGAGUCAACUAUCCCGGGAUUGGUCUCCGUUGUAAGCCCUGCGGCAUAGAUGGCUUUUGAUUCAAAGUGAUUAUGAGAUCUCGAGCGGCAACAUUGGCGGUGUGACCAAUUCUGUUACAUAGUUGACAGCGAAUAAUACCGUUUGGAUUUGAAUUGGAUUGCCCUUGUGGUGGAGCGCUUGGACGCAAGUUCUGGCGCCAGUGUUGAGAGUUGUUGGUUUGUCUACGGUUGUUGCAAUUAUUGGAGUUGAAUUUAGUGGGAGUAUAAACUGCAGCAGUGAUGGUACUAGAUAGUGUCUUAGCAUCCUCGUGGCGGAGGAAGAGUUCAAAGUCUAGUAACUUUUCAAACAGUUCCCCAUAGCAGAUAGGUUUAUCGCGUGCACGAAUGGCAAUAGCUAUUUCACGAAAUUCAAGACCUAGACCACUAUGUAUUUUGACAAUGAGUUCAGGAUUGGAAACAGGAGCACCAGCAGUGGCUAACUCAUCCGAAAAGGACCGAAUAGUAUGAAUAUAUUCAGUAAUGGAACGAGAGUCCUUAGUGACACGGGCAAGCUGAUCACGCAGACUGAAGACUCGAGUUUGAGAUUUGUUCGUAUAAGUGGUAUGCAAGGCAUCCCAAGCUAAUUUAGCUGAGUCAGCGGCUGAAACAAUAGGAGAAAUAGUGGGUUCGACAGAAGCCAUGCGAGCAUUCUGGAUGAGUUGAUCCUGACGGAACCAAGUUAAGAAGGCAGGAAUGGGAGAGAUAUUCGUGCCGAGGGUAAUCGUACUACUAGGGGACGGAUUGGUUCCAUCGAGAUGGCCAAAGUGGUUGUAGCCAUACAUAAGCAUGGAAAAUUGGGCUUUCCAGGUGGCGAAGUUGUGACCACCACUUAGUUUGAUGGGUAAUUGGGAUGCGGGAUUGAAUUGAAUGAUAACAUUGGUGCUUGUCGUGUUAUCAACAUUGACAACUUUGGGAUUGUUGCCAUUGUUGUUGGUCAUUGUUGCAUAUGUGCGUGAGGAGAAAAAAAUACUGGAUCGUACUCUUUAGAGCGUGAAGAGCCCUGAUACCAUAUGAAGACUGAAUGUUCAUUUAUUAAUGAAGGCAGCAAGUUAUUAAAUAGAGUUACAACGAAAGUGGUAAGACUCCUAAACGGACUGAACUAAAGUAAUCUAAUUAAAUAAUAACUGCUGAACUAGUAAGACAAUCAUAAUACGACUAAACUACUAACUGGCGUCCUAAGACCAGAUGUUCUAAUAUCAAUCUAAUAUAUCUAUCAUUGGCAGGUAAAAAUAGAAUUUUCCUCCUUAUUUAUCAAAAGCUACUCUAUAUUCCCUAUUUACUGUGACUCCUUCUGUAUCUUAUUUAUUUUCAUCUAUUUAUUAUUUUUAACAAGUUGGAUUCAUGCAUUGUUGUAUGUUUCUGCAUGUUCAAAAGCCAAGCAAACUCAUUUUGCUUUUCUGUAACGUUAUGCAUUAAGCAGCAGCCCAACAUAUAUGGAAUUACUAGGGAAGGCCCAUGGGAAUAGAAGUCGAACAUGUGCAAUCAGACACAUAUUGCAUGAAUGGUGGAAUCAAAAGCCUAAAAACACGGUACAUGGUUUGGUUCUAUAAUCUGCCCCAAUAUUUGUGUGUUGGGAAAUAUGGAAGGAAAGUUGCAGUUGCAAAUAUGGUGGCAAGAGAAGCUUAAACAAACAUAUGAUGACUCAACACAUUCUCUGGAAUAUCCAAAGUGCUAUGAAUAAGGCCAGCCUUGACAUUACCUUAGAUCACAUUUUGUGAAAAUCUUCUCAAAAUAGAACCAAUUGUCAAAUGUGUAUCCAUUUGCUGGUAAUUUCCUAUAAAUGGAGCGUUGAAAAUGAACACAGACGCGAGCUAUUGCACACUAUCUGGAAGAGCGGACAUGGGAGGUAUCUUAAGAGAUGAUAAGGGUGAUUUGUUAUGGCAUUCUCUUCUUUCUUGGAGUGUGGCAGCAGCUUAGAGGCAGAGCAUUGGCAGAGGCCUCAAGGGGUUGGAUUUAUGCAUUUCAGCCACUUUUUCUUGGAAUCGACUCAAUAGUCUACCAGAUGAUUGAAGGAAAAAGACAACCCAAUUACAAGCUCAAUCUCACCAUAGAGAAGAUUUGACAUAUGAUAAUUCAAGCCUAAGAGGGGCCAAUAAGGUUGAGGAUAACUUGACUAAGAUGGAAAACACCAACAAGAACGGCCAUGUUUUUGUCUCCUUUAAGAAGAUUCCUAAUGGUGCAAAAGGGCCUUAUCAAUUGGACAAAAGUCAAAUGCUAUCCAUUAGACUCAUAUACGACAAGGUGAAUUUUUUUUUAGCUAAUUUACUUUCUUAUUUGUGCGGGGAUUUAAGUCAUCAUAUCCUAACCCUCCUUUUGAAAGGAAAAAAGUUUUAUCCAUUGUGUUGUAUGUUGAGGUAAGUCCAAGCCCUCUUUUUGUACUUAUUCUCAUGCUAUAGAACACUCCUGCUAACUAGCCGAAAUUUAAUUCAAAAAAUAGUUUCAACUACCUGAAUUUUGAAUUAGUUGAAAUACAAGUUACAUAUAAUCUAGACUUUAGAUAUACUCCUUUUUGUUAUUGGCUUUGUUCUUUCUGGUGAUGGCGUGAAGGUGUGUGAGGUUAUUAAUUGGUGGCUUCAUAAAUGAUCCGUAAAUUAAAAUGUACAUAAGUUGGAAGUUUUCGGAGAACUAUUUAUUUCUUUGCUUAGAAGUAUUUUUUUGGUGAUAAUAAGUAAUUCUUGAUGUAGGCAAGCGGCUACGCUGUGUUAACCUCUUUUAACAAGUCGUUUGAAUGCGUAUAUGAGUAUGUGGGAAUUGCUAUUUUUUCACCAUUAUUUCAUCCUCAUAUUCUGACUAUUGUAUUUACUCAUUCCACUUGCAGUUCAAUAGUGCCUUGAGUAUUAUUAAGCACUUAUAUCUUGUUACGGUAACAUCUCCUCUUAUCCUAUUUUAUGGGUUGUAGUAGGAAUAACUACUCAGAUGUCAUUUUACUAAUUAAAACUCUUACACAGUGAGGUUGGUAGCACAUAAUGAUUGUAGGAACAAUAAGCAUGAUACAACUUAACAAUGCUUACACGUGCAGCUCAUGUGUCCAUGACUAGUUGUCUAUAAAUAUAGUGGGAUUUCCCCUCAUUUUUAACAACACAAAUCCUGAUCUUCUUCUUCUUCUUCAUGCGCAAAAUUAAAUAUUUGUGUACUUUGUUCCUGUUGAGUAAUUUACUAACACUAUUAUUUUUACAUCAAUAAGUUGGUGAAUAAAAUCUUCCAUCCCGAGAGGAUAUAUAUCUUUAUACGUCUUGUAUUGGAAGGGAAUAGUUUUCUUAAAGUGGACAUUGCGCAUUAAGUGGAGUCAAUUUUUUCUUUCUAUUUCAUUCUAUCUUUACAUAUUCUGGUGUGUUUUUUACACUCAAAAUUUUAUGCUUAUGAUAUUAAUUGUUGUUUUUGAGUACAUAUUUUAAACUCUAUUGUUUAUGUUUCUGCAAAGUUAUUAUCUCCGGCUAGAUUUAAUGUAUACACAUAUUGUACGUAUACUCGUUAUGCAGAAAAUAAUUAUUGUAGUCACUUUCAAGAAUUCAUGGGUUGAUAUUCUAUAUAAAAUUCUAUAACUUAAAAGUACUAUAUAUAACCUUAAAUCUUAUCUAUUAUUACAAAUAUAUGUUUCUCACUUAUCAAUUAAAGAAAUUCAUUAUGCAACUUCAAAAGUUAUAAUUGCUUUCAUGUUCAAGCGUAAUUUCUUUUUUAAAUAUGUUAAUAUUUUUAAAUUUUCUCCUAAGACAUAUCACAAUUGUAUAACCUAUGGAAUUUAAAUGUUUCUUUUUAUUAGGGAGUGCCUUUGUAUAUAUACUUAUUUUCUUCUUUAUUUUCCUUUUAAUGUUGAUUAAAAAACUAAUGAUUUAUUAUUUAGUGAGUAAUUCAUUCAGUUUAGGUUCUUGAGUUAUGUAAUAAUAAGAAAUAAUUAAAUUCAUGUUGAAAUAUUGCUAAUAUUUUUUAAGAACCUAUUUUCUUAUUAUUUUUAAUGUACGUAUAUUAAAAAAAACUAUUUUCAAGUUCAAUUAACAUCUUAUUUAUGAUCGUGCAAAGCGCAGACAAAUUACCUAGUAUGUUAUAAUUCUCUAAUUAUGGAGAAGUUUAAUAAUUUUGAAAAAAUAUAUUCAAAAACAUAUAUCUACACCAUAAGGGAAGUUGAGAAUAAAAAUAAAUUAAUUUAGUCUACAAUAAAAAUGAAAACAAUACAAACUUUCUCUGGAGUCAUUAUAAGCAAUAUGAACUUUGCUUCGUCCAAAAUAGUGAAAUACUAAGAAAUAGUUAAUAAGAAAAAUAAAGGCAUAAUACAUAAACAUGAAUCUUAGCUUGGAUUCAACAAAGAAUUAUGCCCUCCAACUUUGAGUAUGGACAAGUGGAUACUUAAAUUUGUACAAAAUUGAAUAUGUAGACACAUGUGUCGUACAUGGCAUAAUACAUGUAGGACACCACAUAGGACACAAAAAUUUCAUGUAGGGUGCCAUGAAGGACGGAUGUGUCUAUUUCUUCAAUUUUGUACAAGUUUAAGUGUCUACUUGUGCACAUACAAAGUUAAAAGUUAUAUUUUCCAGUUGACAUCAAGUUAAGGGUCUUACAAUAUAUAUAUAGUAAUAACUAUUUUGAACUAAACCUCCUUAAAAUCUAAACGACCUAAGUAACAUUGAUAAGUAAAGUCAUUAUUUUAUCUUGGGCAUCAAAAAAAGAAAUUGUGACAAUUCUCUAACUUCUGUGAAUUUUAAUAUUUGUGACUUUUUUAGCAAGCUUAAUUAGAAGAAUAUGAAACAAAACAUACUCUAAAUUAGAGUAAUAUGUUAAGAUACAAAAAAUAUGUCUAUUAAUAUAGAUUUGUUGUCCUUAUGACUGUGUCAGGUCAUUGUUGAACUUUUGAGUUUUCUAGGUUAGACUCAUUUUUAAUUUUUUAAUGUCCAUGAAUAUUAUUUAACAUGAGUUUAGAAUCCAACAUUUUGAUCUACGCGUACUUUCAUAAUGCAACAAUUUUACAUACAUAUUUAUGAAAAAGUCAUAAAGUUGCAUUGAUGAAGUAUCUAGAAGGGUCUUUAGAGCAGCAGUUUAAUGAAGAAUGAAUUUCUAAAGUGGUAAACAACAUUAUUUUGAUGUUGUUUCAAAUUUACUUAUCUCCUUCUAUAAAUUUUGUUAGAGUAAAAAAUAAAUAAUAAUGAAAGUGGUGAACGUUUGACCUUAGACAAGUAGAUUGUAAGAAAAAAAUUUAUUCAAGAUCUUGUGGUGUACAUUUUUAACGCUAUUUCUUAUUUAUGACUUAUAUUCAUUAUCGAAAAUUUUUACAUAAUUUUUUUCAAUAGAAGUUAUUCAAACCAUAAAAUUAUCAGAUUAUAUAUUUUUCAUGUACAAAAAAAUAGAAUAAUUGUGUUUAAUCACUACAUAAAAACAUCACUCAGUUUUAACAACACAAUUAUAUAUCAUCAAACAUAUAUUAUGAGAAAUUAUGUCAAAGAUUAAGAAAAUUUAUUAGAUAUCAAGAUAAUUUUAAUCAUUCAUUAUAUAUUUAGAAUUUUUCAAAUAUGUGAUAAUGUCAAAUCAUUUAAUUUAUGUAAAAGUGUUCUUAAAACAUACUAAAAUUCAUUUCAUUUUUAUAAUAACAUUCGAUUAUCGGAACAAUUGUUCAAAAGCAUCGAGGGAUUUAAAUUACCUAGCAUAAAUAAAAUAAAAUAUUUUUUUGAAGAAUAUUAUCAUUACUUGAGUGACCUUAAUUUUACAAAAACCAAAGUUGAUAGAAAAUAUUACUACUGCCUUUUUCCUAUUUCAUAAGAGUUGGUUUGACUUAUUUCAGAGUUUAAGAAAAAACAAAUUUUGAAUAAUAUUUUCUAAAAUAAAUGAAAGAUAUUUCUGUUGCUAUAGCUUAUUUCAUUAAGUAUAAAAAGGAACACUUUGAAAUUAAAUUCUUACUCAAUAUAAAAUUGUUUAUUCAUUUUUGGGCUGGCUAAAAAGAAAAGUAACUCAUAUAUUGGACAAAGAUAGUAUUUGAGAAACUAUACAAAAAAUUAACUCAAUAUAUAUUAUAGGGUUUUUGUUUAGUUCAUGAAGUUAUAUAUUAUAUUCUUCUUUAUUGCCUAGUACUCAGACAGUACUACUAGCUCGUUCACUUGAAUCAUGUUUCAGUUCACUUGUUUACUUUCCAGGUUUCUAACUAUUUUGCAUAUUAACAAUCUUGCAUGGUCCUCAUUUAGCUCUAUGAAGAGUUUGUGGCUAUUGUGAAUGCAAAGUCAUGAUUACAGAGAUAAUCACUAGCAUGUUUUUUGUUCUCAGACUAUCAAGUUACUCUAAAAUUGGGGUAGGAGAAAAAAAAAGAACUUUUGAGCAUAUCUUUGUUUUAGAGGAUAUUUGUAAGACAGUUAUGGAGCUAUUUGCAGGAUCAAUUCAAAUAGAGAAACAUGGUAUUGUCGAUUCCAACUUGUUUGAAAUUGAGACGCAGUAGUAGUAGUUAAUGUUUCAGUCUUGGUAUAAUGUUAUUUUUCAUUUUUUUUGGUUAUUUCCAACCCAAUUUUACGUUAAUAGUCAGCUUACUGCAAUCAUAUUAUGUAGAUAGGUGAAUUUUUUUUAUUGAUAUGCCCAUUACGUACUAAAUCCCUUUAUAUACUUAAUUCAAUAUUUUCAUAUUAUGUUUUGUUCUCUCCGUCACCAAACUCACUGUUUUCCUCUACGGGGGAUUUGGGCUCAUGCAUGAAAAAUUUAAGUAAUACACAUCAUCAUUAGUGGCAAAGCCCAAUAUAGUCAACUAUCACCAAUCCACUGAAAAAUGUAGAUACUAUGUGUUGUGUUGAAUCCCUAAAUAUUAUAUCAAAUGAUUAAGAUGAUCCACAUUCAUAUUUUUCUAUAAAAAUUAUCCCCUCACAAAAAAGAAAAACGAUUUUUGCAGAGUAUGUUAAUUAAGUCAUGAAGUCAUGUUAUGAAUUAAUAAAUGCAAUUGAGUGACUAUAUAUAUUGUAAUUAGAAGGAUUCUCAGUAUUUUGUUUUGUUAUUUCCAUCAGCAAAUUCAUCAGUUUUACAUUAGUAAGCAGCAUCUGCAAUCAUCUUCCUCUAUUGUGGCUUAUCACUAAAAUCUUAUGCACAUAAAGUUUAAAUAAUAUUCAUCAUCAUCAAUGACAGAACAACAUUUAUUCAAAAGGUAUUAAGUUGACGAGCUCAAGAGUUAUGUUGCUUCACAUAGGAGAUGCUACACUCAAUAUGGUACGAUUUCAGUUUAUUGCUUACACUCUCUGAUAAUAUUCUUAAGAAUAAAAGUUAAUCACUAAGAAGAGAAAAUUAUUGAAUUCUCAUUUGUUGUGUCAAAUUUGCUAAUAAAUCAAGUUCGACUUUAAAUCUAGCUAUACUAAGGUUUAAACUUCUCUUGAGUAGCUUUAUCAACCACUAUUGUCUUGCCAGCACCCGAUUCAAUUGACAACAAUAUUUGUUUUACAAAACUCCCAUUAUGAAAUGCUUAUUUGAUAUCUAUCUGAUGCAUUUUCCGGCCACGUUGUGCAUAAGUAGAAAUAAUUAAGAAGCAAUCUGAUUGUGUCGAUCCUAGCAACUGGAGCAAAAGUGUCAAAAUAACCAUUAACUCCAAGCCUGGUUUUAUGCCUGUUAGUUGAACCAUCAACGUUUAGCUUAGCUCGAAAGUCUAGAGGCAUGUAUAAAAUUGAACCAUUUAAAAUUAUGUAGAAGUAUCAUGUUAUUCGAUCCCGUCUUUGCUAACUUGGACAAAUUUUGAGCAUGUUGGUAGAGUAGUUGCUAGGCUAAUGUUGUGAACAAGAGGAUUUUGUGGUGGAAGACACUUGGAAAAGUCCCGCAGGUAACCAUUGUAACCAAAAUAUUUGGCAUUAUAGUUAUAUAAUUUAUGUGAACUAAAUAUGGAUUUCCUAUUUAAUAUUGUAGACAAAUUUUCAAGCAUUGUAACUUGAACUUAGUAUAGCGAUGUAUUUUGUUUGAACUAAUUAAGGAUGCCCUAUUCGUGAAGAAAAAAAAAUCAAAUAUGGUUUGGACGUCUAUGAAAAUUUUUGGCAAAAAUGACGGCGGAUCACCACAAAAGAUGGUGAACUAUAGAACACGAAAAUUGUUAAAAUUGGGGGUUUACCUGCUUUGGGGCUCGUUUGACCUUGAAAACAGGUUGUUUUGCCCUUAGGGCCACAUGGUUUCAUACCUAACGUCUUAACAGAGGCUCUCGAAAAAUUUGGAUGACUAAAGAGUUUCAUAUCACCAAAAAUCAAUGGACUAUAGCACACAAAAAUCGACAAAAUGUGUGUGUGUGGGGGGGGGGGGGUUACAUGCUUUAGGGCUCGUAUGACCUUGAAAAUGGAUCGUUUUGGCCGUCAAGUCCAACUAGCUCCAUAGAUAACGUGUUAAUGGACGUCCACAAAAAUUUUGAGAAAAAGUGACGUUUGAAUUGCGAAUCACCAAAAAUCCAUGCACUAUAGUACACGAAAAUUGGCAAAAUGGGGGAUUUACCUGCUACAAGGCUCAUUUAACCUUGAAAAUGGGUCGUUUUGGACAUCAGGGCCAAUUGUCUCCAUAUAUAACAUUUCAAUGGACGUCCACAAAAAAUUGAGGCAAAAAUGACGGCGGAAAUCAUGAUGACCAAAAAAAUGGUGAACUAGCACACGGAAAAUGGCAAAAUGAUGUUUUUACGUGCUCUGGGGAUUGUUUAACUUUUAAAAUAGGUCGUUUUGGAAAUCACGACCACUUGGCUGCAUUGAUAAUGUCAUAAAAACGUUCACACAAAAUUUGGACAAAAUAAUGUCGGAAUUCCAACUCACCGAAAACCCAUGAACUAUAUUCAAAUGUUUUAGUCAAAAUUCAAUGACAGUAUUAAUAAAUAUACAAAAAUUGUAUAAAAUUAUCCAAAUCUCAGAUACCAAUAUUUUAUGUCACUAGUUUAGAUAUUUGAAUCCAUAGUUCAAAUAUGGCUUCCUAAAAUCCAAAUUAUCUUUCACACUGUCUGUAUAUAACCUCCGAAGAAUUUCUUGGAUAAAUGCAUAUGCAUGUAUAUUUAAAAAUAUUAUAAAAUUAUUAAUGAUGAUCUAAAUUUAAUAUUUUUCUAAAUAUAAAUGAUCCCACCCCGCCAAAAAUACUAAUAAUUUAUUUCGUCGAAUGUUUUUAAAUAAUGUCUGAAGUCACGUUUGAAUUAAUGAAAUACUAUUGAGUGAAUUUAUGUCACAGUGAGAAGAUUUUUCAUAUUUUUUUUGGUUAUAUCCAGCAUUAAAUUCACCAGUUUUACGUCAAUAGUCAGUCAACUACAGUCAUAUUAGGUAGAUAGGUGAUUUUUUUAUAUUGAUAUACAUAUUAUGUAUUGAAUCCCUUUAUGUACCUACUCCUAUAUUUUCAUAUUAUGUUUUGUUAUCUCUGUCACCAGAUUCACCGUUUUCAUCUACUAGGGAUUUGAGCUUAAUGUUUAUGCACAUGUAAAGUUCAAGUAAUAUGAAUACAUACCUUAUGAUAUAUAUAAACCUUAAAACAUGUCAUAUUUUUUUAAUUUCCGUCACGGACUUCACUAGUCUGUUAUUUAUUGUUAGUCUACUGGAAUUAUUUUCCUUUAUCGAGCAUUAGGACUAAAAGAUCAAGCACGUAAAAUUAAGGCAUAAUACAUUUAUUGAACCCUAAACUUGAUUUCAAAUUUUAUCUUUGACCUCCAACUUUUAUAAUGCACAUACAGACGCUUUAACUAUCCAACUUUUAAAUAAAUAAACAAAUGAGUCCUACAUGACACAAUACAUGUAGGACACCACGUAGGACAAAAAAUGACAUGUGUGUAUAUUUGUUCAAUUUUAUAUAAGUUUAAGUGUCUAUUUGUGCAUAUCCAAAGUUGUAGGGUAUAAAUGUGAUUUGAAGCUGUCACGACCCAAAUCCGGGCCGCGACUGGCACCCACACUUCCCCUCCUAUGUGAGCGAACCAACCAAUCUAAAUCUUAACAUUUCAAUGCAAUAACAACAGAAAGUAAUGCGGAAGACUUAAACUCAUUAAUAAAAACCAAUUCAAUAACUAUCAAUAUUCAACAUCUAUUAUUCCCAAAACCUGGAAGUCAUCAUCAUAAGAACAUCUACUUUAAACUACUAAUUCUAAGAGUUUGUAAGAAGCUAAAAAUACAUAAGAAGCUAGUCCAUGCCAGAAGUUCAAGGCAUCAAGACAUGAAGGAGAAGAUCCAAUCCAAGCUAGAAGCGUUAGCUCACCCUGAAGAUCCGGUGUGACGAAGACUGGCUUGAGUUACUGUUGAGUCGAAGAUGACGGCACGUUUGCUGCACUCCACAAAUAACAAGAAGAAAAACAUAAAAGUAGGGGUCAGUACAAAACACGGGUAUUUGGUAGAUAUCAUCGGCCAACUCAAAAUAGGGAACAAUAUAUAUCAAUAUUAUCGUAAAUCAACUAUAAAACUCAACAUGUAGCAACAACAAGUAUUAUAAUCAUCAAUAAGUACCAUCAAGUUCAUCCAUGAGGGCUCAAGCCUCAAUACCAAACUCAUUUGGGAAUUAUAUUCAUUAGAUUGAGUAUAUUAACAUCUUUCAAGAUUCAUUAUCUUUUUUCCUCUCUUGUCGGUACGUGACACUCCGAUCCCCUACUACUAUGUGUCGGUACGUGACACUCUGAUCCCCUAAUUCUAUGUGUCGGAACGUGACACUCCGAUCCCCUACAUGUGUUGGUACGUGACACUCCGAUCCCCUACAUGUGUCAGAACGUGACACUCCGAUCCCCUACAUGUGUCGGUACGUGACACUCUGAUCCCCUACAUGUGUCGGAACGUGACACUCCGAUCCCCUACAUGUGUCGGUACGUGACACUCCGAUCCACUAAUACUAUGUGUCGGAACGUGACACUCCGAUCCACUAAUACUAUGUGUCGGAACGUGACACUCCGAUCCACUAAUACUAUGUGUCGGAACGUGACACUCCGAUCCACUAAUACUAUGUGUCGGAACGUGACACUCCGAUCCACUAAUAUCAUUCUGUAAAUCAUCAAGCCUUCUCUAUUCCAAGGCAUCAUCAAUCCCAUUUACUUAAAUUCAUCAAGCCUUAUUCUAUACCAAGGCAUCAUCAAUCCCAUUACUUUAAUUCACCAAGACUUCUUCUAUACCAAGGCAUCAUCAUUAAUAAUGUGUAUUAAAGUUUCUUUUCAAGAUUUGGGAUUUAAUAUUUUCAUCAGGUUAUCUUAUCACAAUCACAUAAUCAUAUUCAUGCAAACAUACAAUUAAGCAUAUAGUGGGGUUUACAAUACUACCAAUACAUAUCAUUCUCUAUUAGGAGUUUACUAUGAAAGCAUGAAAACCAUAACCUACCUCCACCGAAGAAUUGCGAUCAACAAGCUAUCUUCUCAAAAUCCUUGCUACCCUCUUCGUUUCUCUCACUCUCUACUCGUUCUCUUUCUUUUUCUGUCUCUCUUCGUUCUUUCUAUUUUUCUUAUUCAAACCCUCUUUCUUUUACCCUAAUUAGUAUAUAAUUAAGAAUAAAAGAUGGCAAUAAUACCCCACUAAUUAACUUAGGGUUACCUCUUUUAACCCCCAAGAAUUUGAGUUAUUAAUAUAAACCCACGAACUUUAUAAUUAAGGCAAUAAUAGUGAAAAACGUCCCUUAAAACUUAACCAGAAAUCCGACUCCAACUGGGAUUACGCAAACUGUGAUGGGGCGUCGCGCCUGCGACGGUCCGUCCUGCUGUCCGUCGCAUAGUUCCGAGACUUAAUUUCUCUGAAGAGUCUGUGACGGUCCGUACUACCAUUCCGUCACAAAGUUCAGAGAGUCGAUUUUUAGUACCCAAUUUCAGAUUGUCUAAGUGUUUUGAAACGAGACCCUGCGACGGUCCGUCGUGCCCAUGACGUUCCGUCGUGGGGUCCGUCGCUUCUGCCAGUUUUUCCAGAAUUGAAGUCUGUUGCUCAAAACGACUAAAUAGGUCAUUACAUUAGAUACCAAUUUACCCAUCGUUUGUCCCCGAACGAUCAAAAGAAGGAAAACAAGGGCGAAAAGGAGUACCUGAAUCUGUAAGCAGAUGUGGGUAUUUUUGUCGCAUAUCUGCCUCCUUCUCCCAAGUGGCUUCUUCAACCGGUCGAUUCUUCCAUUGCACCUUGAUGGAUGCAAUCUCUCUUGACCUCAACUUGUGAACUUCUCUAUCUAAAAUAGCAACAGGCUCCUCCUCAUAAGACAAGUUCUCAUCAAGCAAAACUAAAUCCCAACGGAUAAUGUAGUUUCCAUCCCCGUGGUAUCUUUUCAACAUAGACUCAUGGAAUACCGGAUGUACUCCGGACAGCCCUGGAGGCAAGGCUAACUCAUAAGCCACCUCUCCUACUCGCUUUAGUACUUCAAAGGGACCAAUGUACCUUGGACUUAGCUUACCCCUUUUUCCAAAUCGCAUCACCCCUUUCAUUGGCGAAACUUUCAACAAGACUUGUUCACCCUCCAUGAACUCUAAGUCUCUAACCUUUUGAUCUGCAUAUUCUUUUUGUCUACUUUGCGCCGCUAGAAGCUUUUCUUGAAUAGACUUCACUUUUUCCAUCGAAUCCCUCAAGAGAUCAGUACCCCAAGGUCUAACCUCGAACGCAUCAAACCAACCAAUGAGAGACCUACAUCUCCUCCCAUACAAUGCUUCAAAUGGGGCCAUAUCAAUACUUGAGUGAUAGCUAUUAUUGUAUGAAAACUCCGCUAAGGGUAGAAAGCUAUCCCAAUGGCCACCAAACUCUAUCGCACAUGCACGAAGCAUAUCCUCCAACACUUGAAUCGUCCUUUCAGACUGACCAUCGGUCUGAGGAUGGAACGCAGUAGUAAGGUCCAACCUAGUACCCAAUUCCGCAUGCAAUGUUUUCCAAAACUUAGAAGUAAACUGCGUACCUCUAUCUGAUAUGAUGGAUAGUGGAACCCCAUGCAAUUGCACCACUUCCGAGAUGUAAAGUUUGGCUAACUUUUCUGCAUUAUAAGUCACCUUGAUCGGAAUGAAAUGAGCAGAUUUAGUUAACCUAUCAACAAUCACCCAAAUGGAGUCAUACUUACCCAUUGUCUUCGGAAGAGCAACCACAAAGUCCAUUGCAAUUCUUUCCCACUUCCAUUCCGGAAUGGGCAUUCUCUGAAGAGUUCCUCCGGGCCUUUGGUGUUCAUACUUUACUUGUUGACAGUUUGGACACUUGGCAAUAAAGUCGACAAUAUCACGCUUCAUUCUACUCCACCAAAAGUGUUGUUUUAGGUCACCAUACAUCUUGGUUGCACCCGGAUGUAUAGAAUACCUUGAACUAUGAGCUUCUGUCAGAAUAGUGUUGAUCAAAUCAUCAACACGGGGCACACAUACCCUUCCCUUGAUUCUCAAAACACCUUCCUCAUCGAUUUGUGCUUCCUUAGCCUCUCCUCGCAAUACCUAAUCUUGAAUUCUUCUUAGUUUCUCAUCAUCAAACUGUUUUCCCUUAAUUUUGUCAAGAAAAGAAGAUCUUGACUCCACACUAGCCAACAAUCCUCCCUUCUCAUUUACUUCUAAUCUCAUCAAGUCAUUAGCUAGAGUCUGAAACUCUCUAGCCAACGGGCGUCUAGAAGCUUGCAAGUGAGCUAGGCUUCCCAUGCUUCCCGCCUUUCUACUUAAAGCAUCCGCUACAACAUUCGCCUUCCCCGGAUGAUACAAAAUAGUGAUGUCGUAGUCCUUUAGUAACUUUAUCCAUCUCCUCUGUCUUAAGUUCAAAUCUUUCUGAGUAAAGACAUACUGAAGGCUACGAUGAUCCGUAUAGAUCUCACACUUAACCCCAUAUAAAUAGUGUCUCCAUUGCUUUAAUGCAAACACUACCGCAGCCAAUUCCAAAUCAUGAGUUGGAUAGUUACGUUCAUGCACCUUUAAUUGCCUUGAAGCAUAAGCAAUCACACUCUUCUCUUGCAUUAGUACUGCACCCAAACCAGAAUAGGAUGCAUCACAAUAAACAAUGAAGUUCUUACCCUCUACUGGCAAGGUAAGGAUAGGUGCGGUAGUCAACAAAGUCUUGAGCUUCUGAAAGCUUUCCUCACAUUCGUCCGACCAUACGAAUGGAACAUUCUGCUUAGUCAAGUUCGUCAAUUGGGAAGCAAUAGAAGAGAAUCCCUUGACAAAUCGGCGGUAGUAGCUAGCUAACCCAACAAAACUCCUUAUUUCUGACACAUUAGUAGGUCUUACCCAAUUCUUCACUGUCUCAAUCUUAGAAGGAUCCACCAUCACUCCUUCCUUAGAAACCACAUGCCCCAAGAAGGACACUGCAUCUAGCCAAAACUCACACUUAGAGAAUUUGGCAUAAAGCUUUUUCUCCCUCAACAUUUCCAAUACCAUUCUGAAAUGCUCUUCAUGUUCCUUCUUGCUCUUUGAGUAUACCAGUAUAUCAUCAAUAAAUACGAUCACGAAGAGGUCCAAAUAUGGCUUAAAAAUCCUGUUUAUCAAGCUCAUGAACGCAGCAGGGGCAUUCGUUAGACCAAAAGACAUCACUACAAAUUCGUAAUGCCCAUACCUCGUUCGAAAAGCAGUCUUUGGCACAUCAGUUGCCCGUAUUUUCAAUUGAUGAUAACCGGAUCUCAAGUCAAUCUUAGAGAAGACACAAGCACCUUGUAAUUGAUCGAACAAGUCAUCAAUGCGAGGAAGAGGAUACUUGUUAUUAAUAGUUACCUUAUUCAGUUGUCUGUAGUCUAUACACAUUCGAAAACUCCCAUCCUUCUUCUUUACAAACAAAAUCGGAGCACCCCAAGGAGAUGCACUUGGUCUAAUGAAGCCUUUACUCAACAACUCUUAAAGUUGGGCUUUUAACUCCCUUUCGAAACCUCUUUAAUGUCGAUGCCAUGGUGAAUUCAUUUGGCUUCACUCCUUCCACCUCUACCACGAAAUCUACCACUUCUUGGAAGGAUUUUGCAGUAGCCGCUACCUGUAAGGCUGAAAUCCUCAACUCUGACCUCAACCCUUUCACAAAACCACGAAUCCGCUCUUGUGGACUGAAACAAAGUUGAGUGGCAUAUCUGGAUAGUGCACGAAACUUAGCCUCAUAAGCAUUAACCGACAUCCUACCUUGCUCUAGGCUCAGGAACUCAUCCCUUUUCCUAUCCCUCAAAGUCCGGGGGAUAUACUUCUCCAUAAACAAGCUAGAGAAGGAUGCCCAAGUCAUAGGUGGUGCCUCUAUUGGUUGACACUCAAUAUGUGACCACCACCACAUUUUGGCGUUCCUUUGAAACUGAUAAGUCACAAACUCCACACCAAACCGUUCUACUAUACCCAUCCUGUGUAGUAGCUCGUGAUAGUCAACCAGAAAAUCAUAAGCAUCCUCCGAUUCAGCACCCUUGAAGACUAGAGGUUUCAAUUUCAAGAACUUACUGAAAAGUUCAUGCUGAUCACUUGUCAUUAUGGGCCUAGUAGUCAGACGUGGAAACGUGCUUAUGUCCAAUGAGGCAUCCAUACGAGGAGCCAUAGUGGCUGCAUGUUGUACCUCUGAAACCGGAGGUGUUGGCGUAGAAAACACUGGAGGUGCCUGACCUUGAUCUGACAACCCACUGAGAUAGGCGAGAACCUGAUUGAUCAUCUCUGGGGUAGGUUGGGGUGGCAAUCCCUCAUUCUGCACUUGUUCAUUUUCCCCAUCCUCCCCUUCUCUUAUUACCUCCUCAGUCGGUGGAGGAGUCAAAGCCCUAGUAUCAGAUGGGCUAGGUGCUCGUCCUCUUCCCCUAGAGGACGUCCUCCCACGACCUCUACCACGGCCCCUUGUCGUUGUUCUUCCUCGAGCUACAGCCCCAGUGGCUGGCCCAGACGCUUCUUGUCUUGCCAAUGUUGUGUUGGCGCGGUUGUUGCUCUAGUUCUAACCAUCCGCGAAAUAGAGUGAAGAUGGUCAGAUACCAAUUUUUAUCACCUAGAUACCAAUUGGACUCAAGUAGUAGCACGAAAUAAAGAAUGAAAGAAUGGAAUUUUCCUAAAGUCUUAUAGCCUCUCAAGGAAAAGUAAAGGCGUCCCCCUACCGUUCCUUAAGACCCUACUAGACCUGUUCUUCUUUGAUGAGACCAACGAACCUAAUGCUCUGAUACCAAGUUUGUCACGACCCAAAUCCGGGCCGCGACUGGCACCCACACUUCCCCUCCUAUGUGAGCGAACCAACCAAUCUAAACCAUAACAUUUCAAUGCAAUAACAACAGAAAGUAAUGUGGAAGACUUAAACUCAUUAAUAAAAACCAAUUCAAUAACUAUCAAUAUUCAACAUCUAUUAUUCCCAAAACCUGGAAGUCAUCAUCACAAGAACAUCUACUUUAAACUACUAAUUCUACGAGUUUCUAAGAAGCUAAAAAUACAUAAGAAGGUAUUCAAUGCCAGAAGUUCAAGGCAUCAAGACAUGAAGGAGAAGAUCCAGUCCAAGCUAGAAGCGUUAGCUCACCCUGAAGAUCCGGUGUGACGAAGACUGGCUUGAGUUACUGUUGAGUCAAAGAUGACGGCACGUUUGCUGCACUCCACAAAUAACAAGAAGAAAAACAUAAAAGUAGGGGUCAGUACAAAACACGGGUACUGAGUAGAUAUCAUCGGCCAACUCAAAAUAGGGAACAGUAUAUAUCAAUAUUAUCGUAAAUCAACUAUAAAACUCAACAUGUAGCAACAACAAGUAUUAUAAUCAUCAAUAAGUACCAUCAAGUUCAUCCAUGAGGGCUCAAGCCUCAAUACCAUACUCAUUUGGGAAUUAUAUUCAUUAGAUUGAGUAUAUUAACAUCUUUCAAGAUUCAUUAUCUUUUUUCCUCUUGUGUUGGUACGUGACACUCCGAUCCCCUACUACUAUGUGUCGGUACGUGACACUCCGAUCCCCUAAUUCUAUGUGUCGGAAUGUGACACUCCGAUCCCCAACAUGUGUCGGUACGUGACACUCCGAUCCCCUACAUGUGUCGGAACGUGACACUCUGAUCCCCUACAUGUGUCGGUACGUGACACUCCGAUCCCCUACAUGUGUCGAAAUGUGACACUCCGAUCCCCUACAUGUGUCGGUACGUGACACUCCGAUCCACUAAUACUAUGUGUCGGAACGUGACACUCCGAUCCACUAAUACUAUGUAUCGGAACGUGACACUCCGAUCCACUAAUACUAUGUGUCAGAACGUGACACUCCGAUCCACUAAUACUAUGUGUCGGAACGUGACACUCUGAUCCACUAAUAUCAUUCUGUAAAUCAUCAAGCCUUCUCUAUUCCAAGGCAUCAUCAAUACCAUUUACUUAAAUUCAUCAAGCCUUCUUCUAUACCAAGGCAUCAUCAAUCUCAUUACUUUAAUUCAUCAAGCCUUCUUCUAUACCAAGGCAUCAUCAUUAAUAAUGUGUAUUAAAGUUUCUUUUCAAGAUUUGGGAUUCAAUAUUUUCAUCAUGUUAUCUUAUCACAAUCACAUGAUCAUAUUCAUGCAAACAUACAAUUAAGCAUAUAGUAGGGUUUACAAUACUACCAAUACAUAUCAUUCUCUAUUAAGAGUUUACUAUGAAAGCAUGAAAACCAUAACCUACCUCCACCGAAGAAUUGCGAUCAACAAGCUAUCUUCUAAAAAUCCUUGCUAUCCUCUUCGUUUCUCUCUCUCUCUCUCUACUCAUUCUCUUUCUUUUUCUGUCUCUCUUCGUUCUUUCUAUUUUUCUUAUUCAAACCCUCUUUCUUUUACCCUAAUUAGUAUAUAAUUAAGAAUAAAAGAUGGCAAUAAUACCCCACUAAUUAACUUAGGGUUACCUAUUUUAGCCCCCAAGAAUUUGAGUUAUUAAUAUAAACCGACGAACUUUAUAAUUAAGGCAAGAAUAGUCAAAAACGUCCCUUAAAACUUAACCAGAAAUCCGACACCAACUGGGAUUACGCAAACUGUGACGGGCCGUCGCGCCUGCGACGGUCCGUCCUGCUGUCCGUCGCAUAGUUCAGAGACUCAAUUUCUCUGAAGAGUCUGUGACGGUCCGUCACACCUGUGACGGUCCGUCCUGCCAUUCCGUCACAAAGUUCAGAGAGUCGAUUUUCAGUACCCAAUUUCAGAUUUUCUAAGUGUUUUGAAACGAGACCCUGCGACGGUCCGUCGUGCCCAUGACGUUCCGUCGUGGGGUCCGUCGCUUCUGCCAGUUUUUCCAGAAUUGAAGUCUGUUUCUCAAAACGACUAAACGGGUCGUUACAGAAGCCAAGUUAAACGGCACAUUUACGUUUUAUGCAUCAAAUUUAAGUAUUACACAUCAUCAUUAGCGACGAAGUCAGAUAUAUUAAAAAAGCGUCAACUAUCACCAAUUAAAUGAAAAAUAUAGAUAUUAUGUGUUGUGUUGAAUCCCUAAAUAUAAAUAUCAAAUAUUUAAGACGAUCCACAUUCAUAUUAUUUCUAUAAAAUUUACUCCCUUAUAAAAGAAAAAGAUUCUUAUGGAAUUUUUUAAAUAAGUCCUAAAAUCAAGUUAUGAAUUAAUAAAAUCUAAAAUCACGUUAUGAGUUAAUAAAAUACUAUUGAGUGAAAAUAUAUAUUGUAAGUAGAAGUAUUUCUAGUAUUUUAUUUUGUUAUUUCGAUCACAAAUUCACCAGUUUUACAUGAACAGCAAGCCUGCUACAAUCAUAUUCCUCUAUCAUGUCUUAGCACUAAAAACUCUUGCAGAUAAAGUUUAAAUAAUAUUUUGUUGUUCAUCUUGUAUUUCAAACAUACUUAGAACAAAACAUUGAACAUCUUUGUGAGACAACAAAGUUAAAGACCAUUUUCACAACUAGAAAAUUUAAAACUAGUAGCGAAACUAGAAUCAGAAAUAGAUUUAAAAAAAAUAUACGAAAUAUUUUUCUCAAAAAAAAAUAGUUUUUAAUAUGUAUCUAAAGAAUCUUACUGAUUCCAACAAACUUUGCAGAAACACGAAGUUACCAUGUUUAAUGAACCAGUAAAGAAAAAAAGAAUAGAAUAACUGAAAUUAUUUCACAAAUCUAAUAUUUGUAAAACACGUAUCAGAAUCUGGAAAAUUUUUAAUAGGAAAAAGAUCAAGUCCACUGAACUCACAGUGUGCCCUUAAGGAAAUUGUUCCCCUCUAGUAUCCGAGGUUUGAUUUGGAAUAUGACCUCCCAGGGUAAAAUGAUCUCAAUCACCCGAGUGUAGAUACCAAAAACUCCGGUGUCAUCGAAUCACUCAACGGCAAUAACGUACACUUAGAAUACUAGAUGUAGUUGUUGAAGAAGAAGCCUAUUAAUUCUAUGUUAAAAUGAGAGGAAAUUCCUCAAUUUAUAGAAAACAAAUGGUAGUACAAAAAGAUUCUUAUUGUGCCUUACCGGAAAGGUCACAAAUCUUUGGAAAAGUUACAAUCUUUCAGAAAGGUCGUCACCUAUCAUAAAAGUCACAAUUUUCCAUUAAAGUCACAAUUUUUGAUAAAAGUCGCAAACUUUUUUUAAAAGUCACAUUAUUUCAUAAAAGUCACAACUUUUUAUAAAAAAAGCAACUCUUCAUUUUCUAUUCACACCUAUUUAAAACCAAAUAAUCCCCCGCAUGAAUGGGGAAUAAGUCGAAUACAAAGAAACGGACAAGUAUGUGUACUUUACAAGCAAUAAUUAAUUGCAUCUGGAUAAGUAGAUUUUCCCUUGGACUUUCCGUAGUGAACAUAUGUCGGAUAUAAUCGGUCAAAUCGGUAGAUGCGAUAUCAUUGAACCGUCGAACUUUGGUGUAUACCUAGACAACCAUAUGUCACAGAAUUAACUCUUUACCAUUUAUGAUUCUUACGAUUGUGUUCGUUUUAGCCAUGAACACCUCCUGGUUUCUUGAGUGUAUAGAGCUAUGGGUUUUUGACAAUCAUUUUUCUUGAAACAUCUUACACUUCACACUCACAUAGGUGAUUCCUAACCGUGUUAUCGCAUAGAUACACUUAUUGGUCAACUCUACCAAACUUAGCAAAUCAUUAAAAUCAUUAAGCUUUAUUAACUCAUUAACAAGCCUUAAUGUUGUAUCAUUUUCCCUGAGCAUUGUCUUCAUCAUGAGAAUGGAUUGAGUUUGUUUACAAUUACGAACCGUCAUUCAUAACUUUGUUUUUCUCCUUGAAACUAGAUCUUUGGAUCUCCAGUCAUCUAGAUAGAGUUACCGCCAUGAUGGCUUGUCCUAAUCCGUAAAUUUAUUCCCUUAGAUGAUCUUUUAACUUCCUCUCUAGUUAGGCCUUUUUGUAAGUGGAUCCGACACAUUAUCCUUUGACGUUACAUAGUCAAUUCUGAUAAUUCCACUAGUGAGUAGUUUUCAAAUGUUAUCAUAUCUAUGUCGUAUAUGAUGAGACUUUCUGUUAUACGUCAUGAUCCAUGCCCUACCUAUUGCAUAUUACUGUGAAAGUGUAUGCAUACUAAUGACAAUGGUUUGGGCCAAACAAGAAUAUCUAUCAAGAAAUUCGGGAGUCUUUCAACUUAUUCACCGACAUUAUCUAGAGCACCUAGCUCAAAGAUCAUUGUAGAGCUAGCGAUACAUGUCUCUUUUGAAAUAUUUCUAAGAGACUGCUCCUCUACCAAUAGUAAAUACAUAUCCACUCAUGAAUUUUACUUCAUUCAUCCGAUGAGUCAAUUUGUAUCACUAUAUCUUUCAAUAUUGUUGGAUAUUGUUAUAAUCCAAGACAUAGUUUUAAGUAUUAUUUUAAAUACUCCAAAACUCUAUUUAUUUUCAUCUAAUGAAUUUAUAUUGGAUCACUUGUGAACCGACUCAGUUUAAAAUAGCAAAUGUUAUAUCUGAUGGCACACACUAUAUGCUAUAUACAUCAUGCUUCCCAAAACCCUAGCACUAUUCAAUUGUGUGUCACUUUUGUUUUCACUCUUUUGAAAUGCAAAGCUCACAUUUAUUGGAGACUUGAAAAUAUUGACAUACAAAUAUUUGAACUAGUUAAGUACCUUUUCAAUGCAAUGAGGUCGUGAAAAUACUAAACAUUAUGGAGUUCUACAAAUUCUUAUAUCUAAGAUCGCAUUAGCAACACCAAUAAUUUUCAUUCCACUUGUUUUACAGCAUACGUUUAGUAGCAUUUAUGUCAUUAGUGUCUCUAUUGAUGAUCAACAUAUCACCAAUAUACAAACAAACAAUGACAUUAUGGUUUUAAUGUGAAAACAUUUAUCACUUCCAUCAUACUUCAAUCCAUUUGCCUACAUGGUUUGAUCAAAUUAUGUCCUUGUUUGGAUGCUUCCAUAAUGUGACUUAACAAGUUUACACACUUUCUUUAAUUUACCAGGAAUCACAAAACUCUCGGAUUGUUCCAUGUAAAUUUCUUCCUCCAAUUCUACAUUUAAGAAAGUUCAUUUCACAUUCAUUUGAUGAAUUUGGAGGUCAUAUACCACACUAAUAAUUUUUGCAUCCGAGUGGAUGUAAUUCUAAUUACUAACGAGUAAAUAUAUUGACAAGAUAUAAAUCUUGGUUUUUUUUUGUCUAAAGUCUUUGACAUAAAGUCUUGCUUUAUAUUUUUCAACAGUUCCAUCAACUGUUAUUUUCGUUAUAAUGAUUCACUUUGAACCCAAAUGUUUAUUUUCUUGAAAAAGACUAAUUAACUUCCAAUAUUAUAUAUUGACACCAUCUUUCCAAAGAAUGACUCUACAGAAGACACAUAAAAUGUUACAAAAUCAUAUUCGAAGAAAGUAAAUGUCCUUUAACAUUUACUAAGCCUCUGCAUCUCUUUAUUAAGUACAUUAUCUUUUUUAUUUCCUAGGCCUUUUAGACCCUUCUCUAGACUACUCAAGUCUAAUUUUACAGUCUAUAGUCAUAGGUCCUAUUUUAAUUAUUUUAGGAAUACGAACUUGGACUUUGACUAGAUAUCUCUACACUUUGAAAUAUUUCAAGUUGGAUUUCCUCCCUUUCCAUUUCUGAUAUGGAAAAGAUUGUAUUCUGAUCAAACAAAAUCACUUUCUUUCUAAAAAGCCAAAAAAAUUUGUUGUUCCCUUUUGCAGUAAGGAUAUUCCUCCACACAAGUUUUGUGUAAACCCGAACUUAUAAAUAAUGCAUCCAUCAUUUCUUUCAACGUUUGUUUUUUCAUUAGAUUGAGGUGAAUAUGCUAGUAGUUUGAUGGAUAUUCCAUUUUUCAAACAUAUUUCUGCAUAAUGCGAUUUAUACUCUCCAUUCUUAUCACUUCUUAUAUUUUUUCCACACUGAUUUUCAACUUUGAUAUUACAUUGUCUAGACAUUUCUAUAGCUUCAUCCUUACCAUUCAGCAAAUAGACAUAGUCAUUUAUAAUGCAAUUCUCAAUAAAAGUAACAAAUACUUUUUCCCACCAUGAGAUUGUGUUAACUUCAUACCACAAAUGUUAGUUUAAAUCAAUUCUAAGGGAUUAGAAUUCCUUUCAACAAAUUUAUAAGAAUUCUCAACAUACUUAGAUUCCACAAAAACUUGACAUUUUUAUUUAUUGCACUAAAAGUUCGGCAAAAAUUCUAAGUUGAUCAUUUUCCUUACAAAGUUUUGUAAUUGGCAUGCCCCAAGUGUUCAUGUCACAAGCAUUGACUCAAGAAGGUAAGAACAAAUAAAAACAUUAAGUUUGAAAAGAUGUUCGCGAGGUAGCUUUUUCCUCACUAAUAUUUUGUUCGUAUUUCUUACAAUUUUGUGUGAUACAAAUGUUGUUUAGAUUGUCAAAUGUCAUUUUCAGAAAGAUAUUUCCAUAACUUUCAAUGUGAUUGUUAUAGAAGUACCGAUGAACAAAGUUUCAUCGGGUUCAAUAAAGACAAUAUAGACCAUAUGUUAUUUUUACAAAAACAUAACAAAUGACUAUUCACCAAUAUUCAUGUCUAUGCAAAUACUUUUAUUAUAAUAGACAUAUCUUUUCAUGAAAAAUCACAACAUUUGAAGUGAUUUUUUUCCAUUAAAGAACACAAUUAUUUUGAACAAGUAUAUAUAUAAUUUGGAUGUUUCAUACUGGUCACACUAUUUACUAGUAAUAGAGAAACUCAACAACCGCAAUACCAAUAUACUCCAAGAAUUUUUUGGGUAUAAUAUAAUACAAAAGUAUCAUUGAAUUUCAUAUCUUUUGCUCCAAAGUUAAAUUAGACACCAAGUCUAAUCAUAAGCAAAUAACCCCCACAUUUCAAAUGUGACAUCAAAAAUAUUUUUCAAGUAUUUGAAAAUAGUUUUUCCAUAUAUUUUAAUGUUGGAAACAUUAUUCUAUGAAUAAAUUAUAGUGCUGCAAUUCUCUUUGAUAAUGUUUACACAAUGUCAAAGUUCAUUGCAUAGAGACAAAAAAUCACAAAUUCUAAGUCACUAAUAUUUUUCUUCUAUCAUAAAUAGACAUACCACUUAGUAUUUUAAAUACUAACAAUAAGGACAAAAAAAUGAACAAUUUAUUUCUAUAUUAUAUUGAAGUUUAUAGAAAAUCAAAAGUACAACACUGACUUAUUAUGUGAAGUUUUCAUAUUCUUCAAACCAAUUGCAUAGUCUAAUUUAUACAGAGUAUAAAAUCACAAAAGUUUUUAAUCUACAAAAAUCAGACACAUUCACAUUUCUCAUGGAGUACAGAACUACAAAAGUUUUUUUCCUCCAAACAAAACAACACAUAUUAUUUAUCACAUAGAAAUGUUUUUCUUAUCAAAUAGUCUUCCAACGAUAACAUUUUGACAUACUAUUUUAUGAAACAAAAAUAUGCAUUUCUCAUUUUUACAAACUAAAAACUUUUGAAAGCAGCAAAAUUUGUGAAGUAAAAUUCAUUCCACAACAUGUGGUUUGUAGAUCUUUUUCCAAAGAUACACAUAAUAAAAAAAAUCAAAGAUGAUAACUCUUAAAAACUAUUUUCCUCCUUAGAUAAUUUAAUAAGAAGGUUACCUGAUAAUCUUUAAACAGAAUACCAUAAAAAUAUUCUGUUACAUUCUCAUUUCGGCCUUUCUAGACAAAGCAACAAAUUAUGGAGAAGUAAUGUAUUUAUCCUCUACUUCCAAGAUCACAUUCUUUCAAUCAGUGGAAUACAAAAAAUACUAACAUUAUAAUAAUUUCCUUAAGAUUGUUGUUCAUCUUGUAUUCCAAACAUACUUAGAAAAAUUUUUGAACAUCUUUGUAAGACAACAAAGUUUAAGAACAUUUUCACAACAAGAAAAUUAAAACUACCAGCGAAAUUAGAAUCAGAAACAGAUUUAAAAAAAUAUACGAAAUAUUUUUCUUAAAAAAGAAUAUUUGUUAAUAUGUGUCUAAAAAAUCUUACUAAUUCCAACAAACAUCGCACAAAGUGAAGAACAAAAGAAUAGAAGAACUGAAAUUAAUUCACAAAUCUAAUAUUUGUAAAACACGUAUCAGAAUCUGGAAAACUUUUAAUAGGAAAAAGAUUAAGUCCACUGAACUCACAGUGUCCCCUUAAUAAAAUUAUUCCCCUCUAUUAUCCGAGGUUUGAUUUGGAAUAUGACUUCCCAGGGUAAAAUAGUCUCAAUCACCAGAGUAUAGAUACCUAAAACUCCGGUGUCAGCGAACCACUCAACGGCAGUAAAGUACACUUACAAUACUAGAUUUAGUAGUUGAAGAAGAAGCCUAUAAAUUCUAUAUUAAAAUGAGAGGAAAUCCCUCAAUUUAUUGAAAAAAAAUGGUAGUGCAAAAAGAUUCUUAUUGUGCCUUACCGGAAAGGUCAAAAACCUUUGGAAAAGUCACAAUCUUUCAGAAAGGUCGUCACCUUUCAUAAAAGUCACAACUUUCCAUAAAAGUCGCAACUUUCCAUAAAAGUCGCAACUUUUCAUAAAAGUCACAACUCUUCAUAAAAGUUGCAACUCUUCAUUUUCCAUUCAUACCUUUUUAAAACCCAACACAUUCAUCAUCAUUAAUGACAGGACAUGUAUUCAAAAGGUGUCAACUGAUUGACUAAUGGCGGAGCAAUCAUAUAUUUAGGGCUUCAUCCGAACCCCUUUAGGCGAAAAAUUAUAUUGUUUCAUAUGGUUAAAAUAACUUUUUAGGUACAUAGAGUAGAUGUCGAACCCCCUUCGGCUAGUUCAUGUGUGUAUUUCUCAAGAUUCUGAACCCCCUUAUAAAAAAUUCUGGCUCUGCCUCUGUGAUCAUUACAACUCCAUUGAAAAAGUAUAAUGUAAAUAUGUGAAACGAGUUAUCACGUUAGUAAAAUCAGCUUUUAGCGACAAAAAAUAUGCACAUUUAUAAAGAGUGCUAAAGUUUUUACCGUAAUUAGUUAAGCUCCAUUUGAACCAAUGUCGCUAAAAACUUUAGGGACAUAUACAAAGAGUGUUAAUUAUCACUAAAAAAUACAUAUAUCAUUUUUGAUGAGUGUAUGUAGAUUAUAAGAGCCAAAGCAAACAGGAAAUGAGCCCCAUAUAUAACUAUACGGACAUACUUUGUUGAAAGUUUGUAAGAGAACUAUUUUCUUUGUUGAGUUAAUUGUGAGUUUAAAUAUCGUGUCAUUAUGAUAAUUUCUUUAACCCAUAAGAGGAUAAUAUACUACUAACAAACCUCUUUAAUUUCUUCUUUUAUAAAAACAACAGAUGCAAUAUUCAUUUAAUUAUAGAACCUAAAAGACAAAUUCAGCAGUUUUAGUCAACAUUCAUUGACAUUAGUAUAUAAAAUAUGUAUAAAAUUUAUUCAAAGGUCAGUUACUAAUAUCUAAUGUCACUAUUAUAGAUAUUUGUCAUAGUUCAAUUAUGGCUUGCUAAAAUUCAAAUUAUCUUUCACAUUGUCUGUAUCUAUAACCUCCAAAGAAUUUCUUGGUUAACGUAUAUGCAUAUAUAUUUAAAAAUAUUAUCAAAUGAUUAAUAACAAUCUAAAUUUAACUUUUUUUCUAAAAUAAACAAUCCUACCCCGCCAAAAUAAUAAUAAUUGGUUUUGUAGAAUGUUUUUUUAAUAAUAACUAAAGUCACGUUAUGAAUUAAUGAAAUACUAUUUAGUAAAUAUAUGUCGUAGUUAAAAGAAUUUUCAUAUUUCGUUUUGUCAUUUCCACCACUAAAUUCACAACUUUUACGUUAAUAGACCCCAUACUUCAAUUGUAUUAUGUAUAUAGGUGACAGUUUUUAUUGAUAUGCAUAUUACAUAUUCAAUCCCUUUAUAUACUUAAUCCUAUAUUUUUAUAUUAUGUCAUGUUAUUUCCAUCACCAAAUUCAUUGUUUUCCUCUACUGGAGAUUAGGGCUUAAUACUUACGCAUACAUAAUUUUAAAGUAGCAUCAAUAAUUAAGUUAUGGUACAAUAUAAACCUUAAAUCAUGACAUAUUUUAGUUUGUUAUUCCCAUCACCAAAUUCACCGGUCUUUUAUUGAUUGUUAGCCUACUGCAACUGUUUUUCUUUAUCGAGCUUUAGGACUAAAAGCUCAUGCACAUAAAAUUUAAGUAAUACACACCAUCAUUAGUGGCAAAGCCCGAUAUAUUAAAAAAGAGUCAACUAUCAUCAUUUCACUGAAAAAAUAUAGAUACUAUAUGUGUUGUGUUGAAUCCCUAAAAAUUAUGUCAAAUGAUUAAGACGAUCCACAGUCAUCCUUUUUCUAUUAAAGUUACCCCUCACAAAAAAAAAGAUUUUGUAGAUUAUUUUAAAUAAGUCUUCAAAUCACGUUGUGAAUUAAUAAAAUACUAAUGAGUGAAUGUAUGGUGUAAUUAGAAGGAUUCUCAGUAUUUUGUUUUGUUAUUUCCAUCACAAAUUCAACUGUUUUAUGUUAACAGUCUAACAUACUGCAUACAUCUCCUCUAUCGUGGCUUAGCACUAAAAUCUCAUGCACAUAAUGUUUGAAUAAUAUUCAGCAUCAUCAAUGAUUGAACAACAUGUACUUAAAAGGUGUCAACAUAUACCACUUCACUGCAAAUUUAUAUUAUUUAGAUAUGUGAAAAGUUUUAUCACAACAAUUAAAUGCGCUUUUAGCGACAAAAAAUGUACACAUUUACAAAAAAUGCUAAUAUAUUUACCAGUAUUAGUUAUUUUUCAUUAUAGCCAAUGUCGUUAAAUGCUUUUGGGGACAUUUACAAAGAGUGUCAAUUGACGCUAAGUGACAAUUAAGCUAUUGCGGUUAUUUAAUUGCAGCUAAAGAUCAUUUUUGGUGUACUGACAUAGUACGUAUUGAAUCCUUUAUAUAUUUACUCGUACAUUUUUUCAAUUUUUUUUGUUAUCUCCAUUACCAAAUUAGCGGAUUUUACGUUAGUAGUCAACCUACUGCAAUCGGUUUCCUCUAACAAGGAUUAGGAUUGAGCUCAUGUCUGUCCUGAUAUCAAUAUUUACCUUGUGAUACAAUAUUAACCUUUCAACAAGAUAUAUAUAGUUUUGUUAUUCCCACUAUCGAAUUCACCUAAUUUUUUUUAUUGACUAUUAUCCUAGUGCAAUUAUUUUUUUCUAUCAAGGCUUAGGACUUAAAACUCAUUCAUGUAAAAUUUGAGUGAGAUACAUCAUUAUGAUCAAUAGCUAGCAGAGCCACAUGUAUUCAAAAAAAGUAAACUAAUACCAGUUCACAGAAAAAGUUUAUAUACUAUGUGUUGUGUUAAUCAAUAAAUAUUAUAUCAAAUGAUUAAUGACGAUUUAAUUUCAUAUUUUCAGUUCAUUAUCUUAAAAUUUACUUUCAAGGUAAUUAUUCAAUUGAUAAACCUCAAUAAUUUCUUCUUACUUAAAAACAAAAAAGGGAAUAUUCAUUUAAUUAUUGCACUUAAAAGUCAAAUUCAGCAACUUUAGUCAAAGUUCAAUUGAUUCUAUUAAUAAAUAUUAUAUCAAAUGAUUAAUGCCGAUUCGAAUUCAUUAUUUGAGUAAAUUAUCUUAAAAUUAACUUUUCAGGAAAAAUAUUUAAUUAAUAAACAACAUUAAAUUCUUCUAACAUUAAAACAACAAAGGCAAUAUUCAUUUAAUUAUUGAACUUAAAAGUCAAAUUCAGCAACAUUAGUCAAAGUUCAAUUGAUUCUGUUAAUAAAUAUUAUAUUAGAUGAUUAAUGACGAUUCGAAAUCAUAAUUUGAGUGAAUUAUCUUAAUAUUAACUUUCCAAGAAAAAUAUUGAAUUAAUAAACCUCAUUAAUUUCUUCUUACUUAAAAACAAAAAAAGGCAAUAUUUAUUUAAUUAUUUCACAUAAAAGUCAAAUUCAGCAACGUUAGUCAAAGUUUAAUUGAUUCUAUUAAUAAAUAUUUGUAAUCUUUAGUAAAAUUUAUUCAACGCAUUACUAACCUACGUUAAAUAUCAUUAUUUCAAUCUGUCUAUAUAUAACCUCCAAAGCAUUUCUUAGAAAAACAUAUAUUUUUUAAAAAAAAUAUCAAAUGGAAGAUCCAACUAUCAUUGAAAGAGUAGAGUUGUUGGUUUCACCACUUGGUGGAAUUCCACAACUAAGAGUUGCCUAUUUUUUAGACCCAAUUGCUACUUCGACUGAAGUACCAAGUUUGAAAUAUCAUUCAAUCCACUUUCCAUUUGUUUAAUCUGAGUAACCAUUGGAAGUCACGUUUCAUGGUUGCAAUGGAUGGAGGGAUAAACAAAAGAAAUUGAAAGAAUGGGUUGAAAUGAUGGAGUCUAUCCAUCGCCUGUAUUGAUAGUUGUAGGAAUCUAUGGAUCGCUAAAAGGUUCAACUUAUAAAGUCCAUACCGACGAAAAUUUAAUAUUUGGGUUGGUAGAGAGGUGGUCUUGUGAGACAAACAGUUUAAUGUUUCCGUGGGGUGAAGCUACUGUUAGUCUUGAAGACAUUAUGGUUUUUGGAGGGUUUUCUACUUUGGGUGAUUCUGUUAUGUCCCCACCCUUCAAUCCCCUGAGUUGGUAGAGAUUGAAGAGUAUCUUGAGAAUGCGAGAGGAGAACUUAUCAGAUCAAAGACAAAUAAUCAGAGUAGGUGGUUGAAUUACUUCAGGAAUAGUGGUAAAGACUACGAACACGAAGCUUUUCUUUCUCUUUGUUUAUCAAGAUUUGUGUUUCCAUGUAUAGUAGGUUCUCCUAUAUUCUCGAUAGCUGUUAAUAUGGCUAGAGGUAUGCGGCUAGCGCUUUCUCCUGGUGUUCUUGCUAGUGUAUAUAGGGACUUGGGGUCGUUGAGAAAGGUUAUGAUAGAGACAGGUAGAAGAAAUAAAGACAUGAUUGAGAUUCAUAAACUUAAUCUUUGGUCGCCAUUGUUCUUUGUUCAAGUCUGGGCUUGGGAGAGGAUGAUAUCUUUGCAGCUAGAGCGCGCUCGAAAUAACAAUUUAGUUAGUGGGGUCAGAAUAGGAUGAUGGUACAAUGUGAAACAAACAGUGAAAUUAAUUUGAGGGCUACUAUUGAUGCAGCUGGGGAGAUUUUUAUGUGGAGGGCAUACGCCUUGGCUGUGGAAAGUUAAUCAAUUUUUCCCGAGUUUUACAAGGAAAAUGAAUAGUGGACAACAGGUGGAGGGCAAAAUUUGGAUCAAGAAAUGGAGUCUUACAUUCGAUGUUUGAGGGUGUCUGAGCUUGUAAGUUUAGAUUUUCAAGAGCCUUAUCGACCAAAUCGGGUAGCAAUGCAGUUUGGGUAUGAUCAAGACUUCCCUAAAUGGAUUCCACACUCGUCUUCAAGUUAAGAACAUGCCUGGUACAAUUACAGCAGACCUAUUGCUUCUGAUUUGAGGUUAUACUAUCCAUCUAGGCUGUUUGAACCGGAUGUAACAACACGGUAUUUGAAAUGGUGGAGAAAUGAAAUUGAUCGUCAAAUGGAGAAUUACCUUGAAGUUCCUCCUGGUUUUCCUCCCAAUUAUUGUUGGAAAAAUAACUACAAGAAUUACCCUGAUGUUCCUCCUGGUUUUCCUCCCCAUUAUUGUUGGAAAAAUUACAAGAAGAAUUACUCUAAUGUUUCUCCUCGUUCUAUGCAAAAGCAUAUUGCAGAGGAAACAGUUCAUAUAUCCAUUGAUGGCAGUGGGAGUAGCAGUGUAAGAAGCAUGGAAAGGAGCAAAGCUUUAGUUCUAACAACAACUUGUACCAAAAUAAGUGAAGGCAAUAUGGCAAUGGGAAACCAUGAAAAAGAGAGCGGUGCAUAUGAUAUGAUUGAUAUUCUGAAACUUUAGAGGAGGAUUAAAAACCUUGAAAACAUCAAUUCUUAAAAAGGUUCCAAUAUUCAGGACAAAGUGAAAGCAAGAUCAAGCUAAACUAUAGUUCUAAUAUAAAGUGUUUGUUUAGUUUAUGAAGUUAUAUAUUAUAUUCUUCUUUAUUUCCUAGUACUCAGACAAUACAAGUGGCUCAUUCUUUUGUUUAGAUCCUUUUGUAACUAUCUCAGCUUUAGUAAAAAACAUUCACUUGAAUCAUAUUUCAGUUCACUUGUUUACUUUCAAGGUUUCUAACUGUAUUGCAUAUUAACAAUCUUACAUAGUCCUCAUUUAGCUCUAUGAAGUGUUUGUGGCUGUUGUGAAUGCAAAAUCAAGAUUAAAGAUAAAAUCACUAGCAUGUUUUUGUUCCCAAACUAUCAAGUUACUCUGAACUUGGAGUCGGAGAAAAAAACAGGCUUUUGAGCAUGUCUUUGUUUAAGAGGAUAUUUGCAAGACAAAUAUGGAGCUAUUUUGCACAUCAUUUCAAAUGGAGAAACAGGGUAUUGUCGAUUCCAACUUGUUUGAAUUGAGACGCAGUAUUAGUGUUGGAAUUAAUGCAUCAAUGUUUAGUGUUCCAAAUUUUUCUAUUAGUUUUUCAAGAAGUCUCUUUAGAAUUUCGUAGUACAUGUAUCUAGUAAAUUGUGAUACAUGUAUUUAGUUAUUUGUGCAAACUUUUUGUAUUCUAUUUCGAGUAGUAUAAAUACUGAUGUAGUUGGUGAUUGUAAUCAUCUCAAGUGGCUUUAAGUAGCCUAUGAUAAACCUGAGCAAUCUCUAAAUAUACUAUUUUCCUUCAAUAUUUUCUACAAAUUUGUAUCAAGAGCAGGUUUUCGUUCUUCGUCUGGGGUUUGGUGAAGAAAAAAGUAUGGAAUCCAAAACAAAUGAAAGUGUUGAUUCUUCAGUUGUUCGUAUUCCAUUUUUUAAUGGAACUGAUUUUGAAUACUGGAAGAUAAGAAUGAGAACACAUUUGAAAGCUGAAGGAUUGUGAAUUAUUGUUGCAAAUGGUUUUGAAGAGCAAGACAACGAUGGUGAUCUUACAACAGCGGAGAUGAAAAAUCUUGAGGCUAAGUAUCGUCAAGAUGCAAAAGCCAUGAACAAAAUCCAAAUGAGAGUCUGAAGAGCAUAUUUUCCAAAAAUUGCUACUUGUGAGACUGCAAAGGAAGCAUGGGAUUUUCUGAAAAGUGAGGUGUAUGGUGACGAAAAGGUACACACUAUAAAUAUUCAAACUCUUAUAAGAGAGUUUCAAAAUUUAAAGAUGAUAGAAUCUAAGAAAUUGAUGAAUAUUGCACAAGAGUCAUGAAUAUUGUAAAAGAAAUGAGAAAUCAUAGUGAUAUAAUUUCGGGCCAACAAGUUUCGAAAAAGAUUCUUAUUAGUGUCACAGAAAUGUAUGAGUACAUCGUUGCUAUCACUGAGGAGACGAAAGAUCUUUCUAUGUUUUCCAUCAAAGAUCUAGCUGGAUCAUUUGGUGCACACGAGAAGCGGAGAUUUUUUUGUGAAGAUCAACCAAAAGAGACAGCUUUCUAGUCUAAAACAAAUGAGAAUUAUCAAAAUUUCUCAAAAAAUCAUCAGAAGAAGAAUCACAAGACAAAAAAGAAGCAGGAUCAUGAUGGUUCAUCCAAGAAGGUUGAAGAAAAAGGGGAGAAAAACUAUAAUCUUUUUGUUAAGUUUGAAAAAAGACUAAUCACAAUGCAGAAAAAUGUUGGCACAAAGGCAAGCCCUAAAGUAACUUUUGUAUAAAGUUUGGCCACGUUGAAAAGGAUUAUUGGCACAAGAAAUGAGAUCAAUCAUAUUUUUAUGAAAACGGGAGGAAUAAAGGGAAGAAAACCUUUUCUUUGCUUCUAAAUCUGAUGCUUCAACAAAAAGAAAUGAAUGGUAUGUUGAUAGUGGUUGUAGUAAUCACAUGACUGGAGAUGAAAAGGCUUUCCUCUAAAUUAAUAAUAGCAUCACUACUAAAGUGAAGAUGGGGAAUUGAGCCUUAGUUGAAUGCGAAAGGUAAAGGUACUAUUUCUAUCAACAUGAAAGGAAGGGGUAAGCAAAUAAAUGAUGUUCUUUACGUUCCUGACUUGGAAGAAAAUUUUCAUAGUGUUUUUCAACUCAUGGAAAAUUGCUAUUCUCUUGUGUUUAGAGAUAAUUAUUGCAAGAUUUAUGAUAAAAUUGAGCCAAAUAAAUUCAUUGUUGAAGUAAAGAUAAUAAAUAGAAACUUCCCUUUGCAAUUUCAUUACAAUGCAUUAAAAAUGAAAUCGUAGAUGAUCCAUGUCUUUGGAACAAAUGAUUUUGUCACUUGAAUUUUCAUGGUUUGAAGUUUCCCAAGCAAAAGUACAUGGUGCAAGGCCUUCCUAAGAUACAUACAUAGGUGGAUCCAUGUGAAAGUUGUAUAAUGUGAAAGCAAUACAGGAAGUCUUUUCUAAAGGGGAUGUCUUGGAGAGCAAGUGUACUUAUGGAACUAAUCCAUACCGACAUUUGUGGACCAAUGAGGACUCCAUCUCUUGGAAGUAAAAGGUGUUGGGAUUUAGCAAGUGUGAAUGGGAAAAGAAAAUAGAGAAUAUGAAAAGUGAGGGAACUAAUUUGGAGGGAAAAUGAAAACUCUUUUGCAAAGUGCAAAUGAAAAGUCAUUUCUCCCAUAUCGGCAAAAUAAAGAGAAAUUGUUGUCCUUGAAGGUAACAAUUCCAUUACUUCUUAAAGAGCUAAGAAGAAGAUGCCCCGUCGCGCCGUCGUUUUCGUCGUCGCUCGCUCGGCUUUGGCUUCGGCUUCGGAUUUGAAUUUCCUUCUCUGCAUUUAUUUUUCUCUCAAAUAAAAUCAAAGUGUCGAUCGACUGAGUCUGUGUGACUUGUUGUUGUACUGAAGUUCGUUGAAGUUAAAGAAGUUUGAGGUACCGCUAUUUCUUUAAUAGGUUUAAUUUGUUUUAUCUUGGGAGAAAUUAAUCCAUAGUAGUUUCUGUGGACUAAGAUUAAUUCUUGUAUUUUAUUAAUUUUCUGCUUCAUCUUAUUUCUGUUUCUGUUCAUUGGUUAACCUUAUAAAUACAUGUUACUAUAAGAAUAACAAUCUUAAGAAAUUUAACAGUUUCAGUAUUUGAGGUUUCUAGAGAUUAAAACCUUUAUGGUUUUCUACUCUUCUUGAAUUUUAAAAAUUCAUUCAAUUCACGAUUAAAAGAACAUAAAAACUUUAUCGUUAAAUCAGAAAUAGUUUGUGCAAAGAUUUGUUCUUUACUGUUAGUAUUUCAAAUACUUAACUUAUCUGCCAUUUGUGACAGAAUAAAAAAUGACUUAUUCAAGUCAAACAAAUGCUGGAACAGUAAGUGCUGUAACAACAACGUUGAACAUAAUCGUUCAAAUGAUGCCUUAGCGCCGGCUGAGAAACCUGCAAAGUUUUUUGGAGUCGACUUUAAGAGAUGGCAGCAAAAAAUGUUCUUCAAUCUCAUUACCUUGAAUCUGCAGAAGUUCAUUAAUGAGAAUGUUCUUAUUAUCUCAGAUGAAACUCCGGCUGAUUAACGAUUCUUGGUAAAAGAAGCACGGACAUACUCAAAUUUUUUGUGUAAAAAUUAUAUUUUGAGUGGUCUGCAAGAUGAUCUGUACAAUGUGUACAACAAUGCCAAAACCUCAAAUGAACUUUGGGAUAUUUUAGAAAAGAAGUACAAAACAGAAGAUGCUGGAAUGAAGAAAUUCAUUGUGGCAAAAUUUCUGGACUAUAAGAUGAUAGACAGUAAGACUGUCGUCACCCAAGUUCAAGAAUUGCAGGUCAUAAUCCAUGAUCUCCUUGCUGAAGGUAUAAAUUUAUUUAAUGCCUAUGUUAGAAAUACUAAGUAUUCCCUUAAUACUCACAUAAUAUUUAAUGUAGGAUUGACUGUGACUGAUGUUUUUCAAGUGGCUGCAAUUAUUGAAAAGUUACCUCCAUUAUGGAAAAACUUCAAAAAUUACUUGAAACACAAAUGCAAGGAGAUGAUUGUUGAAGAUCUCAUAGUAAGUUUGAGAAUCGAAGAGGAUAAUAAGUCUGCAAAACAGAGGUCACGUGGUAAUUCAACAAUAUCUGGAGUAAAUUUUGUUGAAGAAGAUCCCACAAAAUAAAAGAAAACAAAGAAAACAUCUUGUCCAAAAAGCAAUCCGCCUAAGAAGAAAUUCAAUGGAAAUUGCUUUACUUGUGGUAAACAUGGUCAUAGUGUUAAUGAAUGUCGGGGUCCUAAGAAGGACAAGAAAAAGAAGGAUCAAGCAAAUUUGGCUGAAUUCAAAGGAGAAAUGGACGAUCUCUGUGCAAUGCUUUCAGAAUGUAACUUGGUUGGAAAUCCAAGAGAAUGGUGGAGAGAUUCUGGUGCCUCAUGCCAUGUUUGUGCCAACAAAGAAUUAUUUUCAUCAUAUACUCCAGCACUUACAGAUGAAAAAUUGUUUAUGGCAAACUCUGCUGUUGCAAAGGUGGAAGGAACUGGCAAAGUUCUAUUAAAGAUGACAUCAGGCAAGGUGGUGACUUUGAAUAGGGUCUCAUAUGUUCCAGAAUUGAGAAAGAAUUUAGUUUCAAUUCUAGUUCUGACAAAGAAUUGAUUUAAAUGUGUAUUUGUUUCUGAUAAAGUAGUAGUAAGCAAAACUGAUAUGUAUGUAGGAAAGGGCUACCUUAGUGAUGGCCUUUUAAAACUCAAUGUAAUUGCAGUUGAUAUGAAUAAAGAUUUUGCUUCUUUUUACUUGCUUGAGUCUAAAUGUUUAUGGAAUGAAAGUUUGGGACACGUUAAUAAUAAAACCUUGCGAAAACUGAUUAACUUAUAUAUUUUGCCAGAAUUUGAGUGCAAUAAAUCCAAAUGUCAAAUUUGUGUUGAAUCUAAGUAUGCUAAGCAUUCUUAUAAAUCUGUUGAAAGGAAUUCAAAUCCUUUAGAAUUGAUUCUUACUGAUAUUUGUGACAUGAAGUCAACACCAUCACGUGGUGGGAAAAAGUAUUUCAUAACUUUUAUUGACGAUUGCACUAAAUAUUGUUAUGUCUAUUUGCUAAAUAUUAAGGAUGAAGCAAUAGAUGCAUUUAGGCAAUAUAAAACUGAAGUUGAAAAUCAGUUAGAUAAAAAGAUCAAAAUGAUCAGAAGUGAUAGAGGUGGAGAAUAUGAAUCUCCACUUGCAGAAAUAUGUUUAGAAAAUGGAAUAAUCCAUCAGACUACUGCUCCCUACACUCCUCAGUCUAUUUGAGUUGCAAAAAGGAAAAACCAAACUCUAAAAGAAAUGAUGAAUGCAUUACUUAUAAGAUCAGGUUUACCACAAAAACUUGUGGGGGGAAGCUAUCCUUACAGCUAAUCAGAUACUUAAAGAGUGUCUCACUCAUAGACAAAUGUAAUUCCAUAUGAGAAAUGGAAAGGUAGAAAACCCAAUAUGAAAUAUUUCAAAGUGUGGGGGUGUCUAGACAAUGUCCAAGUUCCUAUACGUAAGAGGGUAAAAAUAGGACCUAAGACUGUGGAUUGUGUAUUCAUUGGAUGUGCCACAAACAGUAAGGCAUGUCGAUUUUUGGUCCAUAAGUCUGAACAUCCAGAUAUUCAUGAUAAUACGGUAAUGGAAUCACAUAGUGCUGAAUUUUUUUGAACAUUUCUAUCCGUAUAAAACUAGACUUGAGUCAUCUAGUGGGGGAUCUAAACAACCCAGAGAACAACCAAAAGAGAAUGAACAAAAUGAAGAAAUUCCAAGACGCAGUAAACGUCAAAAGGCAUCUACUUCAUGUGGAUCAGAUUUUGUAAUAUUUCUUCUUGAAAGUGAGCCUCAAACAUUCAAGGAAGCAAUGUUGUCUAGCGACUCAACCUCUUGGAAGGAGGCUGUUAAUAGUGAAAUUGAAUCAAUCUUAAGUAAUCAUACUUGGGAGUUGGCUGAUCUUCCUGCAGGGAAUAAACCCUUGGGUUCAAAAUGGAUCUUUAAAAGGAAGAUGAAAGACGAUGGAACUAUUGACAAAAUAAAGCAUGACUUGUUGUCAAAGGUUUUAGACAAAAAGAAGAUCUUGAUUAUUUUGACACAUACUCGCCAGUGACUAGGAUUACAUCAAUUCAGAUGUUAAUUGCACUAGCUGUAGUAUAGGGUCUUGAAAUUCAUCAAAUGGAUGUGAAAACAACCUUCUUAAAUGGAGAGCUUGAAGAGGAAAUUUACAUUGAACAGCCUGAGGGUUUUGUAGUUCCUGGUAAAGAAAAGAAAAUGUGCAAACUUAUUAAGUCACUUUAUGGACUAAAAAAAGCACCAAGAUAAUGGCAUGAAAAGUUUGAUCAAACCAUAUAUAAGGUAAGCAACCGAAUCCAUAUAUAAGGUCUUAACGGAUGUUGGUGUAAAAAUUUGGCAAAAAUUAAUUUAGAAUUCCGGAUGAACAAAAACGAUGGUAGAUAUAUCACACGAAAAUCAGCAAAAUAGUGGUGUUUUAACUAGCUCUGAGCUCAUUUGACCAUGAGAAUGUGCCUUUAUGGUCGUGGUGACCAACCAGCUUCAUAUAUAAUGUCUUAACGGAUCUUCGUGUAAAUUUUUGGCAAAGAUGAACUCAGAAUUCCAAAUGACCAAAAAAUAUGGUGGACUAUAGCAUACCAAAAAUCGGCAAAAUGAAAGGUUUACCUGCUCUAAGGCUCGUAUGACAUUGACAUUGGGUCGUAUUAACCAUGGUGACCAACUGGCUCCAUAGGAAAGGUUUUAAUAGACGUCCGUGUAAAUUUUUGAUAAAAAUAAACUCAGAAUUCUAGAUGACAGAAAGUGAUGGUUGAUAAUAUCACACAAAAAUUGGCAAAUUAGGGGUUUACCUGCUCUGAGCUCGUUUGACCUUGAAAAUGGCCCGAUUUGGCCGUAGUGAACAACCAUUUCCAUAGAUAAGUUUUAAGAGUGAAUCUGUGUAAAUUUAUAGCAAGGAUGAAUUCGGGAUUCCGGAUGACAAAAAAAGAUGGUGGAUUAUAAAACACAAAAAUUGGCAAAAUUGGGGGUUUAUCUUUUCUGGGCUCGUUUGACCUUGAAUAUAGGCCGUUUUGGAUGUGGUGACCAACCGGAUCAAUAUAUAAGGUCUAAGCUAACUUUUGUGUAAAUUUUAGGCAAAAAUAAUCUCGGAAUUCUGAAUGACCAAAAAAGAUGGUAGACUAUAGCACACAAAAAUUAGAAAAAUAGGGGGUUUACCUGCUCUAGUGCUCCUUUGACCUUUCAAAUGGGUCUUUUUGGACGUGGUUGCCAACCGGCUCAAUAGAAAAGGUCUUAACGAACGUCCAUAUAAAUAUUUGGCAAAAGUGAACUUGCAAUUCUGGAUGACCAAAAUAGAUGGUAAUGAUACCACAUGAAUAUUUGCAAAAUGGGGGUUUAACUACUUUAAAGCUUGUUUGACCUUUAAUAUGGGUCAUUUUGGCUGUAGUGACCAACCAGCUCUAUAGACAAGGUUAUAACGGACGUCCGUGUGAGAUUUUUAUAAAUAUGAACUUGGAAUUCCGGAUGACCAGAAAGGAUAGCACACAAAAAUCGGCAAAGGGGGGGGGGGGUUUACCUGCUUUGGACUCAUUUGACCAUGAGAAUGGGCAUUUUUUACCGCGGUGACCAACCGGCUUAUAGAUAAAGUCUUAACAGAUAUUCAUGUAAAUUUUUGGCAAAAAUGAACUCAGAAUUUUUGAUAACCAAAAAAGAUGGUGGACUAUUGCACACCAAAACUGACAAAAUGGAAGGUUUACCUGCUCUAUGACUCGUUUGACCUUGACAAUGAGUCGUAUUGGACGUGGUGACCAACCAGCUUCAUAGAAAAAGUGUUAAAAGAUGUAUGUGUAAAUUUUUUGCAAAAAUGAACUCAGAAUUCUGGAUAACCGAAAAACAUGGUGGACCAUUGUACACUAAAAUCGGCAAAAUGGGAGGUUUACCUUCUCUGAGAACGUUUGACCUUCAAAAUGGGUUAUUUUGGCCAUUGUUACAAAAUGUCUCCAUAGAUAAGGUCUAAACGGACAUCUUUGUAAAUUUUUGGCAAGGAUGAACUCUGAAUUUUGGAUGACGAAAAAAAGUGGUGGAUACAGAACAUGAAAAAUGGUAAAAUAGGGGUUUACCUUGUCUGGGGCUCGUUUGACCUUGAAAAUGGUUCGUUUUGGAUAUGGUUACUAACCUAUCCAUAGAUAAGGUCUAAGCAUACUUUCGUGUAAAUUUUUUGAAAAAAUAAUCUUGAAAUUCCGAAUGACCAAAAAAGAUGGUGGACUAUAGCACACGAAAAUUAUGAAAAUAGGGCGUCUACCUGCUCUAGGGCUCGUUUGACCUUUAAAAUGGUUUUCUUUGGCCGUGGUGACCAACUUUUUCCAUUAAAAAGGUCUUAACAGAUGUCCAUGUAAAUUUUUGGCAAAAGUGACCUCAGAAUUCUGGAUGACCAAACAAGAUUGUAACUAUACCACACGAAAAUUGACAAAAUGGGGGUUUAUCAGUUCUAGGGCUCGCUUGACCUUUAAUAUGCGUCGUUUUGGCCAUGGUGAGAAAUCAACCUAUAUACAAGGUCCUUACAGACAUCCACGUAAAUUUAUUGCAAAAAUAAACUCGGAUUUCCGGAUUACCAAAAAAGAUAGUGAACUACAGCACACGAAAAUUGGUAAAAUGAGAGGUUUACCUGCUCUAGGACUCGUUUGAUCUUGAGAAUGUGUUGUUUUUGUUGUGAUAACAAAAAAGAUCCAUAUAUAAGAUCUUAACAAACAUAUUUGUAAUGUUUUGGAUAAAAAAGAAAUCAGAAUUCUUGAUGACCAAAAAUAAUGGUGGAAUAUAGCACACAAAAAUCAGCAAACUGAGGGUUUAUUUGCUCUUGGGCUCUUUUGACCUUGAAAAUGGACCGUUUUGGUCAUGGUGAAAACCGGCUCCAUAGAUAAGGUCUUAACAUACGUUUGUCUAAAUAUUAGAAAAAAUGAACUUGGAAUUCUGGGAGAACAAUAAAGAUGGUGGAUGAUAGAACACGAAAAUAGGCAAAAUGGGGGGUUCACCUUGUUUGGGGCUCGUUUGACAUUUAAAUGGCUCGUUUUGGAUGUGGUGACCAACCGACUCCAUAUAUAUGUUCUAAACGGACGUUCGUGUAAGCUUUUGACAAAAAUGAUAUUGGAAUUCUUAAUAACUAAAAAAGAUGGUGAACUAUAGCACACAAAAAUUUGCAAAAUAAGGGGUUUACCUGCUACAGAGGUCAUUUGACCUUGAAAAUGGAUCAUUUUGGUCGUGGUGAUCAACCGGACCCAUAGAUAAGGUCUUCAUAAAUGUCUGUGUAAAUUCUUGGCAAAAUUAAACUCGGAAUUUUGGAUAACCAAAAAAGAUGGUAACUCUACCACAUGAUAAUUGGCAAAAUGCUCUAGGGCUCAUUUGACCUUUAAUAUUGUUGUUUUAGCCGUGGUGACAGACCGACUUUAUAUAUAAGGUCUUAACGGAUGUUCGUGUAAAUUUUUUGCAAAAAAUGAACUCGGAAUUAUGGAAGACCAAAAAAUAUGGUGGAUUAUGAUACACGAAAAUAGAAAAAUGGUGGGUUUACCUGCUAUGGGUUCGUUUGACUUUGAAAAUGGGUGUUUUUUUGUCGUGGUGACCAACCGGCUCCAUAGAUAAGGUCUUAACGGACAUCCUGUAAUAUUUUGGAAAAAAAUGAACUCAAAAUUUAGGAUGACCAAAAAAGAUGGUGGGUUAUAACACACGAAAAUCGGCAAAAAAUUGAAGAUUUACCUGCUAUGGGGAUCGUUUGAACUUGAAAAUGGAUCGUUUUGGCCGUGGUGACUAACCCACUCCAUAGAUAAAGUCUAAACAGACGUCUGUGAAAAUUUUUGGAGAAAAUGAACUUGAAUUUAUGGAUGACUAAAAAAGAUGGUGGACUAUAGCACAUGAAAAUCAGCAAAAUAUAGGGUUGACCUGCUCUAGAGGUACUUUGACCUUGAAAAUGGGUUGUUUUAGUCAUGGUGACCAACCAACUCCAUAUAUAAGGACUUAACGAAUUAAAUUAACUCAACUUUCUAGAUGACAAAAAAAGAUGGUGGACUAUACACGGAAAUCGACAAAACAGGAGGUUUACCUACUCUAAGCUCAUUUGACCUUGAAAAUGGGUAAUUUUGACCGUGGGACCAACUAUCUCCAUAGAUAAGGACUUAACGGACGUCCAUGUAAAUUUUUGGAAAAAAUGAACUUGGAUUCUGGAUGACCAAAGAAUAUGGUGGAUUAUAGCACACGAAAAUCAGCAAAAUGGGGGUUUACCUGGUUAGGGGCUCAUUGACCUUGAAAAAUGGGACGUUUAAGCUGUGGUGACAAACCAGAUCCAUAGAUAAGGUCUUAAUGGACGUACAUGUAAAUUUUUGUCAAAAAUAAUCACAGAAUUCCUGAUGAACAAAAAAAUAGUGGACAAUAGGACACUAAAUCGGCAUAAUGGGGGGUUUACUUUCUCUGCGCUCGUUUGACCUUUAAAAUGAGUCAUUUUGGUUGUGGUGACCAACCAGCUACAUAUAUAAGGUUUUAACAGUCGUCUGUAUAAAUUUUUGGCAAAAAUAAACUCGAAAUUCAAGAUGACCAAAACAGAUAGUGGACAAUAACACAUUAAAAUGGGCAAAAUGGGGGAUUUACAUGCUCGGGGGCUCGUUUGACCUUGAAAAUGAGACGUUUUGACCGUGGUGACAGACCGUAUCCAUAGAUAUGGUCUUAAUAAACGUCCGUGUAAAUUUUUGGCAAAAUGAACGAUUCUUGGAUGACAAAAAAAGAUGGUGGACUAUAGCACACGAAAAUUGACAAAAUAGGGUUUUUAUUUCUUUGGGGAUCGUUUGACCUAGAAAAUGGGUCAUUUGGACUAUGGUGACCAACAAACUCUAUAGAUAAUGUCUUAAACGGAUGUCCAUGUAAAUUUUUGGCAAAAUUGAACUCAAAAUUCCAGAUGACCAAAAACGAUAGUUGACAAUAGCAUAUGAAAAUCAGCAAAGUGGGGGAUUUACGUGCUCUAUGGCUUGUUUGACAUUGAAAAUGGGUCCUUUUGGUCCGUCUCCAUAAAUAAGGUCUUAACGGAUGUAUUCCUAAUUUUUUGGCAAAAAUAAUAUUCGAAUUCUGGAUGAUAAAAAAGAUGGUGGACUAUAGCACACGAAAAUUGGCAAAAUAGAGGGUUUACCUACUCUAGGCUCGUUUGACCUGGUAAAUUGGUCGUUUUGGCCGUGGUGACCAAAUAGAUCCAUAGAUAAGGUUUUAAUGGACAUCACUGUAAAUUUUUGGCAAAAAUGAACUUGCAAUUCCAAACGACGAAAAACGACGAAAAAAGAUGGUGGACUAUAGUACACGAAAAUUGAUAAAAUAGGGGAUUUACCUGCUCUAUGACCCGUAUGACUUUGAAAUUGGGUUGUUUUUGCAGUGGUGACCAACCGAAUCCAUAGAUAAGGUCUAACGGACGUCUGUAUAAAUUUUUGGCAAAAAUAAAAUCGGAAAAUCGGAUGACCAAAAAAGAUUGUGGAUUAUAACACAUAAAAAUUUGUGAAAUAGGGGGUUUACCUGCUCUAUGACUCAUUUGACCUUAAAAAUGGAUUGUUUUGGCCUUGGUGACCUACCGGCUAUAUAGAUAAGGUCUUGACAGACGUCCAUGUAAAUUUUUAGCAAAAAUUAUUUUGGAAUUCUGGAUGAUGAAAAAAGAUAGUGGACUAUAGCACACAAAAAUUGGUAAAAUGGGGUGUUUACUUGCUUUGGGACACGUUUGACCUUGAAAAUGAGUUGUUUUAGGCGUGGGCAGUAUUAGUGAGAUAAUAAUACUUACAUGAUUUAACCUCAUCAAAUUGAAAUAAAUAUGUACAUUAUUUCAUUUCAUUAAUAAAAUUGACCAUUAAACAUAUGUAUAGGUAUGUGCGAAUAAGAGAUAUACUUGACGAUCCACAUUGAAAUUUCACAAAAUAAUCUUUAAUAUUAUUUUGUGCAAAGCUUAUUAUUGUAAUAUUCGCUUAAAUUUUUUUAAUUGAUAAUCAAGUGCAAAACACGUAUCAAGAAUCUAGUUAAGAAUAAAGGGACAUUUUAAAAUUGAAUUAUUACUUAAUAUGAAUAUAUUUUUUUCAUUUUUUGGACUGAUUAAAAAGAAAAGUAACAUAUAUAUAUAUAUAUAUAUAUAUAUAUAUAUAUAUAUAUAUAUAUAUAUAUAUAUAUAAGAGAUACUGUUUGAGAAACUAUACAAAAAAUACUCCGUAUAUAUACUAGGGUUCCAGUUAGAGUGUAAAAAGAUUGAUCAGAAUGGAGAUGAACAUUGAUAUUAACGCUCCAGGUAGUGAGAUUUCUUCUUUUUAUUCUGAUCAUUACCUGUACUUAUCUUUUUUUAUUUUCUUUUACCUUUUAUUUUACACUAUUUGUAUUACUAGAUAUUCGUAGAAAAUUGCAGUGGAUCUUCCAUUGGACAUGUAGGAUUUGAAAUUUUUAGGUGUGGUUUAUGAGAUAUCACACUGGAGAAGGGUUUAGUUUAUGCGAACCCAGAGGUAGAAUGGGUUUGUUUUGGUAAGGAAAAGUUAUCCUUUAAGGAUCACAAUUAGGAUCUUCCAUUGGGAAUGUAGGAUUUGAAAUUUUCAUGUGUGGUUUGUGGGAUAUCGCACUGGAGCAGGGUUUAGCUUAUGUGAACCUGCAGGUAGAAUGUGUGGAUUUUGUUAUGGACAAGUUAUCCUUUCAGGAUCCCAAUUAGGAUAAAACUGUAAGUUGCAAUUUUCAAAAGUAAAUCCACUUAGUUUUUUGGAGACCAUUUUCUCUGACUUAUAGAAAUUGAAAAAUGGAUGUCUAAUACAACAAAACUGAAUACUAAUUAAAUCUAAGAUAGCUUGAAGGAGUGGAUAUCCAUGUUGAAUAUGCAUAGGAGAAGAUCAAAAUUAGAGAAGAAGGGAGAGAAAAAUAAGGAAGGAAUUGAAUUACCAAAAGUUUAUUGUUGCAUUCUCUCUCCUUCUGUAUUGCAGUUUAUAUCAACGUUCAGAUAAUAUGGCGAGAUCGUGACUCUUCAGCUUCAUUAUUUGAGAUUUAAUCUUGGUCGGUUAUUUGCCAAGUAGUUACUCUCCUUCAGUGUUUCAACUUCGAAUUAAGCUAUACUAAGUAAUCUCAAUUAGUUGUCCAAGAUCCCUUGUACAUCUUAGGUGUACUCCUACCAAUGAAGUCUCUUCCUAGAUCUAAGUGUAAAAGAGGCACAUCUUGCUUGAACUUAGACUGUUGGCUCAAAAGAAAAGUAAAAAAUUGAUUGUAAUAACAAUACCAUCCAACAAAGGUGCAUUUAUGAAGGGCAAUCAAAUUUUGUGAUGGUGGUUCGUACUUUUAUAAUAGUACAGAUUAAAAGAUAGAAGUAUCAAAAUAAAUCAAAAUUUCCAUAAAAUAGGAAGCUUAAUUUUCUGAGACAUGUACAUCUGGAUGGAAGAUUGUGGCGUAGUGGUCAAUGAAGUGGUUGAAAAUCAUGAGGUCGAAUGUGCGAAUCCCAGCAAAGAAGAAAAAACAUGUGAUGACUUUUUUUAUCUUUCAUAGCCUUAGUGGAAAGAGUUACGUAGUACUUAUUGCUGGUGGGAGGUAGUAUGCUUGAAAUAUUUAAUUUUCAUCACUUUUUUCUUUACUUAUAUCUCUAUUUGCAGUCUAUUUAUAGCAUAUGCACAUUCUACAGUACAGACAAAAAACGCAAACAGAGCUGAUUGGUAGGAAGAGCUUUACGAAAAGGUAUGAUUUGCAAUGGUACUCUUUAUUUGUACAAGAUUUUGAAAACUGUAGAAAUUUGAUAUGUGGAUUUUGAUAAAAUGGCUGGUUAUAACAUUAUAUGAAAUAGCUGAACGUUUAAAAAUAUUUCCUUUGAUUAUAGAGUAAUAGAAGAGGUUUACCAUACCAAAUGAACAACUAAAUUCAUGACCAUACCCCUCCACGCAAGAUGCUUUAUGUAUUCCAUUUCUUAGAGGUAAUAGAAAUGUAAGCAUGUUAACAGGUAACUUCUUAGAAACGAACAUGAAUACUCACUGUGCUGGUGCUCUGUAUAAGCCCGUCUUGGUCCCAUAUUCUUAUCGACAACAAAUUAAUUUCACAUGCCCUAAAAUAAUUUAGAAAUAAAGUAUAUUUUGAUAAAUUAACUGAUUAGAGAAAAUUAUUUAUUGAGUGCUAAAAUCAUAUGUCUGUAAGUUCGGGUCAAAGUUCUUCAUGGCAUGUCACCACAAUCUUUAAUUGCGAAUUUGAGGGAUAAAUCUAUUUGUGCAAGAAUUAUAUACAUGAAUAUAUUGGUAUAAGAUGUUUUUUUUGUGAAAAGACAUCCGUUCAUCUGUAUCAAUAUAUUUUUUCUAUUUUUUAAUUUUAUUUCUUAUUAUAGAGAAAUCCAAUGCUUCCGUCUUCAAAACUCAGUCUUAUCUACUUACAUCGCUAACUUAGCUAGUAAUAAGUUGGAAUACUUCAAUUUCUCCAACAAUAAACAUAUAACACUAACAUUCUCUGUAUUCUCCAUCCCAUUGUUAUUCACUUCUGAAGCCAACUACAAUGUUAUUAUUUUUUUGUUUAUCCUCUUCUGACCUCAUUGAUGAUAAAGGUGUAAAGUUAAAAAAAGAAAUGAUUGCCAUUAAAUUGUGUUAUAUCUCGCAACCUAACUUUAAAAAAGUAUAUUCUAAUCCUCCUGGUUGUGCUGGUCUAUGAUCACAUUGAGGAUGUUUCAUUCUUGAUUUUAGAACCAAGAGGCUAAAGGAAGAAAAGUUCAGUAACUUAGUUCUUCUUCACUUUUAACCUUUUUAUCUAGAAGGUUCUUUUGUGACAAUUUUCUAGUUUUCUUCUCAAUUUUAUCGUAAAAUUGAUCUAAUUAUCACCUAACCAGGUGGGAAUGCAUUCUUUACAUUUAUGCAAUUGACUUAUUGAAUUAUUUAUGCAGAUUAAGUCUAUGAAGGAGAUGUAUUUAUCAGAUAUCAAUGAUUUAUACGAGAAAAUUACUUCUAAAGUGCAGCAGGUAUGUCAAUAACAUCCCUUUAAGUGUUUCAUCAUUGUUUCAAAUUUUGGUUGUCUCUUGCAUGCCCCAAGGUGUAAUUCAUAUUGCGUUGUAUUACUUAUUUCCUUACUGGAAACUCCUCAAACUAGGAACUGAUGCAGAAAGCGCAAGACACUAUAUUAGCGUUAUUUGUUCUUUGGUUCCUUUCCUGUUGAUUGUCAUCAUGAGAAAAAGUAAAGAAUUAAGUAUUCCCUAAUUUUUUUGGCAAGCGCUUGAUUUAUCUGAAUCUAAAAGCACUUGAGUCAACAUUCUGCUGCAUUGUGUGAACCUUCCGCACUAUUUUAUUUUUCUCAUUAUGUAAUUUUUUCAACUAUGUUAUUUGUCACUUUUUUUCUUGAUUUUAUGCAGGACUCUCUUUGUCAGAGUCUUCCAAAUGAGAGAACUGAAGAACUCAAGAUGUUCAAGAUAACUCUGGAACGCAUUAUGAUUUUCUUGCAGCUUAACAAACAUGAUAUUAAUCUUUGUCACAAGGAGAAACUGCGUUCGGUUGAGAAGCACAUAAGUUUCUUUCUAAAAGGCAAAAAUCUGCACAUGCCUACUUCUUCUGCAUUGCAGGGGUAACUUCCUCAGGCUCCCAUCCAUACAAGUCAGGUAGGCAGUCCGAACUUGUUUGUAUAAUUCAAUUUUUUUCACCUUGUUGAAGUUGUUUUCCUCUUGUGUUAACAUGAAUCUACAUUUCGAGUAGAGUUUUUUAUUCUUUAGGGGGAGCUUGAUUACUUAGAACUUGUGAUUAUUUUCCUAGCAUAAAUCUCUUAAGUUAUGACUGAUAUCUCGUGCUACUUCUACUUUAUUCUAAGGUCUCAUGUGUUUAAAUAGGAAGGUAUGGAGAUCAAGAUUAGAGAAGGUUAGUAGGGAGUCGAGUGUUGUCGUAUUUCUAAUAGUAUGAUUGAGGUAGCUCGUAGUUUCUUUUUCCAACUAUUGCUUAUAUUACUUGAAAAUAGGACUCAAUCAAAACUAACCUUAUAUUAGAGAAUCAACAAAUCAAAAGAACGAUAAAAGACUGAAAUAUAAGAUAGAGAAGAAGGGGGAUGAAAAGCUCAGAUUCUCAAAAUUGGGGAUGAGAGACUCGGAAAACUUCCAUUACAAUAAAUCCCUACAUUAUGUUACUACUAUCAGAUUCCUUCACAUAUUUUUCCCAACCUUUAAUUCGAAAUUAGUUAAUGUUUUUGGACUUCUCUUAACUCGUGUGAUGUGCCUAGCUGGCACAAUUGGUUCAGCCACAUUGGCCUCCACCUCACUAUUUUCAUUUAUAACACCUAUGUGUAUUAAUAUGUGUUGCUACACAUGUUUCGUACAUUGCUACUUUGUUUUUUUUUCUUACUUUGUUGCGUUUGUUACAUUUUUUUUGUGUGUCAGAGGUCUAUCCGAAACAACGGAUCUACUAUAAGGAUUGAGUACAUCCUACCCUUCCUAAAUCCCACUUGUUUAAUUACAUGGUUGUGAUGUUUUUGGUCUCCUCAGUUUCGUUCUAAGAUUUUGUGUGCAAAGUUAAUGAUCUGUCUUAAUUUAGUCGUAUGUUACUCAUCAUAUCUUGCACGUUAUAUCCAAUGCAGGCACAAUAUACAUAUGCACACCAUCCGCCUAUGCUGGAUUCCCAUGGGCAAGAUAUUGCUUCUGAGUUUGAUAGGAUUCUGCAUUUUAUUUAUUAGAUGGUAGUCAUGAUGAUUUGUGUCAAGUAUGGAAUGGUUUUGAAAUAUUUGGUAUUGAUAGAUUGAGCUCUGGUUCAAAACUUGAUGAUCAUUGAGAACAUAUAAAGUGUUUGUGAACCCAUGCACCCUCCCUGGAUUAUAUAAAGUACUUGUGAACCAACUUAUGCAUCAUUUCCCGAAAUUAUGUAGAAAGUACAGCAACUAUAAAUGAUAAAUUACUUAAAUUUUAUGUGGGAAUCGUACUAAAAUUUGAAAUAUCCAUCUCCAAAAUUUUCAUUUGAAUCUUUAGCAACACUACAAACAAUGGCCACAUUUAAAAAAAAUAAAAUUUGGCCUCUCUUUUUAGUUUUUUCUUCAAUUUAUUCUUAUGAUUUGUGAAGUGUGAUUCCUUCAAUGAUGAUGAUAUUUUAAUCGUUUUCAAAUAUAUUUUUCUUAAUGAACCAUUAUAAGCUGAUUUUUCUUUUGUGAUAAUAAUAUUUAUUAUACUUUACUUCUCAAGUCAUCGUUUUGGAAAAAAAUUAUAGCAUUUGUUACGCCCCCUAAAACUAAAGACUAAACUAGAGCCUAUAGUGACCUUAAUGGAGUCAAAUGUAAUGAGUAGAGUCUUAAAAUAACCUCUCUUACUUAUUACUAAUGCUUUUAGGUAAAAUGUCAAGGCAUGACCCCCCAAGGACCCCCACCCCUCGAGGGUCCUUGAGGAGAUAUUUGUCAUAGUUCAAAUAUUGCUUGCUACAAUUCAAAUUAUCUUUCAGAUUGUCUGUAUAUAACCUCCGAAGAAUUUCUUGAAUAAACAUAUAUGCAUAUAUAUUUUAAAAUAUUAUCAAAUGAUUAAUGACCAUCAAAAUUUAAUUUUCUUUUUCUUAAAAUAAACAAUCGAACGCUGCCAAAAAAAUAGUAAUUGGUUUCGUAGAAUGUUUUUUAAUAAUGACUGAAGUCAUGUUAUGAAUUAAUGAAAUACUAUUAAGUAAAUAUAUGUCGUUGUUACAAUCCAAUUUCGAAAAAUGAAUGGUUUCGAAGCCAGUUUCGCAACUUUGGUCAAUUUUAGUUAGAUUUUUUUUUUGGAGAAAUAGUAAUUUUAGGAGUCGCCACUCAAUCUUUUAGGAAGGGUUUAGGCACCUUAGAGAAUCCGCUAACUCGCGGUUGACCGAUGAAUUUUAGAAGCUUGGCUAUUAGUGUAAAAAAUUUAAAUUACUUGAAAAAAAAACUUACUUAUUUAUCAUUAUUAUUUUUAAAAAAUGAGAAAUCUUUUGAUACUUGAACAUAUUUGAAUUAUACCAAAUAAUGAAAUAAUCCAAAUAUCAAAGUGCCAAAAAGUAAAACUAUAACUUAACAAUUUAUCCGAGUAAACUUUUGAGUGUUAUAAACAACACAAUAACUUAAACAUGGAUUUGAAAGCUAAAUACUAACUAUGAAAGAAUAUAAAUAAUUCUCGAGUUAGUCUCGAAGCUUAGAUCGUCUAACUUAAAACAAAUUGAAAAUUCAAAUAUUUAAAAUAAACAACUAACGAAAUAAAGAGUUAUUUAGAAACUUACAAGGAUUCAUAUAAGUUAGAUAAAAUAAAAGUUAGAAGUUAACAGAAAAUAUCACAAAAUCACGAUAUCAUGAAAAUAAAGUGCGAAUAUAACUUGGACAGUUAUAAGUCCACUUGCUGCUUCUUGUUUGCUGUUUGAUGUUAUUUCCGAACUUCUUAAGUCCGAAAAAUGCUAUUUCCAGCCCUUUGAGGCUGCUGCAAAUCUGCUUUACUUUGAUCAAAUUGGCCAAAAUACUAGCUUCCCUUACGCAAUUUUGACGAAGAUCGACUCAAAUAGAGGAGGAUGCAAGAGAUAUCUGCCAACUUUUGUCUAAUAUGAUUCAACAUAGAUAAACAAAAAGGCAAGCCCAUCACAUAUAUCUCUCAGCUAAUCCAUUUAAUAAUUAAAUUAAGACUAACUUUUUUCAGAAAACAUAGUUAAAACUGAAGAAACCUAUCCCGUAAAACAAGAACCAGGUUCUUGUAAGUUGGUUUAAGUCAGAACACAAACACUUGUUAAAUUAAAAACCUUCCUCAAUAAAGGAAGGAAAAACUUCGUUGUAUUAAAUCAACUAGAUGAUUUUUUAUGAUCACAACUCAAUAAUCAAUAACCUCACCACUACAACAACUCUCGAUUAACUAGUUAAAACAAUAACACUAGAUUGUAACUAAAUUAAUCCCAAGUAACAUAGAAAAGGAAUUAAACCAUAAAUCUA
rnacentral:lncRNA from 1 species